AGCUCUAACCAACUCACUGGUUACAUCCCACAUUCCUUGGGUAAUGUAACAAGUUUAUCAUCUUUAUUUCUAGCCCAAAAUAAGCUUUAUGGUUCUCUUCCUCCCUCCCUUGGGAAUUCCGUGUUAAGAGUGCUAGAAUUGUCUGGAAACCAUUUCACUGGUUAUUUACCCCACAAUAUUUGUCAAGGUGGAGUGCUAGAGAAGUUUCUUGUUUCUGGAAACCAUUUUCAAGGAACAAUCCCUAAAAGCUUGAGAAAUUGCACAAGCUUAUUCCGAGUACGCCUUAAUGGAAACAACCUUACUGGAAAUAUAUCAGAAGCUUUGGGCAAUUAUCCUAACCUGACUUUCAUAGAUCUCAGCCGCAAUAAUUUUUACGGUGAAAUCUCAUCUAACUUUGGGGAAUGCCCAAAAUUAGGCGCUAUCAACGUUUCGAUGAAUAACAUUACUGGAGGUAUACCGCGUGAGAUUGGAAACUCGUCUCAACUACAAGCACUCGAUCUUUCAUUGAAUCAUAUAGUUGGGGAGAUUCCAAAGGAACUUGGGAAGUUAAAUUCUCUAAGCAAGCUCAUUUUGAGAGGGAAUCAACUGACAGGGCGUCUACCUACAGAAAUCGGCUCACUCAUUGAACUUGAAUACCUCGACUUUUCUGCUAAUAGGUUCAACAAUUCAGUCCCAACAAGUCUCGGCAACUUGGUGAAAUUGCACUACCUGGGCUUAAGCAACAACCAGUUUGUCCAAGAAUUGCCAAAGGAAUUGGAGAAGCUAGUUCAACUUUCAGAAUUAGAUGCAAGUCAUAACCUCUUUGGAGGAGAGAUACCAUUUCAAAUAUGCAGUUUGAAAAGCUUGGAAAGGUUGAAUCUCUCCCACAAUAAUCUCUCUGGUUUGAUUCCAAAUUGCUUUGAGGGAAUGCGGGGUCUAUCAGUCAUUGACAUUUCUGAUAAUCAAUUGCAAGGCCCAGUUCCAAAUAGCACAGCAUUUCGGAAUGCCCCAGUGGAAGCGUUAGAAGGGAAUAAGGAAUUGUGUGGAAGUGUGAAAGGAAUGCAACCAUGCAAAGUUUUCUCGACACACAAGCAAAAUUCUGGAGCCAAGUGGUUUGCACUAGUGUUCCCUGUUUUAGGAGCACUAUUUGUUUCAAUGGCGUUGAUAGCAAUUUUCAUUCUUCGAAAGCAAAAGUCAGACUCAGGAGAUCGACAGAGUAGCAACCAGAACCCUCAGGGAUUGUUUUCUAUAUUAAAUUUCGAAGGGAAACUCGUGUACGAUGAAAUUGUUAGAGCAACAAAUGAUUUUGAUGCAGAGUAUUGCAUUGGAAACGGUGGACACGGAAGUGUUUAUAGAGCUGAGCUACCAUGUGGGGAAGUCGUAGCUGUUAAGAAAUUUCACUCACCACUCCCAUGUGAUCAGAUUGCAGAUCAAAAAGAAUUCUUGACCGAAGUUCAAGCCUUGACAGAGAUACGACAUCGAAACAUUGUGAAGUUUUAUGGAUUUUGCUCACAUGCCCGACACUCUUUUUCGGUCUAUGAAUUUCUUGAAAGGGGUAGCUUGGCUGCGAUCUUGAGCAGUGAUGCAGCAGCACAAGAACUGGGUUGGAUUCAGAGAAUGAAUGUGAUCAAAGGCGUAGCUGAUGCUCUGUCUUACUUGCACCAUGACUGCUUUCCUCCGAUUGUCCAUCGAGACAUAUCAAGUAAGAACUUGUUGCUGGAUUUGGAAUAUGAAGCUCAUGUUGCAGACUUUGGAAUCGCUAAGUUUCUGAAGCCAGACUCGUCCAACUGGACUGAAUUUGCAGGCACAUACGGAUACGUUGCACCAGGUAUUUAUGUAGUACAUUCAGCAGACUUGUAAAAGCUUACUAGUUUAUGCACAUUUAUCUCAUAAACAGAGUAAACAUUUUUUUCUUUGGGUCCUUGACCUUGCAGAGCUUGCUUACACAAUGAAGAUCACAGAGAAAUGCGAUGUGUACAGUUUUGGAGUGUUAGUGUUGGAAGUGAUCAAAGGGAAGCAUCCAAGAGAUUUUCUUUCUUCGAUUUCAUCUUCAUCUCUCAACACGGAUACAGCACUUGAUGAAAUGUUGGACCCGCGUCUUCCAGCUCCAUCAUGCAGUGUUCAAGAAAAACUGAGAUCAAUCGUGGAGGUUGCGUCUUCAUGCUUAAAUGAGAGUCCGGAGUCUAGACCAACUAUGAAGAUAGUCAGUCGACAAUUGCAGAUUUCAGCUGCCUUGACCGAGUCUUAAUUUUCUAAGUAUACUUCUAAUUUACUUGGUGUCUUUUUUUUUUUUUUUUCUUUCUUCUAAUUUGCUUGGUUUAUUUUUCUCAUGUACUGCAGUUUGUUUGGUUUAGUUUUUAAGAAUCAGGAGGCGUUGGUUAUUACGUCAUCCAUAUAUGCUUGGUAUAUGGUGUACUCUUUCAUUUAUAAAUAAAAUAAAGUUUGCACAUGGGGCAGUGGUGAGCACAUUUGAAGAACAAGAUUAGUAAGACAGUUUGUAAUAAUUAAAAAUAAUAAUUUCUUGCGACAAGUACAAAAAGGUGAACCACUCAAAUGUAAACUAGAAAGUGCGUACCACUGUAUUAAUUAAUGGCUGGCUCUUACUUACCGAUAAUGUUAAAUUAAAUGUUAAAAGAAGGGAAUAGAUAUGGGGAAAAAAUUAAAAAUUGAGGAUAAUUUACAAUGUAGUCCUAGUGAUUUAACCGAAGAUCAAAUAAACCAAUAAUAAUCAUUUUUUUUUAAUGAUUUGUCUUAGCUUUGAGUAAACGAUUUGAAGGAACUUAUCGCUCUCACCAAUUGUCUUGAAUGCUCUAAUGGCUUAUACUUUGUAGAAUCGCCAAUGUUGUGAUAACAACUUUGAUGGUUAAAGUUUGAUUGUGAAUCUCGAUUGAAUGACUUAAUUUACAUUUGAUUGUUAUGCCGACCUGUACCAAGUUAAUCUUUUUUCUGGAUGUUUAAUUUUGUUAUGUCAAAGUUAAUUAGUUGAUGUCCUAUAUUUGAUCAAUGUGGAUGGCUGAUCAAAAUUAAAGAAUCCUUGAACGAAUUGCGGCCUUGACAGAGAUACGACAUCAGGGCAUUGUAAAAACAUGACUGACAUUCAAUUUUAGUUUAUGAAUUUCUUGAAAGGGGUAGCUUGGCCAUAAUCUUGAGCAAUAAUGCAGCCGCUGAAGAGUUAAGUGGGUUGGAGUCAGAGAAUGAACGGGAUAAAAGACGAUAGAUUCACGGAACUUCUGCCUCAAAAAAGCAAUCGAUCCAAAUUGGAUAAAUAGUCAACCAAUUAAUCAAACAAGGUUCCCGGAAUAUAAUGAGAACUUGACCUCUUGCUUUAUCUUAGCAACAAGUUGAGUGUUGUGUGACUAAAGAUUAAAAUAUUAAGCAAACUACAAAAUUAUAUCAUUUAAGAAAUUAUAUUUAAGCAUUUACUUAAUUAAAGUUUUAAUUAGCCACCGAGUGACUUAGAUUUAAAAUUUUAGAUAUGACUCUAGUUGAUCUCUUAUGUGAGAAUGUUAAUUCACUGAGCAUCAUGUGACAUUUUCUUUAAAGAUUUUUGAAUUGUUUGAUGGUUGUGAGAGUAAAAUUUAAAAUAAUAAAAAUAAAUAUAAUUAUCAUGUUAAUGGGACCACAUCUUAGUCAUUAAUUCAUAUAAGAAUAUGAAUUCAAAUAUCACGUAAAUGAAAUUUGGAAAAAAAAUAGAUUUGUUAACAUCCCAAUUACAAGUUGACUUUAAAUUUCUAAUGAAUCUAUCAUAAUAUUCCUUUUUUGCUGAAUAAUCAUAUUAAUAUUUAAGUUAUUAGAUAAGGAUCCAACAUUAACAUUUGAAGUUUAUGCUUUAAUAAAAUUAUGUAAAUUCGAUAACAAAAACAUUAAAUUCAAAUAAAAUUAAAAUUUACAUGUCAUUCAGCUAGUGUUGGAAUGACAUAGUACUCGUAUAGAGUUAUAGUGUUCAAUACUUAUUACAACCAGAAUAAGAUUAUUUGAUUCGCCAUAUCUUUUGGAUUUGUAAUUAAUUGGCAAAUGUUUUAACUAAAUUUAUAUUUUGUUGUGUCGAUUUUUAUGUUUGGCUAGGCCCCAGCCAAUUAUCUUGUUAUUUUUUAUAGGUUAUUUGGCAAUAAAUCAAGUCUAUUAUUAAAAAAAAUUACCUGCGAAAAUCUUACUCCAUUUUCAAUUAUUCAUAUCCUAAAUCUUACAAAGGUAAUAAAAUUCCGAAUUAAUUAAAAAAAAUGAUGCGUAAGCAGGUAAGUCCACACGAAACCUACCGAAAAGCGCAAAAGAACACAGAAAAAAAAAAAAAAAAACACGUUCAUUCAAUUUAUCGCGAUACGAUAAAUGCUUAACAAAAUAUCAUAUCAAUUUCACCAUCAAAACUACGGCAAUUUCUUAUAUAUAUUAAAGAAUUUUUUAAAAAAAGCAAAUAGAAACCAAAAAAAAGAGCAACAACUGUACUGGAACUCACCAUUGCCAAUUUCCCAAUGAAUAAAAUAAAUAUAAAGGACUCGUGCCUUCCAUUUCCCUCCUGUUUUGUCACCCGCCUCUUCCUCAUCUCGCCACUUGUUCCCCACAACACACAACAAAUCAGCUUAUGGGAGACAAAAUGAGUUUUACCUUCAUUAUAUACAAGAAAUAAAAAAAGGAAAAUGCUUAACAUCUCGAAAGCUGAGAGAAACGGGUAGCAUGUGCUGCCGUUUUGCCUCUCUUCUCCUCUCAGCCUGAUUAGGGAUGGCAAAAUCAGGAUUCGGAUCCAGAUUUAGGUGCAUCCGCAUCCGCAUCCGGAUUGAGAUAGGGUUAGGGAUUAGGUUAGAUCGGUUUUUACAUUAAGUUUAUAUAUACAUAUAUAUAUAUAUAUAUAUUAUUUUAAUAUAAAAUUAACCGGAUCUGGAUAUCUGGCUUUCCAGAUGCCCUUGUAUCCGGAUCCAGAUCCGGAUCCGUGCGGAUUUUAAUUCAUUACAUCCGGAUCCACAUUUUUUUACAUGCGGAUCCGGAUCUUCCGGAUCCUUGCGGAUGCGGGCCGAAUCCAAAUUUAUUUGCCAUCCCUAAGCCUGAUAAUAAUUUUUUAUUAUUAAAAAUUAAAAAAAUAUAGUAUUAUGGGGAUAAACAAAAAUUUAAUCAUUCGGGACAAACAAAAGCAAGCAGUCCACGUGCUUUCUAUUUGUCUCACUCUUCUUUUUGUUUUUUUUUUUAAUUAAAAAUAUAUAAAAAGGAAAGAAUUAUUAUAACUUGCAUCUCUCUCACCUUCCUCCUUAACUCUCCACAUUAAGGACCUCAGUCACUCGACUCUAUCUGACUUUCUCUCCUCUAAUAACCAGUAAUUUUCACAACAAUUUUCAUACAAUUAAUAUUCCAAACCAAAAAUUCAUCUUUAUCAUCAAAUAAUUACCACCAAAAUUUACAAAAUUAAUCCAAGAAUGCACAAGAAAAAAAUUCAUUUUCUUUCACUGAUCAUCUUCUGUAUUUGGAAGCCGGAGCGUUCUGUAUUUGGUGGCCGGAGAGAGUGAAGAAGCGGUGAGGGGUAGUGAAUCUUCGGAGAUGAGGAUAAAGCCGAGGAUGAGUAAAGAAGUGAGGUAGGAUGAGUUUGAGCUGUGCAAUAGUCAUGAGUGAGGGAGGAUUGAUAUCUCUCUAGAUCCACUCACACUAAGAGAGCACUAGCUAAGAGAAGAAGAGAGCACUAGCAGAUGCAGUAGUGAGAGAGAAAGAGAGUGGUGAUGGCACGCGAACUGAGAGAGAGAGAGAGUGUGAUGUUUUUGUCCCCAUCGAGCUUUUUUUUUAAUAAUAAAAAAGUAUUUUAUGGCUGAGAGGAAGGAGAGAGGAGAAACAAGCUGCCGUUUCUCUCACUCUUCUCUCAGCUUUCUAGAUGUUUAGCACUCCUCAUAAAAAAAUUGAGAAGCUCCACGCAGGGAGUAAGAAAAGUAGAGAACCAAAAGUUAACAUAAAUAAUAGUUUAAAAAGCCAUUAGCAUCUCUAGAAAGAAAAAGUGAAGCUUAUGCAAGAGGUGAAGACCUCAAGUGAAAGUAUAGGUAAAGCAUCUGCAUAAGGUAAUGAUCACCAAAUAAAGUCUGUACAAUGAAGCUCAAGAUUAACAAUGACAAUCUUGAGCAGUAAUGCAACAUCAAAAGAAUUUAUUCGGUUGGUGUCAGAGAAUAAAUGUGAUAUUAUUUGCUCCACGAUUUCUUUCCACCGAUUGUCCAUCGAGGCAUAUCAAGCAAGAAUGUGUUGUUGUAUUUGGAAAUGCAGCUCACUUUUUAGAUCCAGCCUUUGGAAUUGCCAAGUUUAUGAAGCCAGACUCGUCCAAUUGGACUAUAUGCGCGAACGUAUGGAUAUGUCAUUGUUACUCCACGCAUGUAAUAUUCUUUUGGUGCCAUUUUGAGGAAUAUCAUUAUGUAACACAAUCUGUUGACUUAUGAAAGCUUUCUAAUUUAUACACAAUGAUCUUUAAAACAGAGUAAACCAUGAAGAUCAUAACUAGAUAGCGUUGAAAAAAUUAUGUAACACAUUCUGUUGACUUCUUUUUCUUUUUUUGGGUUGACUUUGCGGAGCUUGCUUACACAAUGAAGAUCAUAACUAGAUAGCGUUGAAAAAAUUAUGUAAUAGAUUCAGUAGACUUGUAAAAGCGUACUAAUUUAUGCACAUUUAUCUUAGAAACAGAGUAAACAUUUUUUUAUUUGUCCUUGAGCUUGCAGAGCUUGGUUACACAAUGAAGAUCAUAGAGAAAUGCGACGUGUACGGUCUUGGAGUGUUAGUGUUGGAAGUGAUCAAAGGGACGCAUCCAAGAUAUUUUCUUUAUUCUUUUUCAUCUUCAUCUCUCAACAUGAACACAGCAGAACUUGAUGAAAUGUUGGACCCUCGUCUUCCUUGCGCAAUAUUCAAGAUAGACUGCUAUCAAUCAUGUAGGUUGCAUUUUCAUGCUUAGAUGGGAAUCCAGAAUCGCGACCAACCAUGGAGACACUCAGUCAACGGUUACAGAUUUAGCUUGGCUGAGUUAAUUUUUUAAGUACUUCUAUUGUAUAAAGCUUAGCGGGGGACAAAAUGAGUUUUACGAACUAAAAUAUUGAAAAGCUUCACGCAGGGAGCAGGAAAAGUAAGGAACCAAAAGUUAAGAGAAACAAAAACAAUAGUCUGAAAAGCCAUUAGCAUCUCUAGAAAGAAAAAGUAAAGCUUCUACAGGAGGCGAAGACCACAAGCGAAAGAAAAGGUAAAGCAUCUGCAAGAGGUAAGAUUAGCAAGACAGUUUGUGUAAUCUUGUUAUCCUCUGUGAAAGUACUAGUCUAAAACUCAUUUUCGACAAAAUAUAAUGACAUUUAAGCCAACAAUUACGGAUAAUCCAAAGAAGUUGGAGACUAAGAUUUAAGGUGAACUGCCAUGGAGGAGUCAGAAUCAAUCACUAAAAUAAUUGCCAUAACCCCAGAAUAGUAAUGAUUAAAAAAUAAUUUCUUGCGCAUGUACAAAGAGGUGAACCCCUCAAAUGUAAACUUUAAAGAGUUUACCACUGGAUUAAUUAAUGGAUAAUUCAUACUUAUUGUUAAUGCUAAAUUAAAUGUUAAAAGAAAGGAAUAGAUUUAAAAAAAAAAAAAUUCCUUGUGAUUUAACGAAAAAUCAAGUAAGCCAGUAAUAAUUAGUACUAUUUUUCAAAUAGGUCCUCUGACCGUGUUUGACCACUAACCGUACUGCAAAGUAAGUGGAAAAAAUCGACUUCUUAGCAGCCCACUGAUUCGCGUGCUGGUAGUUAGGCAAGUUCAUUUGUUGGCUGGAGAAAUUUGAUAUUUUGGUACCUAUAUAUGUAUGUUCCUUAAUUUGUGAAUUUGGUAUUACUUUUGAUCAGGUGUGUGAAACAAAAACAACGGCAUCAAUUACAGAAAUAUUUCUAAUGUGCAGCAUGGAAAGCUUGGAGAUGUUGAAUCUCCCCCAAAAUAACCUUUCAGGUUCAAUUCUAAAUAAUUUUGAAGAAAUGUAUGGCUUGUCAUUGGUUGAUACGUCUCCUACUUUGAAUUACAGAGCCUAAUUCCGGUUGAUAGAUAUACUGCCAGAAAAGGCCGGCUUCGGUUUUGCAAAAAUAAAUAAGCUUUGGUACGGACACAGUUGACCCUCCCCUCGCGACAUAUGUUCCAAAAUCUACUUAUAGCCAUAAUUUUUUAUACAAAAGGCAAUAGAAUUGUUGACCCUUAUAAAUUAUGAAUUACAUCCUAAUCUAGUUGCAUAAUUUUGGAUAGAAAAUCUUUGCUUUGAUCAUUACACCGCUUACCCAACGCUCGUCAUUAAUUGGGAUAAGAUUUUAUAUCUCAACUUUCUAAAUAAUUUACUUAACAUUGAAAUAUGCGUGGCAAGAGGACAUUCAGAGUGUUAAAACGAAGGGAGAGCGAAGAGUAGAUAGAUAAGAUAUAGGUUCGAAGGAGUCAAAAUUUGAUAAACUUUUUUGGAUUGUAGCCAACAACAUUUUUUUACUUUUUCCCCGUUUGGAUCUCGGCGUUUAUAUAAAAGCAAAGAUUCAAUGACUAAAACAUGACGCUACUUACAUAAUAUAGAGAUAUAGAUUUACGGGUUUUGUUCUAGUGGGUGACGUGCGACGGGCCACAUGUCCAGAAGGUGAGCGAUGGUGUCUACCAGAUUAGUUCUCUAGAGUUUUAAAUCACCAGUGUAACACAGAUAUUGACUAGGCAGGCAUCGACUCCUUCACUUUUCAAAUUGCUCUUUUGCCUCCGCUUUCUGCAACGUCGUUAAAUUAUAUCUGAGUGUUUGAAAGCCUUUUCAAUUUCAAUCAACUUUGUAUUGCCUUAAUUAUUUUGUUUCCUCUCUGCGUAAUUGAUCUUGUCUCAACGGGGUCACAAACCUUGAAUAGAGUAUCUUCGACUCUUUUGUUGAUCCUAUUUUAUACGAGUUCAAUUUUUCACUUACUGUUUGUAUUAGAAUUUUCAUAUAAUUUGAUAACAUUACCUUAAAAGAAAAACCCGGGGAUGAAAUCUAACACUUACUAAUUAAUUAAAUUUAUUUCAUAAUAAUAAACUUUUUUUUUAAUACUUUGAUAACUUUACCUUAAAAGAAAAACAUUCGCAUGAAUUAUACCGCCUACUAAGGCAUAAACAUGGACUUUUUUUUUUUCCAAUCCAAAUCUCAUCCUAUAUUUGGCAAGGUUUUAUACAUUGGUAGAGGGAUAAAUAGAGAAAAGCAUAUUCAUAGUCCAUUGGACCCAUACCUCUAACAGGAUAAGUUGGGAAGAGCCAUCAAUAAUUUUAACUAAUUAAUUAAAGUUAUUAAAAAAAGUUGAGGGCUGGACAAAGUCCAAAUCACUAUUCAGUCAGGCCCCUGAGGCAAAUUGAACUAAUUAUUGCUAAGAUAACAAUAUUACAGGUAAAUCAACUUAUUCUAUUUGAAUUACUUAAUGACACAUAUAUUACAUAAAUUAAAAUAUUAAAGAAAUUUAUAUUUAUAUUUAUAUUUAAUUAACUUUCAUUCACAUUGAUUCAAAUAAUAAGCAGUACUAUUUUUUUUGUUAAUAAUAUUAUAAAUAUGUUAUUGGCAAUAAUAAAAAAAUGUAUUGCAAAUAAUAAUACAUUUGAAUAUCUUGUAAUUUAAAUAUAUAUUUUAUUAUUUAUUUCAUUUGAGAAUCCUUCUUGUUUUUCAGCUUCAAGUUUGUUUGAAUUAUUUUUCUCAUGUAUCAGUAGUUGAUAAUUGUGUAGGUUAUUACAACUUCCUUACUCGUAGGUACAGUAUAUGGUGUUCUCUCCCUUCUGCAACGUCGUCUAAUAAUUAGUAUUCUCCAGAUAAAUCCUCUGGCCGUUUUUAAUCAUUAACUAAUAAAUCAUGUUUUUUAUUAAUAAUUUAAGGUUUGUCUAUAAGUAAAUAAAAGGAAUUAAUAAGAAAUUAAUGGAAGGAUGAAGAAUUUUGGUGGAGUUAUGAUGUAAAAGAAAAUAUGAACAAUUAAUUGUAGCAUAAAAUAUGAGAAAAACUUGAUAUAUUAUUUGUCAUUCGAUCUUUAAAAGUCUAAGAUUGAUAUGAGAGAAAACAAGAAGGCAUUAACUGAGGUUACAACUCCUUUUCUCGUAACGUGCUCAUUGGAGAAGUCCUAGAAAAUUGAUCGAGGCAACAUGGCUUCAAUUGAUAGAAACCAAACGUUUAAAAUGGCUUGAUUUACAAGAACCCUGUUCGCGAGUCAAUGGUUUCACUAGGAACCCUCGGUCGGCUAGCGGUACCACAAUUAAUAGAAGCAUAAAAAAUAGCUUGAUGUAACAACGAUUUGUACGUACUUCUAAAUUCAUCAUUUGAGUUCGCGAUGAUGAAUUUUCUGAGAUUUUUAAUCAACUAAAUAACAUCCUUUAUUAGCCGAGUCAAGUAUAAAAGGUGCUGGUGGGCACGUGUGUAAAAGUAGAGUGAUUUGUUAUUAUCACACCAGUGAUCUUUAUUAGCUCUGAGUGAAAAGAUCAUCUUAGAUCAGAGGCGAAGCUAAGAGUUGACUAACUUUUUUUUAAAACAAAUAGUUAAUUAUAAUUUACAAAUUUAUCUUCAUUAAUACUUAUAAAAAAAUAAAUCUAAUAAUUACAUGAAUCUUUAUUUACCCAAAUAACAAUUCACAAAACUCUAGAAGUAUCCAACUGAAUCUGAAAUUUAAAUUCAUCAAAAUUUAACUGCUCGAGUCUCUCACCACUGCCGAAUGCCCAAUCUCCUGCACUCGAAUGGACGCCCAACCACUGCCUCAUGAGUGACGCCGAGCCGUUGCCGCAAGGCCCACUUGGAGGCUCAAUCUCUCACAACACUCGAAGUCCCGAAGCCGAAUGCCCAGUCUCUGUUUCUUAUGCAGGGCCUGGUACAAAUUAAUUUGUAUUUUAAAUUUUAAUUUAUAGAAUAGAAUAUGAUUUAUGAUAAUGAUGGCAUAUUGGCAUACAAAGUGGAAUUGUGGAAGUUGUUGAUUAUGUGAUUCAUCUUCUUAAAAUUAUAAAAUAAUAGAAUAUGAUAAUAGAUUAAUCGAAUAUUAGAAUAUGAUAAAUGGUAAUGAUGACAUACAAAGUGGAAGCUGCUGAUUCAUCUUCUUGAAAUUAUAAAAUAACAAUGGCAUACAAAGAAUGAGUGAAUAGAAUAGUAUUUUCGAAUUAGUUUUUAACUUGUAGUAUUGUCAAAUUUUUGAAUAACACAAUUAAUAAUUCUCUAAUGUAUUAUUAUCACAAAUUCAAUGUUAAACAGGCCAAGAAAAAAAUUACUUUUUUUUUUAUAAGAGAGUAGGUGAAAAUCAAUCAUCCACCAAGUCUUUAUCUCCAUCUCAGGUUAAUGCUCAAGAUUCCAAAGAGCAACAUACUUCCAAAUCUCAAAGGGUUGAAGUUGAAGAAACUAUAAAUACUUAUCUGGAGUGUGAUCCUGGAUUAUGUCCUCAAAUAGGGACAUUUUCAGUGAAUCAACAUGAUGAUAUUCGAAGGCAGUAUAUCUAAGUGGGACUUUUCAGGCUAAAUUAUGAUAUUAUCCACUAACUAAUGAUGGCAAACAACAAUGUAUGUUUCAGUAUCACUGGUUUAAAAAAUUUCCAUGGCCUGAGUACUCUUGAGGUUAAAGAUAGUGCAUUUUGUUUUUCAUGCUUUCUUUUUGAUGAAAUUCUAUCGAACAAUCCAAAAUUCGUUAUUGAAGGGUUUUCGAAUUGGAAGAGAGCCAACAAUGGAAAAAAAAAAAAGUCCCCUUUUUACAACAUGAAGGGGAUCCAUCUUCUCAUCAUAAUAAGAAUAUGCAGAGUAGGGGUUGUUUGAGGAACCCAAUUACAUACAUUGAUAGAUUAAUUAAUGCCCAAACUUAACUACAAGUUUUAGAGAAUAGACUACGAUCGAAGACCUCAAAUAUUAUUGUCAAACGGUUAGCAAAGCAAGCUUGACCUCAAUAGCCAACCAAGAUUUGUGUUGAUAACAAAUCAACGAUUGCCUCAUCUAAGAAUCCAAUCUUUGAUGAUCGAAGCAAACGCAUAGAUACUUACUAUCAUUUCAUAAAGGAGUGUAUUGCAAGAAAAGAAGUGCAAAUCAAGUAUGUAAAAUCAAAGGAUCAAGCAGCUGAUAUCUUCACCAAGCCGCUCAAGCAUGAAGACUUUGUAAAAUUCAAAAGUUUGCUUGGUGCCACAGAAUCAAGUUUAAAGGGGGUGUUAGAUAAUAAACUUGAUCCAAGAUGAACAAAUUCAAGCCUAAAUACAUAGAAGUUUCUUGUGGUAAGUGUGGUAGGUCUGGUUGGUGAAGUAAGGAAGUGUUAGGUUUUGAUGAAUGAUUAGGAUUUGUUUUGCAUUUGAAUGAAAGAAUGGUUGUGAUGGAUUUGUAAUAUGUAUAAAUACCCCCCAUGUAUUAGGUUUAAGCAUUAAGUGAAGCAAAAAAGUCUCUAAAUUAUAGAGAGUGAAAAAUAAGAGUUGUAGUUGAGGAGUAUUGUUGAAGAAAUAAAAUAGUGUUUUAUUUUCAAAAUUCUCCAAUAGUUUGAUCGAUCCAAUUUAACUAGAUUGCUAAAUGAAAACAAGAUCUGUGAUGACUGAUUUAUAUUGCGCGCAUUGAUUGGAUUUGAAGUUGUGCUACUUGAGCGGGCCAUUUUGGUUCUGAUACCAUGAAAGAAAUGUAAAAUGAAAGUGUUUGGCUGCUAAGAAAAUUAGAGAAAACUCUAUAGAAUAGCAAGUUUGCAUUUCUUUUCAAUUUUCUCAGCAACUGUAAUGAUUGCAACAUCAUAUGUGUGUGUGUGUGUAUAAUCAUGAUUCUAUUGUAACUAAUUAACAAAAAACUACUGUUAAAGCUAACUAAUUUCCAUCACAGCACACAAUGCACAUGUAACAAACUUUAACUAGCUAAGUUGAGUUGUCACUGUGCUCUGCUCCCUUGUUUAGUUUCUGCUUCUCAUUCCUCUGCUUUUCCUUCUUCUUUUCUACACAAUGAGCUACUUUAACAAAAUUAAAAUUAUGGCCACGAUGUUAGUAAAUUGGAAAGGUAACUAUAUCGAGAAAUUCAACAUUAUUUUCUUUGUUAAACUAGCUGAUAUGAAUAUGAAAAGAAAUUUUAAUUCAACUUUUGAAGCCUUUUUGUCUCGACCAUUUUAAUAUCUUUAUCAAAAGUUACAUUUAAUGACCCAAAAAGGGGUAUUGAAAAGCCAAUCCUAAAAUAUUUAGACUUUCCAUUCUCUCUCUGCCAUAACUUUUGGGGAGAUAAGUGUCCGGUAAAAGUACGUAACUCUUUCUUCUACAGUGCUUUUUUCUCUAAAAAAGGUGCUUGAAUGAAAGUUGCUUUAAGCCAUCAUGGCUUAACUUUCGUCACCCCAAGAUUGGGUGCUUUUUCUUUUCUUUUUUGAUUCUCGCCUCCUUUUAGCCUUUAUUUCUUUUCUUUUAAAUCUUCUUUUAUGUCUACCAUCUAGAAACCACAAGUGUCAAGCAAAUCGGUAGAAGGCAAUUCUAGUUGAGCAACUUUAAAGUUGGCUUAUCUCUAAUCUUCGGAAUGAAUACAGAGGAACUAAUCAGAAAAUGUCAAGCAAUCGCGUUAAAAGAGAAAGAAGAGGAUGUCGUAACUUUUAUGGGAAGGAUGAAGAUAAAAGGGGAGAAAACUGCUGCAAAUAGUUUGGUGGGAAAAAUCCUUCACACACGAGGGGUCAACAAGGAAGGGUUAAAGACAACUAUGCAACUAGCUUGGAGAACGGUCAAAGAAAUCAAGGUAGAAAGCAUGGGUGAUAAUGUCUUUCUAUUCAGGUUUGACUCAGAGGAGAAGAAAAAAAGAAUCCUGAUGGGAGGGCCAUGGCACUUCGAUCAUGCACUUAUAGUAUUAUCAGAGCCAAAUGUUGUGGGUAAUAUAAAGGAACAAACAUUCAUGUUCACAUCAUUUUGGGUUCAGAUCCACAAUAUACCCAUCAUGUGUAUGAACAAGGAUGUUGUCACAGAGGUUGGGAAAAAGAUUGGCAAGGUAGAGGAAAUUGACACGGAUCAGGCAGGGGAGUGCAUUGGCCAGUUUGCUCGAGUUAGAAUCUACACAACCUUUGAAGAAGGUAGUUUUUGUGAAAGUAGAUGGGACCAAAAUUCCAAUGCCGGUUCUAUAUGAAAAAUUACCAGAUUUUUGCUUUUACUGUGCUCACAUCGGCCACCAAUACAAGGAGUGUUUGAAGUACAAGGGUCAAUCUAAAGAUGAGCUUCCUUAUGGAGGUUGGAUGAGAGCAAUGACACAAUCAGAAAGAAUAAAACUAAAUCAAACGAGGGAGAAAGGCUUUCAAGAACAAGUCAAUACCAAAAAUAGUAAUGCAGUAGUCAAUGUCCCAAAACCAACUCAGAACCAACUGAAUCCGAUUAAAUCUCAAAAACUACAGUCAAGCACCAUGGUAACUGAGAAGGAGAAUAGAGGAGCACCAGGAGCCACAAAUCAAAAGCUUGACAUUGCAAACGAAUCGAUCCAGCUGGCUAAGGACCCAAAUGGAAAGUUACCAGCAGAAAGUCAAAUCAUGGGUAACGUAUCCAGUAAGGUGCAGAGUAAGGAAAAUGGCAGUGAUAGCAGCACUAGAACCAAGAGCCCUCAUGCGGGAAGUGCAAACUGGCGGGAAAAAAUCAUGAAAAAAAUAGCUCAAAUAUUUUAGAAGAGGACCAGUCAACGUCAGACGGAAAAGGAGUGGACAAGGGACCAAACAAAGUCAAACCUCGGCCCAAAACCAAAAAGUGGAAAAAGCAAGCAAGAUCUUCAGGAGGUGAAAGUGGAAACGCAUUUGGGCAGAUAGGAACAAAAAGACCAAAUAGUGAGCUGACAUGGCCUAGCCCGGAUAGUAAACGCAUUAAAACUUUCAGCCCUUUGAAACCACACAGGAGGAACUUCCUCAACUCUCCCAAAGCAAAGCUUCAGCUGAAGUUAAUUGAUACAGAGUCUGAUGCAGUGGUGGGAUUGGAACAUAUGGAGGAGGACAUAUCGGCGGGAGCUGGGAGCCAGCCCCGCUGGCAAUCAUUAAGGUCCUAAGCUGGAACGUUCGAGGUCUGGGGAAGCCUCAAACGCGCCAAGCCAUAAAGAAAGUUCUCCACCUGCAUAAGCCAGAGAUCUUUUUUUGCUGCGAAACUAAAAUGCUGGCUAAGCAGGUUUCUGUAGAAGGCAGAAAUUUUAACUUCGAGUAUUGUUUUGCGGUGGACAGAGAUGGAAUGGGAGGAGGUCUAGCUUUGUUUUGGAAUGGCAAAGACAAUGUUGAAAUAAAGUCAUUUAGUAAGCAUCUCAUCGACGCCUUGGUUCACAAUGACAGUGGAAAAGUGUGGAGGUGCAUAGGGGUAUAUGGUCACCCUAAAACUUCUCAGAGACACCACACCUGGACACUUUUGAAGAGGCUGGUAGGUAUCUUCUCUCUUCCUUGGUGUUGUUUUGGAGAUUUUAAUGAAGUCUUGUAUUUGCAUGAGAAAUUGGGGGGGAGGGAUAGAAACCCGAACUUGGUAGCAAGCUUUAGGGAAGCAGUUGAGGCAUGUAAUUUGAUGGAUGUUGGCUAUAGUGGAUACAAGUAUACAUGGUCAAAUAGGAAAUACAAUUCCCAAUUCAUUGAGGAAAGGCUUGAUUGAGUCCUUUGUAGCAAAAAUUGGACUGACACUUUUCAAGACUCAACAGUGGCAAACUUAGUGAAUUGGGUUUCCGAUCAUUGCCCAAUUCUAAUGAAGGUGAAAGAAAGAGACAAGGCCAUGAAGUACGAAAAGAAAUCUUUUAGCCAAAAUUACUACGAAGACUUGUGGAGUUCAUACGAAGAUUGCAAAAACAUUGUCAACAAAGAAUGGGCUGUGUUUGGAGGGAGAUUGAAGGCAAAUCCAGUGCAGCAAUUCCAAAAGAUAGCUAAAAGCUCUCUAGCCAACCUCAAAAUUUGGAGCAACUGAGAAUUCAAAGAUCGGGAAAAGCAGUAAAAUAAAAGAAAUCUUUUAGCCAAAAUUACUACGAAGACUUGUGGAGUUCAUACGAAGAUUGCAAAAACAUUGUCAACAAAGAAUGGGCUGUGUUUGGAGGGAGAUUGAAGGCAAAUCCAGUGCAGCAAUUCCAAAAGAUAGCUAAAAGCUCUCUAGCCAACCUCAAAAUUUGGAGCAAUUGAGAAUUCAAAGAUCGGGAAAAGCAGUAAAAUAAGCUAAUCGAGCAGCUUAAGGUGGCUAAACAAAGCUCGGGCCAUGCAAUGGAUGGGAUGCAAAUUAGGAAGCUGAAGAAUUAAAUUAGCAACAAGCUAAUGGAUGAGGAGAUAUAUUGUAAACAAAUAUCAAGGGCAGAAUGGCUAAAAGAGGGAGACAGAAACACUAAAUAUUUUCAUGUGAAGGCUUCAGCUUGUAGAAGGAAAAAUAAAAUUUGGGGAGUUGAAGACAAUAAUGGUCAGUGGCUGAAGGACCAGAAAGAUAUCGACUGGGAGUUUAGUGAAUUUUUUCAAGACCUUUUCACAACUUCCAAUCCAAGCUAUGUUCCGAUUCAAGAAGCCGUAUCAGGGCUGCAGCCAAAGGUAAAUUCAUAGAUGAACCAUCAGCUAGAUGAGCCAUUCACAGCAGAUGAGAUAGUGGAAGCACUGGCUCAGAUGGGUCCAACAAAAGCCCCAGGUCCAGAUGGCUUGCCGGCUGUUUUUUUCCAAAAAUAUUGGCUAUUAACCAGAGAGGGAGUUAUAGCUACCUGCUUGCAUAUUCUCAAUGACAAAGGUAACUUAGAUUCUCUUAAUCAUACUCACAUUGCCCUAGUGCCUAAGGUUGCCAAGCCCCGAAAAGUUACUGAAUUUCGACCAAUAAGCUUAUGCAACGUUGUGUACAGAAUCAUAGCCAAGGCAAUAGCUAAUAGAUUGAAACCAACCUUAUCCCAAAUCAUCUCCCCGACUCAUAGUGCAUUUAUUCCCAAUAGACUCAUUACAGACAAUGUGAUUAUUGGUUAUAAAUACCUCCACAAGAUUAGGCAUAGCAAAAGCAAAAGAAAUGGUUUGGUGGCUUUUAAGCUAGACAUAAGCAAGGCCUACGAUAGAGUAUAAUGGUAUUUCCUAGAGCAAACUAUGAGAAAGCUAGGGUUUUCUAAUCAGUGGAUAAGCUUAAUAAUAAGGUGUAUUACCAUUGUUUCUUACUCAGUUAUCAUCAAUGGAGUACCAAGAGGCUUGAUUUUUUCCUAAAAGAGGGCUUAGGCAAGGGUGUCCACUCUCCCCAUACAUGUUCUUUUUAUGUGCUGAAGUCUUUUCCAGCUUGCUGUCCCAGGCAAAAAGAAAUCAGCAAAUCAAGGGCUUGAGAUUCGUCAAAGAUGUUACUAUCUCCCAUCUCCUCUUUGCGGAUGAUAGUCUAAUUUUCACAAGAGAUGCAGUGGCUGAUUGCAAGCAUCUAAAAGGUCUCUUUGAUACUUAUACAAAGGCAUCGAGGCAGAUUUUUAACUUUGAAAAGUCAUCUAUGUUUUUCAGUGGUAAAAUUUUCGAGGGGCAGAUUUCAGCGAUCAAGAGUAUUUUCAAGCUCAAGGUGGUUCCCAAAUAUGAAAGAUACUUAGGCCUCCCAUCCAUGAUAGGCAGUAAGAAGAUGAGUUUUUUCAAGGAUGUCAAAUUAAAGGUCUUAAGCAAAAUUUCCAGCUGGCACCAUAAAAUGUUCUCUAGUGGAGGAAAGGAAGUUCUUAUUAAAGCAGUCGCUUAAGCCAUCCCAGCAUAUGCCAUGAGCGUUUUCAAGCUUCCGAAGGGACUAUGUGAAGACAUCCAAAGAGCUAUUGCCAAAUUUUGGUGGGGUUCGAAUCAAGAUAAGCAAGCAAUCCACUGGCCGAGAUGGGAAAAAUUAAGUUGUGCAAAGAGUAGAGAGGGGCUGGGAUUCAAAUACUUCACAAGCAUCAAUCAAGCAAUGGUGGCUAAACAAGGUUGGAGGCUGCUUCAGUUUCCGGAUUCCCUGGUAUCCAAGGUACUGCAGGCCAAAUACUAUAGGAACUCCUCAUUUUUUAAUGCAAAGGAAGGUUCUAAUCCUUCUUUUAUCUGGAAAAGCAUCCUUUGGGGUAGGCAAGUCAUAAAAAAAGGGGCAAGAUGGUGAAUUGGGAAUGGGAGCAAUAUUCAGGUGUACAAAGACAGCUGGCUGCCAAGAUUGGAUACUUUCAAGCCGAUAUCCCCUCCAACUUUGCCCAUGGAAACAACAGUGGCCGAGUUGAUAACUGAGGACAGUAAUUGGAAUGAAGCUAAGCUAAAGCACCACUUUUUCGAGAAGGACACAGAAGCAAUACUCAAAAUUUCCCUCCCCCCAAGCCAUAAAGAGGAUUCCUUACUAUGGCAUUUUGACAAAAGAGGGGAAUACACUGUAAAAAGUGGCUACCAGGUGGCUCUCAAGCUUAAAUUUCCAAAUCAGGCCAGCAGCUCAGCCAGCCCCUCCCAAAGAUGGAAUAAUCUGUGGUCUCUCAACUUGCCUGAAAAAAUCAAAAUCUUCAUGUGGAGAGCAUCUAAAAACCUUCUUCCAACAGCUGAAAACUUGUGGAAAAGAAAAUGUCUCCAAGAUCCAAUUUGCAAAAGAUGCUGCAGGAGUGUAGAAACCAUUUACCAUGCUCUGAUGGAGUGUAAAGCAACGAAGAAGAUCUGGACUCAUGCUUCUCUCCAGCCCAAUUUUCAGAAUACUCCAAACCAGAGCAUCUUCAACAUCAUCCAAGAUAUGCCCUCCAAUAUGCGGAAAUCUGAUUUCGAGCUUUUGAUCUCACUAUGUUGGGUGGCUUGGUAUGCUCGAAACAAGUUUAUUUUCGAAGGAAAGAAGAUACACUCAAGGCUCUCCGCAGCUAAAGCUGAAGCAGUGAUUGAUGCCUUUCAAAGAGCUAGGAAGCGUGGAGCCACUCAUAUCCAUAACAGCAGCAAAGUACCUCAGCAUAAGUGGAAGCCCCCUCCGAAGAAUGUUUCAAAGUUAACGUGGAUGCAGCCAUAAACAGCAAGAGUUAAAUGGCAGGCUUAGGAGCUGUAAUAAGAGACUCAUAAAACAAUUUUGUAGCUGCAGGCAUCAUGCAAACUGGUAUGAAGGAGCAUGUCAGCUAUGCAGAAGCUGAAGCCAUUGAAUGGGGAUUAAAGCUAGCUAAAAGGGCAGCUCUUUCCACUUUGAUCAUAGAGUCAGAUUGUCUAGAAGUGGUUGAGUUAGUAAACAACACAAAGAGCAACAAAACAGGACUAUGGUGGAUAAUUGAAGAGAUCCAGAACCAAAAAAGAGAAUUUUGUAAUGUAUUUGUCAAUCAUAUCCCUAGAACCUGUAAUGUUUGUGCUCAUUCCCUAGCAAAAUUUGAUGUGGGAGCAAAUACGCCUGCUAUCUGGUUAGACCAUAUUCUAGCAAAGGUGAUGAAUGUUCUGGUCUAGUGUUGUUUUAAAUGGAAAGGUUUACUUUCUUCUAUAAAAAAAGUGUCCGGUAAACAAGUUGGUCAUUCGCUGUUAGGAUCCAAAGAAACAUUGAUUAGUCAAUUAAUUUGUCCAUUAAUCUUGAUCACAAAUAUUUAUUCUAUUUUUUGGGAUGACUUUCCAUGGACUUUAACUGUAGUUGGAAAGAGAGUGGCAAUCACAAUACAAAGAUUGAUUUGAUACAACUGCAUGCAACAAGAGACCAUUUUUUCGGGUAAUUUUAACAUAGUACUGAUUUAUGCAAUGGCAACAAAAAUAACUAUAAACCACAUGAUUUUAUAGUGUUAAGUCAAAAAUUAAUAUUAUUUUUCAAUUAAAAUUAUAACACCGCAUGGUUAUACUAUUGUUUUAUCGUUAUUGUGUCACCGUUAGAGCUCUUUAUCAUUUUCCAUUUGAAUAUCCUAGAUGUCUUUGAAGACUUUUGCCUUAACAACCGGGGAAAAUUCUUCCUUCUUGAUCUCUCAAUUGCUUGUGUAGAUUCUAUAUAAUUGUGGUUCCCAAUUUGCUUGCAUUUUCCAGGGGUGUUAAUUUAUAAGUGUUUGAAAAACUUUUCAUAUUACUAAAUAUGAUCGGGUAUAGUCAAAUUUAGGGGUGGGCAGAAUCGAACCGGACCCAAAAUAUUAUAAGUUCGGUUUGGUUUUUCGGUUCGAUCUGACAUGUUUCUUAAAAAAAAACCUCAAAAAGUCAAAUAUUCCGGUUCAGUAUAAAAGUGAAUGCUCUGUUCAAUUUUUAGAUCAAAAUUUAAAAUCCAAAAACUAAACCAAAAGACCAAAAAAAUAAUUUUUAAAUUUAAAAUGGCCACGUGGCAUUUAGGGAAGACAAAACCGAACUGGUUUGGUUUGGUUUUUUAAACUAAAAAAAUUAAAUGGAUUAAUACCAAAACCAACCCGAAUAGAAAUUCUCAAAUCGAUUAUCUGAAAGUUUUAAACCGAGCCGAACCAAAAUUUUGGUUCAGUUCGGUUUUGCCUAUCCGUAGUCAAAUCUAAUCGCAUCCUAUCAGGUUCGUUGUAAUUAUGUAUAUCAAGCAUAUCGAUCUUCGAUUUUUGGUAUUUACAGUAUCUUUCUCUGAUUUUAUUGAUCCUGUUUUAUGUGUUUCACUAUUUAUUACACGAUUUUGAUAACAUUAAGGGAUCCUGGAUUUCUAGUAUUCAGAAACCACAAAUGGAUUAUUACAAUCCAGAACUUAUCCUAUAUUUGUCACGGUUUUAUUGGGUGGGGAUAAGUUUUUCGUGACAAAUUUGGCACACCAAGUGCACCCUAAAUACAGUAGAAAAAACCAGUGGCAUUCCUCCUAAUAACUCCAAUGAUUUUUCCUGAAAUUAAAACCAUAUCCUUUAGGCUUUAACCCGUACAAAUAAAGUUUUAGUAUCUUACUAAAGAGGCAUAUAAUGACAAACUUAAAGGGUGUGAAAAUACACCAGACUAUUUAGACUAUGGGCACGGAUGUUAUUUUCCUUUCAUUGACUGGCAUGUAUAUAUGUGCGUGUGUCCAAAAAAACCUUGGACAAUUUGUCCAUUAAUCUUGAUUACAAAUAUUUUUUAUUCUAUUUCCUUGGAUUACUUUUCUUACUCUUUUUAUAAAAAAUAAUGAAAAAAGGGAGAAAAAUCUUUUGUGGAAAAACUAUGAGCAUUAUUCUUGAUUGUCUGUCAGCUAUAGUGGAAAAGCCCAAGUGCUUUUAACAUUUUUUGAAUUGUUGCUCUUCAAACGACAAGAAUCUCUAUGGAAAAAAUUUGACCACUUAUCAAAUAGUUUGUUAGCUUUAAAAGCCUAGACAAUUUAACAUGUUAUGAAUUGAACGUUGAAGACUCAACUCGAAUAUUCUUUUGUGACACCAAACUAAAUUAACCGGAUUAGUUUACUCUAAUUUACCGUACCAAAGAAAUUUACCCUACCAGUUAAUUAACCAACAAAUCGUAUAUCGCGUACAAGAACAUGACAUACGGCUCAAACGGUGAUUGAUUUGACUCAACUGCAACAAAGUGAACCAUUUUUUUGGAUAAUUCUAGAGCAAUAAUAUUCAGACUAGCAUGUUAAAAAAAAAUCCUUUUCGGAAGACUCUUCCACCUUAUCGAGGAAAAAUCUUCCCGACUUGACGCAUGCACUUGUUGACCUCGCAAUUGCUUUUGUGUGUGGUUUCUAUAAAUUUUGAGUCCAACAUGCUCGUUUUCUGCACCAUUGUAUGUUUUUCAAACGCUAAGAGUCAUCAAAAGCACUUUUGAAUUUCAAUAAACCUCGGCUUAACUUUAUUUGUUUGAUUGUAUUUUGAUAAUGUCAAUGGGGUCACAAACCCCCAAUGCAGUAGUUCCUUCACUUGUUUUUUCGAUCAUAUAUUUUUGGUUAAGUUUUCUAAUAACUAUUUCUUCUGAAUCUAAUGAAGAAGCUGAUGCUCUUCUCAAAUGGAUAGCCAGCCUUAAAAACCAUAACCGAUCUCUCCUUUCUUCUUGGAUUAACGACGCCACCAAUGUUUCAUCCAAAAUAAGCCCGCGUGCUUGGUCCGGAAUCAGCUGCAAUGAUGCUGGAAGAGUCAUCAACAUCAGCCUCCCAAAUAUAGAAGUAAACGGUACGCUCCAUGAUUUCUCUUUCUCAUCGUUUCCUCAUCUUGCUUAUCUUGAUCUCACCUGGAAUGGAUUCUUUGGUACUAUCCCGCCUCAAAUCAGUAACCUUUCGAAUCUCAGAGGUUGGUCUUCUGAGUCAUCUGGAGGUUCUUAACAUUCAGCUUAACCGAUUAGAUGGCUCAAUUCCACCAGAAGUAGGCCAAUUAAGUUCUAUGGAGGAUAUGUACUUGUACUCUAACUACUUGAACAGUUCAAUCUCUCCUUUAGGAAACUUGAGCUACAUGUCCCGAUUGGUUAUUAAUGAUAAUUCACUUUCUGGUUUCAUUCUCCUGCACAUUGGAAACUUGAAAUUUUUGUCCCAACUAGAUUUGACCAAUAAUAAAUUUAGUGGUCCAAUCCCUCUUUCUUUUGGUAAUUUGAGCAAUUUGAUUUCUUUUACCUCUAUGGAAAUUUACUUUCGGGUUCUAUCCCAUCAAGUUUAGGAAAAUUGAAGUCCCUUUUUGAUUUACAGUUGAAUGUCAUUCAAUUCAUCGGUUAUAUUCCACGUCCCUUUAGUAAUCUAACUAGUUUAUCAACUUUGCGUUUGUCUAAAAACGAGCUUUUUGGUUCUAUUCCAGAUGAAAUAGGAAAGACGAGGUCUCUUAGCGUUCUCGAUUUGAACCAAAAUCAAUUUAAGGGAGUUCUUCCACCAUCUAUUAGCAAUUUGACCAACCUAAAAGAACUAGCCCUCCUUUACAACCACCUAUCCGGUUCCAUUCCUCCCUCCCUUGGGAAUCUCAUAUUAAGAGAGCUAUUAUUGUCUGGAAACCAUUUCACUGGUUAUUUACCCCACAAUAUUUGCCGAGGUGGAGCACUAGAGAUUUUUACUGUUAGUGAAAAGCAUUUUCAAGGAACAAUCCCUACAAGCUUGAGAAAUUGCACCAGCUUAAUCCGAGUACGCCUUAAUGGAAACAAUCUUACUGGAAAUAUAUCAGAAGCUUUGGGUAUUUAUCCUAACCUGACUUUCAUAGAUCUCAGCCGUAAUAAUUUUUACGGUGAAAUCUCAUCUAAUUGGGGGAAAUUCCCAAAAUUAGGCACUCUCAAUGUUCCGAUGAAUAACAUUACUGGAGGUCUACCGUGUGAGAUUGGAAACUCGUCUCAACUGCAAGCAUUUGAUCUUUCAUUGAAUCAUAUAGUUGGGGAGAUUCCAAAGGAACUUGGGAAGUUGAAUUCUCUAACCAAGCUCAUUUUGAGAGGGAAUCAACUGACAGGGCGUCUACCUACAGAAAUCGGCUCACUCACUAAACUUGAAUACCUCGAAUUAUCCGCAAAUAGGUUCAACAAUUCAGUCCCAGAAAGUCUCGGCAACUUGCUGAAAUUGCACUACUUGGUCUUGAGCAACAACCAGUUUGUCCAAGAAUUGCCAAAGGAAUUGGAGAAACUGGUUCAACUUUCAGAAUUAGAUUUGAGUCACAACUUUCUUGGAGGAGAACUACCAUCUCAGAUCUGCAAUAUGAAAAGCUUGGAGAAGUUGAACCUCUCCCACAACAACCUGUCUGGAUCAAUUCCAAGUUGCUUUGAAGGAAUGCACGGGUUGUCAUUCAUUGACAUAUCCUACAAUGAAUUACAGGGUCCAAUUCGUAAUAGCACAACAUUUCAAGGAGCUUCAGUGGAAGCAUUAAAGGGGAACAAAGAAUUGUGUGGAAGUGCAAAAGGAUUGCAACCAUGUAAACCUCUAAGGCAACAAAAAAGUAACUCUGGCGCCAAAUGGUUUGCAAUAGGGUUCCCUCUUUUAGGAGCACUAUUUGUUUCAAUUGCGUUGAUAUCAAUUUUCUUCGUUCUUCAAAAGAAGAAGUCAGACUCAGGAGAUCGACAGAGCAACAACCAAAUCCCUCAGGGAUUGCUUUCUAUAUUAAAUUUCGAAGGCAAAAUUUUGUACGAUGAAAUUGUUAAAGCAACUAAUGAUUUUGAUGCAAAAUAUUGCAUUGGAAACGGUGGACAUGCAAGUGUUUACAGAGCUGAGCUACCAUCUGGGGAAGUCGUAGCUGUUAAGAAAUUUCACUCACCACUCCCAUGUGAUCAAACUGUUGAUCAAAAAGAGUUCUUGACCGAAGUUGAGGCGUUGACAGAGACUCGACAUCGAAACAUUGUGAAGUUUUUUGGAUUUUGCUCACAUGCCCGCCACUCUUUUUUGGUCUAUGAAUUUCUUGAAAGGGGUAGCUUGGCGGCGAUCUUGAACACUGAUGCAACAGCACAAGAACUGGGUUUGGAGCCAGAGAAUGAAUGUGAUCAAAGGCGUAGCUGAUGCCUUGUCUUACUUGCACCAUGACUGCUUUCCUCCGAUCGUCCAUCGAGACAUAUCAAGUAAGAACUUGUUGCUGGAUUUGGAAUAUGAAGCUCAUGUUGCAGACUUUGGAAUUGCUAAGUUUCUGAAGCCAGACUCGUCCAACUGGACUGAAUUUGCAGGCACAUGCGGAUACGUUGCACCGGGUAUUUAGUAUUUGUUUGUUCCCAUUUUGAGGAAUAUUUUUAUGUUAUGUGUGCGGUAACAGAACAAUGCAACUAGAUAUUGUUGAAAAAAUUAUCUUAGAAACAGAGUAAAAGCUUACUAGUUUAUGCACAUUUAUCUUAGAAACAGAGUAAACAUUUUCCUUUUUUUUGUUGUUUGGUCCUUGACCUUGCAGAGCUUGCUUACACAAUGAAGAUCACGGAGAAAUGUGACGUGUACAGUUUUGGAUUUUUAGUGUUGGAAGUGAUCAAAGGGAAGCAUCCAAGAGAUUUUCUUUCUUCGAUUUCAUCUUCAUCUCUCAACACGGAUAUAGAACUUGAUGAAAUAUUGGACCCGCGUCUUCCAGCUCCAUCACGCAGUGCUCAAGAAAAACUGAUAUCAAUCAUGGAGGUUGCUUUUUCAUGCUUAAAUGAAAGUCCGGAGUCCAGACCAACUAUGAAGAUAGUCAGUCAACAAUUACGGAUUUAACCUCAGCUGCCUUGACUGAGUCUUCAUUUUCUAAGUUUACUUCUAAUUUGCCCGGUUUAUUUUUCUCGCGUACUCUAGUUUGUUUGAUCUAGUUUUCAAGAAUCAGGAGUGGUUAUUAUGUCAUCCAAAUAUACUUGGUAUAUGGCGUACUCUUUGAUUUAUAAAUAAAGUUUGCUCAUUCAAAGAACGUAUGGCCCAGUGGUGAGCACAUUUGAGGGCAUGUGGAGUCUGUACAAUGAACACCAAGAUUAGUAAGACAGUUUGUAAUGUCAAGGCCGAUUCCCGCGGUGGUAUCUAGGGCAUGAUAAAUUUGUAAAGGAAUAUGUUCAUGGACCAUUCAUUUCUUGGCUUGAUAAAUUUGAUAUUCUGGUACCAAUUUUUUUUUUUUUUUUGUGAAUUUGAAAUAACUUUUCAUCAGGGUAAUAACUUUGAUCUUUUUUUUGUUAUAUAAAGAGAUUUUUGGAAUGAUUGUCUUAGCUUUGAGUAAAUGAUUUGAAGGAACUUAUAGCUGUCACCAAUUCUCUUGAAUGCUCAAUGGCUUAUACUUAGAAGAAUUUCCAAUGUUGUGAUAAUAACUUUGAUGGUUAAAAUUUGAUUGUGAAUCUCUGUUGAAUGACUUAAUUUACAAUUGAUUCUUAUACCGAACCUUUACCAAGUUAAUCUUUUUUCCGGAUGUUUAAUUUUGUUAUGUCAAAGUUAGUUGAAGUGCUAUGUCAAAAUUGGUUGAUGUCCUAUAUUUGAUCAAUGUGGAUGGCGGAUCAAAAUUAAAGAAUUCUUGAACGAAGUUGAGGGCUUGACAGAGAUACGACAUCAGAGCACAGUAAAACAUGACUGACAUUCAAUUUUAGUUUAUGAAUUUCUUGAAAGGGAUAGCUUGGCCAUAAUCUUGAGCAAUAAUGCAGCCACAGAAGAGUUAAGUGGGCUGGAGUCAGAGAAUGAAUAGGAUAAAAGGCGCUGCCGAUGCCUUGUAAUAUUCCUUUGUUGCCAUUUUGAGGAAUAUGAUCAUACGCAUUGAUCUUUCAAAAGAGAGUAAACAUGAGUUUAGCACUAAAUCGACGGCCAAGAUUUGUCUAACAUGAGUUUCACGUGGAUCCCAAUGAACUGUUGAUCAUAGAUUCUGUAUCCAACGUAAUAUUAUGGUUUAAAAAUAAAAUAAAUCAUGUUAAGACUUUGUAUCGAUACUUUAUGCAUUGACAAUCGUUUUCUUUGUGCUCAGGCUUUUUAUCCUUGUCGGUAAAGAAAGUUUAGUGGUCCAUCUAUUAGUUUACAUCUGCUUAGUCUCAUUGGAAUGAAACGAAGCUAAUUGUUUCCUUGUUUUAAAAAAUAAAUAACAAUAAUUUCUUGAAUAUUUAUGAACAAACAAAAGAAUUAUGAAUAAAAGUUUGUUUGUUAUGGAGGUAUUGUAAUUUUACAGUUAUUGUAAAAAAUAAAAAUUGUAAUAAUGAAGUAAAAAUUGAUGAUAUGUAGUAAAUAUAAUUUUUAAAUAAUAAUUUUGAUAAAAAUACUAAAAAAUAUUAUAAAAUUUUCAUUAUUAAAGUCUGAAUCAAAUUAUCUUAUUUUCUAAACCACAAUAAAGUGAUGAUAAAACCAUAAAUUUUUGUAUAAAUUUAUUUUUUAUAAAAUGAAAUGACAUAAAUUUAUUAGUUACAAAAUAAUAAAAAUAAAUUAUAUGAGAUAAAAUAUAUUUAAUUCAAUUAAUUUAAUUAUGUCACAUUAAUUUGUAUAAAAUAAUUUUUUACAAAAAUUAUAAUUCUAUCAUUACUUUUAUAAAUAGAAAACACCGAUAUAUACAGUAUGCUAUUUGUGUGAGUGUUCUAUCCAAUUUUUCCGCCCAAUAUGAUUACUCUUUUACUCUUAAAAUAAAAACCAAUGGACCCCACAGACGAGACUUCAUGUGGGCCCACUAAUCUUGAUGAUCACAUCUUUUUCAUGUAGAAAAGCACCCCCGUUUUACAACGACACCGUCUUUUCUUUGUCUUUCCUUUCGUUUUGGUCAGCCUCCACCAACACUUGAGCGCAUCUCCAAUGUAACACUAAAUUUAACAUUAAUUCACUUUUUAUAUUAUUUUUAGUGUAAAAUACUUCUCCAAUAUAAUACUAAAAUGGUGUAAUAAAUAGUAUUGUAUCAAAUAUGGUGCAAUACUAUUCAUUUGCACCAUAUUUGGUGUUAGGAAAAAAAAGUCUCAAAUAUCCUUAUUACUUUAUCUUAUUUGCAUAUAUGUCCUAUUUUAUAUAAUAUUUUAAGUUAUUAUUAUUAUUUUUGUUAUUUUUUUAAUUUCAUUUUUUAAUUUUUGAAUAUUAUACUAAUAUUUUAAAUAAAAAAUAUUCAACACAAAAAUUUAUAAUAAAAAUAAAAUGCCAAUAACAUUAAUUACUAGAUUACAUAUUACAAAAUUAAAAAUACAUAGUUAAAUUAAGGAUAAAGAGGCUCACAUUGCACUCCGAAAUGCACUAAUUGAUCAUUUAUGGGAUGAAUUUAGUAAUUCGAAUAACUAAAGUAUUACUGUUAUUGUAUUGUAUUUUUCUAUUUUAUUGUUGUUAUUACUGUUAAUGUAAUGUUUAAUUUUCAUAAUGUACUAAUUUAGUUAAUUAAAUACAAAUUUAAUAAUUUUCUAUAUUUUUUUGUUAAUCGAUAUAAAAUUACUUAUUACUUAAUUAUCUAUAUUAAUAGUAAUAUUUAUUGCGUUAAUUGAAUUAAUUCUUGAGAAUUAAAGGAAUAAAAAGAAGAAUAUUCUUUUUGGUGUAAAUGGGUUGGAGAUGAAAUAGUAAUUUGGUGUGAAAAAUGUACAUUUUUUGUGUUGGUGUUACACUAAAAUGGUGUUAUGCAUUUGAGAUGGCUUUAAUAGCACCCCCCCCCCCCCCAUUUUCUCUUACUCCUAUCGUAGUCCACGUGUCAAACGUCGAUUGCUUCUCCGGUUCUAAUCUAAAUUUCGUCAAAUGCAUGUACGAGAUGGGCCCCACGUCUACGGAGACCACACCGUCUAUUCUCUUUGUAAAGAGAAAAUAAAACUAUUUUUAAAAAAAUCUCUAAUUCACUCUAUCUUCUCGUGAUAAAUUGAAUUGAAUUAUUUUAUUUUACAAAAAAUAAAAAAUCAAAAGAAUUCAACUAAAUAUUCCUUUUGAGAAAUUAUAAAAAAAAAAUUAUAUAGUAGUGAACGUCCUUGCAUGAACAUGACCUUAAUUCAAUUUAUUAAACAUGCGUAUAUGUUAGUUGUUACUUUAAUAUACUUUUUCAUAUAGUUUACAAAAUGUAGCGCUAAUUUUCUUUUGGAUACCAAAUAGUGGAUGUGUAUGUUAGGUUGAAGUAAAUAUAAUAUAAUAAACUAACACUAUGUUGUAUCGUAUUUGGUAAAAUAUUUAGUGUUGAUAUCUUAUGACAAUAUUAUUCAAUCUUCAAUGAAGAUUAUUCAUUGUAUUAAACAAUUUUUAUGUAAUAUAUGUUAGAUUAAUUUUAUAUUAAUCUAAUAUAUUUGGGGCCACACAUGAAAUAAAUAAAAUGUGUGUGCUAUUAUUUAAUAAGCCAAGAAUUAAGUAAUCUAUUUGAAGUUAAUUAAAUGGUUAAGGGUAUAAUUAUUGUGGAUUAAAUGCAUAGAUACCAGAAUUUAAUCAUCACUUUAAUAAGGGGCUGAAGUGAUAAUUAUCAUAAAUAACGUGACUGUUGGGUUUUCUAAAAGAAAACCAAUAGUCACAAUAUUUAUAUAAAAGGGGUUAUGGUCCCCAAUCUCUCUAAUCAUCCUUUGUAAUUCUCUAAUCCUCUCAAAGAAAAUUCUAAACUCAAGAGAAAAGAGAAGAUUAGAAGUCCAUCUCCUACACUCAAGAACCACUACGAAUCACCAUGGAUUCAGGUACGCUUCCGCUUUCGUAUUUCUCAGUAAUUUAAUCUGGAUGUUAUGAAGAUUUAGAGGAUAACAAGUGGUAUCAGAGCCCCAUCCAUGAUUAGAUUGUUGAGUUAUUAGUUUCUGAUUAAUGGUUAUAGUCGAAUCAAACUGUUAAUGCAUGAUUCGGUUAUUGGGAAUAAUUAAUAUCAUAUUUGCUUGGAAUUUUGUAAUUGUUAUGAUUAGCCACGAUUUCGGUUUUAUUAAUUAUUUCGGUUCUGGUUUUAUAAUCUUUAAAUUAAAAUGAUUUAUAACAUAAGUUUAUUAUUGGUCUAACAUUGAUGAUAUGCUAAUUAAAGCAGGAAGUCACCAAAGUGAUAUCUCUUGUGUAGAUUAGUUUAUUUGAAGUGUUAGAUGUUUGUGUUCGUGUAAUUCCUGCGGAUGUUAGUCGACCCAAAGGAAGUUUAAUAUUUGGCCUAAUUACACACACACUUGUGAUGGUAAAUUUGUGACAAUUAUUAAGAUAACUUAAUGUGAGUAAUGUACUAAUCCAAAGAUUGGUUCAUUACUUGACAUAAUUUAUUGUCAAAAUUUGAUCAUUGCAACAAGAGUACCAUUUACAGUUAGUAUUAUAGUCCAAAGACUUGUUACUAAUGUUGUGCUAGGUAUCUUGAAAUGUUAUAAUUUAUUUUUUUAAAUUUUUAAAGAUUAUUAAUUGAGUUGUUUAAUGUGAGCAUUAUUUAUAUUUUAUUUUUGUUUUCUAUUCAGCUUUUCUGUCUGCUACUUCUAUAUCUACAAAUAUGAAUAGUGUCCCGGUUCUGAAUGGGGCUAAUUUUAAGGACUGGAAAGAGAAUAUGAUGAUUCUCUUAGGCUGCAUGGAUCUAGACUUAUCAUUCAGACACCCUAAGCCGAACGAACUCACUGAUGAUAGUACAUCUGAGGAUGUGUUGUACUAUGAGAAGUGGGAUCGAUCUAACAGGAUCAGUCUUAUGAUCAUGAAGCGUGGUGUUCCAGAAGUAUUUAGUUUAUCUAUCAAUUCUAAUGUUGUUGGAAUCGGUUUGCUUAAUGCUUAUGACAAUCUAUAUUUGCUAGACACUGUUUCAAGUUAUAAUGAAAACCUGCAUUUUAGUUCCACAGGUACAAAGCAUAAAUUAGAGAAAGAAAAUUCGGCCUCAUUAUGGCACAAACGCUUAGGUCACAUCUCUAAAGCUAGACUUGAGCGAUUAGUGUCUGAUGAGAUUUUAGGAUCUCUUGAUUUUACAGACCUUGAUGUUUGUAUUGAGUGUAUCAAGGGAAAACAAACCAAAAGUAAGAAAUUAGGAGCCUACAGAACAUCAGACGUCUUAGAAUUAAUUCAUACAGAUAUCUGUGGACCAUUCCCCACAGCUACUUGGAAUGGUCAACAAUAUUUCAUUACAUUCAUAGACGACUAUUCAAGAUAUGGCUAUAUAUUCCUGAUUCAUGAAAAAUCACAGUCUUUGGAUGUGUUCAAAACGUUUAAAGCCGAAGUUGAGUUACAACUCAACAAAAGGAUUAAAAAUGUCAGGUCUGACCGUGGUGGUGAAUACUACGGUAGCUAUGAUGGUUCAGGAGAACAGCGUCCAGGACCGUUUGCUAAAUACCUAGAGGAAUGUGGAAUUGUCCCUCAAUAUACUAUGCUAGGAUCGCCUAGUAUGAAUGGUGUAUCUGAGAGACGAAACCGCACUCUUAAGGAUAUGGUAAGUAGUAUGAUAAGUCAUUAUACUUUACCAGAAUCACUCUGGGGUGAAGCAUUAAAAACAGCAGCUUAUAUCCUAAAUCGAGUGCCAACUAAAGCGGCUGCUAAAACACCUUAUGAGCUUUGGACGGGUCGAAAGCCUAGUCUAAACCAUUUACAUAUUUGGGGAUGUCCAGCUGAAGCAAGGCCUUAUAGACCUCAUGAAAGGAAAUUGGAUUCCAAAACUGUAAGCAGCUACUUUGUUGGCUAUGCAGAGUGAUCAAGGAGUUUUAAGUUUUAUGAUCCCAGUACAAGGUCAAUUUUUUAGACGGGAACUGCUACAUUCUUUGAGGAUAUUGAGUUUGGGGGGAGAAAUCCAGUAAGAAACAUUGUCUUUGAAGAGGAAGAGGGAUCCACUGUUGCUUUUGACAAUGUACAAGUUUUAAUACCUGUCAUUGAUCAUGAAGUAAAUUCGGAUCCUCAACCAUCUGACAAUGUUGUUCAACCCCAGUAUCAACAUGAGAUGAUUAUUCCUGAGGAACACACUCAACAACCUCAAGAGCAUGUGCAAUUAAGACGAUCCACAAGAGAAAGGAGAAAUGCUAUUCCGGAUGAUUGUAUAGUAUUUCUUCAGGAACAUGAGGAUGAAACUAGAGUUAUGGAAGUUGAUCCAAUCAACUUUCAUCAAGCCAUGCAAAGCUCCAAUUCUCAUAAAUGGAUCGAAGCCAUGAAUGAAGAGUACAAGUCAAUGCAAGACAAUAAAGUUUGGGAACUUAUCUCAUUACCUUCUGGUACGAAACCCAUUGGUUGUAAAUGGAUAUUUAAAACCAAAAAGGAUUCAAAUGGUAAUGUGGAAAUGUAUAAAGCACGUCUUGUAGCUAAAGGCUUUACUCAAAAGGAAGGAAUUGACUAUAAAGAUACUUUCUCUCCGGUUUCUACGAAAUACUCUUUUAGGACAAUUAUGGCACUUGUUGCACAUUUUGAUCUUGAGUUACAUCAGAUGGAUGUUAAGACUGCUUUCCUUAAUGGUGACAUUGAGGAAACAAUUUAUAUGGUACAACCAGAAAACUUUGUGUUGGAAGACCCAAAGAAAAUGGUUUGUAAGCUAACCAAAUCCAUUUAUGGUCUUAAACAAGCUUCUCGUCAGUGGUACUCUAAGUUUCAUCAAAUAAUUAUCUCAUAUGGCUUUGAGGCAAAUGUUAUUGAUGAAUGUGUGUAUCACAAGUUCAAUGGGAGUAAACAUAUAUUCCUGGUUUUAUAUGCUGAUGACAUAUUGCUUGCCACAAAUGAUAUAGGCAUACUGCACGACACUAAGAGUUUUCUAUCAAAACAUUUUGAGAUGAAAGAUCUUGGUGAUGCCUCCUUUGUUUUAGGAAUCGAGAUACAUCGGGAUCGUUCUCGGGGUAUUCUAGGAUUGUCACAAAGGAACUAUAUCAAUAAAGUUUUAAAGAGGUUUGGCAUGCAAAACAGUAAACCAGGUGACACCCCUAUCGCCAAAGGAGAUAAAUUCAGCCUUAGUCAAUGCCCUAAGACUAAUCUUGAAAUCUAGGAAAUGGAAAAGAUUCCUUACUCUUUAGCUAUAGGGAGUCUUAUGUAUGCUCAAGUAUGUACGCGUCUAGAUAUUGCGUUUAUAGUUGGCAUGUUGGGCAGAUAUUUGAACAAUCCCGGGAUAGAUCAUUGGAAAGCAGUCAAACGGGUUAUGAGAUACUUACAGAGAAUAAAGGAGUACAUGCUCACAUAUAGGAGGUCGGAUCAGUUAGAGAUCAUUGGGUAUUCCGACUCUGAUUUUGCUGGAUGCCAAGACAGCAGAAUAUCCACAUCAGGCUAUAUUUACCUGUUGGCUGGUGGAGCAAUUUCUUGGAGAUCUGCCAAGCAGACACUUGUAGCUUCAUCGACUAUGGCAGCAGAGUUUGUAGCAUGUUAUGAGGCAUCCAAUCAAGGAAUAUGGCUGCGUAAUUUUCUCACUAGGCUGCACAUUCUAGAGGGUGUAGAAAGACCGCUCAAGAUAUUUUGUGAUAAUAAGUCAGCAGUUUUAUAUUCCAACAACAACAGGAGCUCUACAAAGUCAAAACACAUUGACAUUAAGUUCCUUGUUGUGAAGGAAAGAGUGCAGAGUGGACAAAUAUCUAUAGAGCACAUUGGGACAAACUCCAUGAUAGCGGAUCCACUCAUUAAAGGAUUACCACCUAAAGUCUUUCAUGAGCACACUGCUCGUAUGGGUGUGAUUUUCCUUGAGGAUAUUCAGAUUUAGUGGGAGUUUGUAUAAUUACUAAGUGUGACUUUUAGAUUUUGAUUAUAUUAUUCGGAUUAUUUUCUGUAGAAAUAAAGUAUUUCGAUUCCUUACACUCUGUUGGACUAACUUAAAUUUAGAUCUCAAUAAAGUAAAUUAGGACCAGUUGGGAAUAGACAUGUUUAGAUCACAUUGCAUGUAAUUUUCAUGCUAUGCAUCCACAAUUGAUCUAUGUCAUGCAACUAUAUUGAUAUAUGUGACCAUGGAUGGUUGAGUUACAAUUAAUGUAAAAAAGGCCGCUAUGAUCCUAUACCGAUGUGGUUAUUGAACUAGAUUAUUCAGAUAUACCCUAAGGACAUAAUAGCAAUUUUAUGAGCUCAUUAGGUUAGACACAUUUCAGUUUUCAUUUGUGGCCCAGUGGGAGAUUGUUAGAUUAAUUUUAUAUUAAUCUAAUAUAUUUGGGGCCACACAUGAAAUAAAUAAAAUGUGUGUGCUAUUAUUUAAUAAGCCAAGAAUUAAGUGAUCUAUUUGAAGUUAAUUAAAUGGUUAAGGGUAUAAUUAUUGUGGAUUAAAUGCAUAGAUACCAGAAUUUAAUCAUCACUUUAAUAAGGGGCUGAAGUGAUAAUUAUCAUAAAUAACGUGGCUGUUGGCUUUUCUAAAAGAAAACCAAUAGUCAUGAUAUUUAUAUAAAAGGGGUUAUGGUCCCCAAUCUCUCUAAUCAUCCUUUGUAAUUCUCUAAUCCUCUCAAAGAGAAUUCUAACCUCAAGAGAAAAGAGAAGAUUGGAAGUUCAUCUCCUACACUCAAGAACCACUACGAAUCACCAUGGAUUCAGGUACGCUUCGCUUUCUUAUUUCUCAGUAAUUUAAUCUGGAUGUUAUGAAGAUUUAGAGGAUAACAAUAUAGACCAUAUCUUUCGUUAUAACACAAGCUGUCAAGAAAGAUCGUCUCAACUUUGUAUUAGGAAUUUAUACUUAUAAGUACAUAGUAUAAUCUAAACCUUACACAUUAAAAUUGUUCCAUAACUUAGCUAUCAAUAAAAGAUUCAAUAAUUUUUUAAUUCUUGAUUGUAAAUAUUAGUAUAUUAUAACACAAUAUUAAAUUUACCUUAAUUUAUUAUUGUCACAUUAUAAAUCUAAAGAAUUAAUUUGACUUGGUAAAAUUAUUAAGCCAAAGAAAGGUAUAUCAAAUUUGGCUAGAAUUGUCUAUCAAAGUAAUAUAUACAUAUUUUGUAUAGAUACAAUAUGUAGCAAAAAAAAUGAAGAUUUUUGUAACAAACUUGACAAAUAUCUAAACUGCAAUGUGUCGGGAAAAUAUGCUCUUUAAAAGCGUAUGUGUUUAUUUAAUUGUAAUAAAUAAUUUUUCUGAUUAAUAAAAUAAAUGAAGUAUUUUGUUCAAGUAUCUCAGUUGCAUUAAUAUUUUGAGUAAAGUCCAUUUAAUCAUAUUAUAUGUAUUUAUGUGAUUACCAUGUGGAUUCACAGAAGACAUAAAUACAAGUUAUCUUAUGAUUAAAUACAUUUAGUUUGCAGUUGAUAAAUAAAGUUGGGCACUUAAUUUAGGUAUAGACUGUAAUAAAUUUAUUGAAUGAUUUGUCUUAAUCAUGUAUGAAUUUAUUGAUAUAGUACGACUACAUUGAACAGGAUCAUAUAUGAGAUUUAAUUAACUUUGUAAUAACUGUCAAACUUAUUAAAUCUCAUAGGUAUUGAUUUUACUGUAAUCUUAAUCUUGAGUUAGUUAUAAUUUCAUGAUUGUAAUUGUGAUUCCAUUUGAGUUACCAAUGGGCACGACACACACUUGUAGUUAAGAUUACCAAAUAUCUUGGUGGGAGCAAUUAUGAGUAUUGAAGUUAUAAAUUAACAAUAUAGAAUUUGUACAACACAUCUCUUGAUGAGUUUUCGGCACUUGAUCAUAGAAUUCUAUAGUCAGAGUAUGUCAACAUAUUUAGUAUGUUAAAAAUGAUCAUUAUAGAAAACCAAUAUGUAUCAAGGAACAAUAUGUAAUUAAAUUGAUUGGACAGUUGAAAUAUCGAUUUAAUUAAUGAUGUAGUACAAAAGAUUAUGCAGUAAAGAAAUCAAUGUGGCAUGGGUCGAAUUAUUAUUCGAAAACACUAUCCUAGAUAGCAUACAAUUAUGAAAGUCAAUUCUAAUCUUUUAGUGGAGUAGAUUUGGAAUUAAAUAAUUGGACUAGUUUAAUUACAAGCUUAAUUAUUAUAGCCACUAUUGUAUGUACCCAUAUGACCCCCAAGUUAACUCAUUUAAUUGACGGCGCCGCUACUGGAUUAAUAAGUAAGAUAACUAGCUAUUUGAGUUAAAAAUCUAAAUAUAUUAUUUAGUGGGAGGCUCCAUUUAAUAUGUUUGUGUGUAAGGGGCCUUGUGUUAUUUUACAAAGUAGGCCCCUAUAACAAGAACAAGUAACGCCACUUUUGAUUUUAUUUUUUUAAUUUAAAUCAAAUUUAAUUUAAUAGAAUUAAAAAUUAUAUAAAUAUAGAGCUAGGGUUUCCACCAAAUAGAGAUAUAAAAGAGCUUGUUUUCCCUAAAAGGAGAAAAAAGCCACAAUAUACAAAUUAGAGAAAAAAUUUAUUUUUUCUCUAAUUUUGAGAGAAAUAUUUUCUCUUGCUAGUUGCUUGUGCUCACACAUCAAGUACAUAUCAAACUUGAGUCAUAACCUAGAAGAUUAUUGGUGACGGAUCGUGAUCUAACAAGAUUGGUGGUGAUGUAUCGUGAUCUAAUAUGAGUGGUGGUGACGGAUUGUGAUCUGCGAGCCUAGAUUCCUUCAGUGAAAAAGCAAAGUCAAAUUGUCAAGGUAUGAUUUUCUAGAUUACGGAUUCUUAUAUAUUGUAUGAGAUUGGUCUUAAAAGUUUUUUUUUAAAAGAAAAACUGAAUUUUAACCUACACAAUGUUAAUGGUAAAUAAUUAAUCUCUUUUAGAAUCCAUUUGCUUUUAGGCUAAAUCAAAAGAAAGACGAUAAAUUCACGGAACUUCUGCCUAAAAAAUGCAAAUUAUGCAAAUGAUCAAAAUUGGAUAAAUAACAAACAAACAAGGUCCCGUGCAUUUAAUGAGAACUUGAGCUUUUGCUUUAUCUCAGCAACAAGUUCAGUUUUAUGUGAUUUAAGAUUAAACUAUUAAUCAAACUACAAAAUUAUAUCAUUUAAGAAAUUAUAUUUAAGUAUUUACUUAAUUAAAGAUAGUUCGAGUGACUUGGAUUUAAAAUUUUAGAUAAGACUCUAAUUUAUCUCUCAUAUGAGAAUGUUAAUUCACUAAUCACCAUGUGGCAUUUUCUUUAAGGAUUUUGAGUUGUUUCAUGGCUGUGACAGUACAAUUUAAAAAUAACAAAAACAGAAAUAAGUAUAAUGUAAAUAAGACCACAUCUAAGCCGUUCAUUCAUAUAAGAAUAUGGAUUCAACUAUCACGUGGAUGAAAUAAAUUAAAAAAGAAAUAGAUUUGUUAACAUUGCAGCUACAAGUUGACUUUAAAUUUCUAAUGAAUCCAUCGUAGUAUUCUUUGUUUGCUUAUACUCAUAUAAAAAUUUAAGUUAUUAGAUACAAUAAUGUUAGAGAAGCCAACAUUUAAGUCACAACUUAAGUCCCAGUUAUAUGUGUCUCUCAUCUGUUGGAUGGUGGAUUCUAUAGUUAGUAAAAUUACUUAACUGCCAUCCAAUAAAUGAAUGCCACAUUAGUUGGGACUUAAAUUGAGACUUAAAUGUUGGGAUACCUAUCAUUAUUAUACUAGAUAAGGAUCUAACGUUAACAUUUGAAGUUAAUAAUUUCAUAAAAUUGUGUAAAUUCGAUAACAAAAACAUUAAAUUCAAAUAAAAGUAAAAUUUACAUGUUGUUCAGCUGAUGUUUGUUGAAGGCAGCAAAAAUAAAUACCUACUCUAAAUAAAUUGUUUAUAGUGAUUGAGCAGGGUCGUGUCCACAGAGAUCGGUAAUUAUUUAAAUCCUUUUAAAAUGUAAAAUGCAAAAUGGGGGAAUUGUUGACAAUAAUAAGAAUCAAAUUAAAAUAACAAGAAUGCAAAUUAAAAUUGUAAUUCAAAUUAGGGAAAGCUCUGGUUGAAGGAAUUAACUCAGCUUGAUUCGACUACUGAUCAUUGAUUCAAAUAUAAACCAUUACUACUUAUGAAUAGACCGGUUAUAGCUACUGAGACCCUCUAAUAGCCAAUCUCUCCUCAACUAUUCGAUAACCAAGGUACGACCGUUGGUUAUUUUUUUAAUCAAUAGACAACCCUAGAUACGAUCAUAGGAUUUAAUCAAUUGACAGCCCGAAAAACCAGAGAGACCCAAAUCCUAAUCAACAAACGCAUACGAUGGUUCAUUUAAAUUAGAUUGUUUAUUCUCAUAACACAACGCACUACUAUGCUAUUUGUCACAAACAUUAAAAUCUUCAUACGAUGAAUCCUUUAAUUGACAAUAGAUUAAGUUGAUAAUUAAAUAGUGGCCAAUUAUAUAAUUAACAAACAUAAUCAUGACAAUAAUUCAGAGAAUAAACAAAUAUCCAAAAAGUAAUAAAAUAAUUAAAGCAUAAGAAAGAUCUCACAGUAGUGAUGAAUCAAAGCUUCAUUAACCUUCAACCAGAAUAAUAAGUUUAGUUCUUCAUAGAGAGAAGAGAAAAAUUUAGAUCUAGGAUUUCUUUCAUUUUAAAAAUCUCUCCCUUUUGACAAUAGAUUCCCCCUUUUUAUUCUCUCUCUCUCUCCUCUCCUCUAGAGUUCUUUUUGAAAUAAAAUACUAAUAUCUAAAAUAUUAAAUUCGUAAUUACAAAAAUAACCAAAAAUACAAAACACGUUCAACUAAAAACUACAGGUUCGUAGUUGAUAGCACGCACCCACACCUUAUCAACAAAGUUCUUCUGAAUCUCAUAAUUUCUCCAAGAAAACAAUCAUCCUCAAACAUCAUCUUGUAACUCAAUUUUAGCACCAAUCAAUAGAAUUGCACCUACAAAAAUAAAACACAAGUAAAUCACUAUUAUUAAGUGCAAAACAUCGAUAUUAAGGGAAGUAAACAAUGUAAAACUAAUGUAUAAAUUGCACUCUAACAUCAGCUAAUCUUGGAAUGACAUAGUACUCGUACAGAGUUAUAGUGUUCAAUACUCACACGCCUCUUCUUUUCCCUACAUUCCUUCAUAUCAUGUCUAACUCAAUUCAUUUUUUUUUUAACAUCAAUAAUAAUUUUAUCGAAAUAAAUCAAUCAAAAAGGUAACUCCAAAUAUCUCCUUCACUUUUGCUUCUUCUUAUUUUGAUCGACUCUGACGAUAUACUAAAGCCUCCGUUUUUUUCAGUCAACGUUUUGCUUCAAGAUUUCGUUUUACCUUCCUUGAAUAAUUUGCUUUAAAAUUCUUUUCUUUGCUGAAAAUUGAUACAAUUUUCACUUCAUUUUUUCUUAAUCUUGUACCCAGAUUUGUUGUUUUUGUUUAGAGUUUUUUUUUUUAAUUUUUACGCGGAACUUAGCAUGACUUUGGUUACACCUUUAUAUUAUUUUAACAUAUAAUUAGUCUAAUUUAUUGAUUUAUUGAUUUAUUAUUCUUUUAAAUAUGGUUUGAGACUUUUGAUGUUUCAUUAUUUAUUGAUCACGUGUGAUACAAUGGCUUUAAUAAAUAUGGCAUUGUAAAGUUUAAAGCUUUUUGCAUGUGAAUGACUGGCUAUGUGUUACACUUUCAUUGAUGUUUAGAUUCAUGUAUGUGGUGGUCUCUGAUCUGGGUAAACGUUAGAUUUUAAUUAUAUGGCAUGGUUCAUUUGACCAAAUUUUGUUGUUACUUGAACUGAUGAACACGAAUUUCGAAGUGAAUAUGUGUGUUUGAUUGAUUGGAUUUUGUAAGAAUCCUUUGUAGAAGUAUUUUAAUCCCACAAGGAGUAUGAUUCGACAAAUAGCUUUGGGAAUGGUAUUGGUUCUAUUCUUGUUUGUUUAUUUAUAUAAGAACUUUGAUGCAACCUUCAUAUCCACUAUUGGAUUAGUUUAUAGCAUAUCCACUAUUGAUUGUUGCAUUUAGAUGUUUUUUGUUACUUCCAUUCUUGAUGCCUAUCACAUGUCGGUUAAAGAGCAAACAUUGUACAUGUUCUGGACUGAUCAGUGCUCUUUUGAUUAGUGCUCUUUCGUAUAACGGGUUCGUGAAUGAUGUUCACUUUCUUAUUUGAUUUUGUUUAUGCAGUUCCUGUAGCAAGAUUGUGUAAUUUGAUUAUUCGGAUACUUCCAUAGCUGAUGGCUUCGCCAGAUAUUGAGUCUCUCUAGCUUUGUGUCGCUAGUGAAUCCUUCUGUGGGUCGUUUAACAUACGCGUGGAGGAGGGGAAUACAGCCGUUAUUUUUCAUGGUCAUUUAACAAUAUGAUUCACCUAUAACUGUAGUAUACCAAGCCACCCAUAUGGACUAAAAUGAUGAAUCCAAAACUUGAGCAUGUUAAACGACAGCGUUUAGAAUGUGUUUAAUAUACUCAGGAGUCACCAGCAUGACAUGUGAUUUACUUAAGUUCAAAACGGCAGGAGCUUAUGACGUUUUGGUCAAAGGCUUAAGUGAAACAUGUGGAGUGCACGUGGGGUGGAGAAUCAAAUUAGUUAAGAAGCUGUUAGUCUAGGUGGCGGAAAUCUAUGUUUUCUGGGUUCGUUAUCAGCUAUUAUAUAAGCUGGUUAAAGGAGCAGUUUCAACAAUGAUUUGAGAGCGUGAUAGAGAGAGUUAUGAUAGAGAGAAAGCUUAGUCUUGAUCCUAGUAGUUAGCUCUUGUAUUACUCUGUAAAGAUUACGUGAAUCAUCAAUAAAGCUUGCUCUGUGGGCUUCUCCCGUGGAUGUAGAUUGUGCUCAUUUGCACAAUCGAACCACGUAAAUCUCUUUCUUUCUUUUGCAUUUGAUUAACUUCUAAUUCUUGUUCUGGUGUGUUCUGAUUACAACCAUUUUGUUAAAGGUUUUGUUAACUCUAAAAGCUUGAUUGUUUAGGAUCUUAGCAUCUCGUUGGUCUUAUUUGUGAUCUUAGGUAGUGCUUGGGCUGCUAAUCGAUUUCUAUAGCACCCAAUUCACUACACUUAGUAUCAGAGCUGAGUUAAAAAAUCAAGAUCCUUGUAUGGCUACUCCAAAGAUCGACCUUGAGAAGUUUAACGGAAAAAAUGACUUCAACAUGUGGAAAGUAAAAAUGGAGGCCUUGCUGGUUACUCAAGGCCUUGGUGAUGCAAUCCACCCAGUGACCAAGAAGGAGGGUAAAGAGUUCUCCACAUCAAAGACUCCUGAGCAGGUUGCUAAGAUUGAUAGAAAGGCUAGAGGCACAAUAAUCUUGAGUCUUGCAGAUUCUGUAAUAAGGGAGGUAGCAAAAGAACCCAUUGUAUCUGAGUUAUGGGCCAAACUAGAGAGUAUCUACAUGAAAAAAUCCUUGGCAAAUAGGUUAUACAUAAAGAAGAGGAUGUUCACAUUAAAAAUGAUGGAGGGCACAUCAUUAGAUGAUCAUCUUGAUGAGUUUAACAAAGUGUGUAACACUUUGGAAACUAUUGAUGCAGCCCUUGAUGAUGAAGAUAAAGCCCUUUUGUUGAUAAGCCCCCUGCCAAAGUCAUAUGGGAAUUUUGUUGAUGCCUUGAUAUAUGGUAGGCAGACACUAUCUCUAGAUGAAGUAAAAUCAGCACUCAACACAAAGGAACUGCAAGGUAAACAAGAUCAUCUGGGAGUUGAAUCAAGGCAAGGUUUAACAACAAAAGCCAAAUCAGAUGGCAAGAAAAAGAAGCAAGGCAAGUAUAAAGAAAAGCCAAAGGAUCUGAAGUGUUUCUUGUGUCACAAAGAAGGACACUUGAAGAAAGAUUGUCCAGAAAAGAUGCUUAAGAAGAAAGGGCAGAAUGGAGGUAAAGCAGUAGCUAAAGAAGAAGGCUAUGAAUCUGCUGGAGUGUGCAUUGCCAUAGACAGCAAAGAUAAAGGUAAAUGGGUUCUUGACUUAGGGUGCACUUUUCAUAUGAGCCCAUAUAAGAGUUACUUUACAGAUUAUUAUGAGUAUAAUGGUGGUAGAGUAAUGAUGGGGAAUAAUGUUGUGUGUAAAAUCAUGAGAAUUGGCAAUGUUAAUCUUAAACUACAUGAAAGAACCAUUAGGGAGCUGAAACAAGUCACGUAUGUGCCUGAGUUGAAAAGAAAUCUGAUUUCUUCAGGAAUGCUUGAUCAGAUGGGGUGUAGUGUUAGGAUUGAAUCAGGAGAGCUGAUGAUUGUCAAGAAUUCACAGGUUGUUAUGAAAUGUAGCAGGAAGAAUAGGGUGUUCAUCUUAGAUGGGGAUGUAGUUAUUGGUGAAGCCAGAAUGUCAGUAGCUGAUACCAUUGAUAAAAUCAAAAUAUGGCACCUAAGAUUAGGGCACAUAGAUGAAAGGGGCCUUAAAGAGCUUGAAAAACAAGGUGUAUUAGGGAAUGAUAAGCUUGGAAACCUAGACUUCUGUGAAGAUUGUGUACUAAGCAAAGCAACAAGGUCUAGCUUCAAAAGAUCAGUACAUAAGUCCACGGAUAAGCUGGAGUAUGUUCAUUCAGAUUUGUGGGGGCCUGGUCAGCAGAUAUCUCUAGGGGAUAAUAGUUAUUUCCUAUCAUUCAUUGAUGAUUACUGUUGAGUGUUAGAAAAUGCAUAUUUAUAAAGGAGAAAACCGUCAUUUUACAUUUCAAGUCUUACUAACAACCCUUACUUUUAUGUAUUUAACCUUCUUGUGAUUUAAUUACAUGUGUUUUAUUUUAAUUAAGUAUUUUAUGUAUUUUAGGGGCAUUAUAGUCAUUUCACAAUAAAGGAGAGAUCAGACGGUAAAACGGACAUCACUUUUGAACUCAGGACGGUCAAAAACCUUAGGAGGAGCAUAAAAGGAAAAAUGGCACUAUUCACAUGUACGGUACUAUUCACGUAUACGGUACUGUCUAUGUUACUGUUCACGACACUAUUCACAUAGACGGAUCGAUGACGUGGCAUUGACCGAUGAUGUGGCAUUGACUGAUGAGGUGUCACGAUCCUGUUGGGCUAAAAUUCUUAUGUAUUGUUGAUGGUGACGUGGCAGCAUAUCAGUGGACGAAAAAUCUCGUGUACGGUGCAUGCAUCACACAGGAUUAUUUUCAACCAAACCGCGUUACUGUUCAUCCGGGUCAAACCGCGUUACUGUUCAAAGUCGGGUCAAACCGUGUUACUGUUCAUCCGCGUGGUCAAACCGUGGACUGUUGACUGAUGACGUGGCGCAAUCCUGAGCGUCCAAACUGCUUUUAAUCCGAUGGCCAUGAUUUACUCCAUGUAUCUAUAAAAAGGGGGCCUCCCCCCCCUAAUUUGAUAUCUCUGAAUCCAUUUUUGGGAUCCAUUUUCUGUAAUUCCUUCUCCAUCUUGUAUUUUCUUUGUAUUUUAAUAAAUUUCCAUUUUGCCCCUAGUUCAAUUAUGAGUAGCUAAUUUCCUUUCAAGCUUGGGUUGAAGGUGAAGUCUCAACAUGUGUCAUGGGCUUUAUUUGGUAAAUUUAUUUUCUUUUUCCCUCUAGUUUUUGUGGAUGAUUUGACUUAUCGUCGACAAAUAAUACUGAUCUUGUCUAGAUACCGCCUUGGUUACACCGGCUCUCUAGUAUAAGGUUAUUAUUAUUUGGCACGAUAAGUCCUUAGCACCAUAUUGAUUAGAGCAUGGUUCAUGAGGUGUGGAUUCCCCCCUCAUGAUUUAAUUGGUAUUAAUAAGGAAUAUUUAGCCCAUGAUGCAUGUUGAUACGGAUCCAGAUACCCAAGUACGUCAAUUUAAUCGAUUUUCUCUAUAAUUUAUUCUCGCCAUUGCAAUUCCAAUUUUAGCAUAUUUUAAAUCACUUCCACCACAAAUCCAAUCACCCAUUUACAAAAUUAAUUCUACACACAAUUAAAAUCCACCUCCUCGUGGGAUCGACACUCGUCACCAUUAAUCUAUACUACAAUAGAUUCGUGCGCUUGCGAGUACAUUAAAAUUUGCACAACAAGUUUUUGGCGCCGUUGCCGGGGAGGUAAGUAAUUUUAAUUCAUAGAAUUAAUUUUUGUGAAUAAUUUAUUUUAAAUUGUUUUCUUGUAUUUUUUAUUAAAAAAAAAAAGUGAAUCCGCAUUUAGAGGUUAGUAUUUCUUUUCUUUUUCUCUUCUUUAAAAUUCUGUAAUUUAAUUUUCAAUUUAUUUUUUCUUUGUAAUUUUUGUUUAUUUUAUUAAUUUAAUUUUUAGUUAAUUUAUUUCACGUAUUUGUUUUUGUGUAUUUUUAUAGAAAGGUUGUAAUAGCGCAAUAAGGUUAGUAUCGUAAUUUUUCCCUCUUCUUUAUUUUUAUUUGUUUUGUUCCCAUCUUUAUUUUUAUUUUAUUUGUUUUGCAUGCAUGGUCGUAGGUCAUUAUUACCUAAUCUUGAACCUAUAGACAUUGAACUAGAAAAAACACUUCGCACACAAAAGCACAUUAAAAAUAAAUUUGGAAUGGAUUUACAAGCACCACAGGAGAGGCCAUUUAAGGACUAUUUUAGUCCCUUAGCUAAUUUGAGCACAUCAUGUAUAAGAUACCCAAAUGUAGCUGCUAGGAGUUUUAAAUUAAAACCUAGUGUGCUAAAUUGUCUCCCCACAUUUUAUGGCCUAGAAAAUGAGGACCCAUAUAAUCAUUUGAAUGAUUUUCAUGCUAUUUGUCAAACAUUUAAAUAUCAGAAUUUUUCAGAUGAUGAUGUAAAACUUAGACUAUUCCCAUUUUCUUUAAAGGAUAGAGCUCGUUCAUGGUUAAAUACGUUGCCUGCUAAUAGCAUUUCAUCAUGGGAACAAAUGGUAACUAAAUUUUUGAAUAAAUAUUUCCCAGUGCAUAAAACCAAUGCUAUUCGCAGGGAAAUUUCAGAGUUUACACAAAGAGAUGACGAGCAAUUUUUCGAAACGUGGGAGCGAUUCAAUGGGCUACUCUUGAAGUGUCCACAUCAUGGGUACGAAAAAUGGCACCAAUGCCAAUACUUUUUGGAGGGAUUAUUGCCGAAUGUGCAAGAAUGGCUAAUGGCAACAAGUGGAGGAGAGCUAAUGUCAAAAAGCGCAACAGAGAUUUGGGAAUUCUUCCAGCGACAAGCGGAUAAUUCUCAACAACGGAGUCGAUCACUCAGGAAUACUAGAAGAAUUAAGGGAGUAAAUGAGGUUCAAAUUGGCGAGUCAACUUCGGGAAUCAAAGAAGUCAAGGAGAUGGUUGAAGGUCUCGCUCGACAAAUAGCAUCGUUAUCGACUGUUAAAUCAACAGAACCACAUGACCAUGACUCAUACUCUGAUCAAGCCAAUGCCAUAGGUGUAAUGAGAAAACCAUCGAAUUACAACCCAUACUCCAACACAUAUAACCCUGGAUGAAGAGACCACCCCAAUUUUUCAUGGUCUCAAGGAUUCCAACAGAAUGGACCAGCAGCUCCAGCUCCAGCUCCACAAAUUCCUCAAGUUCCUCAAGCCUCUCAGCCCCCAUUUAGACCAUUCAAUCAGAACCAGAACUACUCUCAACCCAGAUCAUGGGAGGAUUCAUUCCAGAAUUUCAAGAAUGCUACUCACUCUACGAUUGAGCAACAGAACCGCACCAUUGAUGGACUACGAAAUGAAUUGAGAGCGGGCUUUAACUCACAAGCCCAAUUAGUUUCAAGCCUCGAGAAGGUGGUGGGACAACUUGCUUCUUCAGUUCAGACCUUGGCAAUGACUGUUGAGAAAGGAAAAUUUCCAAGUCAACCAGUGCCUAAUCCUAAAGGAGUACAUGAAGCAAGUACCAGUUCACCACAACAGCAUGGAGAGGUCAAAGCAAUCAUGACCUUAUGAAAAGGAAAAGAAGUCGACAAUAAAGUGGAGAUGCCGGUGACAAAAGAAAAUCAAAUUGUACCUGUGAAUGCUGAGGACUCACCACCGGAGGAGAGAGAAGAAACCAACCCACGAGAAUAUAUUCCGAAAGCUCCAUUUCCUCAAAGGUUAGUUAAAGGAAAAAAGGGAAAAUCCACAGGUGAGAUUCUCGAAAUCUUCAAACAGGUAAGUGUUAACAUCCCUUUACUUGAUGCUAUUAAACAAAUUCCAUCUUAUGCCAAGUUUCUUAAAGACCUUUGUACUAAAAAGAGAAAUAUGCAUGUUCAAAAGAAGGCAUUUUUAACAGAAAACGUUAGUUCUAUACUCCAACAUAAAAUUCCUUUAAAAUGCAAAGACCCAGGCUCCCCCACUAUCUCAUGUAGUAUAGGGAACCACACAAUUGAGAAUGCUUUGUUGGAUUUAGGAGCUAGUGUAAAUCUAUUGCCUUACUCAGUAUUUUUGAAACUUGGACUGGGAGAAUUACACCCAACUCCAGUGGUGUUACAGCUUGCAGAUCGGUCCACGAAAAUACCUCGUGGUAUUGUGGAGGACGUGCUUAUUCAGGUAGACAAGUUUUAUUUUCCUGUUGAUUUCAUUGUAAUUGACACUCAACCAAUACAUGACUCAAGGAAGCACAUCCCCAUUAUUCUAGGCCGACCUUUCUUGGCAACUGCAGAUGCUCAUAUUCAAUGUAGGAUCGGAAAUAUGCAAUUGUCCUUCGGCAACAUGACUAUGGAGCUAAAUAUUUUCAACAUUGCCAAACAACCUCACAGUGCAGAUGAUGGAAUUGUUGAUGUGGAUUUAAUAGAAACAAUAGUCGAUAAUACUUUUAUUUCAAACCUUAGUGAUGACCCUUUACAGACAUGCUUAACUCACUUUGGUUUGGAUUUUGAUAUUGACAGAUCAGUCAAUGAGGUCAAUGCUCUACUUGACUCAGCACCAUCCAUGGACACUAAUAAAUGGAAGUCAAGAGUUGAACAACUAGCACCAUCAGAAAAGAAACUCAUCCCAUCAUUAGAAUCACCACCAAAACUCGAGCUCAAACCAUUACCCAACACUUUGGAAUAUGCGUUUUUGGGAGAAGAAAGCACUCUGCCGGUAAUCAUCUCAUCAUCCCUCAAUGACGAACAAAAAGGUAAGUUGUUGGAUGUUUUAAAAGAGCACAAAGGAGCAUUAGGAUGGACCAUAGCGGACAUAAAAGGUAUAAACCCAGUAGACUGCAUGAUUACAUUCACCUUGAUGAAAAUGUUAAAUCUACUAGGGAAAUGCAACGUCGGUUAAAUCCUAAUAUGAAAGAAGUUGUUAGAACUGAAGUCCUUAAGCUAUUAGAUGCAGGUAUCAUUUACCCAAUUUCUGAUAGUUCAUGGGUCAGUCCUGUACAAGUCGUCCCUAAAAAGUCAGGAGUCACAGUAGUUACCAAUACUGAUAAUGAAUUGAUACCAACUAGAGUAACUACAGGAUGGCGUGUAUGCAUUGAUUAUAGAAAGUUGAAUUCUGUCACACGUAAAGACCAUUUUCCUUUACCAUUUAUUGAUCAAAUGCUUGAUAGAUUAGCAGGCCAUGAAUUUUAUUGCUUUCUAGAUGGCUACUCAGGAUAUAAUCAGAUUCCCAUAGCACCAAAAGAUCAAGAGAAGACCACUUUCACUUGCCCUUUUGGCACAUUUGCAUAUAGGAGAAUGCCAUUUGGAUUAUGUAAUGCACCUGCUACAUUUCAACGAUGCAUGUUGAGCAUUUUUUCUGAUAUGGUUGAACGAUUCCUUGAAGUCUUUAUGGAUGAUUUUUUUGUCUUUGGUGACUCGUUUGAUCAAUGUUUACAUCAUCUAACGCUAGUUCUGCAGAGAUGUACCGAGAAGAGCUUAGUCUUAAAUUGGGAGAAGUGCCAUUUUAUGGUAAAACAAGGUAUUGUUCUCGGUCACAUCAUUUCGAGUAAAGGUAUUGAGGUUGACAAAGCCAAGGUAGAUCUCAUUUCUAAUCUUCCUCCACCUAAAACAGUCAGAGAAGUAAGAUCUUUCCUUGGGCAUGCUGGUUUCUAUAGACGUUUCAUUAAAGAUUUUAGCAAAGUUUCUAGACCCUUAUGCAAUCUACUUGCUAAGGAUGUAUCUUUUAUCUUUAAUGAUUCAUGUCUAAUGGCGUUUGAAAAAUUAAAGCAGUUGUUGACAUCAUCACCCAUCAUUCAGGCCCCAAACUGGAGCUUACCAUUUGAGCUCAUGUGUGAUGCAUCUGAUUAUGCAGUAGGAGCAGUAUUAGGACAAAGAGUUGAUCGAAUUCCCCACGUUAUUUACUAUGCUAGUAUGACAUUGAAUGAUGCUCAGUUGAAUUAUUCAACUACUGAAAAAGAAAUGCUAGCAAUAGUGUUUGCAUUAGAGAAAUUUCGAUCUUAUCUCAUUGGUUGUAAAAUAAUUAUAUUCACAGAUCAUGCUGCUCUUAAAUAUCUUCUCACAAAGAAAGAUGCAAAAUCUAGACUAAUUCGUUGGGUGUUACUUUUGCAGGAAUUCGACUUGGAAUUCAAGGAUAAGAAAGGCACAGAAAAUGUUGUGGCGGACCAUCUCUCUCGUCUCCAUUUUGACACAAUUACAGAGCCAUUAAUAUUAAAUGAGUCAUUUCCAGAUGAACAAUUAAUGAGUGUGGAAGUAUUACCUUGGUAUGCUGAUAUAAUUAAUUAUCUUGUUACAGGUAAAUUUCCAGAGCAUUGGACCAAGCAAGACAAGGCUAAAUUCUUUGCGGAAAUAAAGAAUUUCUUUUGGGAUGACCCAUAUUUGUUCAAGUAUUGUGCAGACCAAAUUGUUAGACGAUGUGUCCCUGAAAGUGAAAUUCAGAAUAUCCUUUCAUUCUGCCAUGAACAGGCUUGUGGAGGCCAUUUCAGUGCUAAGAAAACAACGACUAAAGUUUUACAAUGUGGUUUUUAUUGGCCAACUAUAUUUCGAGAUGCUUACACUUUCUGUUCUUCAUGUGAUAGGUGUCAACGAAUGGGGAGCAUUACACGAAGGAACAUGAUGCCACUAAAUCCAAUUUUAGUGGUUGAGAUUUUUGACGUAUGGGGUAUCGACUUCAUGGGACCCUUUCCUCCGUCUUUUGGUCAUCAAUACAUAUUGGUUGCUGUUGACUACGUAUCGAAAUGGGUGGAAGCAAUUCCAUGCAGAACCAAUGAUCACAAAGUGGUGAUAGGAUUUUUGAAAAGCAACAUUGUUUCACGCUUUGGAUUCCCUCGAGCGAUAAUCAGUGAUGGUGGUGCCCACUUUUGUAACAAAGCAUUCAAAGCUCUUUUGACAAAGUAUUCAAUCACACACAAAGUGGCGACCCCGUAUCAUCCGCAAACCAGUGGCCAAGUUGAGAUCUCCAAUCGAGAAAUCAAGCACAUAUUAGAAAAAACGGUGAGGCCAGACAGAAAAGAUUGGUCAUUAAGACUUGAUGAUGCAUUAUGGGCAUAUAGAACGGCUUUCAAGACCCCGAUUGGGAUGUCACCCUACAGGCUAGUGUAUGGAAAAGCUUGCCACCUACCUGUGGAACUCGAGCAUCGUGCAUAUUGGGCCAUCAAGAAAUUCAACUUUGACAUGCAGCAAGCCAGCUCAGAAAGAAGAUUACAGCUGGUAGAACUUGAAGAAAUUCGCAAUGAUGCAUACGAAAAUGCCAAGAUUUACAAGCAACGAAUGAAAGUCUUCCAUGAUAAGCAAAUUAUGAGAAAAUCGUUCACUCCAGGUCAGAAAGUGCUUUUAUUCAAUUCUCGCUUGCACCUAUUCCCAAGUAAGUUACGCUCUCGUUGGUCUGGCCCAUUUAUUGUACAUACUGUUUUUCCACAUGGGGCAAUUGAAAUUAAGGACCCAAAGAACGGUGUCACGUUUAAAGUUAAUGGUCAAAGAUUAAAGCCAUAUCUAGAGUACCAACCACAUGGAGAAAACAUCGAAAUAAAUUUGAGUGACCCACCAAAUUUGAAUUGAUUUUUUUUUCUUCUUUUCGUUGAUUUGAUUUUUCUUUAUUUCUUUUUAUUAUUAUUCUUUUGCUAAUUGAAAUUGUUUUUGCAUAAGUGUGUUUAUUUUACCAUUAAGUUUUCUCGUAUCAUUUUUAAUCAUGAGUCUCAUACUUAGACCGUUCCUCCUGAACAUUCUUAAACCACUUCAACGUGUCAAAACUCAUCUCAAAAGGCAGAUUCAAUUUUGUAAAACACAACGCAUUUGGGCUCUACAACCACCAGAGUUAGUAGCCUAUGUUGAGGGUUUAGAACGCCAACUCAGAGACAUUGAGAGAAGUGUUUACGACAUCCAGUUGGAGCUUGAGGUAAAUUCAAUAAGAGGACGAUUUUAAUUUUCUUUGUGUGUUUUAAUUUGUUUUUCUAUUUGUGUGCUUUAGUUUGUUACCCCGGUGAAGUGGCGGAUAACGGUACUCCGUGACAAUCAAGUCAGUUACUUCAGUUUCCCAUAAUAACUGAUAUUCUGAGGCAAAGGUAUGGACAGAAACGAGAUUCUAGCGAAGCUUCACAAGCGAUUCCCUUCACUUCCUCAGAAUGCCCUCCUUACAAUCUAUAAAGCCCGGUCCGAACGCAUGCGAUUGCUCAUGAAGAAUAACAUACCUGCUGACAUCCGUUGGUUAAUCGAGGCUAAAGUACGAUCGGCAGGUGAGUUACCUCCAAAAUUUAUUGCAUUCAUGCCUAGUUGUGGUAAAGGAAAUUAUGCAAGAAAACGACGAGCUCGAAGAAUUUCUGUUGCUUGUCAUAAGUGUGCCAGAAUGAGUUGCGAUAGAAACCCAUGUUCUUUAGGAAUGGUGUCUGAUAACAGGGAAGAUAAGAUUCAAUUCAUUAGGGACGGCUUGAAUAAGGAGUCAUUGGAUGAUAUCCUUUUGUCUCUUGAAACGCAUCCCAGUGGAUAUGUGCAAGGAGCGAUUCUCCAGUUAUGGCCAUUAUUCCAGAAAGAGCAUACACGAUAUAGUCUCGGGAAUCUGACUAUAAACGACCCUGUUUGCCAGUUUAUAAGAAAACUGGAUGGGAAGCCCAUCCUCGACCCAUAGAGGGCGUUCAAGCCGUUUCUGGACGUAAAACCAGAGGAAGAUGUGAGCCACAGUCGCAACUACGUGUAAAUAUCAUUUUACUUUACUGUUAUUUUAUUUCAUUUCACUGUUGUUUUAUUGUUUGCAUUAUUGUCUUUAAUAAUUUUAUUACUGUUUGCUUUUUCCUUUUUACUGUUUCCUUUUUGACUCGCAAGCCAUGUGCUUCACGCGUUAUUUCACACUGACAUGUUACCUCAUUCACAGCUGUGACCCACUAUCACCAAGAUUCUUAAAUGUGAUUUAUCUUUUGUCAAGCACUCACAAAUUGUUUUUGAGAAGUAUCACAAUGGCAGCUACUCCCAAUAGACAAUUCAAGAACAUUUGUGUGCUUUCUGGAUUUACCUAUGGCAAACAUAAAGAGUUCGUGGAGGCAGCCAUAGAUCUUGGUCGAAGCAUAGCAGCGAGAAAAUUACACUUGGUGUAUGGAGGAGGUAACCGAGGGUUAUCAAAAAUGGUCUCAGAAGCAGCUUUUAUCAGAGGAAGUCAAGUGUUAGGCAUCAUCCCAAGAGUCCUAAAACCAUUGGGCAGUUCGUCUGACUUAUCAACUGGAGAAGAGUUAGUCGUCUCAGGUAUGCAAGAAAGAAUAACUGAAAUGCUUAAUCAUGCUGAUGCUUUUAUUUUCCUUCCGGGAGAUCUUGCAACACUAGAGGCACUUAUGACACUAGCAUCUUGGGCCCAUCUGCACAUCCACCAGAAACCUAUCGGUUUGUUAAAUGUCAAUAACUUUUAUGAUGGCUUUAUCGCAUUUCUUAACCAUGCAAUAAAAAAUUAUUUCAUUCCUUCUAAUGUGAAAAAACUCUUUAUUUGUGCUCACACUGCUAAUGAGCUACUUGAUAUGUUACAAGCUUAUAAACAGGAGCCAGACCCCUGGACCUUUGUGUUGGAGCGUCCAAAUAAUGAUGGUAACAGUAGCCGCAGUAAGAAGUACAAAUUAGAUUUAACUCUCCGCCUGUAAAUAUUUUCUUCUGUGUUGCACCACCCAAGUGAUGUCUUCUAAACUCUACUUAUUUCCUUUCAAACAUUGAGGACAAUGUUUCGUUCUGGUUGGGGAGAGGGAAUAGUCGACAAUUGUGGAAUCUUGGUUAAGUUUUUACUAAUUUUUUGUUGUAGAAACUAACUGUUGCUAACUUUUUGUGUUGAAGAUGGCUGAAUAUGGAGUGUAGUUACUCUAGAAACGCAUCUUCAUUGUUCGAAAAAAAAAAAUUCUUUUUCUUUAUUAAGUUUUGAUGUUCAUUUUUCUUCUUCUUUUUAUUUUCUCCUCUAUAAAUAUACAUUUUCCAACUUUUGAGUCGAAGAUGGCUGAAUAUGGAGUGUAGUGCCUCUAGAAACGCAUCUUUAAAAAAAAAAAAAAACCAUUUUCUUUUCCUAUCAUUUUAAGUGUAACUUUUCUAAUUAGUUUUUCUACAUCAUUUUCGCAUUUCUGCAUGCAUAUUUUCCUUUCAUGCUUAGAAUAGGUUGGGGGGUAGAAUGUUGUUUAAAAAAAAAAAAAUUGUGUUAUUUGUUUUAACAUUGGAUGACAUGAUUAAUUUCAAAUUUUAGUAUUUGUAUUAUCUUUGGUCUUAAGUGAUGUUACGCUAUGUUUGCUACUUUACAUGUUGAUGUCGGAGACAAAUAUGAGUUGCUUGAAGGAAUGAACAUGUCAUAAAUAAGUGCCAAGUGAGUUGUUGAGCCUAUUAUUUUCUUGGAGAGUAACCCUUUUGCCCAUUCUCUAUACAGCUUAGUAGUUUAUUAUUUUAUACACGAUCUCUAGAUUUCUUUUAAGUUAACCCUUUAAAAAAAAAUGGUAAAAUUUAAAAAAAAAAGAAAAAAGAAAAAAGAGUGUGUUGCUACAUUUGGAGGCCCAUCUAACUAGUAGAUAUGGAAGAUUAUUUAGAGCCCUAAAAGACGAUGGAAAUGCCAUCUUUGAUCCGUUUGAGCCUUUCUAGCCAUCCCUUUGAUCAAAUAUCCAUAGUUACCCUUUUUGAGCCUUUAAAAAAAAAAAAAAAAAAACAAAAACAUUUUCUUUGUCAACUUAUCAUCUUGACCCACUCCGAUUUGGAGUAUUACCCAAUGUCUUUUAAGUUCCAUCACCUAUUUAUGUUUGAGAAAAUGUAAAUAAUUAUGUUGUUCAGUGAAGUUAUGCCAAAUAAAAGCAAAAAGAAAAAAAAAAAACAAAAGUUGUUGUUUCAAAAGAAUAAAAAUAACAAUAAUAGGUGAAAUCCACCUUUCAUAGUUCAAAAAAAAAAAAAAUUCUGCAUUUUUCUCAAACAUACACUUUGUUUUCCUUAUUUCCUUUCUUUGUUAGCCAUAUCCCUAGCCUACGUUACGUCCUAAUAAAAGUCCUUCUUGAUUUUAGGGAACUAUAGUUUGAAGUAGAAGCUAGUUAUAUGGGCUAAAAAGAUGUAGUGAUGCAUAAUAAUAAAAAAAAAAGAUUAAUAAAGUGGGUUGACUAACAUUUUAUUUGACUUGAGAUCGUAUUAUUUCUAAGCUGAGGGCAUAUUUAUUUCAUCUUGGUGAGAGCAUGUGAUAUCAUUUCUUUAAUAUUUUCUCUCUCAAUUACCAUUCAUUGGAGUGACUAUGUUUAUUGGGUUUUAAUUUCUUUGUGAGAGUGUCACUACUUCCAGUGAGAUUUUGGGGUUUGACAUGUCAUUCUUGAAAGUAGCUAUAACAAAGUCUACUGGGCUAAUUCAUGUGGAUGGUUGAUGUGGGUGUGAUGUUGCUUUAGACUGGAGAUAAUGCUUAUAUUUUUAUUUGAUUGCUAUCAUUAAUCUGAUUGAAUAAACACGAGUGUUUCUAAAAAAAAAAAAAAAAAAUCAUUUUGAAUUUGAAUUUUGUUUUCGCUUUAUUUGCUAGGGACUAGCAAUAAGCUGGUUGGGGAGUGUGUUGAGUGUUAGAAAAUGCAUAUUUAUAAAGGAGAAAACCGUCAUUUUACAUUUCAAGUCUUACUAACAACCCUUACUUUUAUGUAUUUAACCUUCUUGUGAUUUAAUUACAUGUGUUUUAUUUUAAUUAAGUAUUUUAUGUAUUUUAGGGGAAUUAUAGUCAUUUCACAAUAAAGGAGAGAUCAGACGGCAAAACGGACAUCACUUUUGAACUCAGGACGGUCGAAAACCUUAGGAGGAGCAUAAAAGGAAAAAUGGCACUAUUCACAUGUACGGUACUAUUCACGUAUACGGUACUGUCUAUGUUACUGUUCACGACACUGUUCACAUAGACGGAUCGAUGACGUGGCAUUGACCGAUGAUGUGGCAUUGACUGAUGAGGUGUCACGAUCAUGUUGGGCUAAAAUUCUUAUGUACUGUUGAUGGUGACGUGGCAGCAUAUCAGUGGACGAAAAAUCUCGUGUACGGUGCAUGCAUCACACAGGAUUAUUUUCAACCAAACCGCGUUACUGUUCAAACAGUAACACGGUUUGGUUGAAAAUAAUCUCAUGUGUUGCAUGUACCGUACGCGCGUUUUUUGGUCCACUAAUAUGCUGCCAUGUCACCAUCAAUAGUACAUAAGAAUUUUAGUCCAACAGGAUCAUGACACCUCAUCGGUCAAUGCCACGUCAUCGAUCCGUCUAUGUGAUCAGUGUCGUGAAUAGUAACGUAGACACUACCGUAUAUGUGAAUAGUACCGUACAUGUGAACAGUGACAUUUUUCCUUUUAUGCUCCUCCUAAUGUUUUCGACCGUCCUGAGUUCAAAAGUGAUGUCUGUUUUGCCGUCUGAUCCCUCGUUUAUUGUGAAAUGACUAUGAUGCCCCUAAAAUACAUAAAAUACUUAAUUAAAAUAAAACAUACAUAAUUAAAUUACAAAAAGCUUAAAUACAUAAAAGUAAGGGUUGUUAGUAAAACUUGAAAUGUAAAAUGAUGAUUUUCUCCUUUAUAAAUAUACAUUUUCUAACACUCAAGAAUAUGCUUACUAAGGUGGUAUCGACGGCUAAGUUCAAGGUGUGCUUGAGCCUAGCCAGCUUGGGUGACUACUGAUUACUUAAGGAUUUGGAGAAUGAAGCAAAUUAAAGAGUUUUGGCUCAAGGUGGAGAAAUGUGGACUAAAAUGAUGAAUCCAAAACUUGAGCAUGUUAAACAACAGUGUUUAGAAUGUGUUUAAUAUACUCAGGAGUCACGAGCAUGACAUAUGAUUUACUUAAGUUCAAAACGGCAGGAGCUUAUGACGUUUUGGUCAAAGGCUUAAGUGAAACAUUUGGAGUGCACGUGGGGUGAAGAAUCAAAUUAGUUAAGAAGCUGUUAGUCCAGGUGGCGGAAAUCUGUGUUUUCUGGGUUCGUUAUCAGCUGUUAUAUAAGCUGGUUAAAGGAGCAGUUUCAGCAAUGAUCUGAGAGCGUGAUAGAGAGAGUUAUGAUAGAGAGAAAGCUUAGUCUUGAUCCUAAUAGUUAGCUCUUGUAUUACUCUGUAAAGAUUACUUGAAUCAUCAAUAAAGCUUGCUCUGUGGGCUUCUCCCGUGGAUGUAGAUUGUGCUCCUUUGCACAAUCGAACCACGUAAAUCUCUUUCUUUCUUUUGCAUUUGAUUAGCUUCUAAUUCUUGUUCUGGUGUGUUCUGAUUACAGCCAUUUUGUUAAAGGUUUUGUUAACUCUAAAAGCUUGAUUGUUUAGAAUCUUAUCAUCUUGUUGGUCUGAUUUGUGAUAUUGGGCAGUGCUUGGGUUGCUAAUCGAUUUCUACAGCACCCAAUUCACUACAGCCCCCUUUCCCUAUUAAACCCUGUGCGAAAACGAAUAUUCCAAUAGAUUUUUACAUUGUAGUUUUGUUUAUCUAUAAUGUUUUCACCAAAUUUUCAUUAAGAUCCGAUUCGAAUUAAUUGAGUGGUUAUGAUCGGAUCCAACUUCAAUCUAGAUAUAAAUGUGUUAAAUUUAGGUUUAAAUGUGUUUCCUGAGAGAAGCUUGUGCUAAAUUUAGGUUUAACAAUGCUUUGUGAUGUUUGGGGCAAGUGACUUAGAUAAAGUAAUUAGGUGCUGAGUUAAAGUGAUAUACAUAGUGAACUGAGGUGGACAUAUGGAGAAUAAUAGAGAGAGCUUAGCGGAGUUCUGUUGGUGUUAAUUUAGAGAGUUGAUAGGGGGGCUAAUUUGUGCUCAAGAGUAGCUCAAGUAUGCUUGGUGGAUAAUUCAAAUGGUCUCACAAAAUACUUAGCGUAACUGGAGUAGCUUAGAUAAGCUCAUAUGUAAAAUAUAAUCUCAGUCUUAAAACGGAAAAUAUUGUAAAAUAAGGUUAAAUAUAAAGAAUGCACAAUGUUUAGGUGAUUUGGUCUUCAGCCUAUGUCCAUAAGAGCAAGUCGUUACUCAUCCACUGUAUAAAUGAGAGAUUACAUGAAAUUUUAAAAUGAAUAACACAAGCUAUAUAGCGAGAUAUCUAUAUAGAGAUGUUUGGUGUUGAUAAAUAUGAAGAUAGUGAAUAAAGACAUGAAGAGUAAUAAUAUGGUAGAAAAGAUUAUGGGGGUGGAGAAUAGAAAAUGGACUCUCAAAAAUGGAGAAGUUUGUGGUGAUCUAAAAGAUAGAGAUAGAGAAAGGAGAGCCCACAAAUAUGGGAGAAUAAGACAUUUAUAUAGUGGAGGCUAAUGGUAAAGAGUAUUCAUAAAGAAGAGGAAGUUUUUAGGGCUAUAUGUCGCAUCUUGAGGAAAAUGGAUAAGAAUAUUCUUUUUGUACUAGGUUCAUUUUUUAUUAUAAAUAUUUUGAAGUGUCCAACAUUGACUUUCAAUUUCCAAAACCAUCCAAUGUAGGAAAUUCUUCUAAAUGGCGCCUUAAAUUGCUCCAAAUAGCAUGCCCAUUUUGACCUUGUAAUUUUCUACGUGUUCUCCAUUUAUUGCUUCCAAAAUAUCCUUUCCAAAUUUUCCCCAAACAAGAUCCCUAGUUUUUUAUGCCGUGUUGAAAGAAUUAAAGGACAAGAAACUCUAAUGAAAAAUUUGGUCUUGUGGACACGUGGUUGCUUCCAGUUGCUAGUUCAUUUGUCUUGUGAUCCUUUGGGAGCAGAUAAGGUAAUUGAGGGAGCUCAGCUCUCCUGGUAAAACAAAAAUUUGCUAUAAAUAUCUUUGAUGGUGAUUUAUUCUAAGAGUUUCCUCAGAUUGAUGUAAAUUUAGAACAGGUUUAGGGUUUUUAUAAAUCAUAUACUUGGGAGGCUUCAUAAGAACUUUGAAAGUUAAAUUAUCUAACGAAGAUCAGUUUUUAGAGGGAAAGGAAUUAAUUUACAGGACAUCUACCUCCACAAAUUAGCUUACUUAUAAGUUGAACUUAUGUACCUCUGCAAAUAGAUUUAACGUCAAUUCAAUCCCAGAAAGUCUACUCAAGUUAUUCAAUUCAUGGUAAGCCAAUCCGUCUUAACAAAGCUUGAAAACGUGCCGAGAAUUUUAGUAAGAUUAAACACUGUGUGGACUCCAUCAGUCGCCCCACGAAAAGUUAACGCCAAUUUUACUCCCAAGCACUAUAAUUUUUUUUAUUGCUAUUUAAAUUAGGUAGUUGCGAAUGCGAAUUUGAAAAUGACAUAUGCAAUUUUAUGAGCUGGCAUUGAUUACAUUGUAAACCAUGCAUGCGAUCUUCACUGUCAGCACAUCAAUAAAGGAUGAUGUUCGAGUUUUAUUACAGUCCCUGAUUCAUACAUAUGAAACAUUUAGUGACUGCAUAAAAUAAAAGAAUUAGAAUGUAAUUUUUUAUAAAAAUUAAUUCAAUUCUGUUUUUGUGUUGCAAGGAUCGUUGACAAUAACUUAUUCUGGGACCAUACCUUUUUAUCCUGAGCCCACACUCUUACAAGGUAAAAUCAGUAAUUUUUUAUAUCAUGAGUGACAUAGAAUUUGUUUCCUAACUUUUUACAUAUAUUAUUUAAUAUUUGUUUAAAGAGAACUUUAUAUGAAGUGAUUUAAUUUAUAUAAAACUGAGCUAACUUACUGUUUUUUUUUUUUGGGCUAAAUUUUUUAAGUAAUGACGUCUGAACCAACGAAAAUUUUCACUUACAUAUUCGAGUUCGAACAUAGUAUGCCAGUGAUAAAAAUUAAAAAAAAAAAAUUGAAAAAAGUAAAACGUCAUCUUACUGAGCCCCUAUGUUACAUUUCAAAUUGUGGAUUCACACAAUUUGUGUGGUUGUUGUGGAGUGUGUAUCUUACAUUUUAAAGUGGCUUGAUUGACAAGAACCCGAUUAGCGAGCCCAUGCUUUGCGUAGGUAGCCUCAGUAGCCUUGCGUUGUAAUAAUUAAUAUAAGCAUCAAAAAGAAAAUUCGUUUUGAUGUAAUUAAGAUUUGUACUUACUAAAUUCAGCAUUUCAGUUUGUUAUGACGAAGUUUCUGAGUUUCUUAAUCAAGUACAAUAGCAUCCUUUAUUAGCCGGUCAAGUAUAAAAUUAAGGUGAUGAUGGGCAGGUGCCAAAGCAGAGUGAUUUGAAAUUAUCAUACCAGUGAUCUUUGCUAGCUCUGAGUGCAAAGAUAAUGUUUGGAAUCUUGUUAAUACUCUGUAUAAAUAAUACUCUCUUCUGAAAUCCGUUGAUCAUAUUUGUCUUUCACCUUGCAGAACUUGGUCACACAAUGAAGAUUACUGCAUAUUUGUCAUUUCUUUUUUCCAAGGAAAUUAUUAUGACAGUAUUGAGAUUUGAAAUGAUUGUUUGCAAAUUUUCUAGUUUAAAAUUAAGUAUGGAUUUAUUACCACAGUAUGUUUAAUCUUUGCUUUAUGCUUAAUUCAUCUUGACUUGCUUACAGAUAAGUAAAUUAAUUUGAAAAUUAAGCUCGAAGUGUUAUAUCCAUUCUUCCAAUAUUAAUUACAAGCAUUCAAUAGGAUGAAACUGUUACAAGGUGCAAAUCAAAAUUAUGUUAACAAUGUUAGUAAAUUGGAAAGCUAGCUAGUCGCUACAAAUUCAAUAUAGAAAUUAUAAUUCAACAUUUAAAGUCUCUCUGUCUCACUCAUUUUAAUAUCUUAAAAAUGUACAUUUGAUGACAAAAAAGAAGAGUAUAGAUAAGCCAACCCCAAAAUAUUUGGAAUUUCCAUUCUCUCUCUGCCGUAAUUUUCGGGGAAGCGAAUGCCCAGUGAACAAAAGUUUGAUCAAUCAAUGAUUGGAUCCAAAGAUACGUUAAUUAGUCAAGUCUUUCCAUUAAUUUUGAUCACAAAUGUUUAUCCUAUUUUGUGGGACGACUUGCCAUGGACUUUAAUUGUAGUUGGAAGGGGAGUGGCUAUUAAUACAAAGAUUAUUUUGACAGAAUUGCAUGCAACAAGUGAACGUUUUGUUUGGGCAAUUUUAAAAUCGUAGAUGUCUUUUAAGACUUUUGCCUUAAACAACGGGGAAAACUCUUCCCCACUUGAUCAGGCAUCGACUCAUACACCUCUCAAUUGCUAGUCUGGAUUCUAUAUAAUUUUGGCUCGCGUGGAAAAAGCUACUCGUGGAUUCCACCUAAUAACUCCAAUGAUUUUUUCUGAAAUUAAAACCAUAAUCUUUAGCCUUUAACCAUUUAGACUUUGGGCACGGACGAACGGUGUGUUAUGCAGUUCAUAGUUGAAGUGAAAACGGUCUAUAUUUUAGCCAACACUCGGUUUAUGAAAACAUAUAUAGUUGUGAUCAAGAUUAAUGGACAAAUUGGUUAAGGCUUUUUGGAUCCUAAACAAACUUGUGUACUGGGUAUUUCUCCCAAAAAGAUCGUGCCAUUCAAAGAAAGGAAAAAUAUUGACCGUACCGCGCCGGGUGUUAGUUGCUAGGCAAGUUCAAUUGUUGGCAUUAGAAAUUGGAAAAUUGUUGAACUGCUUUUGUGGGGGAAAGAAAAAAAAAAAAAAAGCUCUCUGCCCACUGCAGAACUGAUGUAAAUCUAAACAGGUUUAGGGUUUAUUAAAUCAUAUACUUGGGUGAGAUUCCAAAAGAACUUUGAAAGUUAAAUGAUCUAACGAAACUCAUUUUUUGGGGGUAAAGGAAUCAACUUACAGGACAUAUACUCCAGAAAUUAGAUUACUUAUUAGUUGAACUUACAUACCUCUGCAAAUGGAUUUAACGUCAACGUACUCAAUCCCAAAAAGUCUAACAACGCUUGAAAACGUGCUGAGAAUUUGUAAAAUUCAACACCGAGUGGACUGACUCCAUCAGUUGCCCCACAAAAGUUAAUGCGGUCCGCAAUAGCUGCACUCCAAAGCAUUAUAAUUUUUCUAUUGCCAUUUAAAUUGGCUAGUUGCGAAUGAGAACUCGAAAAUGACAUACGUAAUUUUAUGAGCCACCAAUAAUAAUGAAGGCUCUUAUGUUGAGUUUUAUUACAGUCUCUGAAUUCUAACCUUUUUCUUCUUUUAUUUAUUAUACAAUCUGAGUAUAUCUAUUGGGAGUCUGAUUCAUACAUAUGAAACAUAUAGUGACAGAAUAAAUUCAAGUUUGACCAGGACCACACCAUUUUAUCCCGAGGCCACACUCUUAUAAGGUAAAAUCAAUAAUUUUUAUAUCAAGAAGUGACGUAAAAUUUGUUUCCCAACUUUUUACAUAUAUUAUUUAUUGAAGGAGAAUUUUACGUGAAGUGAUUUAAUUUGUAUAAAAAUGAGCUAACUUACUGCUUUUGUUUUUUUUGCUAUAAUAAGUAAUAACGUCUGCGCUAAUGAAAAGUUUCAAUUAGACAUACAAGUUCCAACGUAGUAUGCUGGUGAUUAAAAAAUAAACAAAUAAAUAAAACAUCAUCUUACUGUUUAUUUCAUGGAAACCAAAUGUUUGAAGUAACUUGAUUUACAAGAACCCGGUUCGCGAGUCCAUGUUUUGUUUAGGAAGCCUCAGUAGCCUUGCGUUAUCACAUCACAAUUAAUAGAAGCAUCACAAUUAGUCUUUGUUUUGAUAUAAUAGAAGAUUUGUGCUUCUAAUGGCCAGGUGUGUCAAAGCAGAGUGAUUCGUGACAAUCACAAAUGUGAUCUUAACUAGCUCUCUGUGAAAAGCUCGUCUUUGUAAUCUUUUUAAUACUCUCUAUAUAUAAAUAUACUCUAUUCUGAGAUCAACUAAUUAAAUUUGUCCUAUUCAACUAAAAAUUUUAAAGCAUGAAUUUAUUGUCAAAGUAUUAUUCUUUGCUUUUUACGCUUAAUUCAUCAUGAUUUGAUCUCAGAUAAGUAAAUUAAUUUGUUAUGCUCAAUGUGUUAUAUACAUUCUCCUAAUAUUUAUUAUAAGCAUUCUAUCUAAAUGAAUAUGAUCGAACUGUUACAUGGUCCAAAUUAAAAUUAUGGCCACAAUGCUAGUAAAUUGGAAAGCUAAGCUAGCAUCGCUAAAUUGAACUUAAGUUUUCUUUGUUAAACUGGUUGAUAUGAAUAUGACAAGAAAUUGUAAUUCAACUUUUAAAGUCUCUCUGUCUCAACCAUUUUAAUAUCUUAAUAAAAAGGUACAUUUGAUGGCAAAAAUAUUUAGACUUUCCAUUCUCUCUCUGCCAUAAUUUUGGGGAGAUAAAUGCCUAGUAAGCAAGUUUGAUCAGUCGCUGUUAGGAUCCAAAUAAAUGUUAGUCAAUUAAUUUGUCCAUUAAUCUAGACCACAAAUGUUUAUUCUAUUUUCAUAAGUCGACCCCAGACCUUGGACAUGGAUUUUUUUUAAAAAAAAAUUGUCAUAAUAUGAGAGUCUAAAAAUUUAGAUUUAUGGUGUGUUUACUUGUGAAAUCAGGAAAUAGAAAUUCAUAGUGAGAAUGAUUUUUAAAUUGUUAUUUUUUACUUGUUAAAAUGGAAUGGAGAAUCAUAAUGAAAUAUGCAGGAUCCACAUAUUUUUGAGUCAAGGAAAAGAAAUUUGAUUCACAUGGGAUUGAGAAUCAAGUUUUCAUUCCUUUAACUCACCAUCCCCCCCCCCCCCCCCCCACAUUUCAUAAUUUCAAUUUUGUGCUCAAUUAAAAUGUUAUUAUAUUAAUGUAAUAAUAAUAAUAAUAAUAUUUAAAAUAACAAUAAUAAUGAUAAUAUAAUAAUAAUAAAAAUAACAACAACAACAACAAUAAUAAUAAUAACGAAAAGUAAUAAUAUUAAUAAUCACAAUAAUAAUAAUGAAAAUAUAAUACUACUACAAAUAACUAUUAUAAUAAUAGUAAUAAUACUUUGCAGUUACUAAUUUCAUCAUUUCACAAGCCACCUCCACGGGCUGAUCUUGGGCGCCUUGCGGAUCAUGUCAUUUAUCAUACCCACCUUUUAAAAGAAGAAGAUGAUGACGACGAUGAUGUGGUGUGUGCGCGUGUUAGAAACAUACCUUGAGGUAGUGUUUGGUUUUAAGAAAGAUGAGGAGAGGAGGGAGGAAAAAUAGAGAGGAGUGGAGAGGUAAUGGGAGGAUAGGAGCGCGAAAAUUGAUUUUUAUUGUUUGGUUUCACCAAAAAAUAAAAAAUAAAAUUAAAAGGGAAAGAAAUUACUUUUUUUUUUAUUUGGACAAGUAUACCCAUUGGAAUUUAGUGUUAAAAUGUUAAUAUUUGCAGUAAAUAUAAUAAAAAUAAUUAAACUAUAAGUUAAAUUAAUCUAGAAUAUAAACUAAUAAGAAAACAUUUGAUUUUAUAUUAUAUUUUUAAUUAAUUCAUUAUUAUUUUAUAAUCAAAAUAACUAACCAACAAGUAGAUGGACGACUAAAAGUUGCAUAUCGACAUAGAAGAACCUGACAUACGGCUCAAACUGUUAAAUUGUAAAGACUUUGUUUGGUUUCUGAGAAAGUUACAGAGAGAAACAGAAGGAAAAUAAUAAGAGAGAAUGAAUAUGAAUCAUUAGAUUAAUUCGAAUGGUUUUACAAGCAUGUAUUUAUACGAGUAUCUCGAAUCUUCUACAUGCUGUUUGAGACUGAGCUAACAGCAUAACAACCUUCCUCCAGCUCAGCUGCCAAGUAAGCAUUUAUAACAAACUUGCUUAAUCAAAUUAACUAAGCUUAACUAAAUAAACCAUCUUAACUAAUUCUAUUAUCUUAACACAAACGGUGAUUGAUUUGACUGAACUGCAACCAAGGGAACCAUUUUUUGGAUAAUUUUAGAGCAAUAAUGUUCAGACUACUAUGUAAAAAAUAUCCUAAUCUUCGAAAACUUUUCCACCGUAUGAAACAUUGGAAAAAUCUUCCCAACUUGACGCAUCGACUUGUUGACCUCUCAAUUGCUCGUGUGUGGCUUCUAUAAAUUUGGCAUCCAACAUGCUCGUUUUCCGCACCGUUGUAUGUUUUCCAAAAGCUAAGAGUCGUUAAAAAAUCUUUUGAAUUUCAAUAAAACGGUUUAACUUUAUUUAUUUGAUUGUGUUUUUGGAAUAUCAAUGGGGUCAUCAACCCUCAAUACAGUUGUUCCUUCACUUGUUUUGUUGAUCCUAUUUUUUGUGUUAAGUUUCUUAAUAAUUGUUUCUUCAGAAUCUAAUGAAGAAGCCGAUGCUCUUCUCAAAUGGAAAGCUAGCCUUGAAAUCGAUAACCGAUCUCUCCUUUCUUCUUGGAUUGAGGACACCACCAAUGUUUCCUCCAAAACAAGCCCGUGUGCUUGGUAUGGAAUCAGUUGCAAUGACGCCGGAAGAGUCUUCAACAUCAGCCUCCCAUUUGAAGGAUUAAAAGGCAAGCUUCAUGAUUUCUCAUUCUCAUCGUUUCCUCAUCUUGCUUAUCUUGAGCUCAGCUAUAAUGAACUCUUCAGUACUAUCCCGCCUCAAAUUAGUAACCUUACGAAUCUCAGCAUCCUUUCUUUAGGAGGCAAUCAAUUUUCAGGAAAUAUUCCACCUGAAGUUGGUCUUAGGAGUCAUUUGAAGAUCCUUUACAUUGAUUCGAACCAAUUAGAUGGCUCAAUUCCACCAGAAGUAGGUCAGUUAAGUUCUAUGGUGGAGCUUGUGUUGUUCUCUAACAACUUGAACGGUUCAGUCCCUCCUUCUUUAGCUAAUUUGACACACAUCUCUAUGUUGUUCCUUUAUGAUAAUUCAUUUUCUGGUUUUAUUCCUCCGGACAUUGGAAACUUGAAAUCUAUAUCCAUCCUAACUGUUAUAAACCUAUUAACGUAUUGAAUCUAGAAAGAACUAAUCAAAGCAAGCUAAUCAAGAAAGAAACAGGAAAGAACUUUAACAGAGCACAGUUCCAAGCACUCAACUUGUAGAAGGAAAAACUGCUCUUUUAUUGAUCACUAUGAAUCAAAUUACAAGCUGAUUCUAUAGAGGAGUUUACAAGGAUCACAAAGAACCAAUUAGCUCACUAAAUGAUCAAGAAAUGAGAAAGAUUACAACUGCAUAUCAGAGGCUAAAACACACGUAUAUAUACUUUGGUAUUUCUGGGAAAUCAUAACGAACUCAUAACGAAUUCUUGCCACAUCAGCUUUAAUAUUUCAACUAGACCCCUCCAGCUGAAGUCGAUCUGCACAAUGCCCCCAGACUUCUUCAAAUCUUCCAUUUAAACCCAACGACCAUUAGUUGACCAGUAGCUUAUUUCCUCACAUUCUCCACCUUGCAGACUCGAUUCAGCUGAUCAUCUCAAUUAAGUAACAUAAAAAACCUUCAAAGACACAUGUUUCAGGAACUAGAGCUGCUGCCAACACCAAUGAAGUUUACACAAAACUUAAAUUUUGUCGUUGGUAGUACUUUGGUUAGCAUAUCAGCAGGGUUGAUGUUUGUAUGUAUCUUGAUCACUGCAACUGACCCCUUUGCAACCUCAUCUCUGAUAAAGUGCAACUUCACAUCAAUGUGCUUUGUUCUCUCAUGAUAGACUUGGUUCUUGAUGAGCUGAAUGGCACUCUGAUUAUCACAAAAAAUUUCUACUGUUUUUUGUUUCAACCAUAGUUCAUUUAGCAGCCCUCUCAACCACAUUGAUUCUUUCACUGCCUCUGUUGUAGCAACAAAUUCUGCCUUAGUAGAUGACAAAGCUACUAUGUGCUGUAGAGUAGCUUUCCAACUUAUGAGGCAACUAUCCAACAUAAACAGAUAACCUGAGAUGGAUUUUCUUCUGUCCAAGUCACCUGCAAAAUCAGAGUCAACGUAUCCUCUGACUUCACAGACCUCAUGCUUGGAUUUCCCAUACAUCAAACCAUGAUCUAAGGUUCCCUUUAGGUACCUCAUGACCCAUUUUACAGCAUCCCAGUGAAGCUUACCAGGAUUACUCAUAAAUCGACUCACCACACUUACUGCAUAAGCUAUGUCUGCUCUAGUGCAAACCAUUGCAUACAUCAAGCUUCCCACAGCUUGGGAGUAUGGUAUAUCAACCAUCUUUGCCUCCUCAACAUCUGAAGUUGGAGACAUAUCUUCAGAGAGUUUGAAUUGAACCCCUAGAGGUGUCAGUACUGGUUUUGAGUCCAUCAUCUGAAAUCUUUCCAGCACUUUGCUGAUAUACCUUAACUGGGUUAGAAACAAGGUACCAGCUGUUCUAUCUCUAACAAUAUCUAUCCCAAGAAUCCUCUUGGCACUGCCAAGAUCUUUCAUUUCAAAUUCCCCCUUCAGUAAAUUCUUAAGCUCUUUAAUGUCACUGAGAUCUUUACCAGCAAUGAGUAUAUCAUCAACAUAUAGUAGAAGAUAUACUGCUCCACCUGAGUUUAUAAUCCCAUGAUAGACACAACUAUCAUAUUUGCUCCUGGAAUAGCCAUUGGAGAUCAUAAACUGAUCAAAUCUUCUAUACCAUUGCCUAGGGGAUUGUUUCAAGCCAUAUAGAGACCUUUUAAGAAGGCACACAUACUCCUCAUGUCCCUGUUCUUCAAAGCCUUCAGGUUGAGACAUCAAUAUCUUUUCUUCAAGAUUGUCAUGUAGGAAGGCAGUCUUUACAUCCAUUUGUUCAAGCUCUAGAUCAAACAAAGCCACCAUAGCAAGCAAGAUUCUGAUUGAACUGUGUUUUACCACUGGUGAGAAGAUUUCAUUGAAAUCAAUCCCCUCCUUCUGUAUGAACCCUCUUGCCACCAGUCUUGCCUUAUAUCUUGAAUCUUCAACACCUGGAAUGCCCUCCUUUUUCUUGAAUAUCCACUUGCAGCUGACAAUCUUCCUAUUCCCUGGAUUUGGGACCAGAAUCCAAGUCUGAUUUCUUAUCAGAGAAUCCAUUUCCUCCCUCAUAGCUUUAAUCCAGUUUCUGUUAUUCUUGCUACUCAUUGCUUCUCUAUAGCUGUUAGGCUCUUCAAUUGCAACAUCUUCUGUACUCAUCAAGGCAUAUGCAACCAUAUCUGCAUAUGCAUAUCUUGCUGGAGGUCUGGUAUGUCUUCUUUCUCUAUCUCUUGCUAACUGAUAUUGUUGUAAAUCAGUUACUUGUGGUACUUCACCUUCUGUUACUUCUGCAUCUUGAGUCUCAGCUUCAACAGCCUCUGGUUGUAUUUGAUCUUCAUAGUCUUUAGACAACUCCACUUCAAUCUUUUCACCUUGCUCAGUUUCUGUGGUGGCUUGUGUGUCACUUGUAUUGAUGUCAUUAGCAGAAGUGGCUUGGUCAGAGUUAUUGAUCAUGGCCACUUCAUUGAACUGGACAUCUCUACUGAUCAGACACUUGUUAGCCUCUUUACACCAGACCCUGUAGCCUUUAACCCCAUCUGGAUAGCCAACAAAAACUCCUUUUAUGGCUCUUGCAUCAAGCUUCCCUUGUCUGACAUGGACAUAAGCAGGGCAUCCAAAUACCCUCAGGUGUUCAUAUUUUCCAGGUCUUCCAGACCAGAGUUCUUCAGGUGUCUUGAAGCCAAUUGCUGAAGAUGGACUUUUAUUUACCAGGUAACUAGCUGUAGAAACAGCUUCUGCCCAAAGGCUCCUAGGAAGCUUAGAGUUUAUCAACAAGCAUCUUGUUUUGUCAAUAAGUGUUAUGUUUAUCCUCUCAGCUAAACCAUUUUGCUGAGGGGUGAAUCUUACUGUUUUGUGCCUCCUAACUCCCCAUUCCUGGCAGCAUUGCUCAAACUCUUUAUUAUAGAAUUCAAGUCCAUUGUCUGUUCUUAAGCAUUUCACCUUGAAACCAGAUUGAGUCUCCACCAAAGUCUUCCAAAUCUUGAACUUCUCUAAGGCUUGGUCUUUGGUCUUCAGUAUGUGGAUCCAUACUUUCCUGGAGUAGUCAUCUAUGACUGACAUGAAAUACCUUCCCCCACUCAUGGAUGGUACUUGUGCAGGCCCCCAUAAAUCAGCAUGUACAUAAUCUAAUGGUUGUUUAGAUACAUGUAUGCCCUUUGUGAAUUUGGACCUGUGUGCCUUGCCAAAGAUGCAGUUUUCACAGAAGUCUAGCUCAUCUAUAUUAUCACCACACAGCAGCCCUUGCUUACUCAGUUCUUGCAUUCCUCUAAUACUCAUAUGGCCUAGUCUAAGGUGCCAUAACAUGGUUCUAUUAACAUCAGAAACAGCAGGCAUUGCAACUGAUCCAGGCACUGAUGACCCUUAUAACACAUAAAGGCCAUUCUUCUUAACUCCUUUCAUUACCAUCUCAGUCCCCUUCAUAAUCUUCAAACCACUAUUUUCAGAUUUGAAGCUAUAUCCCAUACCAUCUAGCAUGCCUAAAGAUAUCAAGUUUCUCUUUAGCCUAGGUGCAUGCCUUACAUCACUUAGAGUUUGAACAGACCCAUCAAACAUCUCUAUUUUGACAGACCCCAUACCAACAAUCUUACACACAUUGUUGUUACCCAUCAACACUCUACCACCAUCCACAGAUUUAUAUGUAUGGAAAAGGCUUUUAUCAGGACACAAAUGAAAUGAACAGCCUGAAUCAAGAACCCACUGACCUUUGAUAUUGCUGUUUGAAGCCACCAACAAAUCAGCACUAUGGUAUCCAUCAUCAGAGGAGUCUUCUGAGGCUACUGCUGCAUCACCUGUUCUCUCUUUUUCAUCCCUCUUUUUCUCAGCACAGUCCCUGAUGUAGUGACCUUGUUUCUUGCAAUAGAAGCACUUUCUUUUCUUCAUUUUUUCUUUUACAGAUACAUCAUCCUUUUUAGCUUGACUCUGGUUCUUCUUCUUUUGAUUUUUCUUUUCUGUUCUGGCAAAUAAGCCUUCACCAUUACUAACUUCAUGCCCAUUAUUCUUCUGGAUCUCCUUAGAACUCAAAGAAGCUUUUACAUCCUCUAAAGUGAGUGUAGUUCUUCCAUACAGCAUGGUGUCUACAAAUCCUUCAUAGAUUUUUGGCAGUGAGCUCAACAGAAAGAAGGCUUUAUCCUCAUCAGUUAUUUUCACAUUUUCAACUCCUUCAAGAUCAAGAAUGAUCUUGUUGAAGUUGUCAAUGUGUUCUUGAAUCGAGACUCCUUCUCUCAUAGAAAAGGUAUAUAGCCUUUUCUUCAAGAACAAUCUGUGUGCCAGGGACUUUUUCAUACACAAGGCCUCCACCUUGUUCCAGAUACCAAGGGCAGUCUUCUCUUCAGAAAUCUCCCUUAGAAUUGAGUCACUGAGACUCAAGAUCAAGGUACUGUGAGCCUUGUUCUGUAUCUGUCUUUUCUUCUCAUCAGAGACUGAACUUGAAGCAUCCCCAAGAUCAUCUUCUUCCAGCACUGAUUCGAGACCUUGAUGAACAAGGAGAGCCCUCAUCUUCAUCCUCCAAAGUGAAAAGUCACCACCAAUGGUGAAUCUUUCAAUAUCGAGUUUUGGAAGAGACAUGUUUUUGAACCACCACUGGCUCUGAUACCAAUUGUUAUAAACCUAUUAACGUAUUGAAUCUAGAAAGAACUAAUCAAAGCAAGCUAAUCAAGAAAGAAACAGGAAAGAACUUUAACAGAGCACAGUUCCAAGCACUCAACUUGUAGAAGGAAAAACUGCUCUUUUAUUUAUCACUAUGAAUCGAAUUACAAGCUGAUUCUAUAGAGGAGUUUACAAGGAUCACAAAGAACCAAUUAGCUCACUAAAUGAUCAAGAAAUGAGAAAGAUUACAACUGCAUAUCAGAGGCUAAAACACACGUAUAUAUACUCUGGUAUUUCUGGGAAAUCAUAACGAACUCAUAACGAAUUCUUGCCACAUCAGCUUUAAUAUUUCAACUAGACCCCUCCAGCUGAAGUCGAUCUGCACAAUGCCCCCAGACUUCUUCAAAUCUUCCAUUUAAACCCAACGACCAUUAGUUGACCAAUAGCUUAUUUCCUCACACUAACUUUGGCCAUUAAUCAAUUUAGUGGUCCAAUCCCUCUUUCUUUAGGUAAUUUGACCAACCUAAAACGAUUCAGCCUCCUUUAUAACAACCUAUCCGGUUCCAUUCCACCCUCCCUCGACAAUCUUGUGUUAACCAAGCUAUCAUUGGAUGAGAACCAUUUCACUGGUUAUUUACCCCACAAUAUUUGCCGAGGCGGAGCACUACUGUAUUUUACUGUUUCUGAAAACCAUUUUCAAGGAACAAUCCCUAAAAGCUUGAGAAAUUGCACAAGCUUAAUCCGAGUACGCCUUGAUGGAAACAACCUUACUAGAAAUAUUUCAAAAGCUUUCGGCAUUUAUCCUAACCUGACUUUCAUAGAUCUCAACCGCAAUAAUUUUUACGGUGAAAUCUCGUCUAACUUUGGGGAAUGCCCAAAAUUAGGCGCUCUCAACAUUUCGAUGAAUAACAUUACUGGAGGUAUACCGUGUGAGAUUGGAAACUGGUCUCAACUACAAGCACUCGCUCUUUCAUUGAAUCAUAUAGUUGGGGAGAUUCCAAAGGAACUUGGGAAGCUAAAUUCGCUAACCAAGCUCAUUUUGAGAGGGAAUCAACUUACAGGACGCCUGCCUACAGAAAUCGGCGCAUUCAAUGAACUUGAAUACCUCGACUUAUCUGCAAAUAGAUUCAACAAUUCAGUCCCAGAAAGUCUUGGCAACUUGCUGAAAUUGCACUACCUGGGCUUAAGCAACAACUAGUUUGUCCAAGAAUUGCCAAAGGAAUUGGAGAAGCUAGUUCAACUUUCAGAAUUAGAUGCAAGUCAUAACCUCUUUGGAGGAGAGAUACCAUUUCAAAUAUGCAGUUUGAAAAGCUUGGAAAAGUUGAAUCUCUCCCACAAUAAUCUCUCUGGUUCGAUUCCAAAUUGCUUUGAGGGAAUGCACGGUCUAUCAGUCAUUGACAUUUAUGAUAAUCAAUUGCAAGGCCCAGUUCCAAAUAGCACAGCAUUUCGGAAUGCCCCAGUGGAAGCGUCAGAGGGGAAUAAGGAAUUGUGUGGAAGUGUGAAAGGAGUGCAACCAUGCAAAGUUUUCUCGUUACACAAGCAAAAUUCUGGAGCCAAGUGGUUUGCAAUAGUGUUCCCUGUUUUAGGAGCACUAUUUGUUUCAAUGGCGUUGAUAGCAAUUUUCAUUUUUCAAAAGCGGAAAUCAGACUCAGGAGAUCGACAGAGUAGCAACCAGAACCCUCAGGGAUUGCUUUCUAUAUUAAAUUUUGAAGGCAAACUUUUGUACGAUGAAAUUGUUAGAGCAACAAAUGAUUUUGAUGCAGAGUAUUGCAUUGGAAAUGGUGGACACGGAAGUGUUUACAGAGCUGAACUACCAUCUGGGGAAGUCGUAGCUGUUAAGAAAUUUCACUCACCACUCCCAUGCAAUCAGAUUGCAGAUCAAAAAGAAUUAUGGACCGAAGUUGAGGCCUUGACAGAGAUACGACAUCGAAACAUUGUGAAGUUUUAUGGAUUUUGCUCACAUGCCCGACACUCUUUUUUGGUCUAUGAAUUUCUUGAAAGGGGUAGCUUGGCUGCGAUCUUGAGCAAUGAUGCAGCAGCACAAGAACUGGGUUGGAGUCAGAGAAUGAAUGGGAUCAAAGGCGUAGCUGAUGCUUUGUCUUACUUGCACCAUGACUGCUUUCCUCCGAUUGUCCAUCGGGACAUAUCAAGUAAGAACUUGUUGCUGGAUUUGGAAUAUGAAGCUCAUGUUGCAGACUUUGGAAUUGCUAAGUUUCUGAAGCCAGACUCGUCCAACUGGACUGAAUUUGCAGGCACAUGCGGAUACGUUGCACCGGGUAUUUAGUAUUUGUUUGUUGCCAUUUUGAGGAGUCUGCGGUAACAGAACAAUAUAACUAUUAAAUUUCAUGUUGCAGGCACCGCCGGUGAGCAUAUUUGAGGACAUGUGGAGUCGGUACAAUGAAGACCAAGAUUUAGUAAGACAGUUUGUAAUAAUUAAAAAUAAUAAUUUCUCGCGACAUGUAUGAACCCCUCAAAUGUAAACUUGAAAGUGUGUACCACUGUAUUAAUUAAUGGGUGGCUCUAACUUAUUGAUAAUAUUAAAUUAAAUUUUAAAAGAAAGGAAUAGACUGGGGAAAAAAUUAAAAAUUGAGGAUAAUUUACAAUGUAUCCUUGUGAUUUAACCGAAAAUCAAAUAAACCAAUAAUAAUUAGUAUUUUUUUUUUUUGGGGAAUGAUUUGUCUUAGCUUUGAGUAAACGAUUUGAUGGACUUAUAGCUCUCAUCAAUUGUCUUGAAUGCUCAAUGGCUUAUACUUUGUAGAAUCUCCAAUGUUGUGAUAACAACUUUGACGGUUAAAGUUUGAUUGUGAAUUUGGUUGAAUGAUUUAAUUUACACUUGAUUCUUAUACCGACCUCUACCAAGUUAAUCUUUUUUCAGGAUGUUUAAUUUUGUUAUGUCAAAGUUAGUUGAUGUCCUAUAUUUGAUCAAUGUGGAUGGCUGAUCAAAAUUAAAGAAUCCUUGAACGAGAUUGAGGGCUUGACAGAGAUACGACAUCAGAGUAUUGUAAAACAUGACCUGACAUUCAAUUUUAGUUUAUGAAUUUCUUGAAAAGGGUAACUUGGCCAUAAUCUUGAGCAACAAUGCAGCCACGUAAGAGUUAAGCGGGCUGGAGUCAGAAUGAGUGGGAAAAAAGGCGUUGCCGAUGCCUUGUAAUAUUCGUUUGUUGCCAUUUUGAGGAAACAUUUUUCUUUUUUAGCAAACAUUUUUCUUUCUCUUUUUAUUUGUCCUUGACCUUGCAGAGCUUGCUUACACAAUCAAGAUCCCAGAAAAAUACGACGUGUACAGUUUUGGAGUGUUAGUAUUGGAAGUGAUCAAGGGAAAGCAUCCAGAGAUCAGAUGUUCUUUCCACAGUUUCAGCUUCAUCUUCCAAUGCCCCUUGAUGAAAUGUUGGAUCCUCGGCUUCCACCCGAUCCAUUGUUCGAUGUUCAGAGGAAGUUAGUAUCAAUCACGAAGGUUGCCUUCUCUUACUUAAAUGGGAAUCCAGAAUCCAGACUAAUCAUUAUUAUUGUUCGAGUUUCAAAUAUUUGCCUUCAUUUCCCAUUGUUGCACAAGUUAAUUAUACGUAUCAUGCUUAUGCAGGCCUUAAUUCGGAACAAAAGAAUGUUAAUAGAAGAAUUGUGCAACUAGAGGAGGAUGUACUUCAUAAUUAAUUAGUCUGCUUUCAACACAAAAUAGAAAAUUUAGUUGACAGAUGGCCACAAAAGACUAGCUUCGUUUUUGCUAAAAAAGAAAUAAAAUCUGCUUCUAUGACCUCUGUAAACCAACUGCUUCAAUGCCCCCAGUUUCAAAACUAUCAUUGAUACAGAGCCAUUGGACCUGGGCUACAUAUUCAACUUUUCAGAGUUCCAUUUCUAGCGUGAAGCUUUUGAGAGCAUGGACACACUUGACGCUAGAUAACCCUCACGAUAUAUGUUCCAAAAUCUCGUCAGCCAUAAUUUUGCCGCAAAAGCCGAUAGAAUUAAUGAUCCUUAUUAAUUAUGAAUUAAAUCCUCCUUUGGCUGCACAAUUUUGGAUAAAAAAUUUGGACCAGUUUUGGUGUUUGGUUGAGCAUAUGUUGACUGUUAGGCACUAAAUCCAUAGUCAAUAUUUAUCCGACAUGAGUUUCACAUGGAUCCCAAUGAACUCUUGACCAUAGAUUCUGUACCCAACACAAUAUGCUUAUGAUUUAAAAAUAAAAUAAAUCAUGUAAAUACUUUGUAUCAAUACUUAAUGCAUCGACAAUCGUUUUCUUUGUGUACGGACUUGUCGAUAAAAAAAAAAGUUUAAUUGUUUCUUUGUUUACAUCUGCUUAAUCUGAUUAGGAUGAAACGAAAUUAAUUGUUUCUUUGUUUUAAAAAAAAUGAAUAACUAUAAUUUCUUGAAUAUUUGAUGAAUUAACAAAAGAAUUGUGAAUGAAGUUUUGUUUGGUAUAAAGGUGUUGUAAUCUUUAAAUCACAAUUAUUAAGAAAAAUAGAGCAAUAACAAAAAAAUAAAAGUUGAUAAUAUAUAAUAAACAUAAAUUUUAAAUAAUAGUUUUAAUAAAAAUAAUAAAGAUAUUAUAAGUUUUCUAUCAUUAAAAACAAAUUAUUUUAGUUUUCAAGUCACAAUUAUGAUAGUUACAAAUUUUUAUAUAAAUUAAUGUGGUAUAAAUUUAUUAGUUAGUUAAAAAUAUAUAAAAUAAUAAAAAUAAAUUAUGUGAGAUAACUAAUAUUUAAUCUAAUUAAUUUAAUCAUGUCAUGUUAAUAUGUAUAAAAUAAAUUUAUAUAAAAAAAUUGUAAUUAGGUUAUUGCUCUCGACUCUUGUAAGCAAGCACCGAUGCGUACAGCAUGCUAUUUGUGUGAGUGUUCUGUCCAAUUUUUCCGUCAUUACUAUUAAAAAAAGAAAAAACAUGGACCCCUCGACGAGACAUCACGUGGGCCCACUAAUCUUGAUGAUCACAUCUUUUUUCAUGUAAAAAGGAACCCCCGCUUUACAACGACACCGUCUUUUCUUUAGUCUUUCCUUUCGUUUUCGUCAGCCUCCACAAACACUUGCUUAAUAGCCGCCCCAUUUUCUUUCACUCCUAUCCAUUGUCCACGCGUCCGACCAUGAUUGCUUCUCCGGUUCUAAUCACAAGAUUUUCGCCAAAUGGGCGAACGAGAUGGGCCCUAUCUCUGCGCAGACCACACCGUCUAUUCUCUCAGUGAAAAGAAAAUAAAACUAUUUAAAAUCUCUAAAUAUAAAUUGAAUUCAACUCUUUUUUUUAUCUUUCAUUUAUAAAUAGUAAAUAAAAAAAUCAAAAGAAUUCAACUGAAUAUUCCUUUUGAAAAAUUAUACGGUAGCGAACUUCCUUGCAUAAAUAUGAUCUUAAUUCAAUUUAUUAAACAUAUUUAUAUGCGGUUCAACACUUUAACUAUGUUGCGACAGUUAUAAAGUAUCUCACUUUUUAUAUUUUGUGAUUUAACUGAUGUCAAAUUUAAUAGAACACUUUUUACUCCAUUUUAUAUUUACAUACAUUAUUAAAAUUUUAUUUAGCACCUUACACUCUUUUUAUUUAUUAUUUUUAUAAAUAUUAAAGUACUUAUUUGUUUACAUCCAAUACUAGUAUCGAUGGAAAGACAACAAUACCCUUAAAUUUAUAAAUUAAAAAUAAAAUUUUAAAAUUUUUUGCUUGUUCCUCUCACCUUCAUCUCCAUCAUCAUCAGUCAGUAACGAUUAAAAAAGAAAGAGAAAAUGUACCACCAAAAAAAAGAGAAAAAAAAAAUCUCAAAGACUCACCGAUCACCCAUCACCUUUAUUCUCUCAAUGGUUCAUGAACAAUACAACAACACCAAUAAAACAUAAGAACACGACUCUGACUCUUUUGAUUCUUGUUUCACCAACACAGCAAAUUCCGAGUUUAAAAGGCUUCAUUCAUAUUCUUACAAAACUUGACAUUUCAUCAUGGUAUGGUUUAAGUUAAAAGAGUUUAUUGUUAGUUUAUACGAACUCCUUAAAGUGAUUACAUUUGACCGAUAUCUUACAUGGGGAACAUAUCAUUAAUUCUUUAUACCAAACAUUCCAAACUAUCAUAAUUAUAUCAAUUCUAACUUAACACCUUGUAAUUCAUUUUACACAAAAUGGAUCUGCUGUAAGAAUGUCGCAAAAGACAGCUUCAAACUGGCUAAGGGCAAGAAGAGCACUUGCACCACCAGAAGUUUCUUUCCUAAGCUCAUCAGCAAAACCAAAACUUUCAGAAACAGGCAAAUAAGCAUGAACCGUGAAAAGUGCAGAACCUUCCUGCAUUCCCUCCUUCAGCACCCGGGCCCGCCUUCAGGAAACCACUCCAUACAUUUUACUCAAAGAAUCAACCGGUGUGUUCAACUCACAAAAAUACAUGGCUUCAACAAGUCGGGGUUUCUUCUUGAGCACAACUUGUCUACAUGCAUCUUUAACAGCUGUCAUAACUUGCCCAGAGAAGAUGCCAUGCUGCUCAGAUUGUUGGGAAGUUUCAGAGUCAACAUAUUUCCCAGCCAUAGGAGAGAUGUAAGCCUCAACAAUUGUCGAAGUUCCGUCCUUGACAACCAAGAUCCGUCGGUAAUUGGUGUCGGAAACAACCUCAGUCUCUCCCUACUCCGUGCUCCCAAACUCAGCUCAUACUUUGACUAUUUGUUGUACUUCGUCGCAGCAAACUGCCCGAUCUCUCUCAUAUGCGGCUCCUUGGGGUCUUCUAUCGGCUUCCAUCCCUCACCCAAGACUCCUUUACGGUCCACGACGGCCAGGAGAGGGAUUGUUGCCACGGCUUUUCAUGACCCCAAAAUGCCUAAAUCUUGCGCUUUAUCCGUUUUCUUCAACCUUUGUCAAGAAGGGUAAUUUUGUCUUUUUAAGAUUUAUGAACAAAUUAUAAAUGAAAGGAGUGCAGGGUGCUCAAUGAUAUUUAAAUCAUAAAAAACAAAAGUCGGGGUACGGUACAACUGCAACAUAGCUGAACCCACUUAUAUGUUACUUUAACGGACAAAACUAUGGUGCAACUGUGGUAUCAUACCACAGCUACACCUAACCAUUAGAUCCAACUGCACACAUGUACUAUAGCUGAAUCCAAUGGCUAGGUGCAGCUGUGGUAUGGUACCACAGUUGCACCAUAGCUGGACCCUACUUUAGCAUGCAUUUUUCUUAUAGUUUACAAAAUGUAGUGCUUAUUUUCUUUCGAAUACCAAACAGUAGAGGUGUAUAUUGAGUUGAAGCAAAUAUAAUAUUAUAAACUAACACUAUGUUGUAUCAUACUUGGUAAAAUAUUUAGUGUUAACAUCUAUGAAAAUAUUAUUAAAUCCUCAAUGAAAAAUCUUCAUCGUAUUAAACAAUUUUUUAUGUAAUAUGAACUAUGUAUUUUGUUAUAAUGGAAGCUGUUAAGAAAGGUUGUCUCAACUUUAUAUUAAGAUUUUGUACUUAUAAAUAAAUAUAUAGUAUGAUCUAAACCUUACAUGUAUAAUUUUUUUUCAUAACUUAGCUAUCUAUAAAAGAUUUAACAAUUUCUUAAUUAUUGAUCAUAAAUAGUAGCAUAUUAUAAUACAAUAUAAAAUUUACCUUAAAGUUAAUUUAUUACUGCCACAUUAUAAAUCUGUAGAAUUAAUUUGAAUUGGUAAUAUUAUGACGCCAAAGAAAGGUAUAUCAAAUUUGGUUAGAACUGCCUAUUGAAGUAACAUAUACGUAUUUGUAUGGAUACAUUAUGUAGCAAAAAAAAUGAAGAUUUUUGUAACAAACUUGACAAAUAUCUAAAUUGCAGUGUUGAUGAUAAAUAAUUAAUCUCUUUUACAAUCCAUUUGCUUUUAGUCUAAAUCAAAAGAAAGAUAAUAAAUUCACGGAACUUUUGCCUUAAAAAAGCAAACGAUCCAAAUUAGAUAAAUAGUCAACCAAUUAAUCAAACAAACAAGGUCCCCUGCAUUUAAUGAGAACUUAAGCUUUUGCUUUAUCUCAGCAACAAGUUGAGUUUUAUGUGAUUUAAGAUUAAAAUAUUAAUAAAACUACAAAAUUAUGUCAUUUAAGAAAUUAUAUUUAAGUAUUUACCUAAUUAAAGUUUUAGUUAACCACUAAGCGACUUAGAUUUAAAAUUUAGAUAAGACUCUAGUUGAUCUUUCAUGUGAGAAUGUUAAUUCACUUACUUAGCAUUAUGUGGCAUUUUCUUUAAAGAUUUUAAAUUAUUUGAUGGUUGUGAGAGUCAAAUUUAAAAUAAUAAAAAUUAAUGUAAUUAUCAUGUUAAUGGGACCACAUUAGAGUCAUUAAUUCAUAAAAGAAUAUGAAUUCAUAUAUUACGCAGAUGAAUUUUUUUUAUUUAAAAAAAGUAGGUUUGUUAAUAUCAAAGGCGGCUCAACUAAUUUUGAAGCCUUAGGCGAAUUGUUUCAAUUAUGUCUUUAAUAAAAUUUGAAGUCAAACAUAUUCAUUAGUUUUACUAAAAAGUCAAAAGUUAUUUAUUUAAAAUCAAAUUUUCUGGCUUUCUUAAGUGCAAAAUUAUUAAUCAAAUUUAUAUUCUAAUUUCAGUAAUAUAUUUUUCUCAAUAGCAAUAUAGCUAAUCCAUUUAAUUUUCUUGCGACUUAGUUAAUCUUAAAUAAUUUUUAUCAAUUUUAAUUUUGAAAAACCUCGUCAAUUACUAAUUCUUCACUCAAAUUCUCAUCUUUUUUUACUACUUUUGACAAACUUAUCAAGAGCUUCUUUUGAGAUCAAAUUAACUUUUUAUUAUUCUCUCUCUCUUUUUUUUUUUGAACUUUUUCAUAUUUUAGUGCACAUUUUCUUUUAGACAUUUUCUUUUCAGUGAAAUAAGAGUAAACAAGCAUACAAUUAUGAUAGAUAAUUAAAAGAAAAGAACAAUUAUAUUUAAAAAAGAAACAAUAACAAUUGAAUAACACAACUAAUUAAGAAGAGCGUAGGAAGAAAAAAUUGGAUACUUGAGAACUUUUUACUUUGAUUGAUUGAAGUUUUAAACAGCAGUGAUUAAUGGAAAUAGUUAAUCUUUCUUAAAGUAAAAUUUAAAGAAAGCGGUUUUACUUUUUUUUUUCCUUAUGCACUAAAGCAUUGAAUGUGUCGUGCUUUUUUUUUUAAUUGAUAAAAAUAUUAAUGGAUAACAACAAAUGUGUGGCUUCUAUAGAGGUAUAAAUAAAAUAACGUUAAAUAGAGAUUUUGUAUGAAUAAAUAAGAUUAAAAUUGUCAUUAUAACGUUAAAAAGAGAUUUUGUAGGGAUUUGAUAAUUUAUUUAUGACAAUUUUGUAGGAUUAAAAUUGUUAUUAAAUAUAAAUGAAUAAUUUUAUAGCUAUAAUAUUAGAGAGAAAUUUGGGGCCUUUAUAUUUAGUGGAGUUCAUUGCCCAAGUUACUUAGAGAAAGAGCUGUUCUUAGUUAACAUCACAUCUACAAAUUGACUUUAAAUUUCUAAUGAAUCGGUCAUAACAUUCUUUUUUUGCUAAAUACUCAUAAAUAUUUAAGUUAUUACAUAAAGAUCCAAUGUUAACACUUAAUAAAAUUGUAUAAAUUCGAUAACAAAAACAUUGAAUUCAAAUAAAAGGAAAAUUUACGUGUAGUUCAGUUAGUCUUGGAAUGACAUAGUACUCAUAUAGAGUUAUGAUGUUCAAUAAUUAUUACAACCAAAAUAAAAUUUUUGAUUGGCCAUAUCUUUCAGAUUUGUAAUCAAAUGGUAGAUGUUUUAACUAAAUUUGUAUUCUGUUGCUUUGAUUUUUAUGUUUGGCUAGAUCCCAACUAAUUAUCUUGUUAUUUUUUAUAGGUUAUUUGUAAAUAAAUGAAGUCUAUUAUUCAGAAAAAUAAUUACCUGCAAACAUCGUACUCUAUUUUCAAUUAUUCGUAUCCAAAAGCAAAAUCUUACAAAAAGGUAAUAAUAUUCCGAAUUAAUUAAAAAACGACACGUAAACAGGCAAGUCCACAAAAACCCACCGAAAAGCGCAAAAAAAAAAAAAGAAACAUGUUCAUUCAAUUUAUCGCGAUACGAUAAAUGCUUAACAAAAUGUCAUAUCAAUUUCACCAUCAAAACUACGGUAUUUUUUUCUAUAUAUUAAAGAAUUUUUUUAAAAGCAAAUAAAAACCCAAAAAAACAAAAAAAGCGACAACUAUGCUGAAACUCACCGUUCCCAGUUUCCCAAUGAAUAAAAUAAGAGUAAUGAUACAGCCACAAACUAUUGUACAAACUUAUUUUGUACAAAUUAACGUGGCACUAAUUCAUUGGUUGAAUGAAAAUAUAAAAUAAUGAAAACAAAUCAUGUGGUCCAAGUGAUAUUUAAUUCAACCAAUCUUAUCAUGCCACAUAAGUUUGUACAAAAUAAAUUUAUACAAGAGUUUGUGGCUAUAUCAUUACUCAUAAAAUAAAUAUAAAGGACUCGUGCGUGCCUUCCCUUUCCCUCCUGUUUUUGUCACCCGCCUCUUCCUCAUCUCGCCAUCUGUUUCCCCCACUACGCCCAUAAAAACGUCACCGUUUCAUUCUCACUCCUUCCUCACACCCCUCUGCUUUUCCCCACAUUCCUUCUUUUCAUAUCAACUCAAAAGUUCAUUCUUUUAACAUUAAUAAUAAUAAUUUUAUUGAAAUAAAUCAAUCAAAAAGGUAACUCCAAAUAUCUCCUCCAGCUUUUUGCUGCUUCUUAAUUUUGAUCGACUAUGACCAUGUACUAAAGGUUCAAUUUUUUUCAGUUUUUUCAGUCAACGCUUUUGCUUUAAGAUUUCGUUUUACCUUCCUUGAAAAUUAAAGCUCACCUAAUUGAUACGAUUAAAAUUAUUUUUUUAGCUGAAGAUUGAUACAAUUUUCACUUCAUUUUUUUCUUAACUUUGUAUCCGGAUUUGCUACUUUUGUUUAAAGUUUUUAUUUUUUUAAUAUUUUUCUGUGGAGCUAAGCGUGACUUUGGUUACAGCUUUAUAUUAUUUUAACAUAUAAUUAGACUAAUUUAUUUAUUUGUUGAUUUAUUGUUACUUGAACUCAUGGGCGGACCUAGUGUAGGCCCAGGAGGGGCUGAAGCCCCUUCUGAGUUUUGAAAUUUAUUUGAAUAUAUUAUAAUUGGUCCAUUUAAAAAUUUAAAGUUUCUUCCAGACUUUCAAAUUUUCCUUUGAAAAUAUUUUAUAUGUUUGGCUCAUUUUUUAGUUUGUUAUAUAUGUACUAGACUUGAAAUGAGGGUUUAAGUGAUGAUUUAAUUGAUUGACAUAAUUGUCAUCUUAUAAUUUUAAAUUUUUAAAAAUAUCAAGGCAAAAGUCAUUGGUUUUUAGCUUUUUAAUUAGCCAACUGGUUUCAUCACUCUUUCAAAAAUAAAAUUGCACGGUCUUUUUAUCACAUUCAAAUAAAAAACAAAGGAAGUGUUAAGAUUUUCUCAUAUGAAUUAAACACGACUAAUUGAAAUAGAGUUAUUUGAUCAACUAAAUUUCUUACUAUUUGUGGUAACCUUUUUUUUUUUUGCCUCAAAUAAUUAUUCUAAUUUAAGUCAUUGCAUGAAAACAACAAAAUUUCAAAUUGUUGAUUAAGUUGACAAUGAAAUUAUUAUAGAAUGUAAUUUUUUAAAAACUGAAAAUGAGUCGAGAAUAAUCGUAAAUGUGUUGAAAAUUAUUAAUUCAAUGAAGUUCAAUAAUUUGGCACUUGUUGUUUUUGUUUGAAUUUUUUUUUGGGUGUACUAAAUCAUCUGAUAUUUAAAGAUUACAUUGAGUCCGACUAAUUCAGAUUCGAGUCGGAUAGGAUCAUUAGGACGGUAAAAUUCUUCUAAUAAAUAUUUAACGUAGUUGUAUUCCUAAGUCUCGAACCGAGUACCUUGAUUAAAUUAAAACAGCCCAAUGCCAAUUGAUAUACACACUUGUUGGUGAAUUUUUUUUAAUUGUAUUGUAUUAAGCCCCUCCUAGAUAAAAUUUCUGGGUCCGCCACUGCUUGAACUGAUGAACAUGAAUUUUGAAGUGAAUACGUGUGUUUGAUUGACUGGAUUUUGUAAGAUUCCUUUGUAGAAGUAUUUUAAUCCCACGAAGAGUAUGAUUCAGCAAAUAGCUUUGGGAAUGGUAUUGAUUCUAUUCUUGUUUGUUUAUUCAUAUAAGAACUUUGAUGCAACCUUCAGAUUCCUUUUGAACCAUGUAGUUAUAUAUUUGGAUUAGUUUAUAGCAUAUCAACUGUUGAUUGUUGCAUUUAGAUGUUUUUUGUUACUUCAGCUCUUGAUUACUUAUUAUAUGUCAGUUAAAGAGCAAACAUUAUACAAGUUCUUGAUUGAUUAGUGCUCUUUCGUAUAACGGGUUCGUGACUGAUGUUCACUUUCUUAUUUGAAUAUUCACUAAAACAGAGUAAACAAUUUCUUUUUUUUCUUUUGUUUCUUUUUGUCCUUGACCUUGCAGAGCUUGCUUACACAAUGAAGAUCACAGAGAAAUGCGAUGUGUACAGUUUCAGAGUGUUAGUGUUGGAAGUGAUCAAAGGGAAGUAUCCAAGAGAUUUUCUUUCUUCGAUUUCAUCUUCAUCUCUCAACACGGAUAUAGCACUUGAUGAAAUGUUGGACCGAUGAAAUGUUGGACCUGCGUCUUCCAACUCCAUUGCGCAAUAUUCAAGAUAGACUGCUAUCAAUCAUGGAGGUUGCAUUUUCGUGCUUAGAUGGGAAUCCAGAAUUGCUACCAACCAUGGAGACAGUCAGUCAAUUAUAAUCUAAUAAUUACGAAUAAUCCCGAGGGGUUGGAGACUAAGAUUUAAGGUGAACGGCCGCGGAGGAGUCAGAACCAUUCACUGAAAUAAUUGCCAUAACCUCAGCAUAGUAAUAAUUAAAAAAUAAUUUCUUGCUCAUGUACAAAGAGGUGAACCCCUCGAAUGUAAACUUGAAAGUGUUCACAACUGGAUUAAUUAAUGGACAAUUCAUAGUUAUUGUUAAUGUUAAAAGAAAGUAAUGGAUUGGGAAAAAAAAUAAAAAAUUAAGGAUAAUUUACAAUUAAUGUAGUCCUUGUGAUUUAAGGAAAAAUCAAGUAAGCCGGAAAUAAUUAGUACUAUUUUUCAAAUAAGUCCUCUGACCGUGUUUGACCAUUCAUCGUACUGCAAAGUAAGCGAAAAAAUCGACUUCUUAGCAGCCCACUUCUAUGAUGCGAUUAAUUUCAUCCAUUCGCUGAUUCGCGUGCUGGUAGUUAGGCAAGUUCAUUUGUUGGCUGGAGAAAUUUGAUAUUUUUGGUACCAAAUUUAUACGUGUGUGCGUGUGUGUUUCCUUUAAUUUGUGAAUUUGGUAUUACUUCUGAUCAAGUGUGCGAAACAGAAACAACGGUAUUUAUUACAGAAAUAUUUCUAAUUUGCAGUAUGGAAAGCUUGGAGAUGUUAAAUCUAUCCCAAAAUAACCUGUCAGGUUCAAUUCUAAGUAAUUUUGAAGAAAUGCAUGGCUUGUCAUUGGUUUAUGCAUCUCCUACAUUGAAUUACAGGGCCCAAUUCCAGUUGACAGAUACCCAUUUGGCGUCCGUAUGGACAAACUUGACACUCCCGCUGCCAGAUAUGUUCCAAAAUCUACUUAUAGCCAUAAUUUUGAUACAAAAGGCAAUGGAAUUAUUGACCCUUAUAAAUUAUGAAUUACAUCCUAAUCUAGUUGCUUAAUUUUGGAUAGAAAAUCUUGCUUUGAUCAUUAUACCGCUUAGAAAUAUCAAAUUCCAAGGCUCGUCAUUAAUUGGGAUAAAAUUUUAUAUCUCAGCUUUCUAAAUAAUUUACUUAUCAUUCAAAUAUAAAGUGGCCAGAGGACAUGCCGAGCGUCAAAAUGAAAGGAGAGAGGAGUAGUAGAUAAGAUACGGGUUAGAAGGAGUCACAACUUUUUUUUCCUUUUCCCCUGUUUGAUCUCAGUAUUUAUAUAAAGCAAAGAUUCGAUGACUAAAACAUGACGCUACUUAUAUAAUAUAGAGAGAGAGAUUUAUGGGUUCUGAUCUAAUGGGUAACGUGUGAAGGCCCACGUGUCCAUAAGACAAGCGAUGGUGUCUACCAGAUUAGUUCUCUGGAGUUUAGAUCACCGGGUAACACAGACAUUGACUCCUUCACUUCUCAAUUGCUCUUUUGCUUUCGCUGUAAUUGUUUUCUGCAACGUCAUUAAAUUAUAAAUGAGUGUUUGAUAACCUUUUCAAUUUCAAUCAACUUUUGUAUUACCUUAAUUAUUUUGUUUCCUUUCUGCGUAAUUGAUCUUGUGUUUUUAUAAUAUCAAUGGUAUCACAAACCUUGAAUACAGUAUCUUUUACUGUUUUGUUGAUUCUAUUUUAUACGUGUUUGUAUUAGAAUUUUUACUUAUCAUUGAAAAACCCGGGGAUGAAAUCUAACACGUACUAAUUAAUUAAAUUUAUUUCAUAAUAAUAAACUAAAUUAAUUUUUUUAAUAAUUUGAUAACUUUACCUUAAAAGCAAAACUUUGAUACGAAUUAUAACGCUUACUAUGGCAUGAACAUGGACCCUUUUUUCCCAAUCCAAAGCUUAUCCUAUGUUUGGCAAGGUUUUAUAUACUGGGAGAGGGAUAAAUAGAGAAAAACAUAUCUAUUGGAACCGUACCUCCAACAGGAUAAGUUGGGAAAAGCAAUCAAUAAUUUAACUAAUUAAUUAAAAUUAUUAAAAAAAAAAAAAGGUUGAGGGAGGGACAAAAUCAAAAUUAUUUUUUAUCCUUUACCUCCCCAUGAUACUAUCCAGUCAGGGCCUAGAGACAAAUUAAAUUAAUUAUUACUAAGAUAACAAUAUUAUAGGUAAAACAACUUAUUCUAAUUGAAUUAUUUAAUGAUACAUAUAUUACAUAAAUUAAAAAAUUAUAGAAAUUUUUAUUUAUAUUUAAUUAACUUCCAUUUACAUUGAUUCAAAUAAUAAGCAGUACCAAAUUUUUUUUUUGUUAAUAAUAUAAAAUAUGUUAUUGGCAAUAAUAAAAGAAUGUAUUACAAAUAAUAAUACAUUUAAAUAUCUUGUAAUUUAGAUGUAUAUUUUUAUUAUUUAUUUCAUGUGGGAAUCCUCCUUGUUUUUCAGCAUCAAGUUCGUUUGAUUUAUUUAGUCUCAUUUAAAUAUCUUGUUCUUCCUUUUAAAAUGUAGUUCUUGUUGUAAUAACUAAUGAUUAGUAUUUUCCAGAUAAGUUCUCUGACCGUUUUUAAUCAUUAACUAACAAUUCAUAUUUUUAACGUUUAUUAAGAAUUUUAGGUUUGUCUAUAAAUAAAUGAAAGGAAUUAAUAACAAAUUUAGUGAAGGAUGAACAAUUUUGGUAGAGUUAGGAUGUAAACGAAAAUAUAAACAAUUAAUUGUGGCAUUAAGUAUGAGAAAAACUCAAUCUAGACCACUCAUAUUUUGAUAUAUCAUUUGUCAUUAGAUCUUUAAAAGUCUAAUAAACUAAGGGUUACAAAUCCUUUUUUUUCUAACGUGCUCGAGUUCUACAGGACAUUGGAGAAGUCCUAGAAAAUUGAUCAAGGCAACCUGGCUACAAUUGAUAGAAAGGAAACGUUUAAAGUGGCUUGAUUAAUUUACAAGAACCCGGUUCGCGAGUCCAUGGUUUCUCUAGGAAGCCUCAGUCGGCUUGCGGUACCACAAUUCAUAGAAGCAUAAAAAAUAGCUUGAUGUAACAAAGAUUUGUGCGUUCUUUUAAAUUCAGCAUUUGAGUUCGUUAUGAUGAAGGGUCAGAAUCAAUCACUAAAACAAGUGCCAUAACCUCAGCAUUGUAAUAAUUAAAAAAUAAUUUCUUGCGCAUGUACAAAGAGGUGAACCACUCGAAUGUAAACUUGAAAAGUGUUCACAACUGGAUUAAAUAAUGGACAAUUCAUAGUUAUUGUUAAUGUUAAAAGAAAGUAAUGGAUUGGGAAAAAAAAUAAAAAAUUAAGGAUAAUUUACAAUUAAUGUAGUCCUUGUGGUUUAAGGAAAAAUCAAGUAAGCCAGAAAUAACUAGUGCUAUUUUUCAAAUAAGUCCUCUGACCGUGUUUGACCAUUCACCGUACUGCAAAGUAAGCGAAAAAAUCGACUUCUUAGCAGCCCACUUUAUGAUGCGAUUAAUUUCAUCCAUUCGCUGAUUCGCGUGCUGGUAGUUCGGCAAGUUAAUUUGAUGGCAGGAGAAAUUUGAUAUUUUUGGUACCAAAAUAUAUACAUAUGUGUGCGUGUGUGUGUUUCCUUUAAUUUGUGAAUUUGGUAUUACUUCUGAUCAGGUGUGCGAAACAGAAACAACGGCAUUUAUACAGAAAUUUUUCUAAUGUGCAGUAUGGAAAGCUUGGAGAUGCUAAAUCUCUCCCAAAAUAACCUGUCAGGUUCAAUUCUAAGUAAUUUUGAAGAAAUGCAUGGCUUGUCAUUGGUUUAUGCAUCUCCUACAUUGAAUUACAGGGCCCAAUUCCAGUUGACAGAUACCCAUUUGGCGUCCGUAUGGACAAACUUGACAUUCCCGCGGCCAGAUAUGUUCCAAAAUCUACUUAGCCAUAAUUUUGAUACAAAAGGCAAUGGAAUUAUUGACCCUUAUAAAUUAUGAAUUACAUCCUAAUCUAGUUGCUUAAUUUUGGAUAGAAAAUCUUGCUUUGAUCAUUAUACCGCUUAGAAAUAUCAAAUUGGGAUAAAAUUUUAUAUCACAGCUUUCUAAAUAAUUUACUUAUCAUUCAAAUAUAAAGUGGCCAGAGGACAUGCCGAGCGUCAAAAUGAAAGGAGAGAGGAGUAGUAGAUAAGAUACGGGUUAGAAGGAGUCAAAAUUUCAUAAACUUUUUUGGAUUGUAUCUCACAAGUCACAACUUUUUUUCCUUUUCCCCUGUUUGGAUCUCAGUGUUUAUAUAAAGCAAAGAUUCAAGGCCCACGUGUCCAUAAGAUGAGCGAUGGUGUCUACCAGAUUAGUUCUCUAGAGUUUAGAUCACCGGGGGAACACAGACAUUGACUCCUUCACUUCUCAAUUGCUGUUUUGCUUCCGCUGUAAUUGUUUUCUGCAACGUUGUUAAAUUAUAAAUGAAUGUUUGAUAACCUUUUCAAUUUCAAUCAACUUUUGUAUUACCUUAAUUAUUUUGUUUCCUUUCUGCGUAAUUGAUCUUGUGUUUUUAUAAUAUCAAUGGUGUCACAAACCUUGAAUACAGUAUCUUUUACUGUUUUGUUGAUUCUGUUUUAUACGUGUUUGUAUUAGAAUUUUUACUUAUCAUUGAAAAACCCGGGGAUGAAAUCUAACACGUACUAAUUAAUUAAAUUUAUUUCAUAAUAAUAAACUAAAUUAAUUUUUUUAAUAAUUUGAUAACUUUACCUUAAAAGCAAAACUUUGAUAUGAAUUAUAACGCUUACUAUGGCAUGAACAUGGACCCUUUUUUCCUAAUCCAAAGCUUAUCCUAUGUUUGGCAAGGUUUUAUCUACUGGGAGAGGGAUAAAUAGAGAAAAACAUAUCCAUUGGAACCGUACCUCCAACAGGAUAAGUUGGGAAAAGCAAUCAAUAAUUUAACUAAUUAAUUAAAAUUAUUAAAAAAAAAGUUGAGGGUGGGACAAAAUCAAAUUUAUUUUUUAUCCUUUACCUCCCCAUGAUACUAUUCAGGGCCAGUUUGGGAAUGCUGUAGCUUUUAAAAUAAUUGAUGUUAGCUGUGCUGUAGAAAUAAUCAGCUGUGAAGAGAAUCAGUUAAGUGUUUGGUAAAUUUUGUUUUAAAAAGUACUGUGAGUUUUGAAAGUAAUUAUGGACGUUUGGUAAAUUUUACUGUUAAACUGUUACGAGAAAAUAAAUGACUAAAAUAUACAUAAUAUAAGAUAAAAUUUAUUUUUAUAUAUAAAAUAUGUACAUAUAAUAUUUUUAAUUGUGUAUUAUAAUAAUUUUUAUUAAAAAUAAAAUUUAUAAUAUAUUGAUUUUACUUUUUUAUUUUUUAUCUUAAAACAAUUGAUAAUUAAAUUAAUAAUAUAGUGAAACAAAUUUAAUAAUAAUUCGACCAACAAAUUGAUAGUAAUAAAUUUAUAUUGAUGAAUUAUAAUACAAAUUUAUUAAAAUAUUUAUUUUGUUUCCAAUUUGAAUAAGGAUAAUUUUGGGUUUAGGUAAUAAUUUUAAGGAUAUUCAUGGAAUUGUAUUAAAUGAUAAAAUUGAUUCUCAAAAUCAGAAUCUAAAAGCUACUCCUUCACUGCUUUUCAAAAUCAGCUGUAGGAGGGGUUGAUUUUGACAAAAGUGAUUUUGAUUUUUUUUUACCAAACACUAAAACUAACUUUUAAAUUUUUAAAAUCACUUUUAAAUCUCCUAAAAGCAAUCCCAAACGGGCCCUCAGUGUUGAAAAGUCAUGCACAUGACAUUGAAAUUAAAAAAUGAAUGCAAAAUUUCAAAUGGCUACCAAACAUUUGAAGAAAAAAUGGAAAGUUGGCAAAUUUGUCAAAUUUUCUAAAUGGACACCAUUGACUAUUGGCUUAGGUUAGGUGGAAUAGUAAAGGGGUUGGUGCAAUAGUGCCAUUAUUUUCCCUAUAAAUAGAUGACACUUCUUCCAUUCUAAAUCAUCCCAAAAUUAUUAAGCUUAUAAGUUUCUAAGCUUUUGAGAGAAGUGAGAGAAGUGUGUCUGGGGAAUUUAUCUUUCCUGCAGAGUGUGAGAGUACUGGGUAUAUUUGGGUUUCUGGGAAGUGAGAUUCGUUACUCAAAUAUUGUAUUCUAUUAAUUGUUAAAUAAACAAUUAUUCUUUCUUGCCUCCGUGGAUGUAGGUUUAAUUACCGAACCACGUAAAUUCUUGUGUCCUUUAUUUUUCAGUAAUUAUUUGGUGCGUUUGAUUCCGCAUUCCGCGCACAACAAGUGGUAUCAGAGCCGACGGUUCGUACUUGGGCAGAUACAGUACUGUUCACGUAUACGGUACUGUUCACGUAUACGGUACUAUUCACGAAUACGGUGGAGACGGCCAUUUGUACUUGGGAGACAGUCUAUUGUAAGUAGUGUGUAUUUUUGCAUGUCUAGGAAAGUUCUGUCAAAAAAGGCGAUAAGAGUCUAAGGAUUCUGGUUUUUAAUUGGGACCGAGUUCCCGUCCAGUUUCCUAGGAACUUUUCUGGUGCAUUUAUUCACACGAAAUUAACAUCAUAGAGGCUAUUUUUCAAGUGGAAAUAGUUCGUUGAGAAAAAUGGUAGAAGGUGAAACUUCCAGAAUUGGGGAGAGAUCUACCGAGACUAUUUCAGGAGACACUUCAGGUGGGAGACGAGAUUUGUCAAAUCGCUAUUCAGCACCUGUUAUAGGAGACCAGAAGAUUGAUGUUGAAAAGUUUGAUGGGAAAAUCAACUUCGGCAUGUGGAGGCGCGAAGUUAUGGAUGCCCUUAUUCAAAUCGAUCUCGAUGUUGUUCUGAAAAAUAAAAGACACUUGUAUGAUGAAGAAAUUUGGGAUCGUAUGAAUGAAAAAGCUUGUGGUCAGAUCAGAUCUUGUUUGACCAAGGAGGUGAAAUACUUGGUGAAAGAUGAGGAGUGUGCAGUGACUUUGUGGCGUACAUUGGAAGAGAAGUACCUGGUGAAAAGUCCUGAAAAUCGUCUUCAUGCAAUGAGCCAAGUAUAUGGCUUUCGAAUGAAGUCUGGGGUGUCAAUGCACGAUCAUGUUUCAAGAUUUGAAAAGUUACUUGCUGAUUUGAAGAAUCUUGAUGAAGAUAUUAAGGAUGAAGUCAAGGCUAUGAUUUUGUUACACUCACUACCAGAGGAAUAUAGCCAUUUUGUGACUACCUUGAUAUAUGGAAAAAGUGUGAUCAUCUUCAAAGAUGUUUGCACAACAUUGACUAAUUUGGAGAUUCGGAAUAAUAAUAAAAAUUUUGAACGAGCAUCGUCUGAAGCUUUGGUGAGCAGAGAUUGGGCGAUGGAGAAAAAGAAAAAGCGUGGUGGAAAGAAUUCUCGAUCCAAAUCGAGAAGCAAAAAUAUAGCUUGAGACGAGUGUGCCUUUUGUCAUGAAAAGGGCCAUUGGAGGAAAGAUUGUCCAAAGGCUCAAAAGAGAGAUGGGAAGAAACCAGCAUCAGCAAACAUGGCACGGAAAGAUGAGGGCUCUGAUUAUUCACUAAGUAUUACUCCUGCAGCAUACGUGGCUAGUUCGAGCGAGUGGAUACUUGAUACUGGAGCAACCUAUCAUUUGUGUCCUAUUAAGGAAUGGUUUACGGAUUUUCGUAAUCUGGAAUCCGGUGCAGUUAUGAUGGGGAAUAAUCAACCUUGUCGUACAAUGGGGAUAAGAACAAUUUGGCUCAAAAUGUUUGAUGGAAUGGUCAGAGAACUCAAAGAGGUUAGAUUUGUUCCAGAGAUAAAGAAAAAACUAAUUUCUGUGGGUGCUUUGGAAGCUAAAGGUUACAAAGUUACCAUUGAAGAUGGCACAAUGAAGUUUACACAUGGGGCUAUGGUGAUUCUGCAAGGGGUUCGGCGUCACAAUCUGUACUAUUUGAAGGGAGGUACAACUGAUGAAGCAAAUGUUGUUGAGGCGCACAGUGACACCACCAAGCUAUGGCAUGUACGACUGGGACAUGCAGGAGAGAAGUCUUUGCAAACUCUGAUGAGGCAUGGACUCUUAAAAGGUUCCAAAACCUGUAAAUUAAAUUUCUGUGAGCAUUGUGUAGUAGGCAAGAAAACAAGGGUCAAGUUUGGUACAGCUAAUCACGAUACUCGUGAGAUCCUUGAAUAUGUUCAUAGUGAUGUAUGGGGACCAACCAAGACUGCAUCAAUUGGUGGAAGCCAUUAUUUUGUUAUAUUUGUUGAUGAUUUCUCUAGACAUGUGUGGGUGUACACCAUGAGAGCAAAGGAUGAGGUUCUAGAGAUUUUCGUGAAAUGGAAGAAAUUGGUGGAGACUCAAACUGGCAGAAAGAUCAAAGUAUUACGAUCUGAUAAUGGGGGUGAAUAUACUUCUGAUCCAUUCUUGCAAGUAUGCUAGAACGAGGGUAUUAAAAGACAUUUCACGGUGAGACAUACUCCGCAAUAGAACGGUGUGGCUGAACGUAUGAAUCGUACUUUACUGGAGAAGGUACGGUGUAUGUUAUCUAAUGCUGGUUUAGAUAAAAAGUUUUGGGCUGAAGCUGUGAGCUACGCAAGUCACUUGGUAAAUCGGUUGCCUUCUGCUGCAAUUGGAGGUAAAACUCCUAUGAAAAUGUGGUCUGAAAAGUAUGCACAAGACUAUGAUUCCCUUCGUGUAUUCGGGUGUCCAGCUUAUUAUCAUGUCAAAGAUGGUAAACUGGAUCCUCGUGCUAGAAAAGCUAUCUUUAUGGGAUUCAAAGGUGGAGUAAAGGGCUUCAAGCUUUGGGAUCUCGAAGAUAAAAAGUUUGUGUGUAGCAAAGAUGUCACAUUUGAUGAAGUUUCUAUGAUGAAAGCUUCAAGUUCUCAGCAGGUGGAGAACAAGACCACAGAGGUAUUGCAGCGGGUGGAGUUUGAUGUAACUCCAUAUGUACCAGUUAGUUCUACAUCAAAGAAUGAUUCAACUAUGGAGGUGACACCUAGAGUUGAAGAAGAGAUUGUUUCUUCUGAUGUCCCACAAAAUGAAGAAACAAUUGAUGAUGUAGAUGAUGAUGAUUUUAUAGCAACAAGGAGGCCAAGAAGAGAGAUAAAGAAACCCGGAUGGCUUACUAAAGAUAUGGUGGUAGCCUAUGCACUUCCAAUUAUUGAUGAUGACAUCCCCAACACUUUCAAGGAAGCAUUACGCAGCAGUGAAAAUGAUCAGUGGAAGUUAGCCAUGGAGGAAGAGAUGAAAUCUCUGCAUCAAAACCAGACUUAGGAACUUGUAAAGUUACCAAAGGGGAAAAGGGCUAUUGGCAAUAAAUGGGUCUACACCAAAAAGCAAGGAUCUCCGAAUCAAACAACUCUUCGAUACAAGGCAAGGCUCGUAGCAAAAGGUUUUGCUCAAAAGGAAGGUAUUGACUACAAUGAAGUUUUCUCUCCAGUUGUAAAACAUACUUCCAUUCGUAUCCUACUUGCCUUAGUUGUAGAAUAUGAGUUAGAGUUGGCUCAGUUGGAUGUGAAGACGGCGUUCUUACAUGGAGAUUUGGAGAAGGAAAUCUAUAUAAUUCAGCCUUGUGGUUUCAAAGUUGCUGAAAAGGAAAAUCGUGUGUACAGAUUGAGUAAAUCUUUAUACAGAUUCGUUUGAACUACGGUUGGCUUGAUCCCAAAUUUUGGGUACAUAGGCAGUCGAAACGACACAGCCAUUCUGGAUCCUUAUUGAAGGAUCACUUUGGGGAUGAGGGUUCGUUGGUAGUCGGCUCAGAUUUGGACAAAUUUUCGCCGAGGUGGAGAAUUGUUGAAAAGUCAUGCACAUGACAUUGAAAUUCAAAAAUGAAUGCAAAAUUUCAAAUGGCUACCAAACAUUUGAAGAAAAAAUGGAAAGUUGGCAAAUUUGUCAAAUUUGCCAAAUGGACACCAUUGACUAUUGGCUUAGGUUAGGUGGAAUAGUAAAGGGGUUGGUGCAAUAGUGCCAUUAUUUUCCCUAUAAAUAGAUGGCACUUCUUCCAUUCUAAAUCAUCCCAAAAUUAUUAAGCUUAUAAGUUUCUAAGCUUUUGAGAGAAGUGAGAGAAGUGUGUCUGGGGAAUUUAUCUUUCCUGCAGAGUGUGAGAGUACUGGGUAUAUUUGGGUUUCUGGGAAGUGAGAUUCGUUACUCAAAUAUUGUAUUCUAUUAAUUGUUAAAUAAACAAUUAUUCUUUCUUGCCUCCGUGGAUGUAGGUUUAAUUACCGAACCACGUAAAUUCUUGUGUCCUUUAUUUUUCAGUAAUUAUUUGGUGCGCUUGAUUCCGCAUUCCGCGCACAACAUUCAGUCAGGGCCUAGAGACAAAUUAAAUUAAUUAUUAUUAAGAUAACAAUAUUAUAGGUAGGGAUGGCAAAAAACCCCACGGGGACGGAUACCCUCGGGGAUUUUUCCCAUUCGGGGAGGGUAUGGGGAUAAUUUCAUACCCAAUUUUUUAUUUGGGGGAGGGACGGAGAAAUUUUUUUACCCAAUUUCUUAUUCGGGGAGGGGAAGAGGAUGAGGUGGAAUCCCCAUCCCGUACCCAUUUCCCCAUUUUAAUUUUUAAUUUUAUUUUUAUUUUUUAAAAUUACUAGUAAAUAAAUAAUAAAUUUUGAAUUAUAAAAUUAUAAAUAUUGGUAAAAAUAACAAAUAUCAAAAUAUUUAUAUUAUUAAACUUUUAGGCCUAAUUAACUAAUUAAAGUCCUAAAUUUUUAUUUAGGACAUUAAAAAAACCGGGUAAAUUUGAUUAGCCCAAUUUUUUUUUUAAUUUUAAUAUUCAUUAAAUGUUUUAAACUUAAAUCUAUUUUUUAUUUAUUUUUAGAUGUUAUAAUUGCCCACAGCGAAUCACAAUUUUAAUAUCUAAUUUAAUCUAAUCUAAUCUAAUCUAAUCAAUAUUUGCUCUUGAUUUGCUCCGACUUAAUUAUUGUGCUGUAAAGAGAAUAAUCCACAUUUAUAAAGUGCCCACGCCACCAUUGAAAAAGUUAAUUUUGAAUCUAAAUUAGAUUUUAUUUGUAACAAUUUUGUAUUAGACUAUUAAUUUAUUCACGAUAGUUUAUAAAAGAAGUUUGUAUCCCUUACAUGCUGCGAUACUUACUAAUUUAAUGUAUGUGACUUUUGUAAUGGAUAUUAAUGUAAGAUAUAUUUCAAACUUUACUUUUAUUUGAAUUUUUUAUUUUAAUAUGAUUAACUCAAAAUCGAAAACAAAAAAUGUAUUAGUUAUUUGGGGAUCGGGGACCCUUGGGGAUCUCCUGUUAUUAUUCGGGGAGGGGAUGGAGAUUCUCUCAAGUAAUUCUGAUGGGGACGGGGAGGGGGAGGGGACAGGGACAUAUGCAAAAUAUCGGGGAUGGGUAUGGGGAGAUUGGUCCAUAUGGGUAUGGGGAGAUUGGUCCCCUCCCCUCCCCUCCCCUCCCCAUUGUCAUCCCUAAUUAUAUGUAAAACAACUUAUUCUAAUUGAAUUAUUUAAUGAUACAUAUAUUACAUAAAUUAAAAAAUUAUAGAAAUUUUUAUUUAUAUUUAAUUAACUUCCAUUUACAUUGAUUCAAAUAAUAAGCAGUACCAAAUUUUUUUUGUUGUUAAUAAUAUAAAAUAUGUUAUUGGCAAUAAUAAAAGAAUGUAUUACAAAUAAUAAUACAUUUAAAUAUCUUGUAAUUUAGAUGUAUAUUUUUAUUAUUUAUUUCAUGUGGGAAUCCUCCUUGUUUUUCAGCUUCAAGUUCGUUUGAUUUAUUUACUUCCAUACUAGGUACAGUAUAUGGUGUUCUCAUCCUUUUACAAUGUAGUUCUUGUUGUAAUAACUAAUGAUUAGAAUUUUUUCCAGAUAAGUCCUCUGACCGUUUUUAAUCAUUAACUAACAAUUCAUAUUUUUACUGUUUAUUAAGAAUUUUAGGUUUGUCUAUAAAUAAAUGAAAGGAAUUAAUAAGAAAUUUAAAGAAGGAUGAACAAUUUUGGUAGAGUUAGGGUGUAAACGAAAAUAUAAAAAAUUAAUUGUGGCAUUAAGUAUGAGAAAAACUCAAUCUAGACCACUCAUAUUUUGAUAUAUCAUUUGUCAUUAGAUCUUUAAAAGUCUAAUAAACUAAGGGUUACAAAUCCUUUUUUUUCUAACGUGCUCGAGUUCUACAGUACAUUGGAGAAGUCCUAGAAAAUUGAUGAAGGCAACCUGGCUACAAUUGAUAGAAAGGAAACGUUUAAAGUGGCUUGAUUUACAAGAACCCGGUUCGCGAGUCCAUGAUUUCUCUAGGAAGCCUCAGUCGGCUUGCGGUACCACAAUUAAUAGAAGCAUCAAAAGUAGCUUGAUAUAACAAAGAUUUGUGCGUGCUUUUAAAUUCAGCAUUUGAGUUCGUUAUGAUGAAGUUUCUGAGUUUCUUAAAAAUAGCUUGAUAACAUCAUUUAUUGGCCGAGUCAAGUAUAAAAGGUGCUGAUGGGCAGGUGUGUCAAAGCAGAGUGAUUUGUGAUUAUCACACCAGUGAUCUUUACUAGCUCUGAGUGAAAAGAUCAUCUUAGAUCAGAAGCGAAGCUAAGAGUUGACUAACCUUUUUUUUUUUUAAAAAAAAGUUAAUUAUAAUUCAUAAAUUUACCUUAUAGAUAACAUCCUUAUAAGCUUUAUAGUCUUGAGCAUGAUUUUAUUGUCAAAAGUAUAUAUUUAUUCUUUGCUUUUUACGCUUAAUUCGUCAUGACUUUCUCUCAGAUAAGCAAAUUAAUUUGGAAAUUAUGCUCAAAAUGUUGUAUCCAUUCUUCUAAUGUUACUUAUAAGAAUUCCCUCGAAAUGAGUAUGAUCUAAUUGUUACAUGGUCCAAAUUAAAAUUACGGUCACAAUGUUAGUAUACCGGAAAUCUGGCUAGGAUCGAGAAAUUAAACUUAGUUUUGUUUGUUAAACUGGUUGAUAUGAAUAUGAAAAGAUAUUGUAAUUCAACUUUUAAAGUCUCUUUAAUUUGUCUCCAACAUUUUGAUAACUUAACCAAAGUAUGUACAUUUGAUGACAAAAAAAGAAGGGUAUUGGAAAAGCCAACCCCAAAAUAUUUAGUCUUUCCGCUCUUUCUCUGGCAUAAUUUUCGACGAGACAAAAUGCCCAGCAAACAAGUUAAUUUGAUCUGUUAGGAUCGAAAGAAACGUUAAUUAGUCAAUUCGUCCAUUAAUCUUGGUCACAAAUGUUUAUUCUAUGUUCUGGGACGACUUUCCAUGGACUUUAAUUGUAGUUCGAAGGAGAAUGGCUAUCAAUACAAAGAUUUUUUUAACAGAACCGCAUGCAACAAGUGAACCUUUUAUUUGGAAAACUCUUCCCUACUUGAUCAGGCUUUGACUCAUACGCCUCUCAAAUGCUUGUGUAGAAAAAGCUUGUGGGCACGAUCCCCAUACCCCUAGAAACACUCCACACCUUCAAAAUACAAAAGGUAUAUGAGGAGGAAACGAUAGGAGAGCAAGGCAAAAAAAAAAAAAAAAAAAAACACUAAUUCAAAACAAAGUCAAUACCUUUACAAGAAUUCCACAUCUUUGCUAACUUAAGCAUCGGAGUGGAAUUUGGAAAUCUCAUUUUCCAAUUGUCCCAUUUCACAUUUUGGUUUAUUAUGUGCGCAAAUGACUUCCAUCUACCGCACUUGGUUCAGUUCACAUAGAAAAGAAAUAGGUAUUAACAAUCACAUAUAUUUUUUUAUUAUAUUUCCGAUAUGACUUUUCAUGUCCUUGCAUUGUAUAAAUAAAAAAAAAGGAGAAAGAGAGAGAGAAUUGAAGAAUCUUCCCGGAAAAACAUUAACGUCAAUUCAAUCCCAGAAAUUGUGCAAUUCACGGUAAGCUAAUCCGCCUUAACAAAGCUUGAAAACGUACGUGCCGAGAAUUUUUAGUAUAAUUUUUUUAUUGCUAUUUAAAUUAGGUAGUUGCGAAUGCGAACUUGAAAAUGACAUAUGCAAUUUUAUGAGCUGGCAUUGAUUACAUUGUAAACCAUGCAUGCGAUCUUCACUGUCAGCCAUCAAUGAUAACGGAGGUUCUUAUGUUGAGUUUUUUCAUGUUUUUGCGAUCUUCACUGUCAGCCAUCAAUCAUAACAUACUUUUUUUUUUUUUGGCUAAAAGUUUUUAAGUAAUGACGUCUGAAAUAACGAAAAUUUUCACUUACAUAUUCGAGUUCCAACAUAGUAUGCCAGUGAAAAAAAAUAAAAAAAAAUUGAAAAAAAUAAAACGUCAUCUUACUCUUUAUUUGAUGAAAACCAAAUGUUUUACGCGACUUGAUUUGCAAGAACCCGAUUAGCGAGCCCAUGCUUUGCGUAGGUAGCCUCAGUAGCCCUGCAUUGUAAUAAUUAAUAUAAGUAUAAAAAAAAAAUUUGUUUUGAUGUAAAAAAGAUUUGUACUUACUAAAUUCAGCAUUUCAGUUCGUUAUGGUGAAGUUUCUGAGUUUCUUAAUCAAGUAAAAUAGCAUCCUUUAUUAGCCGAGUCAAGUAUAAAAUUAGCAUCCAUUCAAAAACGAAAGGUAUAAAAUUAAGGUGCUGAUGGGCAGAUGCCAAAGCAAAGUGAUUUCAAAUUAUCACUGUAACAUCCUACGCGAAUCCCACAUCGGCAAAACACGGGAGAGAUGUUGAGUUUAUAAGGGGUGAUCUACACCUUAAUUGGUAAGACGCGUUUUGGGGUGUAUGGGCGCCCCAAGAACAAAUCCGUGCGGGCCUUGUUAAGGCCCAAAGCGGACAAUAUCUUGUCAGGUCUGGGUUGGGCCAUGACAAUCAUACCAGUGAUCUUUGCUUGCUCUGAGUGCAAACAUAAUGUUUGUAAUCUUGUUAAUACUCCGUAAAAAUAAUACUCUCUUCUGAAAUCCGUUGAUCAUAUUUGUCUUAUACCUUGCAGAACUUGCUUACACAAUGAAGAUUACUGCAUAUUUUUCAUUUUUUUUCAGGGUAAUUAGUAUGACAGUAUUGAGAUUUGAAAUGAUUGUUUGCAAAUUUUAUAGUUUAAAAUUAAGUAUGGAUUUAUUACCACAGUAUGUUUAUUCUUUGCUUUAUGCUUAAUUCAUCAUGACUUGCUUACAGAUAAGUAAAUUAAUUUGAAAAUUAAGCUCGAAGUGUUACAUCCAUUCUUCCAACAUUAAUUACAAGCAUUCAAUAUGAUAAAACUGUUACAAGGUGCGAAUUAAAAUUAUGGUAACAAUUUUAGUAAAUUGGAAAGCUAGCUAGUCUCGACAAAUUCAAUAUAGUUUUGUCUAUUAAACUGCUCGAUACGAAGAUGAAUAGAAAUUAUAAUUCAACAUUUAAAGGCUCUCUGUUUCAGUCGUUUUAAUAUCUUAAUCAAAGUACAUUUGAUGACAAAAAAGAAGGGUAUGGAUAAGCCAACCCCAAAAUAUUUAGAAUUUCCAUUCUCUCUCUGGCGUAAGUUUCGGGGAGGCAAAUGCCCAGUGAACAAAAUUUUGAUCAAUCAAUGUUUGGAUCCAAAGAUACGUUAAGUAGUCAAAUCUUUCCAUUAAUUUUGAUCACAAAUGCUUUUCCUAUUUUGUCCGACGACUUGCCAUGGACUUUAAUGGUUGUUGGAAGGGGAGUGGCUAUCAAUACAAAUAUAAAUUUAACAGAAUUGCAUGCAACAAGUGAACGUUUUGUUUGGGUAAUUUUAAAAUCGUAGAUGUCUUUUAAAACUUUUGCCUUAAGCAACGGGGAAAACUCUUCCCUACUUGAUCAGGCAUCGACUCAUACACCUCUCAAUUGCUCAUCUGGAUUCUAUAUAAUUUUGGCUCGUGUGGAAAAAGCUACUCGUGGAUUCCUCCUAAUAAUUCCAAUGAUUUUUCCUGAAUUAAAACCAUAAUCUUUAGCCUUUAACCAUUUAGACUUUGGGCACGGACGAACUGUGUGUUAUGUAGUUCAUAGUGGAAGUGAAAACGGUCUAUAUUUUAGCCAAUAUUCGGUACAUAAUAAAAGCAUACGUUGAAAGUUAAUUAAUCUAAUGGAACUCAUUUUUAGGGGGAAAGGAAUCAAUUUACAGGCACAUACCUUCAAAAAUUAGAUUACUUACUAGUUGAACUUACGUACCUCUGCAAAUAGAUUUAAUGUCAACGUAGUCAAUCCCAAAAAGUCUACACAAGUUUAGUGUACAAUGUUGUGCAAGAAUCGUGCAAAUCACGGGAAGCUUAUCCGUCUUAACAACGCUUGAGAACGUGCUGAGAAUUUGUAAGAUUGAAUACCGUUUGGACUCCAUCAGUUGCCCCACAAAAGUUAAUGCAGUCCGCAAUAGUUGUACGCCAAAGCAUUAUAAUUUUUCUAUUGCCCUUUACGUGAACUACUAGUUGCGAAUGAGAACUCGAAAAUGACAUACGUAAUUUUAUGAGCCUCCAAUAAUAAUGGAGGCUCUUAUGUUGAGUUUUAUUACAGUCUCUGAAUUCUAACUUUUUUUUUUUUUUCAAAGUCCUGCCUAGUGGCGUUUGUAUUAUACAAUCUGGGUACCGUAUAUCUAUUGCGAGACCGAUUCAUCCAUAUGAAACAUUUAGGGAUAGAAUAAAUUCAAAUUAGACUCGGACCACACCAUUUUAUCCUGAGCCCACACUCUUAUAAGGUAAACUCAAUAAUUUUUAUAUCAAGAAGUGACAUUAAAUUUGUUUCCCAACUUUUUACAUAUAUUAUUUAUUUAAGGAGAACUUUACAUAAAGUGAUUUAAUUUGCAUAAAAAUGAGCUAACUUACUGCCUUUUUUUUUUUUUUGCUAUAAUUUUGUAUGUAAUAACGUCUGCACUAAUGAAAAGUUUCAAUUAGAUAUACAAGUUCCAUGUUUUUGAUGUAAUAAAUAGAAGCAUAAAAAAUAGCUUCUUUUUUUUUUAUGUAACAAAGAUUUGUACUUCUAAAUUCAGCAUUUGAGUUCGUUAUGAUGAAUUUUCUGAGCUUCUUAAUGAACUAAAAUAACAUCCUUUAUUAGCCGAGUCAAGUAUAAAAGGUGCUGAUGGGCAAGUGUGUCGAAGCAGAGUGAUUGGCGAUUAUCACAAAUGUGAUCUUCACUAGCUCUGUGUAAAAAGCUCAUCUUCGUAAUCUUUUUAAUACUCUCUAUAUAUAAAUAUACCCUCUUCUGAGAUCAACUGAUUAAAUUUGUCUUUCACCUUGCAGAGCUUGCUUAGACUAACGAUUGGAUAUUUGUCUUUUUUUUUUAGGGCAAUUACCGCGACAUCAUUAAGAUUAGAUACGAUUCCUAAUCAACUAAAAAUUUUAAAGCAUGAAUUUAUUGUCAAAGUAUUAUUCUUUGCUUUUUACGCUUAAUUCGUCGUGACUUGAUCUCAGAUAAGUAAAAUAAUUUGUUUUGCUCAAUGUAUUAUAUACGUUCUCCUAAUGUUAAUUAUAAGCGUUCUAUCUAAAUGAAUAUGAUGAAACUGUUGCAUGGUCCAAAUUAAAAUUACGGCCGCAAUAUUAGUAAAUUGGAAUCGAUAAACUCAACUUAGUUUUCUUUGUUAAACUGGUUGAUAUGAAUAUGAGAAGAAAUUGUGAUUCAACAUUUAAAGUCCCUCUGUCUCAGCCAUUUUAAUAUCUUAAUCAAAAGGUACAUUUGAUGACAAAAAAAUAUUUAGACUUUCCAUUCUCUCUCUGCCAUAAUUUUGGAGAGAUAAAUGCCCAGUAAAUAAGUUGGAUCAGUCGCUGUUUGGAUCCAAAUAAAUGUUACUUAGUCAAUUAAUUUGUCUAUUAAUCUAGACCACAAAUGUUUAUUCUGUUUUCAUAAGUCAAACCCAGACCUUGGGCAUGGAUUUUCUUUUUUUAAAUUGUUAUAAUACGAGAAUCUAAAAUUAAUAGAUUUUUGGUGUGUUUACUUGUAAGAUUGGGGAAUCGAAAUUCACAAUGGGAAUGAUUGAUUUUUUUUAUUUAUUAAAAUAGAAUGGAGAAUUUGAAUGAAUUAUGUGGAACCCACAUAUUUUUGAGUUAAGGAAUAGAAACUUGAUUCACAUGGAAUUGAGAAUCAAGUUUCCAUUUCUUGAACUCACCAUUUUACCCCACUCAUAUUUCAUAAUUUCAUUUUUGUCAUCAAUUAAAAUAUUAUUAUCUUAAUGUUACUGUCAUUAUUCUAAUAAUAAUAAUCAUCAUCAUAAUAAUGAUAAUGAUGAUAUAAUAAUAAUGAAAAUAACAACAACAAUAAUAAUAACAACAAAAAGUAAUAAUGUUAAUAAUCAUAAUAAUAAUAAUAAUGAUAGUAUAAUAAUACUAUAAAUAAUUAUUAUAAUAAUAGUAAUAAUACUUUAUAGUUAGUAAUUUCAUCAUUUCACAAGCCACCUCCAAUGGAUGAUCUUGUGCACCUUGCGGAUCUUGUCAAAAGAAGAAGAUGAUGUGGUGUGUGUGCGUGUGUGUUUAGAACUGUACCUUCAAGUAGUGUUUGGUUUUAAGAAAAAGGAGAGGAGGGGCAAAAAAUGGAGAGGAGUGGAGAGGUAAUGAUUUCUGUUAUUUGGUUUCACAAGAAAUUUUACGGGAAAGAAAUUACAUGUCUUUUAUUCAGACAAGUAUACCGAUUGGACUUUAGUGUUAAAAUCUUAAUAUUAACAGUAAAUCUAAUAAAAAUAAUUGAACUAUAAAUUAAAUUAAUCAAGAACAUAAAUUAAUAAGAAAACAUUUAAUUUUAUAUUAUAUUUUUAAUUCGUUCAUUAUUAUUUUAUAAUCAAAAUAAAUAACCAACAAGUAGUAGAUGGACGACUACAAGUCGUAUAUCGACGUAGAAGAACACGACAUAUUGACUUGACAUAUCAAACAUUAACACGACUGAUGCGGUCCCAAUCAAAACAAUGUAUCAAUGACGAAAUAAGUUCUGCUUAUGGUGAGAACAACCGGAAUGUUUAAAGAAUUUUCUUUGUUUUUUUGCUUUUUUUUUUAUUCAUUAGUUGCUGGCUUAUUUAUAAUAGCAAGUUACAAUACGAAGUAGUAGUUGAAUCAAACUAAACAACCUCAGCAAAGAGUUAUCACAAGCUACAAUAUGAAAUAGCAGUUGAAUCAAACUAAACAACCUCUGGCAAGUUCUUGCACGUGCAUGGAAGCAUGCAUGUAUCAUGCAUGACCAGCAUGGAGACAAACUCGUUAUCAUGGAACUUGGCAUUAGGCUUUGGCUUCCUUAGGGAUCUUCUCUUAUCAAUACCCCCACCGCGAAAAGGAUCCUUGUCCUCAAGGGUCAAGGAAGGAAACUGUUCUCUGCUCCUCUAUUGAACUUUCAUCAUACGUAGCUUCUUCCGUCUUACUUUCACUGUCAAAAAUCAAAAGCUGCGCUUUGCUACACUUAUGCCCGGCUGUAAAUCUCUCAUUGCAGUUGAAGCAUAGCCCUUGUGCGCGGCGUCGUUGCAUCUCCUCCCAUGAAAGUCGUUUGAUGGGUGUUGCUGGUGGCGUUUGGGUGAUGGUCAGCUGUGCACGGUUGCUGGUUGGUGAUUGGAACAAUUUCCGUUGCCUAGACAGCUGCUCAUCCUUCAUUCGUGCUAGGCUUAUUGCUUCCUUCAAUGUACGAGGCCUGAACAUUCGGAUCUCCUCCGAAAUUUCAGAUUUCAGUCCUCCCAUAAAGGUACCCACCAGCGCCUUCUGUGUCCACCCUUGAACACGGUUACCUAACUUUUCAAAUUCUUUCUGAUACUCACGUAAUGUUCCUGUUUGUUUGACCCGUGACAGUGCUUCAUCGAAAUCUUCACAGUCCGUUGGUCCGAAGCGUGCCCAAAGUUCCUCUACGAACGUCUCCCAUGUCACAAUUCUGCCCUCUUCUUGGUAAGUUCGGUGUAGCCACUGCCACCAUUGAUUGGCCUCUCCUCCUAGAUGAAAAGACGCCAAAGCUACCUUCUGUUCAUUGGUCAUUUCCUGAUACUCAAAGAAUUGUGUUGUUCGGUUGAACCACUCUGUUGGAUCGUCGCCGAAGUAACGAGGGAAUUCCAGUUUUGCUAUCCUUGGUGGUAUUGGUGGCCGUCCCCCUUCACUUUCUUCUCGAAUUGGCCUUGCUGUAGAACUAGCAUUCCCUUGACUUGUUGCUCCCCUACUAGCACUACAGGACUCGGCUAACUUACUGAUGGUGUCUUCCAUUCGUUGAAGCUUAUCAUUGAUUCCGAAUUCCAUCCGUGAUAUUCUGUCCUGCAAGCUUUCCAAGUCAGCUUCAAUUCUCUCAAUACGUUCUUUGUUGGUGGUCAUCGUUAACCUUGCUCUGAUACCACUUGAUGCGGUCCCAAUCAAAACAAUGUAUCAAUGACGAAAUAAGUUCUGCUUAUGGUGAGAACAACCGGAAUGUUUAAAGAAUUUUCUUUGUUUUUUUGCUUUUUUUUUUAUUCAUUAGUUGCUGGCUUAUUUAUAAUAGCAAGUUACAAUACGAAGUAGUAGUUGAAUUAAACUAAACAACCUCAGCAAAGAGUUAUCACAAGCUACAAUAUGAAAUAGCAGUUGAAUCAAACUAAACAACCUCUGGCAAGUUCUUGCACGUGCAUGGAAGCAUGCAUGUAUCAUGCAUGACCAGCAUGGAGACAAACUCGUUAUCAUGGAACUUGGCAUUAGGCUUUGGCUUCCUUAGGGAUCUUCUCUUAUCAACGACAUAUCAAACAACUCGACGCAUUGACUUGUUGACCUCCCAAUUGCUCUUGCGUGUGGUUUCUAUAAAUUUGGCGUCCAAGAUGCUCGUUUUCUGCACCGUUGUAUGUUUUCCAAAAGCUAAGAAUCAUCAAAAGAUCUUUUGAAUUUCAAUAAAACUUCAGUUUAACUUCAUUUAUUUGAUUGUGUUUUUAUAAUAUAUAUCAAUGGGGUCACCAACUCUCAGUACAGUAGUUCCUUCACUUGUUUUGUUGAUCCUAUUUUUUGUGUCAAGUUUUCUAAUAACUGUUUCUUCAGAACCUAAUGAAGAAGCGGAUACUCUUCUCAAAUGGAAAGCCAGCCUUCAAAGCCGUAACCAAUCUCGCCUUCCUUCCUGGACUAAGGCCACCACCAAUGUUUCAUCCAAAAUAAGCCCGUGUGCUUGGUAUGGAAUCAGUUGCAAUGACGCUGGAAGAGUCAUCAACAUCAGCCUCAGAAAUACGGGAUUAAGUGGUACGCUUCAUGGUUUCUCAUUCUCAUCGUUUCCUCGUCUUGCUUAUCUUGAUCUCACCGGGAGUGGACUCUUUGGUACUAUUCCACCAGAGGUUGGUCUUCUGAGUCAUUUGAAGUUCCUUUUCAUUGAUACGAACAAAUUAGAUGGCUCAAUUCCACCAGAAGUAGGUCAGUUAAGUUCUAUGGAGGUGUUUUUCUUGUGCUCUAACUACUUGAAUGGUUCAGUCCCUCCUUCUUUAGGUAAUUUGAGCCACAUUUCUCUAUUGUUCAUUUAUGAUAAUUUAUUUUCUGGUUUCAUUCCUUCGGACAUUGGAAACUCGAAAUCUAUUUCCAAUCUAGAUUUGAGCAGUAAUCAAUUUAGUGGUCCAAUCCCUAUUUCUUUUGGUAAUUUGAGCAACUUGAAAUCUUUAUACCUCUAUGGAAAUUCACUUUCUAGUCCUAUCCUGUCAAGUUUAGGAAAAUUUAAGUCCCUUAUUGAUUUACAGUUGAAUGAAAAUCAAUUCACCAGUUACAUUCCACGUUCCUUUGGAAAUCUAACCAGUCUAUCAACUUUACGUUUGUCUAAAAACGAGCUUUUUGGUUCUAUUCCAGAUGAAAUAGGAAAGAUGAGGUCUCUUAGCGUUCUCGAUUUGAACGAAAAUCAAUUUAAGGGGGUUCUUCCACCAUCUAUUAGCAAUUUGACCAACCUAAAAGAACUAGCCCUCCUUUACAACCACCUAUCCGGUUCCAUGUUGGGGAAAAAAAAUCAGGUUUUUAAAUUUUUAUAAAACCUUUUGAAGAUCGCUCUCAUAUAAUAUAUAAGAAUUUGUAUUCUAGAAAUCGUACCUUGAAAAUCCGAUUGGACUUUUUCCGUUGAAGUGAUUUAGGCUCCUAGAUCACGAUCCGCCACCACCACUCCUGUUAGAUCACGAUCCGUCACCACCACGCUUGUUAGAUCACGAACUGUCUCCAAUGAUCUUCCAGGUUAUGACUCAGGUUCGAUCUGCACUUGACGUGUGGGCGCCUUUAUCACUACCAAAGCAACUAGCACGAGAAAAUUUUUCUCUCAACAAUGGAGAGAAAAAUCUUAUUCUCUGAUCUGUAUAAAGUGGCUUCUCGAUUCACUUUUGGGAAAAAUAAGCCUUUUAUAUCAUCCUUUAGUGAAAACCCUAGGCUCCAAAUAAUCAAAAAAUAAAACUCACGUUUAUUUGCUUUUUCAAUAGGGGACCCACCUUGUAAAAUAACAUAAGGCCCCUUAUACAAAAGCUAAUUAAAUGGAGCCUCCCACUAAAUGAUAUAUUUAGGCUUUUGACCCAAAUAGCUAGUUAUCUUACUUAUUAGUCCAGUAGUGGUGCAGUCAAUUAAAUGAGCUAACCCGGGGAUCAUUUGGGAACAUACAAUAGUGGCUACAAUAAUUAGGCCUGUAAUUAAACUAGCCCAAUUAUUUAAUUCCAAAUCUACUCCACUAAAAGAUUGGAACCGACUUCCAUAAUUGUACGCUCGAAUAAUAAUUCGUCCCAAGCCACAUUGAUUUCUUUACUGCACAAUCCUUUGUACCACAUCGUUAAUUAAAUUGAUAUCUCAACUGUCCAAUCAAUUUAAUAACAUCUUAUUCCUUGAUCCUUACUGGUUUUCUCUAAUGAUCAUUUUCAACAUACUAAAUAUGUUGACACACUCUGGCCAGAGAAUUCUAUGAUCAAGUGCCGAAAACCCAUCAAGAGAUGUGUUGUACAAAUUCUAUAUUGUUAAUCCAUAACUCCAAUACUCAUAAUUGCUCCCACCAAGAUACCGGGUAAUCUUGACCACAAGGAUGUGUCGUGCCCGUUGGUAACUCAAAUGGAAUAACAAUUACAAUCAUGAAAUCAUAAUUAACUCAAGAUUAAGAUUACAGUAAAAUCAACGCCUAUGAGAUUUAAUAAGUCUGACAGUUAUUACAAAGUUAAUUAAAUCUCAUAUGUGAUCCUGUUCAAUGUAGUCGCACUACAUCAAUAAAUUCAUACAUGAUUAAGACAAAUCAUUCAAUGAAUUUAUUACAGUCUAUACCUAAAUAAAGUGCCCAACUUUAUUUAUCAACUGCGAACCAAAUUUAUUUAAUCAUAAGAUAACUUGUAUUUAUAUCUUCUGUGAAUCCACAUGGUGAUCACAUAAAUACAUAUAAUAUGAUUAAAUGGACUUUAAUACAAAUAUUAAUGCAAUUAAGAUAUUUGAAUAAAAUACCUCAUUUAUUUUAUUAAUCAGAAAAAUUGUUUAUUACAAUUAAAUAAACACAUAUGCUUUUAAAGAGCAUAUUUUCCCAACAUUCCAUUCCUCCGUCCCUUGGGAAUCUCAUAUUAAGAGAGCUAUUAUUGUCUGGAAACCAUUUCGCUGGUUACUUACCCUACAAUAUUUGCCAAGGCGGAGCACUAGAGAUUUUUACUGUUAGUGAAAACCAUUUUCAAGGAACAAUCCCUACAAGCGUGAGAAAUUGCACAAGCUUAAUCCGAGUACACCUUAAUGGAAACAACCUUACUGGAAAUAUAUCAGAAGCUUUGGCCAUUUAUCCUAACCUGACUUUCAUAGAUCUCAGCCGCAAUAACUUUUACGGUGAAAUCUCAUCUAAUUGGGGGAAAUGCCCAAAAUUAGACACUCUUAAUGUUUCGAUGAAUAACAUUACUGGAGGUAUACCGCGUGAGAUUGGAAACUCGUCUCAACUACAAGCACUUGAUCUUUCAUUGAAUCAUAUAGUUGGGGAGAUUCCAAAGGAACUGGGAAAGUUAAAUUCUCUAACCAAGCUCAUUUUGAGAGGGAAUCAACGUGCGGUUUACUCUUUCAUUUAUAAAUAAAGUGUGCUCAUCCCUAGAGGCUUAGUGACAUAUCUAUCUUUUUAUAUAAAAAAGACUACGUCGAAUAAGAGUCUUAAUUUUAAAGACCGUUCAGUUAAAAGAACGUACGGGGCGGUGGUGAGCACAUGUGAGGAGAUGGAAUGGGGCAUAUGUAUGUUGAAGAGUUUCGUAACCAAAAUUUUUGGGCUAAAAAACAACUGACUUUUUCAUUAUUACUUGAUUAAAACCGCGAUAAACGAGAAGAACUUUUAGCGGGGUACAAAAUGAGUUUUACGGCUCAUUCAAUACAAGAAACUGAAAUAUUGAAAAGCUUCACGCAGGGAGCAGGAAAAGUAAGGAACAAAAGUUAACAGAAACAAUAGUCUGAAAAGCCAUUAGCAUCUUUAGAAAGAAAAUGUAAAGCUUCUACAAGAGGCGAAGACCACAAGUGAAAGAAAAGGUAAAGCAUCUGCAAGAGGUGAGAUUAGCAAGACAGUUUGUGUAAUCUUGUUAUUCUAUGUGAAAGUGUGAGUGAGUCUAUAACUCAUUUUCGACAAAAUAUAAUGACAAUUAAGCUAAUAAUUACGAAUAAUCCGAAGGGGUUGGAGAUUAAGAUUGAAGGUGAACUGCCAUCGAGGAGUCAGAAUCAAUCACUAAAACAAUUACCAUAACCUCAGCAUAGUGAUAAUUAAAAAAUAAUUUCUUGCGCAUGUACAAAGAGGUGAACCCCUCAAAUUUACUGAACUGCAACAAACGGAACCAUUUUUUGGAUAAUGACACCGGACACAAUAGAUGAGAAAGCACAACGUCACACACUCAAGAAAUCACAAGCUCACCACCACAGCAAACAACAAAAGGAUACAGAAAAAUAUUCACCACCUAAAGUUGUUAAGCUACGGAUACAGAGCUUAAAACACUCACCACUCAAUGGAAUCCACCAAAGAGAUACAGAGUUUGAUAAUAGCUCAAAGUUCAUUCAAUUUCCAAAAUUAAUCUCUAUCCUUUUGGUUACAACUACAUAAGCUUAAAUAGCUUUCUUGGAACAAUCCUCCAAGCAUAGAUUUACUACAAAGAAACCCUUCAAAUAACUUGACUUUAAAGACCAACAUUAAAGCUAGACAUUAAUAAAACAUUGGUAUGCUUAAAACACAACAAAGAACAUUAAAAAAAAUCCAAGUCCCGAAAUAUUCUUCUUGACUCAAAACUGAACAGUCUGCACUUAACUGAUCAUAACUUACUGUAGAAAACUCCAAAUUUAGAUUAGUAGAAUUCAUUGGAAAGCUAACAGAAAUAUCUUUCCAAUGAUGUAUGGCUCGAAAAUUAAUUCGAUCUCAUGCAGUACAGUUUAAUUCCCAAAGAUGCCCCUUCUGCACAGAAAUUCUGCUCACUUGAUUAGUGUAAGAACUUGAGCUGCACUUGGUAUAACUUGAUUACCAAAUAUUUCAAACACUCCUGUGUUAGAUAACUUUAGGGCAAUAAUAUUCAGACUACUAUGUAAAAAAUAUCCUAAUCUUGGAAAACUUUUCCACCCUAUGAAACAUUGGAAAAAUCUUCCUAACUUGACGCGUCGACUUGUUGACCUCAAUUGCUCUUGUGUGUGGCUUCUAUAAAUUUGGCGUCCGACAUGCUUGUUUUCUGCACCGUUGUAUGUUUUCCAAAAGCUAAGUCGUCAAAAGAUCUUUUGAAUUUCAACAAAACUUCGGUUUAACUUUAUUUAUUUGAUUGUGUUUUUGUAAUAUCAAUGGGGUCACCAACCCUCAAUACAAUAGUUCCUUCACUUGUUUUGUUGAUUCUAUUUUUUUGUGUCUAAGUUUUCUAGUAACUGUUUCUUCAGAACCUAAUGAAGAAGCGGAUGCUCUUCUCAAAUGGAAAGCCAGCCUUCAUGUUUGAAAGUUGAAUCGUGACUGUAAAAGUUGUUUGGAAGCUAAGAAAAUGAUAAUAAGAUUUUCUUCGAAAUUAUUGACUUUUAUUGAAUCUCACGUUAUUACUUACAAAUACAAUCACAACCAUAUUUAUACUAACUCACAUAUCUCAAUAGAAUUAAAGCUUUACUAACAAUUAAAGAACAGAACGUAAAACAUGAUUAAUAGAUUUGCUGAGCUGGCUUCUUUGCUCAACUAACUGCUGACUCAUCAUUGACACACACGUGCUAGAUAUGUAGCUCCCUUUUGUAAACUAUGAGCUUCCUUAAUAGCCCCCCUCAAACUUAAGGGGCAUGGUUGCACAUUAAGUUUGCUCAUGAGAUAAUUGAAUUGAGUGAAUGUGAGAGGUCAAGAUGUCUGCAAUCUGUUCUUCACUGGGAAUGUAAUUGAUUUCCAGCUCUCUUACUAACACUUUGUCUCUUAUAAAGUGCAUGUCCAAUUCAAUGUGUUUGGUUCUCGAGUGGUAGACAUGAUUUUUGGCUAGCUCAGUUGCACUUAUAUUAUCACACCAGAUUGUGGGCACUGAAAUACAUUCAAUUUUGAGUUCCUUGAACAAUGAAUGUAACCAUGUAAUUUCUGCACUUGCAAAAGCAAGAGCUCCGUACUCACUCUCUGCACUUGACCUUGUAACUAUGGAUUGCUUCUUGGAUGACCAGGAUAUCAAGUUAUUUCCCAAGUAAAUACAGUAUGUACCUGUUGAUUUCCUAUCAUAAAUAUCACAUGCCCAAUCUGCAUCUGUGAAACCUGUUAACUUUAUUUCUCCAUCAACUGAAAACUUCAAUCCAUAGUCUUCUGUUUCUUUUAAAUAUCUAAGCAUUCUCUUACAGGCUAGGAUAUGUUGUAGUGUAGGUGCAGAAACAUAUUGGUUUAACUUGUUCACUACAAAAGCUAUCUCUGGCCUGGUCAGAACUAAAUACUGUAGCCCUCCAAUUAAACUUCUAUAACUUGUUGCAUCUUCAACAUGCUGACCCAAAGAUCCUUUAGUUUCCUUUUGAAGUUUUGUCUCUGUAACCAUUGGUGUAUCACAUCCUUUGCAGUGAAGCAUAUUAGCUUUGCUCAGCAGGUCUCUAACAUAUUUUCUUUGGGAUAAGUAAAUAUUGUUCUUAGCAUAAGAUACUUCUAUACCCAGAAAAUAUGAGAGUCUUCCCAAAUCAUUCAAUGCAAACACUUUGCUGAAGUCUGAGAUAAACUUUUCAAGUUCAUCACUGUUAGGCCCUAUUAGCAGCUCUGGAAUUUUGAAAUCCCCAGUUUGCAACUAAACAACCUUUUAGUUUAUCAAACCAAGCUCUGGGAGCUUGUUUCAAACCAUAUAAAGCCUUCUUCAACUUACAUACAUAACCUGAUCUCUUCUCAUCAACAAAACCCUCAGGCUGAUACAUGUAGACAUCUUCUGUUAAGUCACUAUUCAGAAAAGCAUUAUUAACAUCUACCUGUCUGAUCAUCCAACUAUGCAUUGCAGCCAAGCUUAAUAUAACCAUCACUGUGGAAGCCUUUAUAACAGGACUAAAAGUUUUGAAAUAAUCAAUCCCUUCAGUUUGUUGAAAACCUUUAGCAACCAAUCUAGCUUUGUACUUUGCUAUACUGCCAUCACUAUUUUGUUUAACCCUGAACAUCUAUUUGUUUCCAACUAUUUUGUAUUCAGCUGGAGGUGGUACAAGAGACCAAGUCUCAUUCCUGAUCAAAGCUUCAUAUUCCUCUUUCAUGGCCUUAUACCAAUUUUUAUCAUUCAGAGCUUCUUGAAUUGUGUCAGGUUCUUUGUUGAUCAAGGUGGCUGUAUACAAUUUAGGCUUGAAUAUUCCAGACUUUGAUUUGGUAAUCAUUUUGUGUGUAAGUUGUGAGAUCUGAAUUCUGUUUGGAUUAUAUUCAGAGUGUUGUUGAUUGCUUGUUUGUGGUUCAGGUUGUGUUUGAGUAGAUUCAAGGAUUUAAGGGAUAACUUGUGAUAUUGAUGGUUCUAAUAAAGAAUAACUAAAUGAUUCUUGUUGAUUCAAAUUAUUUGUAUGCUCAGGCAAAACAAGAGUUUGUUCAUCACUUGGUGCACCUGCUGAGCAAGUAUCUUCAAAGCUGCUGUUAAAUAAGGGUAGAGUUGAAACAUGAUAGACUUGUUGUUUAGAGAAAUUUGACACUGGUGUUUCUGAGUUGGCAACAUUUUCAGAUGAAGAAGAAACAAAGAUUGUUGUAUAUGGAAAUACACUUUCAUCGAAAACAACAUGUCUAAGGAUAUGAACUCGACCUGAACUUGUGAGACAUUUAUAUCCCUUAUGAGAUGAGCUAUAACCAAUAAAGAUGCACUUGCUGGUAUGAAAGUCAAAUUUAUGUUUGUUAAAAUCUCUCAAGUAUGGAUAACAGAGACAACCAAAGCAUUUGAGGAAGCUGUAAUCUGGUUUAUGCUUAAAAAGCUUCUCAUAUGGAGAUAAGAGUUUCAAUACAGGUGUUGGUAAUCUGUUUAUAUGAUACACUGUUGUAUGAACAGCUUCCCACCAGAAUUUAAAAGGAAGAUUAGCUUGAGCUAAGAGAGUCAAAGCUAACUCAAUUAUAUGUCUAUGUUUUCUUUCUACUAGACCAUUUUGAUGAUGUGUGUAAGGGCAUGAAUGUCUGAAAAUGAUCUCAUUAUAGUUUAAGAAGUCAGUAAAAACUCUAUAUUCUCCCCCCCCAGUCAGAUUGCAGCAUCUUGACCUUGGUAUUGAACUGAUUCUCUACUUGAAUUUUGAAUAAUUUGAAGACUUCAAAAGCUUCUGAUUUGAGUUUGAGUGGAUAAAUCCAGGUAUACCUACUGUAAUCAUCUACAAAGCUAAUGUAGUAUUUGAAACCAUUUCUAGAUGUAGUAGGUGGCCCCCACAGAUCAGUAUGUAUCAGUUCUAAUACUUGAGUUGUUUUGGUUUCGGUUGUAGAAAAAUGUUGCUUGUGAGCUUUUCCUAAUUGACAUGCUUCACACAUAGAAUGCUCAGGAGAUAAAAUUGAUUUUUGAGAGACUUUAACUUGUUUACAAGUCUUAAGCAAAUGCAUCAAUACUGUUGAGCUUGGAUGACCAAACUUUCUGUGUAACAAGGUAAGUUCAUCAUGUUUUUGGUUACACUUAUUUAAAAUUGAGCUGAAACAAGUCUUAUCAAAGGAAUUACAAUGAUGAGAAAUAGAAGACACAUUUGAGCAUGACAACAUAGAUAUUGGUUUAUGUGACUGAAGUUGAGAAAGAUGAAAGACAGGUGAUGUGUGAUAAGCAGAAGAUGACAUGGAAGAAGAUUUCAUCAACAGCUUGUAAAGACCUUUCUUAGCAAGGCCCUGCAGAAGAACUUGCCCCUUCAUGUCCUUAACAUAACAAACAUUUGCACAAAAUUCAAUAGAGAGUGAAUUAUCAGAUGUAAGUUUGGAGAUGCUUAGUAAAUUCUUAGUGAUUGUAGGAAAAAGCAAUAUAUCUUUAAGUGCUAUAGUGGUGGCAUGUGUGUUAGGAUGUUUUGAAGCUCUAAAUGAUAAAAGUGCAUGACCAAUAUGAGAAAUUGACAUACCUUGACCAUUUCCAAUAAUGAGUUGAUCAGUACCUUUGUAGUCUUCCUUAAAAUGCAAGUUCUCCAUGUUGUUGGUCAAGUGAUGAGUUGCCCACUAUCUAAAUACCAGCCAUCAUCAGCAAAGCUUUCAAAAUUAGCCACAUAAGCUUCUGCAGGUGCAUAGUUAUCAAUUCCAGAAUAGCGGCUUGUCUUAGAUGCAAGAUGAUUAUCAUAGUUAUCAUAACCUUGAUAUAGAUAUGUAAAGCCAUCAAAAUUAGCAAUAUAUGCUUAUCUUGGUCCUUUGCCUCUACCUAGACUCCUUGAAGAAGGGAUAUAAUCCUCCAUAAAUCGAUGCCAGCAAAUAUCAGCAGUGUGACUAGGCUUAAAGUGAAUAUGGCAAACCAAUUCUUCUGCAUUGCUUGGAAUUCCUUGAGGUCCAUUCAUACUGGUAACUCCAGUCCGAGCAAAUUGUAUUGGAUUCCUAGGUGCAUGAAAGGAGUUAACAUUAUUUGGGCCAAAUGAGUGUCCUAUUCCAUACCCACCUCUGUUAUUGCCAUUAAACAUCCUUGGAGACUGAAAAAUAUUUCCUCUUCCAGCAGUAUGAUUUCUACCAGUAUUGCCAAACUGAGCACCAACAUAUCCUCUUCUUCUAAAAUUAUUUCUUGAUUGAGCAUAGAAUGCCCUUGGAUAAUAGGCAUUUCUAUAAGCAUAAUUUGCAUUAAACAUGCUUUUAUCAUUCUGCUCUUGUUCAAGUUUGGUUUCAUGAGUUAAUAAUAGUGCAUAAGCAUCAUCAUAGUCCAUUUUAGAGAUAGUUAUAAAGGUAACAAUAUCACGAUAGCUUGCUCCUAAGCUAUUAAGAAUUGUCAGCAUGAGAUCUUUCUCUAUUAUAGGACUUCCAACACUAGCAAGUUUGUCUGCUACAGUUUUCAUUUUGAUUCAGUAAUCUUCAAUACUUAUUGAUUCCUUCCUAAGAGUAUUUAACUCAUAUCUAAGUUGAAGAACCCUAGCUUCAGAUUGCACACCAAAUUUCUUUUCUAAAGUUCUCCAAACAUCAAACAAGCUACCACAAUUUAUGACAAGAUUUAGAGUACCUUCAGUUAUUGAUGAUAGCAUCCAUCCAAGUAAUGUUUGAUCCUGUGAUCUCCAAUUCUGAUAUUCUAGAUUAUCAAUUUUCUGAAUAGAUCCAUUAGCUCCAACUUGAGUGAACUGUUCUUCAGGUGCUGGUUUUGUUCCAUUGAUGAAGCCUUCCAAUCGAUUGCCUCUUAUGGAAGCUAAAACUUGAAAACGCCAAAGUACAUAGUUCGACCGAUCUAGUUUAAUUGGAGUGUUAAAAGAAAAAUUUAUUUGACUUUGUUGAUUUGUUUGCUGAGUACUAGAGCUUGCUCUUAUUGGCUCUGAUACCAUGUUUGAAAGUUGAAUCGUGACUGUAAAAGUUGUUUGGAAGCUAAGAAAAUGAUAAUAAGAUUUUCUUGGAAACUAUUGACUUUUAUUGAAUCUCACGUUAUUACUUACAAAAACAAUCACAACCAUAUUUAUACUAACUCACAUAUCUCAACAGAAUUAAAGCUUUACUAACAACUGAAGAACAGAACGUAAAACAUGAUUAACAGAUUUGCUGAGCUGGCUUCUUUGCUCAACUAACUGCUGACUCAUCAUUAACACACACAUGCUAGAUAUACAGCUCCCUUUUGUACACUGUGAGCUUAUUUAACACUUCAAAACCAUAACCGAUCUCUCAUUUCUUCUUGGAUUAACGACAACGCAAAUUUUUCAUCCAAAAUAAGCCCAUGUGCUUGGUCGGGAAUCAGUUGCAAUGACACCGGAAGAGUUGUCAACCUCAGCCUCACAAAUAUAGGAUUAAACGAUACACUUCAGAUUUUUCUUUCUCAUCGUUUCCUGAUCUUGCUUAUCUUGAUCUCACCGGUAGUGGAAUCUUUGGUAAUAUGCCGCCUCAAAUUAGUAACCUUUCGAAUCUCAGAUACCUUGUUUUAGGAUCCAAUCAAUUUUUAGAAAUAUUCUACCAGACGUUUGUCUUCUGAGUCGUUUGGAGAUCCUUCACAUUGAGUUUAACCAAUUAGAUGGCUCAAUUCCACCAGAAGUAGGUCAGUUAAGUUCUAUGAAGAGGCUUUUCUUGUGCUCUUAACUAAUUGAAUGGUUCAAUCCCUCCUUUAGGUAAUUUAAGCUACAUAACUAUAUUGCUUAUUUAUAAAAUUCACUUUAUGGUUUCGUUCCUCUGUCCAUUGGAAACUUGAAAUUUAUGUCCCAACUAGAUUUGAGCAGCAAUAAACUUAGUGGUCCAAUCUCUCUUUCUUUUGCUAAUUUGAACAACUUGAUCUUUUUGUACCUCUAUGGAAAUUCACUUUUUAGUUCUAUCCCGUCAAGUAUAGGAAACUUAAAGUCCCCUAUUGAUUUACAGUUGAAUGAAAAUCAACUCACCAAUUACAUUCCAUGUUCUAUUGGAAAUCUAACCAGUUUAUCAACUUUAUGUUUGUCUGAAAACGAGCUUUUUGGUUUCAUUCCCAAUGAAAUAGGAAAGAUAUGGUCUCUUAACAUUCUUGAUUUGAGCAAAAAUAAAUUUAAAGGAGUUCUAAAAAAACCUCUCCACAUGUCUCCCUACCCCCCCAAAAGCCUUAAGCAGCCUUAAUAGCGUCUCCGGCCGCCGGUGAUGGCUGGUUGCCAUCACCGGUCCACAUACUCUCCACCGAAUAAUGUAUUAUCAGGAGUUUGAACGCUCCUAAGAAAUCAUUUAAACGACCCCCAAAAUUCACCAACGAACCACCUCCGGACGUCCAAUUGCCAUCACCUCCAACUCCAUGCUAACCAACCAACAACGUCCACUGCCGCUAUCCUCUCGAAACUUCAGCAACCUUCACUCACAUCUAAUGCCGUAAGUGAACAAAAAGAAAUGGCAAUCACUGGUGACAUUAAUGACCAUGAAUGCUGCCGUGAGAUAGCAAAAUAUUCUCUCAAUUCUCUUGAAGAUGGGGAAGAAAGCAUUGCUCGAGACAAGUCGAUUCUCAUCUCGCCAGCUGACGAACAUGGCAAUCAUCCACCACCGGCUCCUCCCCCCACUUCUAGAAAUGAACCUCCAUUUCUUAGGAGAUCCUAAAGGCAAACUCGAUCAAAAUAAAAGAGUCAAAUGCUAGCCCAAAAGCCCCUAAUUUCUGCAAACACACCGCCAUCGUCAUCCCUCCAACAACCAUCUCCAACCGCCAUCCUCACCCCUCCAACAACCAUCUCCAAGCUUUCAUCUCAAGCCAACCAGCUUGAGAUAUAUAUUUUACUAAGAAGAUGCGUUUUUAGAGGCAUUACACUCCAUAUUCAGCCAUCUUCGACUUAAAAGUUGGAAAAUGUAUAUUUAUAGAGGAGAAAUUAAAAAGAAGAAGAAAAAUGAAUAUCAAAACUUAAUAAAGAAAAAGAAAAUUUAUUUUUUAUUUAUUAUUUUUUUUUGAAACAAUGAAGAUGCAUUUCUAGAGUCACUACACUCCAUAUUCAGCCAUCUUCAACACAAAAAGUUAGCAACAAUUAGUUUCUACAACAAAAAAUCAGUAAAAACUUAACCAAGAUUCUACAAUUGUCGACUAUUCCCUCCUUUCAACCAGAACGAAACAUUGUCCUCAAUGUUUUAAAGGAAAGAAGUAGAGUUUAGACGACAUCACCUGGGUGGUGCAACACAGAAGAAAAUAUUUACAGGCGGAGAGUUAAAUCUAAUUUGUACUUCUUACUGCUGCUACUGUUACCAUCAUUCUUUGGACGCUCCAACACAAAGGUCCAAGGGUCUGGCUCCGGUCUAUAAGCUUGUAAUAGAUCAAGUAGCUCAUUAGCAGUGUGAGCACAAAUAAAAAGUUUUUUCGCAUUAGAGGGAAUGAAAUAGUUUUUUAUUGCAUGGUUAAGAAAUGCGAUAAAGCCAUCAUAAAAGUUAUUGACAUUUAACAAACUGAUGGGUUUCUGAUGGAUGUGCAGAUGGGCCCAAGAUGCUAGUGUGAUAAGUGCCUCUAGUGUUACAAGAUCUCCUGGAAGGAAAAUAAAAGCAUCAGCAUGAUUAAGCAUUUCAGUUAUUCUUUCUUGCAUACCUGAGACGACUAACUCUUCUCCAGUUGAUGAGUCAGACGAACUGCCCAAUGGUUUUAGGACUCUUGGGAUGAUGCCUAACCCUUGACUUCCUCUGAUAAAAACAACUUCUGAGACCAUUUUUGAUAACCCUCGGUUACCUCCUCCAUACACCAAGUGUAAUUUUCUCUCUGCUAUACUUCGACCAAGAUCUAUGGCUGCCUCAACGAACUCUUUAUGUUUGCCACAGUUAAAUCCAGAAAGCACACAAAUGUUCUUGAAUUGUCUAUUUGGAGUAGCUACCAUUGGGAUACUUCUCAAAAACAAUUUGUGAGUGCUUGACAAAAAAGAAAUCACAUUUAAGAAUCUUGGUAACAGUGGGUCAUAGCUGUGUAUGAGGUAGCAUGUCAGUGUCAAAUAAUGUGUAAAGCACGUGGCUUGAUAGUCAAAAAGGAAAAAGUAAAAAGGAAAAAGCAAACAGUAAUAAAAUUAUUAAAGACAAUAAUGCAAACAAUAAAACAACAGUGAAACAGUAAAGUAAAAGGAUAUUUACAGGUAGUUGCGACUGUGGCUCACAUUUUCCUCUGGUUUUACGUCCAGAAAGGGCUUGAACGCCCUCUAUGGGUCGAGGAUAGGCUUCCUAUCCAUUUUCUUAUAAACUGGCAAACAGGGUCGUUUAUAGUCAGAUUCCCGAGACUAUAUCAUGCAUGCUCUUUCUGGAAUAAUGGCCAUAACUGGAGAAUCGCUCCUUGCACAUAUCCACUGGGAUGCGUUUCAAGAGACAAAAGGAUAUCAUCUAAUGACUCCUUAUUCAAGCCAUCCCUAAUGAGUUGAAUCUUAUCUUCCCUGUUAUCAGACACCAUUCCUAAAGAACAUGGGUUUUUAUUGCAACUCAUUCUGGCACACUUAUGACAAGCAACAGAAAUUCUUCGAGCUCGUAGUUUUCUUGUAUAAUUUCCUUUACCACAACCAGGCAUGUAUGCAAUAAAUUUUGGAGGUAACUCACCUGCCAAUCGUACUUUAGCCUCGAUUAACCAACGGAUGUCAGAAGGUAUGUUAUUCCUCAUGAGUAAUCGCAUGCGUUCGGACCAAACUUUAUAGAUCGUAAGGAGGGCAUUCUGAGGAAGUGAAGGGAAUCACUUGUGAAGCUUCGCUAGAAUCUCGUUUAUGUAUAUAUUUUCACCUCAGAAUAUCAGUUAUUAUGGGAAACUGAAGCAACCGACUUGAUUGUCACGGAGUACCGUUAUCCGCCACUUCACCGGAGUAACAAACUAAAGCACACAAACAGAAAAAUAAAUUAAAACACACAAAGAAAAUUAAAAUCGUCCUCUUAUUGAAUUUACCUUAAGCUCCAACUGGAUGUCGUAAACACUUCUCUCAAUGUCUCUGAGUUGGCUUUCUAAACCCUCAACAUAGGCUACUAACUCUGGUGGCUGUAGAGCCCAAAUACGAUGUGUUUUACAAAAUUGAAUUUGUCUUUUGAGAUGAGUUUUGACAUGUUGAAGUGAUUUAAGAAUGUUCAGGAGGAACGGUCUAAGUAAGGUACUCAUGAUUAAAAAUGAUAAGAGAAAACUUAAUAGUAAAACAAACACAUUUAUGCAAAAAUAAUUUCAAUUAGCAAAAGAAUAAUAUAAAGAAAGAAAAAAAAUCAAAUCAACAAAAAGAAAAAAAAUCAAUUCAAAUCUGGUGGGUCACUCAAAUUUAUUUCGGUGUCUUCUCCAUGUGCUUGGUACUCUAGAUAUGACUUUAAUCUUUGACCAUUAACUUUAAACGUGACACCGUUAUUUGGGUCCUUAAUUUCAAUUGCCCCAUGUGAAAAAAUAGUAUGUACAAUAAAUGGGCCAAACCAACGAGAGCGUAACUUACCUGGGAAUAGGUGCAAGCGAGAAUUGAAUAAAAGCACUUUCUGACUUAGAGUGAACAGUUUUAUCAUAAUUUGCUUGUCAUGGAAGACUUUCAUUCGUUGCUUGUAAAUCUUGGCAUUUUCGUAUGCAUCAUUGCGAAUUUCUUCAAGUUCUGCCAGUUGUAAUGUUCUUUCUGAGCUGGCUUGCUGCAUGUCAAAGUUGAAUUUCUUGAUGGCCCAAUACGCACGAUGCUCGAGUUCCACAGGUAGGUGGCAAGCUUUUCCAUACACUAGCCUAUAGGGUGACAUCCUAAUCGGGGUUUUGAAAGCCGUUCUAUAUGCCCAUAAUGCAUCAUCCAGUUGUAAUGACCAAUCUUUCAUGUCUGGCCUCACCGUCUUUUCUAGUAUGUGCUUUAUUUCUCGAUUGGAGAUCUCAACUUGGCCACUGGUUUGCAGAUGAUAUGGGGUCGCCACUUUGUGUGUGAUUGAAUAUUUUGUCAAAAGAGCUUUCAAUGCUUUGUUAGAAAAGUGGGCACCACCAUCAGUGAUUAUCGCUCGAGGGAAUCCAAAGCGCAAAACAAUGUUGCUUUUCAAAAAUCCUAUCACCACCUUGUGAUCAUUGGUUCUACAUGGAAUUGCUUCUACCCAUUUCAAUACAUAGUCAACAGCAACCAAUAUGUAUUGAUGGCCAAAAGAAGAGGGAAAGGGUCCCAUGAAGUCGAUACCCCAUACGUAAAAAAUCUCAACCACCAAAAUUGGAUUUAGUGGCAUCAUGUUCCUUCGUGUAAUGCUUUCCAUUCGUUGACACCUAUCACAUGAAGAACAGAAAGUGUAAGCAUCUUGAAAUCUAGAUGGUCAAUAGAAACCACAUUAUAAAACUUUAGUCGCUGUUUUCUUCGCACUGAAAUGGCCUCCACAAGCUUGUUCAUGAUAGAAUGAAAUGAUAUUCUGAAUUUCACUUUCUGGGACACAUUGUCUAACAAUUUGAUCUGCUCAAUAAUUGAACAAAUACGGGUCAUCCCAAAAGAAAUUCUUUAUUUCUGCAAAGAAUUUAGCCUUGUCUUGCUUGGUCCAAUGCUCUGGAAGUUUACCUGUAACAAGAUAAUUAACUAUAUCAGCAUACCAAGGUAAUACUUCCACACUCAUCAAUUGUUCAUCUGGGAAUGACUCAUUCAAUGGUAAUGUUUCCAUAAUUGUGUCAAAAUGGAGACGAGAUAAAUGGUCAGUCACAACAUUCUCUGUGCUUUUCUUAUCUUUAAAUUCCAAGUCGAACUCCUACAAAAGUAACACCCAACGAAUUAGUCUAGCUUUUGCAUCUUUCUUUGUGAGAAGAUAUUUAAGAGCAGCAUGAUCCGUGAAUACAAUUAUUUUACAACCAAUGAGAUAAGAUCGAAAUUUCUCUAAUGUAAACACUACUGCUAGCAUUUCUUUUUCAGUAGUUGAAUAGUUCAACUGUGCAUCAUUCAAUGUCAUACUAGCAUAGUAAAUAACAUAGGGAAUUCGAUAAACUCUUUCUCCUAAUACUGCUCCUACUGCAUAAUCAGAUGCAUCACACAUGAGCUCAAAUGGUAAGCUCCAGUUUGGGGGCUGAAUGAUGGGUGAUGAUGUCAACAAAUGCUUUAAUUUUUCAAAUGCAAUAAGACAUGAAUCAUCAAAGACAAAAGGUACAUCCUUAACAAGCAGAUUGCAUAAGGGUCUAGAAACUUUGCUAAAAUCUUUAAUGAAACGUCUAUAAAAACCAACAUGCCCAAGGAAAGAUCUUACUUCUCUGACUGUUUUGGGUGGAGGAAGAUUAGAAAUGAGAUCCACCUUGGCUUUGUCAACCUCAAUACCUUUACUCGAAAUGAUGUGACCGAGAACAAUACAUUGUUUUAUCAUAAAAUGACAUUUCUCUCAAUUUAAGACCAAGUUCUUCUCGAUACAUCUCUGCAGAACUAGUGUUAGGUGAUGUAAACAUUGAUCAAAUGAGUCACCGAAGAUAGAAAAAUCAUCCAUAAAGACUUCAAGGAAUUGUUCAACCAUAUCAGAAAAAAUGCUUAACAUGCAUCGUUGAAAUGUAGCAGGUGCAUUACAUAAUCCAAAUGGGAUUCUCCUAUAUGCAAAAGUGCCAAAAGGGCAAGUGAAAGUGGUUUUCUCUUGAUCUUUUGGUGCUAUGGGAAUCUAAUUAUAUCCUGAGUAGCCAUCUAGAAAGCAAUAAAAUUCAUGGCCUGCUAAUCUAUCAAGCAUUUGAUCAAUAAAUGGUAAAGGAAAAUGGUCUUUACGUGUGACAGAAUUCAAUUUUCUAUAAUCAAUGCAUACACGCCAUCCUGUAGUUACUCUAGUGAGUAUCAAUUUAUUAUCAGCAUUGGUAACUACUGUGACUCCUGACUUUUUGAGGACAACUUGCACAUGACUGACCCAUGAACUAUCAGAAAUCGGGUAAAUGAUACAUGCGUCUAAUAGCUUAAGGACUUCAGUUCUAACAACUUCUUUCAUAUUAGGAUUUAACCGACGUUGCAUUUUCCUAGUAGAUUUAGCAUUUUCAUCGAGGUGAAUAUAAUGCAUGCAGUCUACUGGGUUUAUACCUUUGAUGUUUGCUAUAGUCCAUCUUAAUGCUCCUUUGUGCUCUUUUAAAACAUCCAACAACUUACCUUUUUGUUCGUCAUUUAGGGAUGAUGAGAUGAUUACCAGUAGAGUACUUUCUUCUCCCAAAAAUGCAUAUUCCAAUGUGUUGGACAAUGGUUUGAGCUCGAGUUUCGGUGGUGAUUCUGAUGAUGGAAUGAGUUGCUUCUCUGAUGGUGUUAGUUGUUCAACUCUUGACUUCCAUUUAUUAGUGUCCAUGGAUGGUGCUGAGUCAAGUAGGGCGUUGACCUCAUCGACCGAUCUGUCAAUAUCAAACUCCAAAUCAAAGUGAGUUAAACAUGUUUGUAAAGGAUCAUCACUAAGGUUUGAAAGAAAAGUAUUAUCAACUAUUAUUUCUAUUAAAUCCACAUCAACAAUUCCAUCAUAUGCACUGUGAGGUUAUUUGGUAAUGUUGAAGAUGUUCAGCUCCAUAGUCAUGUUACCGAAGGACAACUGCAUAUUUCCAGUCCUGCAUUGAAUGUGAGCAUCCGCAGUUGCCAAGAAAGGUCGGCCUAGAAUAAUGAGGACGUGCUUCCUUGAGUCCUGUAAUUGUUGAGUGUCAAUUACAAUGAAAUCAACAGGAAAAUAAAACUUGUCUACCUGGAUAAGCACAUCCUCUACAAUACCACGAGGUACUUUCGUGGACCGAUCAGCGAGUUGUAACACCACUGGAGUUGGGUGUAAUUCUCCCAGUCCAAGUUUCACGAAAACUGAGUAAGGCAACAUAUUUACACUAGCUCCUAAAUUCAAUAAAGCAUUCUCAAUUGUGUGGUUCCCUAUACUACAUGAGAUAGUGGGGGAGUCUGGGUCUUUGCAUUUUAGAGGAAUUUUAUGUUGGAGGAUAGAACUAACGUUUUCUGUUAAAAAUGCCUUCUUUUGAACGUGAAUAUUUCUCUUUUUAGUACAAAGGUCUUUAAGAAACUUGGCAUAAGAUGGAACUUGUUUAAUAGCAUCAAGUAAAGGGAUGUUAACAGUUACCUGUUUGAAGAUUUCAAGAAUCUCACUUGUGGAUUUUCCUUUCUUUCCUUUAGCUAACCUCUGAGGAAAUGGAGCUUUAGGAACGUAUUCUCUUGGGUUGGUUUCUUCUUUUUCUUUUGAACGUGAAUGUUUCUCUUUUUAGUACAAAGGUCUUUAAGAAAUUUGGCAUAAGAUGGAACUUAUUUAAUAGCAUCAAGUAAAGGGAUGUUAACACUUACCUGUUUGAAGAUUUCAAGAAUCUCACCUGUGGAUUUUCCCUUCUUUCCUUUAGCUAACCUCUGAGCAAAUGGAGCUUUAUGAACGUAUUCUCUUGGGUUGGUUUCUUCUUUUUCUUCCGGUGGUGAGUCCUCAACAUUCACAGGUACAAUUUGAUUUUCUUUUGUCACCGGCAUCUCCACUUUGUUGUCGACUUCUUUUCCUUUUCGCAAAGUCAUAACUGCUUUGACCUCUCCAUGCUACUGUGGUGUACUGGUACUUGCUUCAUGUACUCCUUUAGGAUUAGGCAGUGGUUGACUUGGAAACUUGCCUUUCUCAACAGUCAUUGCCAAAGUCUGAACUGAAGAAGCAAGUUGUCCUACCAUCUUCUCGAGGCUUGAAACUAAUUAGGCUUGUGAAUUGAAGUCUGCUCUCAACUCAUUUCGUAGUCCAUCAAUGAUGCGAUUUUGUUGCUCAAUCGUAGAGUGAGUAACAUUCUUGAAAUUUUGGAAUGCAUCCUCCCAUGGUCUGAGUUGAGAGUAGUUUUGGUUAUGAUUGUAUGGUCUAAAUGGGGGUUGAGAGGCUUGAGGAACUUGAGGAAUUGGUUGCAUUGGUGGAGCUGGAGCUGCUGGUCCACUCUAUUGGAAUCCUUGAGACCAUGAAAAAUUGGGGUGGUCUCUCCAUCCAGGAUUAUAUGUGUUGGAGUAUGGAUUGUAAUUUGAUGGUUUUCUCAUUACACCUAUGGCAUUGGCUUGAUCUGAGUAUGAGUCAUGGUCAUGUGACUCUGUUGAUUUAGCAGUCGAUAACGAUGCUAUUUGUCGAGAAAGACCUUCAAUUAUCUCAUUGACUUCUUUGAUUUCUGAACUUGUCUCGCCAAUGUGAACCUCAUUCACUCCUUUAAUUCUUCUAGUAUUCCUGAGUGAUCGACUCCGUUGUUGGGAAUUAUCCGCUUGUCGCUGGAAGAAUUCCCAAAUUUCUGAUGCACUUUUUGACAUUAGCUCUCCUCCACUUGUUGCCAUUAGCCAUUUUUGCACAUUUGGCAAUAAACCCUCCAAAAAGUAUUGGCAUUGGUGCCAUUUCUCGUACCCAUGUUGUGGACACUUCAAGAGUAGCCCAUUAAAUCGCUCCCAUGUUUCGAAAAACUGCUCGUCCUCUCUCUGGGUAAACUCCGAGAUUUUCCUGCAAAUAGCGUUGGUUUUAUGCACUGGGAAAUAUUUAUUCAAAAAUUUCGUUACCAUUUGUUUUCAUGAUGAAAUCCUAUUGGCAGGCAAUGUAUUAAGCCAUUAACGAGCUCUAUCCUUUAAAGAAAAUGGGAAUAAUUUGAGUUUAACAUCAUUAUCUGAAAAAUUCUCAUAUUUAAAUGUUUGAUAAAUAGCAUGAAAAUCAUUCAAAUGAUUAUAUGGGUCCUCAUUUUCUAGGCCAUAAAAUGUAGGGAGAUAAUUUAGCACACUAGGUUUUAAUUCAAAACUCCUAGCAGCUACAUUUGGGUAUCUUAUGCAUGAUGUGCUCAAAUUAGCUAAUGGACUAAAAUAGUCCUUAAAUGGCCACUCCUGUGGUGCUUGUAAAUCUAUUUUAUUUUUAACGUGUUUGUGUGUGCGCAGUGUUUUCUCAAGUUCAAUGUCUAUAGGUUUAAGAUUAGGAAAUAAUGACUUACGACCAUACAUGCAAAGAACACAAAAAUAAAUGGGAACAAAACAAAUAAAAAUAAAGAAAAUGAGAAAUUACGAUACUAACCUUAUUACGCUGUUACAACCUUACUAUAAAAAUACACAAAAAAAAAUACGUGAAAUAAAUUAACUAAAAAGAAUUAGUAAGAUAAACAAAAAUUAUAAAGAAGAAAAAAAAUAUAACUUAAAAAUUAAAUUACAGAAAUUUAAAGAAGAGAAAAAGAAAAGAAAUACUAACCUCUAAAUGCGAAUUCACUUUUUUUUCUUUUUUUAAUUAAAAAAAUACAAGAAAACAAAUAAAAGAAAUUAUUCACAAAAAUUAAUUCUAUGAAUUAAAAUUACUUACGUACCCGGCAACGACGCCAAAAACUUGUUGUGCAAAUUUUAAUGUACUCACAAGCGCACGAAUCUAUUGUAGUAUAGAUCAAUGGUGACAAGUGUCGAUCCCACGAGGAGGUGGAUUUUAAUUGUGUGUAGAAUUAAUUUUGCAAAUGGGUGAUUGGAUCUGUGGUGGAAAUGAUUUGGAAUAUGCUAAAACUUAAAUUAAAAUGGCGAUAAUAAACUCUAAAAUUGGAAUUGAAAUGGCAAGAAUAAAUUGAAGAGAAUUCUAUUGAAAUGACGUACUUGGGUAUCUGGAUCCGUAUCAACAUGCAUCAUGAGCUAAAUAUUCCUUAUUAAUACCAAUUAAAUCACGAGGGGGGAAUCCACACCUCAUGAACCACACUCUAAUCAAUAUGGUGCUAAGGGCUUAUCGUGGUAAAUAAUAAUAACCUUGUACUAGAGGGCCGGUGAAACCAAGGCGGUAUUAGACAAGAUUAGUAUUAUUUGUCGACGAGAAGUCAAAACAUCCACAAAAACUAGAGGGGAAGAGAAAAUAAAUUUACCAAAUAAAGCCCAUGACAUAUGUUGAGACUUCACCUUCAACCCAAGCUUGAAAGGAAAUUAGCUACUUAUAAUUGAACUAGGGGCAAAAUGAAAAUUUAUUAAAAUACAAAGAAAAUACAAGAUGGAGAAGGAAUUACAGAAAAUAGAUCCCAAAAAUGGAUUCAGAGAUGCCAAAUUAGGGGGGAGAGGUCCCCUUUUUAUAUAUACAUGGAGUAAAUCAUGGCCAUCAGAUUAAAAACAGUUUGGACGCUCAGGAUUGCGCCACGUCAUCAGUCAACAGUACGCGUGAACAGUAACACGGUUUCACCACGCGGUUUGAACAGUAUGCGGUUUGGUUGAAAAUAAUCCUGUGUGAUGCAUGUACCGUACGCGAGAUUUUUCAUCCACUGAUAUGCUGCCACGUCACCAUCAACAGUACACAAGAAUUUUAGUCCAACAGGAUCGUGACACCUCAUCAGUCAAUGCCACAUCAUCGGUCAAUGCCACGUCAUCGAUCUGUCUAUGUGAACAGUGUCGUGAACAGUAAUGUAGACAGUACCAUACACGUAAAUAGUACCAUUUUUCUUUUUAUGCCCCUCCUAAGGUUUUCGACCGUCCUGAGUUCAAAAGUGAUGUCCGUUUUGCCAUUUGAUCUCUCCUUUAUUGUGAAAUGACUAUAAUGCCCCUAAAAUACAUAAAUUACUUAAUUAAAAUAAAACACACGUAAUUGAAUCACAAGAAAGUUAAAUACAUAAAAGUAAGGGUUGUUAGUAAGAUUUGAAAUGUAAAAUGACGGUUUUCUCCUUUAUAAAUAUGCAUUUUCUAACACUCAACAGCCUGUUACAGCUGUCAACCGAAAGCCAGCUGCAUACAACCAUCAUGGAACGCAGCCAAAGUCAGAAAACAUCCAACCAAAUCCAGCUCAAAAGUCUGCACGCGGGUGGUAAUUUCCAUGCCCAUGGAAUACUUUCGGUAACUCAAGAAUUGUGUUCCCCAUGUGUGUCUCCCACUAGCACUUCCCAUGCCCCACUAGCUUUUCCCACUAGUCAAACCCAAGCCCAAACCAUUUCGGAAAUAAAUCCCAACUCCCAGCCCAAUUGAAUGCCCUCCACAUUUUUAUUAAAUAACCUCCAAAGUGAUCCGUUAAUCCAAAAUACCACUCAGCACACGUCCGCACCCUCCUACACCUCGGUUUUGAAAUCCGUCCCCAAUCUGAAUAAAAAUAAACCGACUAAAAAAAUCUUUGGUGGAUAUUAUGAACAGCCCAUCCAACUUGACGAUUCCGAUCAAGACCAUUACUUUGUUCGAGGGAGAGCCUAACGUUCAAUUUUCCACUGCGGAAAAUCAAGCGAUGGCCAUUCCUUUCAAGCUGACAUUGGUAGGUAAAUUUUCCUACAAUAGACCUAGUAUGGAAUUAAUUCAUAAAUUUUUUAAUACUUUGAGAUUGAAGGGAAUUUUCAAGGUGUCCCUUUUAGAUAAUCGACAUGUGUUAAUUCAAUUGGAUGUUGAGGAGUACUACUCUUGCCUAUGGGUUAGGCAAGGAUGGUACAUCAAUGGGAGUGCCAUGAGAAUUUUUAAAUGGACCACCGAUUUUUGAUGUUCCGAGGAGUCCCCUAUAGUCCUAGUUUGGAUUUCAUUUCCUUACUUGCCUGUCUAUUUCAUGCACUGUAAGGAAGCAUUAUUUUCUAUUGCAUCAGCUAUUGGUAAACCAUUGCGAAUUGACCAAGCUACCACCUCUUUAGUUCGCCCUUCUGUAGCUAGAGUGUUAGUGGAGUAUGAUGUCACUCAACCUCCAUUGCAACGGAUACUAAUCGAUGUGGGAGAUUCUGGGUUUUGGCAGAGUGUAAUUUUGAGAAAAUCCCAAUGUAUUGUGCUUCUUGCAAACACCUUGGCCAUUCCAUUGAGACGUGUUACAUGGCCAAUUCGGGACUCCGUCCCCAGUGGCCCAAUGGGAAUUAGCAGACUAGAAUAGAUAAUAAGAAGUCAGAAGUUCUACUGUCAGAUACUCCUCAACCCUUGGACACUCCACGACCUGAGCCGUCCAUCACUAAGCAGAUUGCUGCGAGGUCUCCGAUUGUUCCUACGGAGAGCCGAGCUAACACUGCAGACUCUACUUCCAUUCAGGAGCCGAUUGGCCAGGAUGUCACGACUCAUGAUUCUAGGAUCCGAGAACCAGGUGAGUAUAAUACACAUCUUUAUCGAGCAUCCAACACAGAUUUUAGGCUUUACAAUUCUCAUACUGAUAAUGAUGAUAGCUCUGACAAUCACUUGGCGAAUAAUGACCAUUUCAUGUCUACUGCUGAGAAUUCUGAGAGAAUUGACUCUAGCCCUGAUUUAGCGUUGUCGGUCAUUAAAAAAAAGGCAUUAAAUUACUUGUCGGCCGCAGUAUCGUAAGAGAUAUUAUCACCGUCUGCAUUAGUCUUUUUCUUCUUAUGUUAGGCUAUGCCUAGAUCAUUUCAUUUACUGUUAUUUUUAUUUCUCUUGAUUGGAGGUUUUAGUUUAUGUCCCCCUCCAAAUUUAUUUUCUUUAUCAAUUCUAAAUGGCAGGUAGGGGUCCCGCCUAACCCCCAUAGAGUGAAAAAAAAAAAAACUGCUCUAAGAAAGAACUCAAUGAGAAACACAGCAAUAUUCAGACUAGCAUGUAAAAAAAUAUCCUUAUCUUGGAAGACUCUUCCACCUUAUGGAGGAAAAAUAUUCCCGACUUGACACAUUGACUUGUUGACCUCUCAAUUGCUUUUGUGUGUGGUUUCUAUAAAUUUUGAGUCCAACAUGCUCGUUUUCUGCCCCAUUGUAUGUUUUUCAAACGGUAAGAGUCGUCAAAAGCUCUUUUGAAUUUCAAUAAACCUCGGCUUAACUUUAUUUAUUUGAUUGUGUUUGAUAAUAUCGAUGGGGUUACCGACCCUCAAUGCAGUAGUUCCUUCACUUGUUUUUUACAUCCUACUUUUUUUGUUAUGUUUUUAAAUAACUGCUUCUUGUCAAUCUAAUGAAGAAGCUGAUGCUCUUCUCAAAUUGAAAGCCAGCCUUCAAAACCAUAAUUGAUCACUCAUUUCUUCUUGGAUUAACGACGCCACCAAUGUUUCAUCCAAAAGAAGCCCCUGUUCUUGGUCCGGAAUCAACUGCAAUGAUGCUGGAAGAGUCAUCAACAUCAGCCUCCCAAAUGUAGGAUUAAACGGUACGCUUCAUGAUUUCUCUUUCUCAUCGUUUCCUCAUCUUGUUUAUGUUGAUCUCACCUGGAAUGGAUUCUUUGGUACUAUCCCGCCUCCAAUUAGUAACCUUUCGAAUCUCAGAUAUAUACCUUUAUUUAGGAUCCAAUCAAUUUUCUGGAAAUAUUCCACCAGAGGUUUGGUCUUCUGAGUCAUUUGGAGGUCCUUCACUUUCAGCUUAACCAAUUAGAUGGCUCAAUUCCACCAGAAGUAGGCCAAUUGAGUUCUAUGGAGGAUAUUUACUUGUACUCUAACUACUUGAACGGUUCAAUCUCUCCUUUAGGAAACUUGAGCUACAUGUCUCGAUUGGUUAUUAAUGAUAAUUCACUUUCUACUGUCAUCCCAUGUUUUGCAAGGUUUUAUAUAUUGGUGAGAGAUAAACAAAGAAAAAUAUAUCCAUAGGACCCAUACCUCCAACAGGAUAAGUUGGGAAAGGCUAUCAAUAAUUUUAACUAAUUAAUUUAAGUUAUUUUGUAAUAAUAAAUUAAAUUAAUUUUUUUUAAAAAGGUUGAAGGGUGGUCAAAAUCCAAAUCUAUAUUUUAUUCCCUACCUCACCCAAGAUUUGAACUUAGAUAGUUAGUCAAAUAAAACUAUUUGAAAAUCAUUCAGUCAAGACCCUAAGGCAAAUUAAAUUAAUUAUUACUAAGAUGAUAAUAUUAUAGGUGAAUCAACUUAUUAUAAUUUAAUUAUGUAAUAAUGAAUAUGUAUAUUGUAAAUUAAAAAAUUAUAGAAAUUUGUAUUUAUAUUUAAUUAACUUUCGUUCAUAUUGAUACAAAUAAUAAAUAGUACCAAACUUUUUUUUGUUAAUAAUAAUAUAAAAUAUUUCAUGUGGAAAUCCUCCUUGUUUUUCAGCUUCAAAAUUGUUUGAUUUAUUUUUCAUAAUUUUGUAGGUUAUUACGACUUCCAUAAUAGGUACAGUAUAUGACGUACUCUUCCUUUUACAAUGUAUGUAGAUCUUGUUGUAAUAACUAAUGAUUAGUAUUUUUCAGAUAAGUCAUCUGAUCGUUUUUAAUCAUUAAUUAACAAUUCAUAUUUCUUACGUUUAUUUAGAAUUUUAGGUUUGUCUAUAAGUAAAAGGAAUUAAUAAGAAAUCAAUAGAAGGAUGAAGAAUUUUGGUAGAGAUAGGACGUAAAUGAAAACAUGAACAAUUAGUUUUAACAUUAAAUAUGAGAAAAACUCAUAUUUUGAUAUAUCAUCUGUCAUUAAAUCGUAAAAGUCUAAGAUUGAUAUGAGGAACAACAAGAAGGAACUAACUAAGGUUAGAAAUCCUUUUUCCGUAACGUGCUCAUUGGAGAAGUCCUAGAAAAUUGAUCGAGGCAGCCUGGCUUCAAUUGAUUGAAACCAAACGUUUAAAGUGGCUUGAUUAGUAGAACCCGGUUCGCGAGUCCAUGGUUUCUCUAGGAAGACUCAGUCGACUUGCGGUACCACAAUUAAUAGAAGUAUAAAAAAUAGCUUGAUGCAACAAAGAUUAAUUUGUACUUCUAAAUUCAGCAUUUGAGUUCGUUAUGAUGAAGUUUCUGAGUUUCUUAAUCAACUAGAUAACAUCCUUUAUUAGCCGAGUCAAGUAUAGAAGGUGCUGAUGGGCACGUGUGUCAAAGCAGGGUGAUUUGUGAUUGUCAAACCACUGAUCUUUACUAGCUCUGAGAGGAAAGAUCAUCUUUAUAAUAUUGUUAAUACUCUCUGUUUGGGUGCGUUUAAUAAGCCCAUUUCUUUUUAUUUUAUCGUUUUAUUUUAAUAACAAUAAAAGAAAAAGGGAAGAGGCAAAAGAAUUUGAAGGAGUCAACAACCUAGACCGACUCCUUCGGUACAAAGUGGGAAUGAUAUGCGCUUAUUCGGGGGAUCACUCCUCCAUAGAGGAGAUCAGUUUUUCUUGGCAGGGAGAAAGGGGGAAAGGGGGGGGGGGGAAGACCCUUUCCUUAAUUCCAUCUCCUGAUCACAAACACAUUAGGGGUAAACUUCAACAUCUAUAAAAAUCUCUAGGAGAAUUAAUGAAGAGGGAGAAUCAACUAUCCUUCCCAAUUUUUAUUUGUUUUUCCAUUACAAUUUAACCUUGAGAUUAUUUCUUCAGAAAAACUCAGAAACUAUUUAUUUACAUUUUUUUCCUAUAAACCCAUAAAUUAAAUUGAGUGUUGAAGCGUUAACACUAGAUAAAUUUCUAGCACCUUUGAUCGUCGUCUGUGAUUUCAAGUGUUCGUGAAUUAUCUGCUAGUGGUCGCAGAGAGUCCUUGACGAUUGGCAAGUCAUUUCUCCACUAAACAAAUUUAAUGCUGAUGCAAGGUCUGGUAUUUAUCACUAGCCAACUCAACUAGAUUUUGGUGUCAAUAUUUGGUGCCUUCUGUAGGGAUGGUACGAAAAGUCACACUACCUGUACUAAGACCACAAUUAAAUGAAUGGUGACAAAAAAAGAAUUAAGAUAAAUAAAACAUCAUCCCCAUCAUCCUAAUAGGGACAUUAUCAUCAUCAUUAUAAUAAGCAAUAGUGGGGACUACUGCCUAGGCGAACACAGCUAGUUGCUUUUUCAUUCUUGCUUUUUCUAAAUUUAGCCAAGCUGAUUAGAUUCAAUCUUGGCAUUGUGCUUGUUUUUCUUUUUCUUUUUUUUCUUUCGGCCUCUGAUUUCCUAAACACUCUACUUUUUUUGUUUAACCAUAAAAUGUUUGUUAAGUCUAUUAUUUAUGGAGUUGGCAUCUUAUGGAAAGACUAGUUAAAUUGUAAUUUUAUUUAUUGCAUAUCUUGUAAUAUGGAUUAAUUUAUUAGUUCCCUAAUUUAGUGAGAUUUUAAUUUAUUAGGAAUAUUUGUUUCCUAGCUUAAAUAGAUGUUUAAUUUGGCAAGUCAAUUAAUAACGGGAUUCUACAAUUGGCAUGUAAGAUCUAUUUAGAGCAAGAAAUUAGUUCAAACAUGAAGUUCAUUAAACGCUCCAAAUAUUUCUUAGGAGACAAACAAGACAAGAAGAUUAGAUUUAUUACUAUUCAGAUUUGUAGGAAUUAUAAAAGAAAAUAAACUCUUAUUUGGAAGGAAUCCAAGUCUUUUAAGACUUACAAUUUUUGUGAAACCCUAAUACCUAUAUAAAGCGAAGUAUUUCACAAUUGAUGAAGCACAACACAGAGCAUAAAACAGAGAAGCAAAAUUCAGCCUUCUUUCUAUAGAAUCAGAAUUUGGCAUAUCAUGUUGUGUUAAUUUGUUUUCGUUUCUUUUUCAUUCAAAGUCUUGUAAUGAGACUAUCUCUUUUCAUCUCUGUGGAGAGUCUAUGUAUAUCUUGAAUCACUAGACAUUGAAGAAUUGAAGAAUUGCUAUUGAUCACUUUGCAGAGUGCCUUAAGGAUUGUGGAUCAAGAGGGGUAGCAAUUAAGCAGAUUCAGUCUAAGGUUGAGUAAGUUGUAUGGUAAUAAAUUGUAAGUGAGAGUAUUAAGUUUAGUAAAUCCAUAGGUUGUAACAUCUCAACUUAGUUAAUUGCUUUUCAUCUAGGUGUGGCCUCGUGGAUGUAAGAUUGAUUAAUCAGAACCACAUAAAAAUUAUUGUGUCAUUUAAUCUCUGCAAUUUAUUGUGUUUUGAAAAAUUAAUAUUUUUUAUACGGAUGAACAACACCCAUAAACAGUGUUAGUGAACAGUAACUAUGAACAAUUUUGGUGAACAAUAUUUUCAAAAAUUAAUUAAGUUGUUAAUUCUAAGGUUUUAACUGCCUACAUCUAUUUGUAAUAGAUCUAACUUACUUUCACAGUUUAUUUUAUUUUUCCUGAAAACCCGUAAAUUGAAUUGAGCAUCAUAGGGUUAAUGCUGCAAAAACUUCCAUUGCCCCUUACUUUCUUUUGUGAUUUCAGGUGUUUGUUGGUUAUUUGCUAGUGGUCGUAGGCAUCUUUGGUGAUUAGUAGGCCGCUUUCCCAACAAAUAAAUUUAAUGCUGGUGCAAAAGUCUGGUAUCAAGCUGUUAAUCGACUUGACCAAAUUUUAGCAACAAUAUUUGGUGCUGUCUAUGGGGACGAUAAGAAAAGUCAUACUACCUGCAGUAAGACCACAAUUAGAAGAAAAGUGAAAUAAAGGGUGAUGAGCACAUCUUUGAGGAGAUCAGUAGAUCAGAGACAAGAUCGUUGAAUCAAAGUCCAUAAGACUGGAUCGAAGAAGCUGUCUUUCAAUGUUGAACUUGCCUGAAUUGGUAAAAACUAAUCCAAUGUUGACAUUUAGGAGCUUCGAAUCGAUAAAAUAUGUCUCACAGUUUCAUUUCUACUUAUAUUUUCUAUUAAAUUGAUGCAAUUACUUUCAAUUUAUUUAUCUAUGUGCGUGAUAUAUUUCAUCUGAGUGAUCAAUUGCAAAUCCCACAUCCUUGGUAUAGCUUGAAUUUAUCUCCUUAUUAGUAAACUUGUGUAUUCACAUGACACGGAUUUGAGAAGCUUAGUUUCAUAAACAUCCAUUGGUUGUGGAGAACGAAUUUGAAAACUAUUGAAUUCCAAUGCUAGUUGCUUUAAAGUCAAACUCCUCUCCAAAUCAUGUGCUUGCCAUAAACUUUUGCAUGAUUUCAAGCUUAGACAAAUUAAGAUCUUAGUUACUUUAACAUGAUGGCACAUGCACAUGAUCCAAUAACUUUACCAACGCAAGACUCACAAUUGGAUUGUGCCACGGUUUUAACACAUUUGCAAUAGAUUUAUUCAUUUAAAAAUAAGAUUUGUCUAUUAUUUGGAUGCAAAGAAGUGGAGUUUGUGAUUUGGUCAUGCAAAAUCACACACGGAAGAUGUUCGACAAAGUGACUGAAAGAAUCGAAAUGAGUUCGCAGCCUCAAAUUGUUGCCAUUACCAUAUCUAGAGAUACCUUGAGAAUGAGGAACAAGCUCAAGAAUCUAUGGAAGAACACACCGAUUAGAUUGCUGAGAUGAUCAAAUUAACCUGAAGAGCUGAGUAAUAAGUGUUCCGAGUAGCUAAACAGUAAUAUGGUGAUGAUGGACUUUCUUUUGGAGAAAUUUUUGGGGCAUGAUGACUUGCAACACUAAAUGGAUGUUGAGAUUAAUUGGAUUGGAAAGCAAAGGCAGCAAAUGAAAUUGUAAGGAGUGACGCUUGAAAGAACACUACCUAGUGGCCAAGGACCAAAAUCUAGGUUCAGUUUCAAUUUAUUCUAUAUAAGCAUGAAACUAGCUAAUUGAAGGGCAUGAAUUAUUCUUAAUCAUUGCUCCAUUAUGUAUAUAUGUAUGAUGUCUUUAAAUCAUAGCUAUCAUUUACAUUGCAUAAAUUCCUAUAAUUGUUGAUGAUGAAGUAUAAUUAGCAUAAUUUGGAAAAGGCUAAGUAUUGGUUAUUUUGGCUUAGGUUAAUAAAGCUUUUAAAAGAAAACAAAUGCUUAUUGAUGAUGAGAAUUGAAAGGCAUGUCUUCAAGCUUCAAAGCAUUGAUGAAGUUGGAUUUUUGUUUCCCACACAUUUUAUUCGUUUUAUGCCUGGGUUACAAUAUUGCAAGAAUAAUUCUGAGAAGGGACCUUUGCGAAGUCAAGCUCGGGAUUUGUAUGAUGAAAUGCCAAUCAAAUAUUGCAGAGCAUAAUCUCAGGUGCACUUGUUCUUUGACCUCAAUUUUAUAAUCCUUUAAAUCUCUUUAUUGACUUAAGAUAUCUGCUAGAUCGGGUUUUGACUCGUCAUCGUUAGCAAUUUUCUAGUACAAAAAUUACAUAUUACAACAUAUAUAAUUUAGUUCUAUAUUGUCAAUUUUGUCAUAGCACCGUCUCCCCAUGAUAUAAUGAUAUGACUUUGUUUAAUGGUUUAGACUACCAUCUCUUUUCUGAUUACAUAUUUUAAAAUGCUAUGCCUUAUUUUAUACUUAAAUUUCAAUAUUCAUAGCCAUAAUAAAUGAUAGUAUGGACCUUUAUCAGAGAAGUUUUAUCAUAUGGAUGAAUGAAUAUAUUAUUUGAUACUCAUGGAGCACAAAGAAUGCUUAUCCAUCCAAAAAAAAAAAAAAAACUUAGAUGCAUAAAUAAAUGACUAGAAGCAUAAGUCAUAAAUGGCUGGAAGCCCCAAUUAUGUUUGAUUUGUGAGCUAUUUUUUGGGUAAGUAAUAAGUUGCAGGUUUAGUUUGAGAAGUUUCACAACAGUGACAAAUUUAGACACCUGCACAUUAGAUUCCUGGUUGUACAGUGGGACCCCGUCCUUGACCAAGCCGAAAGACAGACCUCUUUCGAUCCUUUGAUACCGACCGAUUGAAAGAGGUUGGAACGAUUCCUGUGUACUCUUCCCAUGAAAGCACAACAACAAGGGGAAUAGCUCCUACUUUAGAGCUCUCGUACUUAGUGACGAGUUCGAGCCUUAGAAGCAUGCGAAGGGAUAGGUCUGAAAGAAGUCUUGUAUUAGUCCUUUAAUAGAGUCCCUAUUGUUUAAUAGGCGCUUUCCGGUAGCAGGGCGUUAAAAUAUCCAUAUCUUCUUACGUUCUGCUGCACUUCACUAUUUCCCCGUCUCUCACUAUCAGGAUCAGUCGUCCCUAGCCCGCUCUCUGUGUUCGCGGACAGUCUUACUAUUACGCUCGUAUCUUACUCGUUUUCAAGUAUGUAACUCGUUUAUUCCGCAUGUAGCCCACGAAAAAUUGCGUCUUUUCAAAGAUCUCGGCAGUUUAGAAUGAUUCAUUCCAUCAAGAAUAGCUUAGUGAAUCUUUCGAGCCAAGCACCUUUCCAAUAUCUAUGGUUAUGCUCGGGGGUCAGUUUCCUUUUUACUGCUACUACUACUACAUCAGUCAAAUAGUUUGAAUGCCUAAUUAGAUGCGGUUUAGGCCAUUGGAUGGCAUUUCCAAGUGACAUGCUUCUUCCAAGUGAGAUGGCUUUCGAGAGGUCUAACUAAGGUACAAGGUACUCGACUCACUUUUCUUGUGCAGGUAUAGGAAGAUUCCUUAUUCCCUCCUUCUACGUAGCUUUUAUCUGGAAAAACAAAAAAGAAAAGCCCCUUCCCCUUAGUGGGUUCAUGUGCGGAUAGCUCUUUUCCGGUCUUUUUUUCUUUUCAAAAAAAAGGGGAAGCAACGUGGGCAGGCAGAACCUUUCUUCCCCCCAAUUAUGUUUGAUUUGUGAGCUAUUUUUUGGGUAAGUAAUAAGUUGCAGGUUUAGUUUGAGAAGUUUCACAACAGUGACAAAUUUAGACACCUGCACAUUGGAUUCGCUGCUAUUAAAGUUAUGUUUUUUUAAUCAUAAUUCCUAGUGAAUGAUAUCACAUCUUUAAUUAAUACCUGACACUUAUUGAUUUGGCAAACUCUUAUUUGAUUGGCCAAGGCAGUUUUUUGGUACAUUUGCGGAUGAGGCAGGCUAUAUAUGCACGAAGAAGGAGAACCUUGAUGCUAAAGUUGCACGCUAGUCACUACAAGAAGAAUGGUUAUUUCCAAGGGCAAAUAUCCUCGAAAAUACAUAAAUGCCCUCGGAAAAACUCAUUUCCAACAAAGUCAUGCCGUCGACCAUCGUCGUAUUAAGUUGCGUUGGAAAAGCACAAUUUCCAAUGGAUCGUCGGAGAAAAAAUUUAUUUUCAAUGGCAAUGCCAUCAGAAAUGAUAUCAAAUGCCCUCGAAAAUAGUCCCUAUAAAACCAAAAAAUACAUAUUUCCAAUUGCAUUUGCCCUUGGAAAUGGCAUUGACUGCCCUUGGAAAUGUGAUUGGAUGACACAAAUAAUUACUAUUCCAACCAUAAUUUACUCUCGAAAAUUCAAGAAACACGUUGGAAAUAUGCUUUUUUCUUUUUAUUUAGUUAGCCAUUUAAUUUAAUCAAUAUUAUUAUUUCUUAUGCUUUUUGUUUUCAUUUUUUUAAGUAUCUUUAUUACCAAUGCAACAUAAUCAACAAAAUAGUAAUAGGAACACGCAAAAUACAUGAAAUGUAGAUUCAUUAAUUUCAAAAAUUCAUAGAAAUCACGUUCACCAUUUUUUGGAAGUGAACCAUUUUUGUAUAAUUUUAGAACAAUAAUAUUCAGACUACUAUGUAAAAAAUAUCCUAAUCUUGGAACACUUUUCCACCUUAUCAACAUUGGAAAAAUCUUCCCUAGCUGACGCAUUGACUUGUUGACAUCUCUAUUGCUUUUGUGUAUGGUUUCUAUAAAUUUGGCUUCCAACAUGCUUGUUUUCCGCACCGUUGUAUGUUUUUUAAAAGCUAAGAGUCAUAAAAACAUCUUUUGAAUUUCAAUAAACUUCGGUUUAACUUUGUUUAUCUUAUUGUGUUUUUAUAAUAUUAACGGGGUCACCAACUCUCAAUAUAGUAGUUCUUUCACUUGUUUUGUUGAUCAUAUUUUUUGUGUUAAGUUUUUUAAUAACCAUUUCAUCAGAAUCUAAUGAAGAAACUUAUGCUCAUCAGAAUUAAAAGGUACGCUUCAUAAUUUCUCAUUCUCAUCGUUUUCUUAUCUUGCUUAUCGUGAUCUCAGCCUUAAUGGAUUCUAUGGUGUUAUCCGGCCUCAAAUUAGUAACCUUUCACAUCUCAGCUACCUUUAUUUAAUGUCCAAUCAAUUGUUUAGAAAUAUUCCGCCAGAGGUUGGUCUUCUGAGUUAUUUGGAGGUCCUUCACACUCAUUGGAACAAUUAGAUGGCUCAAUUCCACUAGAAGUAAGUCAAUUAAGUUCUAUGAGGGAGCUUUCCUUGCACUCUAACUACUUAAAUGGUUCAAUCCCUUCUUCUUUAGGUAAUAUGAGCUACAUGGCUCGAUUGUAUAUUAAUAAUAAUUCACUUUCUGAUUUCAUUCCUCUAGACAUUGGAAACUUCAAAUUUCUUUAGGAUUUAGAUUUGAGCAAUAAUCAACUCAGUGGUCCAAUCCCUCAUUCUUUAGGUAAUUUGAGCAACAUGGCUCUAUUAAUCAUUCAUAAUAAUUCACUUUCUGGUUUCAUUCCUCUGAACAUUGGAAACUCCCAAUUUCUUUGGGGAUUAGAUUUGAGCAAUAAUCAAUUCAGUAGUUCAAUCCCUCUUUCUUUUGGUAAUUUGAGCAACUUGAUUUUUUUAUACCUCUAUGAAAAUUCUUAUUUUGCUUCUAUCCCAUCAAAUGUAGGAAAAUUGAAGUCCCUUGGUGAUUUACAGUUGAAUGGAAAUCAACUCAUCAGUUACAUUCCAAGUUCCUUUGGUAAUCUAACCAAUUUAUCAACUUCACGUUUGUCUAAAAAUAAGCUUUUUGUCUCCAUUCCAAAUGAAAUAGGAAAGAUGAGAUCUCUUAACAUUCUUGAGUAGAACCAAAAUUAAUUUAAAGGGGUUCUUCCACUAUCUAUUAGCAAUUUGAGCAACCUAAAUCAAUUUAAAAGGGUUCUUCCACUAUCUGUUAGCAAUUUGACCAACCCAAAAGAACUAGCCCUCCUUUAUAAUUGCCUAUCCGGUUCCAUUCCUCCCUCCCUUGAGAAUCCUAUGUUAGCCAGGCUAGGAUUAGAUUUCAAUCAUUUUAAGAGUUUUUACCACACACUAUUUGUCGAGGUGGAGCACUUUGGUGCUUCUGAAAACCAUUUUUAAGGAACAAUCCCCAAAAGCUUAAGAAGUUGCACAAGCUUAAUCCGACUAUGUCGUAAUAGAAACAACCUUACUAGAGAUAUAUCAGAAGCUUUAGGCAUUUAUCCUUACCUUACUUUCAUAGAUCUCAGCCGUAAUAAUUUUCAUGGUGAAAUCCCAUCUAAUAGGGAGAAAUGCCCAAAAUUAGGCACUCUCAGUGUUUUGAUGAAUACCAUUACUAAAGGUAUACCGCGUGAGAUUAGAAACUCGUCUCAACGACAAGCACUUGAUCUUUCAUUGAAUCAUAUAAUUGGGGAAAUUCCAAAGGAACUUGGAAAGUUAAAUUCUCUAAUCAAGCUCAUUUUGAGAAGGAAUCAACUUGUAGGAUGUCUACCUACAGAAAUCGGCUCACCUAUAGAACUUGAAUACCUCGACUUUUCUGUAAAUAGGUUCAACAACUUAAUCCCAGAAAGUCUCGAAAACCUACUGAAAUUGCACUACUUGGGCUUAUGUAAAAACAAGUUAGUCCAAGAAUUGCCAAAGAUAUUGGAAAAAUUGGUUCAAUUUUCGGAAUUAGAUUUAAGUUACAACUUUCUUGUAAGAGAAUUACCACCUCAGAUCUACAAAAUGAAAAGCCUAGAGAAGUUAAACUUCAUUGAUAUAUCCUACAAUGACUUAUAGGGUCCAAUUCCUAAUAGCAUAGCAUUUCGAGGAGCUUCAGUGGAAGCAUUAAAGGGGAACAAAAGAUUGUGUGUAAGUGCAAAAGGAUUGCAACCAUGUAAAGCUCUAAGGCAACAAAAACAAGACUGUGGAGCCAAGUGGUUUACAAUAGUGUUCCUUCUUGUAGGAGCACUGUUUGUUUCAAUUGCAUUGAUAUUAAUUUUCUUCAUUUUUCAAAAGUGGAAGUCAAACUUAGGAGAUCAACAGUGCAACAACCAAAACCCUCAGGGAUUGCUUUCUAUUUUAAAUUUCGAAGGGAAACUUGUAUGAUGAAAUUGUUAGAGAAAUUAAUGAUUUUGAUAUAGAAUAUUGCAUUGGAAAUGGUAAACAUGGAAGUGUUUGCAGAGCUGAGUUACCAUCUGGGGAAGUCGUAGCUGUCAAGAAAUUUCACUUACCACUCCCAUGUGAUCAUAUUGUAGAUAAAAAAGAAUUCUUGACCGAAGUUUAGGCGUUGACAGAGACUGGACAUCGAAACAUUGUGAAGUUUUAUGGAUUUUGCUCACAUGCCCGACACUCUUUUUCGGUCUAUGAAUCCCUUGAAAAGGGUAGCUGAUGCCUUGUCCUACUUGCACCAUAACUACUUUCCUCCGACUGUCCAUUGGGAUAGAUCAAGUAAGAACUUGUUGCUAGAUUUGGAAUAUGAAGCUCAUAUUGCAGACUUUAGAAUUGCUAAGUUUCUGAAGCUAAACUAGUCCAAUUGGACUGAAUUUAUUAGCACAUACAAAUUCAUUCCUCUAGGUAUUUAGUAUCUGUUUGUUGCCAUUUUGAGGAAUAUUUUUAUGUUAUGUGUGCAGUAAUAGAACAAUGUAACUAGAUAUUGUUGAAAAAUUUAUGUAGUACAUUUAGUAGACUUGUAGAAGCUUACUACUUUAUGCAAAUUUAUCUUAUAAAUAGAGUAAACAUUUUUUUUUUGUCCUUGACCAUGCAUAGCUUGCUUACACAAUGAAGAUCAUAGAGAAAUGUGACGUAUACAGUUUUGGAGUGUUAGUGUGUUGGAUCAUAAACUUGAUCUAAUUUGAGCAAGUUCAUGCUCAAAUACAAAGAAGUUUCUUGUGGUAGUAAUGGUAGGUGUGGUUGGUGAAGUAGGUGAGUGUUAGGUUUUGAUGAAUAGUUAGGAUUUGUUUUGUAUUUAAAUAAAUGAAUGGUUGCAAUUGAUUUGCAUAUGUAUAAAUACCCCCUCAUGUAUUUAAUUUAAGUAUCAAGUGAUGCAACAAAGUCUCUAAUUUGUAGAGAGUUAAAAAUAAGAAUUGUAGUUGAGGAAUGUUGCUGAGAAAAUAAAAUAGUGUUUCUCCAAUAAAGUGGUAUCAAAGCUAGGUUUUCAACAUAGUCAUAUAGCAUAUCAAAUCGAAGAUGUCGAUGAGUGGAAAGCAUCACCGUAGAAAUCAGUCUAAUUGGAGUCCGAAUGUGCCCAUAAUCACCGUCGGAAGUUUGCUAUGAAUUUAACCAACUAAAUCGAGCUUAACCAAACCAAACCGAUCCAGGUAUGAGUCAAGUCAAUCGAGUAGAACUGAACCAUUGACCGUUGACUAGAGUUGAUAGUUGACCAGUGUUGACUGUUGAUCAAAUGUUGACUCGAGUUCCUCUCAAGAUUUUUUUACAUUCCAAAUUCAUCUGUGUAUUCAGAAUCUCUAAAUUCUCACUCAAUUUAUAAAUUAUGGUAAAUGGUGGCAUGAUGUCAUUCCAAGUUCCACAGUUGAAGGGAAGUAAGUUUAACAACCAGAGUAUCAAAAUAAAGGCUCUAUUGGGCAUACAUGAUGUAUGGGAAGUCGUGGACAAAGGCUUUACUCUGGAGGAAAAUGAAGUUACUUUAACUGCAGAGCAAAAGGAGAAUUUGAAAUAUUUAAAGAAGAAAAAGAAUAAAGCAAAGUAUCUCAUCUUUCAAUCAUUAGAUAAAGAUGCUUUUGAAAAGAUUGUCAGUGCAACCUCCUCAAAGGAAGCAUGGGAAAAGUUAGAGAUCUCUUACAAAGAGCAUAACAAGUUAAGAAGGUUCGUCUCCAAACAUUACAAGGAGAAUUUGAGUCCUUACACAUGAAGGCAUCCAUGUCGAUUUCUGACUAUUUUACUUAGGUUGUGACUAUUUCUAAUGAGUUGAAAUGAAAUGGUAAGGAGUUAAAAGAGGUAAAGAUCAUUAAAAAGAUACUUCGAUUAGUAGACUCGAAGUUUAACUAUAUUAUUGUGACAAACGAGGAAACAAAAGAUUUGGAGGAUAUAACGAUCGAGCAAUUUCAAGGAGGUUCCUAAGAAGAAAAACAAAAGAAGAAGCAUGAGAUCAAAGACCAACUCCUCAAGAUAGAAGUAAAUCCAAAGAAAAGAGAAGAAAGCAUCGACAACGAGAAAAGACAUUAUAUCCAAGGUAGAGGUUGAGGACAAGGUAAAAGUCGUGGUCAUGGACGAGGUUGGAAGUUCAACAAGAAUUCUAAUCAUUAAAAAGGAUAAAGCUCAACCAGAUGACGAGGUAGAGGAAAUUUAAGAUCGAGGUAUGAUAAAUCCCAAGUACAGUGCUAUAAUUGUCAAAAAUUUGGGCAUUAUGCUUUAGAGUGUUGAGUUCCAAGUACCAGAAUUAAUUAAAGAGUGAACUAGAUUGAAGAGAAAAAUGGUGAAGAUGGUGCACUUUUAUUGGCACGCAAUGACAUUAAUGGGGGUCAAGAAAAUACAUGGUAUAUUGACAUAGUGCUAGUAAUCACAUGAGCAGAAACAUAAGUAUUUCGAUAGAACUAAAUGAAUUUAUGAAUGAUAAUAUUGCUUUCAGAGAUAAUUCAAAAGUACCAGUGAAGGGCAAAGGUGACAUGCUCUCUCGUGCAAAAGAUGGUAGCCACUAAUUAAUUUCAAAUGUUUACUAUGUGCCCAGUAUGAAAAACAACAUCCUCACUUUAGGUCAACUCUUGGAAAAGGGCUAUGAUAUUUACUUAAAAGAUUAUAGUUUUUUUUCUAAGAGAUGACAAAGGAAACUUAAUUAUAAGGGUGAGAAUGUCGAAGAAUAGAAUGUUUCCUUUAAAUAUCAAAAAUGAUGUUGCAAUGUGUCUCAAAGCUUGUCACAAAGAUCCAUCUUGGAUUUGGCAUCUUCGUUAUAGGCAUCUUAACUAAAAUGACUAUCAAAGAAGAACAUAGUGAAAGGCCUUCCUUCAGUCAAUCAUCCUGAUCAAGUUUGUAAAGGAAGUUUACAUGGAAAGCAGUUCAGAAAGAGCUUUCCAAUUGAAUCAAACUCAAGAGCGUGGAAGCCUCUUGAGUUAAUUCAUAUUGAUGUGUGCGGUCCAUUCAAGCCAUGCUCUCUUGGUAAAAGUAACUACUUCCUUCUUUUCAUGAAUGAUUUUGUAAGAAAUCUUAGGUACAUUUUUUAAAGCAGAAAUCAAAAGUUUUUUCAGCUUUCAAAAAGUUAAAAGUUGUAGCCAAAAAGGAAAGUGGACACAAAAUUAAAGCCAUAAGACCUUAUCAAGGUUGAGAGUUCAUCUCUAAAGAUUUCAUAGAGUUUUGUAAAGCAAACGGAGUUUGGCACCCUUUACUAGUUCCAAGAUCUCUUCAACAAAAUGGUGUUGCAGAAAAAAAGAACAGAAUCAUUCUCGAUAUGGUUAAAAACAUACUCAAGAAUAAGAGACUACCCAAAAAAUUUUGGGUUGAAGCUUUUGCAUAUGCAGUUUAUUUAUCUAACUGAUCUCCAGUAAGAAGUGUGUGGGACAAGACAUCACAAGAAGCAUGGAGUGGAAGAAAGCCUGAAAUUGCCCAUCUAAGAGUUUUUGUAAGCAUUGUCCAUGUACAUGUACUAGAUGAGAGAAGAGCUAAGCUGGAUGACAAAAAUGAAAAGUUCAUCUUCAUCGGAUACAACAACAAUUCCAAAGGAUACAAAUUGUAUAAUCCAAAUAGUGGGAAGGUUGUGAUUAGCCGAGAUGUAAUUUUUUAUGAAGAAGGAGAAUAAGAUUUUGGCUCUAGUGUGGAUGACUUCAGCUUCUUUCUUAUUUAAGAAGAUGAUCAUACACAAAUAAAACAAGUAAAAGAACAACAAAAGCCAACUACUCCACCUAUCUUACCAACAUCAACCACAAUUAGAGAUUCACUACCAUCUUUUUUAAAAGAAAGAACCAAAGAGCGUGGAAGGAAUUUUCAAGAUCUCUAUGAGGUAACUGAAAGGCUUGAUAAUUUCAGUCUUUUUUUUUCUCUUUGCUAAAUAUGAACCAGUGAACUUCCAUAAAGUUGUACAAGAUAAAAAGUGGGGAAAAGUAAUGGAUAACGAAAUCAACACUAUUGUAAAAAAGGACACCUAAGAACUUACUACUCUUCCCAAGGGUCAUAAAGAGAUCGGUGUUACAUGGGUGUACAAAAUGAAAAGAAAUACAAAGUGAGAAAUUGAAAGAUACAAGGCGAGACUAGUUGCAAAAGGCUAUAGUCAAAAGGUUAGCAUAGAUUAUGAUGAGGUAUUUGCUUUUGUAGCUCAACUUGAAACUAUUAAACUUAUUAGUUCUUUGGCUGCUCAGAAAAAUGGAAGAUUUUUUAAAUGGAUGUGAAGUAUGCUUUCUUGAAUGGAUUCCUCGAAGAAGAAGUUUACAUCGAACAACCAUCGGGCAAUGUAAGUGAAAAGAUAGGAGGACAAAGUUCUAAGAUUGAAGAAAGCUCUUUAUAGGUUAAAUCAAGUACCAAGGGCAUGGAAUAGAAGAAUUGACUAGUAUUUUCAAGAGUAUGGCUUCACUAAAUACCCAUAUGAACAUGCUCUUUAUGUCAAAGAAAAGGAUAAAGACAUUUUAAUUGUGUGCCUGUACGUGGAUGAUCUCAUCUUCAUUAGAAGUAAUCCAAGCUUAUUUAAAAAGUUCAAGAAAGUGAUGAUCAAAGAAUUUAAGAUAACUAAUAUUGGAUUGAUGGCAUAUUAUCUUAGUAUUUAAGUCAAGCAAAAGAAAGAAGGCAUAUUUAUCUCCCAAGAAAGUUAUGCAAAUGAUAUUCUUAAGAAGUUUAAGAUGAAUUAUUACAAGCCUAUAAGCACGCCAGUAGAAUGCAGAGCUAAGUUAUCCAAACAUGAUAAAGGCAAAGAUGUAGAUCUAAUGUUCUUUAAGAGUCUAGUCGGAAGGUUAUGUUAUUUGGCAUGCAUGAGACCAUAUAUCCUUUAUAUUGUUAUACUUGUGAGUCGUUACAUGGAGAAUCCAAAUACCACCCAUUUUAAAGUUGUAAAAAGAAUCCUUUGCUACAUCAAAGUAACAAUUAAUUUUGGCUUGUUUUACUUAGAUUCUAAUGGUUACAAGCUCGUUGGAUAUAGCAAUUGUGACCGGUGGCGACAUAGAUGAUCGAAAGAGUACUAGUAGUUUCAUGUUCUCUAUCGAAGAUAUUACUUUCACAUGGAUGCUAAAGAAGCAACCAAUUAUCACACUUUCCACCGAUGAAGCUGAGUACGUAGCUACUAUAUCAAAUGUUUGUCAUGCAAUUUGGCUUAAAAAUUUGCUAAAGGAGUUGGGUUUGCCACAAAAAAGAGCCAAUCGAGAUUUGUGUUGAUAACAAAUCAACAAAUGCACUAUUCAAGAAGAAAGUCUUUCACGAUCGAAGAAAACACAUAGAUAGUUGUUACCAUUUCAUAAGGGAGUGUAUUAUAAGAAAAGAAGUGCAAGUCAAGUAUGUUAGAUCAAAGGAUCAAGUAGCUGAUAUCUUCACCAAGUUGCUCAAACAUGGAGACUUUGUAAAAUUCAGAUGUUUGCUUAGUGUCACAUGAUCAAGUUUAAAGAGGGUGCUGGAUCAUAAACUUAAUGCAAUUUGAACAAAUUCAAGCCCGAAUACACAAAAUUUUCUUGUGGUAGGAAUGGUAGGUGUAAUUGGUAAAGUAGGCGAGUGUUAGGUUUUGAUGAAUGAUUAAGAUUUGUUUUACAUUUGAAUAAAUGAAUAGUUGUGAUUGAUUUGUAAUAUGUAUAAAUACCCCCUCAUGUAUUUAGUUUAAGCAUCAAGUGAAGCAACAAAAUCUCUAAGUUAUAGAGAGUGAAAAAUAAAAUUUGUAGUUGCGGAGUGUUGUUGAGGAAAUAAAUAGUAUUUCUUUAGUAUUUGAUUUUUCAAAAUUCCCAACAUAGUUUUAAAAGUGAUCAAAGGGAAGCAUCUAAGAGAUUUUCAUUCUUCAAUUUCAUCUCCAUCUCUCAACAUGAAUAUAGCACUUGAUGAAAUAUUGGACCCGCAUCUUCCAACUUCAUCAUGCAAUGUUCAAUAAAAAUUGAUGUCAAUGACGGAGGUUGCUUUUUCAUGCUUAAAUGAAAGUCUAGAGUCUAGACCAAUUAUGAAGGUAGUCAGUCAACAAUUACAAAUUUGACCUCAGCAACCUUGAAUGAGUCUUAAUUUUCUAAGUAUAUUUCUAAUUUGCUUGGUUUAUUUUUCUCGUGUACUAUAGUUUGUUUGUUCUAGUUUUCAAGAAUCAAGAGGCAUUGGUUAUUACGUCAUCCAUAUACACUUAGUGUAUGAUGUACUCUUUCAUUUUUAAAUAAAGUUUAUUCAUUCCUCAGUGGUUUAAUGACAUCUAUCUUUGUAUAUAUAAAAGAAUACGUCCAAUGAGAUCUUUAGUUUUAAAGAUAUUUUAGUUUAGGAAAAUUAUAUAAUGUCGUAAUAAAAAUUACGGUAUCAAUGCUGAAGUUAUUAUAUACCAUUGGAUUAGAUCAACGGCACACAAUAAUUAUAAUAUAAAAAAAUAAUUUUGUUUCUUUAACUGGUUUACAACUCGUUAAAUAUUUAUUUAAAAAGAAAUAAAACUAGUUAAUAUUGUAAAAGUUCUAUAUAGUUUUUUAAAACAAAGUCCGCAUAAGUCAAAAUAGAAUCACGGUCCUAACUCAUAAGAAACCUUAAAACAUAAAUCAUAGUACAAUCACCAAAUUGAAUCUAAGAAGCCACUGUAUUUUCGAAGCAAUUGUGUUUGCUGUCUAACCCAGAUUGUGUUUUCCUCUUUCAUUCCUCAGUUCUUGCCGAUCACUGAUUUGAAAUAAAGCCCAAUGUCGAGCCCUUUCUCUUUAAAUCGACUGCUAAAUACCACUAAAUUAUUUAAUCCAACAAGAAGAAGCUCUAAAAUGUCGUUGAGAAGAACCAGGUUGGGCUCUUGUUCGUGAAGGGGUUUCGGGUCGACGAUAACUGCUCCGCGUCGGCGAUUCAAAAGGUAAACUCUUCGUAAGAAUUUUUUUCACCGUUUUUUACAUUUUUUAAGUGGAGUUUUUAUAAUUUUUGGUUAAUGUGCGCCUGUUCUAGUUUUAGUAUUUUGUUUGGUUUCUAAGAAAAUUAAGGGACAAAGAAAUUUUGAUGAGAUUGUGACUGUGCCUGAAGCCGAGGACCAAGUUUUGAUCAUAAGUUGUUGCUGUUGUCCUUAAUCCUGUUGAGGGAAGAGAAGGCAAGGAAGUUUCAGGCCACUGAUUCUCCUCAACCGUAUUUGCAUUCUUGUUAAUUCUACCAAGUAAGCCUAAUUUUUGGUAUAUUUCUUUGUUUGCUACAAAUAAUUUCAACAUAUAAUUUAAUGGAAUUGUUUUGUGUCACUUGGGUUAAUGAAGAAAUAGAAACUAAAAAUUUGGUGUGGAUGAAAAAAAUGUUGUUGUAAUAGGCUUGCAAAAGAUGGAAUAGAACUUGGCUAUAGAAGAAUUGAAACAAUUCUAAAACAUUACAGAUGUUGUAGCAGCUGCUGUAGCAACCAUUGCUGUACCAAACUUGGAAAGACGACAGAGAAAAUUUCGCGCGAGAUACCCAGAAUAUUGCGAUCUGCAGUUUCCUAAUCUGGAUAAUGCGUGCCCUAGACUUUCAUUUACCCUAAUUUUCAACUAUAAAAGAAGCACGCGUACGAGGAAAUAAGGAGAGCCGUCACCCAAGGAGAAAAACCACAAUGAAACAAAAGAAAAAUAGGAUUUAAGAGAGAGAUUAAGGGCUGCACAAGAGGAGAAAAUGCAGAGAUCUAUUGAAAAUCAGUCUUUUUUAUUCUUUUCUUGUUUUUUAUUUAUUCGUGGGGAUGUAUUUGAUGGCUAAAACUCUUUUAUUUAUUUUUCUUUUGCAAACCAUGAACUAAAUUUAUUUGUGGUUGAGUGAUAAACAAACUUGAUGGUUUAUUAACUGAAUAUAUGUAUUGCGGCAUGUUUGUUGAAGCAUUUUAUUUUUAUAGUAUUUAUUUCUAUUCAUUAUUUCGGAUGAUCACUCAUUUAAUGAUACUAGCUAAGAAAGAGCCACAAAAGAACCUAUCUUAGUGGAACAUAUCAGAGCAAUACUUGGUUUUAGAUUGAGUUUCCUUAUUUGAGUUUUACUUGAUUCUAAAAGGGUCAUGCUUAAUCUAAAAUAUUGAUGAACUAAAUGUAGGGAUUCACCUUGUAGGGCAAUUAGAUCCUAAGCAUGUAAUGCUAUAUCUAAUGGAAGUAUAACAACUAAUCACUGUUAGGUUAUAUAUAGAUAUAAUACAUCCAACAUGCGACAAGUGAGGAUACAUAAGGAUUUUGCCCAGUGCUGCAGUAGAUGUUACGGCAACGAUACUAGAAUUGAGAAAAUAGUCAACGCCAUUAAGAGAGUUUAUUCACUCAACUACUCUAUAGUCCCAUUGAUUUUAUCCUUGAGUUUGACGUGAUAAUUUACUUUGUUGCAUUUUAUUUAUUGCAUUUUUAUUUUGAUUAAUAUAUUACUUUCAUUAAUUGUUUUAUUUUAAUUUAGAACAAAAUCUCCACUGUUAAGAUUGUUGUAGCAAAUCUAAUAACAUCAAUCCAUGUGCAGACGAUCUUGAAUACUCAUUAUUAUAUUACUUACUGUGUACACUUGCACAUUGACACCCAUAGUUUUAGAAAUCUCACAACAAAGGGACCACAAUUCUAAAAUUGGAAGUGGGUUUUUGUCUCAAAUAUUAUUGAAGUGAUAGAGAAUUAUGUGAAGUUGUGGAAAAAUUUUGGGUUUGAUAUGCUUCUAUUUCUAGGUAAAUUUUCUACUGUAUUUGGGAUUUAUUUACUGUUGUUUUUGUGUUAAAUUUUCUGCUGCUUCUGGGUAAAUUUACUGUUGUUUUUCAAUUUAAUUUUUUGCAUUUUUAUAUAAAUUUACCAUUGUUUUGGGUUAAAUUUUUUUGUUGUUUCUGGCUAAAUUUGCUACUGCUUUUCAAUUAAAAUUUUUACCAUUUCUAGAUAAAUUUACUAUAGUUUUUGGGUUAAAUUUUUUGCUGCUUCUAGGUAAAUUCGUUGUUGUUUUUCGGUUAAAUUUUUUGUUGUUCUUGGACAAAUUUUCUACUAUUUUUUAGUUAAAUUUUUUGCUUUUUCCAGGUAAAUUUGUUGUUGUUUUUGUGUAUAGGGCUGGCCAUAAAAUGGUCAUGAUGCAUUUUCAAUGGGGAAAAGUUGCUUGUGUUAUUCCUGCUGCUACUUGCUCCAUUUGACCUUCUAGAAUCCGUUAAGAGUAGAGGGGAAGAAGAAAGAGAUGAUGAGAAAUGCAAAUUGUUUGUGAGGUUUAGAUUGAUAUACCAGGCCAACAAUCAUAUUACAAAACAUCUAUAUAUAUUUUUUAAGUUUGUUUAUAUUUUUUAAGGAUUAUAACUAAUGUUGCAAAUAGUUAUUUUCUGUCACUGUUCUUGAAGCAAAUACUAGUUUAACUUUCCAAGAAAGGUGUUCCUAAUUCUUUCUUGGGCGAUUGAAUUUUAUGUUGAAAUGUUUAUUUGUAAAAUAUUUUUACAGGAUCCAAAACUUGUGAUGUUUGACAUUUCUUUUAAUGCCUAAUAUCUUCAUGUACAGGUUCCUGUUGUAAACUCGAAAAUGGUUGAGAAUGUAGAUAAGGGUAACGAGAAUGAUUUCAAGGAGAAUGACAAUGUGAACUAAGAAAAUGAAAUUUUAAGAAAAAAUUAGCCUUUCAUUGAGUAUUUGUAAGUCUUCAUACAUUAAAUAUUAUGUAUUUGAUUGUUGGUAAAUUUAUGAAUAUUUAGUAAAGUCAAGCAUAAUCAUGUGACGGUGCACUGAUUAUAUAUUUGUCAAAAUAUUUAAUUAACUACAGCAAGCAAGAAGCAAAAAUACUACGGGAACAAGGAAAAAAAGUGAUGAGUUCAGUUAUGAUAUCAAUUAAUUUCCAUUAAAUUUGGGACAUGUUUCAAGCAAUAACUUAUUGUUAUAUUUUUUAAUUUUUUUAGGAUAAAAUUAAAUUAGGGAAAUGUUUCAAAAAUUUGAGUGAAGAAGAGAAGGCUAAAUUUAGAAUGGUUGGCAGUGAUAUAGUAUAGAAUAAAGACAAAGAAGAUGAUUUUUUUAAAAGGAACUAAGAAAGCCAUGGAAACUAGAUGCGCUCGAGAUCAUUUUGCAAAACUAGUAGCAAAAUUGUUAGAAAAAAAAAAGUUGUCAUGGAGUUGAGAUUUGAAAGUCUUCUGCACAUAAAAUGUGGUCGACUAAAACGAGAUUUAUGUCCAUAGUUGGUUCAAAAUUUUGAUCCAUUUACUUCAUGUUUUUUUUUUUUUUUUUUGCAUGGGAGGAGUAUCAAUCUAUCACCUCGAGAUUUUGAGUACAUUAUGGGACUAAAAGAUGGUGGAGUCGACAUUGAUGUGGAUCUUAGUAUUAAUGACAUAGAUAUAUUGAAGGAUGAAUAUUGUGAUGAUAGUGGAUACAUUAAGCUGAAAACAUUAGAGUCAAAAUUGGUGAAUCAAAGGGAGGUGAAUGAUGACUUUAAAAGAAGCUUUGUUUUGUUUGUUAUAACUGCACUUAUUUUUUCCUAAAUGGGGUUGAAUUUAGCCCUUUAUUACUUGGUUUUUUUAAAGACAACAAUGUUAUAAAUAAAAAAAAAAAAUAUUGGGCAACAUGGGUUUUUAAAGGGCCCAUUGAGGGCAUACAAAAGUUUAAGGCAAGACAACAAAUAUAAAUUUGUUAAUGGUUGUGUACUAUUUUUUGAGGUAAUAAUUUUUUCAAAAUGAUUUCAUCAAUUAACAUGUUAUUUUCUUUUUGCUUUGUCUUGAUCAUUUUGUUAAUUAUAUUGCAACUUUUUUACAUGGAUACUAUGGACCCGUUUGGGGCAGCUGCGCUGCCACCACGCAGCUGCUCCACAGGCCAAUUUUAGGGGAAUAUUCCCCUAGAAUUGACCAGGGGAGCAGCUGCGCGGUGGCAGCCCAGCUGCCUCAAACAGGUCCUAUAUCAUUCCCAGGAAAAUUUAUUGAUAAAUCUUUGAGUCCAAUAAUAACAUGGACAAAUUGAGAUGUUACUAACUUCUUGAGUUUUGUUAAGAAAAACGGUGGUUAUGGGAGCUCAAAAGUAUGGCAUCUACUUUUUAUUAAUUAAAUAUUAACGUAUCAUAUUAAAAUGACAUGUAUUUAACAGUAUGUGGUAUUUAUUAGGUUAAUUUGUGAGAAAUCCGUCCUCAACAAAACACGGCCUAAGAAACAUUUGAUGGAACAAGUCAGAAGAAUGAAUAGUGCAUACAUAAUUGUCAACAUUAGAAGGAAUUAUCACUUGUUCGAAAAGAUAUUGACCGCAUGGCAUUGGAGCCUUUUGGUUUAAAACAUUCAAUGGGUAACUUGAUGCAACAAAUGCAACAAGUAAUGGAAACAUUUAAAGAGAGCUUAAACCAGCAGCAAGUAGAGCAGUAAAAGGAGAAUAAUGGCACUCAUUUUGGAAUUACUUCUCUUUCCCGAAAGCGACAAAAGUAUGAUGAAUCAAGCCAUGAAACUUUUAAUUUUGACAAAGUAAUGAAGAGAGCCAAAGAAAGGCAAAGGGAGAUGAUAUUCUUAAAGAAAUUACUGGAUGAGGAGAAUGCUGAAGAGAAACAUUAUGAGAGAAUUUUGUUGAGUGAGUCAUACCUAAAUGAGGGAAAGUGUAAACAAAUUUUCAACAAUGCAACUACAGGUAUUAGGCAAUAAACUAUGAUCUUUUUUUUCACAAGCAAAACAGAAUAGUGCAUAGAUAAGUUUUAAGUUAUAAAACGUCUUUCUUUUUUUCCUUUGUAGGAUAAUGGCCAAAAUGAGGAUUGUUCUGCUGAAGAGGAAUCAUCAAACCAACUUAGUGUUAGUAGGACAGCUGUAUAAGGACUUAGCAAUUGGUCCUGCAGUCACUGGAAGAAGAGGUCGAAGAGUGAUUAGUGUUAAAAAUUAUAUGUUUAUUGAGGGAUAAAAAUGUUAUUUUGUACUUAUAAUAUAAUUUAUAUUUGUAAUUAUGUAACAUAUUAUGAAUUUCUAAUUAUUUUUCUAAAUAUUUGAUUUCGUGUAUUUUUGUGUGUUUAUUAGAUAAAAAUAAUAAUUUCACGCAAUUUGAGGCUCUAAACAAAUGUACGAAUGUCAAAUUUGAAUUCUGGAAGUUUGAGAAAUUAGGUCAUUGUCGAGGAGAAUUUGUGAUUUUUGUUGUAAAUUUAUAAGUUUUUUACCACGAUAAAUGUGGUAAUUGUGAAAUUAUAAAUUUUACUAUAUUAGAUGUGGUAAUUGUUAGUAAAAUCUGUUGGAUGUGCUUGAGUGGAUUAAGUUAGGUUUAUAUUUUGUUAGCGGGAUAAUUAUAUGGCUAAGAUGUAAUUAGUUUUAUUUAUUUGUGUGGUGUGGAUUGAUCGUGUAUUAGUAUAAAUAGAGAGGGGUAACACACCUCUCUACACCUUUCCUUAUUUUCUUUCCCCUGAAAUUCUUCUGCUCAUCUCUCUUUGUAAUAUAUUUUCAAUAAAUAAAAUUACUUUUAUUUUCAAUUUUCAAAUACCUUUUUAACAAUGUUUUUUUAAUUUGAAUAAUUUCCUUUAUUUCAAAUAUGUUUAGCUAAAUACUAAUAAUUAGGAGAAGGUGAAACUCUCUGUAAAAAAUAUGAUUUAAUCAAAAUUUAUUUUUAAUUACAUAAAUUAAAUUAUUUUUUAAACGACCCGCCCCGCACCCCCAGGGCGAGUCUAUCUAAACUCGUAAAAUCGAAUCGAUAUUAAUUACGAUAUCUAAGAAUUCUAUAAAAAUUUUGGCAGAAUCUCCCCUAUAAAUAAAACAUUCCCAACCUGCAAUUUACAAAACAAUACUCCCAAAAUAAUUCAAUAUCCAUCCAUCCUCCAUAACCAACUUCUCAAGUCGACAUACCAAAUACUCCCAAAUCAUUCUGAUAUUAAAAUACAAUAGUUAUCCUUAAUUACGAAAUAGAAUAACUAAAUACAACUCGCAAUAUUCCAAAAAUCACAGUAUUAAAUCCACGACUCCUAGCACCAUCACGUGGCCACAAUUUCAAAAUUAACAUUCAAUACUGGGUCGACUGAUAUACCUGCAAAUCUCCUGUGGGGGGGGAAAAAUAUAAUAAAAGCGGAAUGAGUAUAAAACUCAGUGAACUCAGUGAGUGGAUAGUAACUUUGAAAAACCAAUUCUUUUCAAAUGAUUUAAUUUUUCUCAAAUCAAUUUCUCAAAUCAUCAAUUUCUCAAAUCAAUUUCAUCAUAAUAUCAUAAGUAGUUAAUUCAAAUCAGUCAUUGAAAUACUAUAUUACAUAAAUCUGCAUAAAAUCGAUGGAAACAUAAUACUUAUCAUAUCAAAUACUGAAUACCAAAACUAUCAUCAAACAAGUACCCAGGGAAAUAAUCUCGUCAUAUCCGGACCUCAACGGACGGGCAAUGACGUACUAUCUAGGUAACGUCACGCCCCGGAGCUACACAGAUAGACAGGGAAAUAUUAUCUCAUAUCUCAUCAUAACUGUGCAUGCAUAAUCUAGUCCCCAAAGGACAAAAGCGCCCAAGCACACAGCCCAAAGCCUCUGUGUGUACUCAGACGGGCCCCAAAGGCCUAUAUCUCAUCUGUAUCUCAACUGUCUGUAUCUCAUAUCUGUAUCAUUGUAUCUCUGUAUCUCAAUAACUGAUCUGUAUCCCAUAUCUGUAUCACUAUAUCUCAAUAACUGUCUGUAGCCCAUAUAUGUAUCACUGUAUCUCAAUAACUGUCUGUAGCCCACAUCUGUAUCACUGUAACUCAAUAUUUGUAUCACUGUAAUCAUCAUACCGCAUGCAUAUGCCCCAAAGGCAAAAGCGCCCAAACACACGGCCCAAAGCCUCUAUGUGUGUUCAGACGGGCCCCAAAGGCCUCUCAUCUCAUAUCAUUUAUAUCACUGUAACUGGAGGGGAAGGGUACUGUCUAAUAAUUUCAAAAACAAUCAUUGUACUCAUAUUCACAUACCUCUUUACCAUAUUUUAAAUCAUACCACAUUUGAAUCCACUUUUCUUAGCUUUCAAAUAAUCUCACUUUUUAUUCAAAAUCGAUACGCAAAAUCAUUAACCAAACAUUUUAAUAUAAUAUCAACACGUGAAUAAAAUCCAUUUCGAGGAAAUCACAUUAAAUCCAUUUCAAGAAAUCAUUAAAUCAGAACAUUUAAAAUACUUAUUCCGCAAACAUGCUUUACUAUCAUAAUUAACUCUAAAAAUAGGUUUCGUAUAUUCCACUCACAUUGACAAUGUCCAGACUCGGUGUCGACAACGUCCGCGGGUUGAUUCUUGUUUCGCGAAUCCUCCUAAUCAAGGAAACGACAUAAACAUUCUCCGUAAACUUGAAAUACAACGAAUCUUACGUAAUAAUUCUCGAAACGAAUAUCUAUCAAUAAUAAACUAUUCCCGCAUGCACAAAAUUACCGAAAUACCCCUACAUGCCAAAAUUGCCAAAAUGCCCCCAACAUCAUUAUUUUACCAAAUUAUCCUCAGAAUCUUCAAUUACUAAAUUGUCCUAAUUCAGAUCACGAAAUUAACCACAAUGUCAAAAAUUAUGAAAUUACCCUCGGAGCAUAAAUUUACCAAAAUGUCCUUAACAACUUAAAUUACUGAAUUACUCUCGAAAUCUCAAAUUACCUCAUUACCCCAACUUAAAAUUACCAAUUUAUCCACUGAUUCCACAAAUUACAAAUUCAUGCUCAAGUUUUAUGAAUUAACCGAAUUACCCUUGAAUUCAAUAUUACCAAAAUACCCUCAUAUCAAAAUUACCAAAUUCACCUCAAAAUCAUAAAUUACCAACUUUAUCCUCAAUUUCAGCAAUUACCAAAAUACCCACAAAAUCUGAAAUUACAAAAUUGCCCUUAGACUGUGAAAUUACCGAAAUACCCUUGCCGGUCAACGGUCACCGGAAUUCAUCCGACGGCGACGAGAAGCUCAGGUCUGAAAGUUCAAGUCACGCUAAGUCCAAUGGUGGCAGUGGUGACCUCCCACGCGCGGUGAUGACUCCGGAUCGAGCUCCCGAAGUCGUGAAUCCUCCAACGGUCGAUCAACGGCAAAACGACGUCCCCGGCGUCAGUGGUUAGUCGGAAAUGGCAGAGGGAAAGGUAAGGAACAAAACCCAAGUGAUGGCUUCACCGGAACUCGACGAAAUCACGGCAAAUCGAGCCGGCGAUUCCGCGGUACUUCAACGCUUCGUUCGGUGGUUUUCCGAUCGUUUUCCGGCGGCAAGGACGACAUGAAUACGUAGCUCAUCUCUCAAGCUUCAAAUCGGUACCAACCUUGCCCGGAACGGUGGCCGGAAAUGGGAGAACCGGUCGGGUCAAGGUCGCGGGUCGGGUCGGGUCGGGUUUCCGGGUCAAAAACGGGUCAACUCUCUUUUUCUCUCUCUCGUCUCUUCUCUCUCUUUCUUUGUAAAUCAAUAACAGUUCCCCCCUUUCCAGUUAUAGAAUCCGGCUUCUUCUUCCUUUUUUUUUUUUUUUUUUUUUUAGCUUAAGCUUAAUACAAAUUAAGCUAAUACCGGACCCGAGAAGAAAAUAAAAUCCGACUAUCCGAGCGUUUAAUCGCGCUCAAUUAUAUAUAGGUGAAGGGUUAAAAAAAAAUAAUCGGGUGUGGGUGUUACAAUUUUCCAUCUAAUUUUAUCCAUAUUUAAAAAUUUGAAAUUUUGCUUUAUUUAUUUUUAAUAUCCUAGUAUAAAGUAUGGUAAAAUGGUAUUUUGACUUAAGAAGAGUUUGCGAGGGAAUGUUGUCCUACGGACAAGGCUCAAGAGGCCCCGGUAGCCGAGAGGCGUGGAAAGUGCUUGGGUAUUCGCCGGUAUCGCGAGAUCGUUUACUAAUGGUAGUUGUGGCGGGAGCCCUCUCCAUUAUCAGAUCCCUGCCGGGCUCGUAAAACCACCAGCUGUGGAGCAGCGGCUCUUUAGACCAACUUCGCUCACAAAUCCGAGCGGGUUACCCACUAAGCAAAAGACAAGACGGCUGUGAUUGGGGCACAAAGUUGCAGAUAAUGCACUUCUGAACAACUCGCCCCGCCUUGGACAGACAACGAUCUGCGCCAGGCUGCAGUCGAAGCGACGGUCGGCUCCAUACGGGAUUGUAGAUAAGUUAAAUUUUGGCACACUAGGUACUUAAUCUAUAAUAAAAUUAUUGGGAAAAUAAUUGUAAUUUAUAAAAUUAAUCAUUUGGGCAAUAGAAUAAAAAUAAAAAGAACUUAUUAAAUUGUAUUUAUUACUAAGAGUGGAUUUAUAACCCUAACUAAUUUAAUUUUAUAGUUUUGCUCAAAUUAAAUUACAUAUAUUUAAAUUUUAUUUCCAUUUUUAGAUAAACUAAAAUAAACAAAUUAAAUCUUUUUCUAUGUGAAUUGACCUCGGACUCACCGAGCUAUAGUAUAACUAGGCAUUAUUAUACUUGGGAGUACGUUAAACACUUUUGAAUCGUGUCAAAGAAAAACAGUGCAAGCAGGAAGCCAGACAAGCAUAAAAUCCAUUACUCUGGCCAUUAUCUAGGAUGUAUUAUCUAUUGACUACAAGAAAAAUGGUAUUUUAUUACAAAAAGUUUAGUCACUAAAAAUAAUCGAUUAGUCACCUUAUAUUUUUUACGACAAAAAAUAAAUUGUCACAUGUUAGUCAUAGAAAGACCGUCUUAAAAGGUUCUAGCGACCAAAAUUAUUUCAGUCGUUAAAAAUAUGUUUUUUACGACAAAAAUGAUUAUCUUAAAAUUAAGCUAAAAUUGUCACACAUGAUAUUCAAAAUGGUCAAAUUAGAUAUUAAAAAAUGCAAUCAAUGACACUUUAUAUCUGUCACAAUAGGUGAUUUGUAGCGGCUAUAAUAUUUGUCUCAUGAAUAUGUAAAAGUUUACAUAUCACGACAUUACAUAAUCGUCUCAAGUAGUUGUAAUUUGUGACAAUUUCUGCAAAUACAAUUGGUAAUUAAUUUAGUCUCAAAUUUGUUUUAAGAACAAUUUAUAUGGUCUCACAUAAAUUUUAAUAACAAUAUGUAGUCAUAGAAUUCAAAAUUUAAUGACAAAAAAAUUUAAAAUAAAAAAUAUUAUUAACAUAAAUAUAAUUCAUCACAAAGAGAUCUAAAAUCUAAAUAGUAAAAUGAUCAAUAGUCUAAAAAUAAGAUUACAUUGUGGAAGAAAAAUUAAAAUAACAUUACACAAAAGGAGAAUUAAGUAAACAAAGGUUGUUGUUUCAUGAAUGCUUCAACUUCCUUAAAUUUGCUAACUUGUUACUUGAUUUUAAUUUUUAUCCUUGAUUGCUAAGACAAUGUUGUAGUUGAGGAUGACUUUGAUCAUCUAUUAUUGGUACAUCAUUUUGCUCCAUCUGUCAUUUCAUUUGGCCCUACAUGAUUAAAAAAAUAAAUAUUAAUAAUAAUAAAAACUUGAGAAAACACUUAAUUGAUUGUAGAAGAAUAAUCUUAUAAAAGAAAAUCUUAUUGCCAAUGCAUAAAAGAAUAGUAAAUAGCAAGGCUAAAUAAAAAUAUUUAGGUUAGAAUGCAACAUUAAUUAAAUCUCUCAAUGAAACAUGUCCACAAUCAAUUCUUUCAUUCAAAAAAAUUAGAUGAAAGACUAGGAGAUUACAAGCACAUACUUGCUUUCAUUAUUCAGAAUAACAAUAUUAUCAAAAGAUUACAAGUACGCACAUAAUCAACCUCGAUUCACUUGCACAAAUUUUGCAUCCAAAACUCUUAAGUCAAUCUAUUAAAUAGUUGGUGUCAAAAAACUAAAUUAAAUUAUUAAGUAGUCAAUGGAUCAACAUUUACAGAAUUACAGUAAAUAUAAAGUUGAAAGAAAUAAGAGAUUAAGUAAAAAAAAUAAAAUAAAAUAGCUCACACAUUUAGAUUAAUCAUAUGAUUAGAGAUAUGGAUGAUAUUUCAAAACGUCAAGUUAAAUGACAAUGCCAAAAUAAAUACAAUAAGAAUAAAACAUGAGAAAAAGAUGAAACCAUGAAAAUGAAAUACAGGGAAAGAGCAAGAGGACAACCAAAAACACAACAUAAACGUUCCACAAAUAUGUGAUCUACUUUCUUUGAAUGGAUUCCAAUUGAAUCAUGUAAAAGAUGAUCUACUUUCUUUGAAUGAUUGCGUGUACUUCUCCAUUCACUGGCAGUGCCAUUUCCAUUAACUUCUCCAUCAUUAGAUGCAGAAUUGGAGCAGAAAAGUAAAUUAAACACAAGCUGAUCCACCAAGUUGUUCAGCAGCAUCAGCAAGAAUGGACUAAGUCCAUAAUAUACGCAAGUUGUCAAUCAUGUAUUUCCUUUCAAAAGGAUAAGUUUCAACUAAGCAAAUACUUCAUCCAACUUAGAAGCCACAUGAUCAAUAUCUCUAAGCCUUACUAGAAGUGAAAGAAUGGGAAAGGAAGGGGGCAGAAACUCUCAACUACUUGCUUGCAAAUAUUAGGACCAGAUCUUACUCUAAUGAACCAAAUUAAUUUUUUUUUCUGUAACUUUAAGUUCCUUCUCUAGGAAAAUAAUAGCAAAUCAUUGACUAUUGGGUAAAACAUUUAUAAUAAUAAAAAUAGUAAAAAUAAUAAUGUGGGCCGAGAGGUAUUUAAUCCAACCAAAUGAAUUAUGUUACAUCAGCUUGUAGAAAACAAAUUUAUAGAAGAGUUUAUAUGAUAAAUAAAAAUAAAAAUUAAGAUGCAAACAUAUAUACAUGCAAGGAUGACCCGACCCCACUUUUAGUCCAAUUGACUUGACCUAAAUUUUAUGGGCUUUGACAUGAAUUUAAGGGAUUACGAUCGGGCUCAGCCUAAAUAUUAGAGCCCGGUUAAAUUCGAAUCAGGGUUCGGGCCCUACAUGUCGGACUCGACUUGACUUGACCUUAAAACUUAAAAAAAAUGUUUAUAUAUGUUUAUUUUAUGUUUAUUAUUUAUGUAAUAAUAUGGUUGCAAACUUGAGUAAUUUUAUUUUUAUAUUGUUUCAAACAAUUUCUAAAGCUUUUAUAUUUUAAUGAAUAUAAGGAGGCUAUGUCCAUUUUUUUAAUUUUAAAUUAAUAAAAAAUUAAAAAACCUUUAAGAGAAACUAUGAUCGGGCUCGGGCUUUCAAAUAAUCGGAAUAUUUUGGGCUUGAAAAUUUUAUUUCAAUUAUAGGGUCGGGCUUGGAAAUGGCUAAGCAUGGCCUGACUCAACCCACUACCAUUCUUGCAAAUAUACUAUUGAUCCAUUAUGAACUCAUCAAUUAAAUUAGCAUAAAAAAAAAAAACUCAUCAAUUAAAUUCAUACUCACUGUAAAUGUGUUAUUAUCAUUCAAAUCUCAUGCAAUCUAAAAUUGUAAACACAUAAAAUAGUUUUCAAAGACUUCCAAAAGAAUGCCAAAAGUCUAACUCUCUAAUUAAUUCCACCCAGGAUCUAGGUCAGGUUAACUAAGCUAAUCUAAUGACAGAAAAAUGAGUAAAUUAAUGUUCAAAUGGUCAAUGGGUCUUUAGAAUUGUAAGAAUUAUAAAAACUUAGAAAAAUGACAUAAAACUCGUAAAUUAACAUUAACUGUGAAAUAAAACAAACAAACUAUAAACCACACAUAGGGCUAAUAAAUUGAUGGAAAAUGGGCAAAUUAAUGUUAGAGUUGCAAAUUGGUCUUCAUAAUUUGAAGAAAUAAAAAACCUAAGCAAAAUAACAUAAAACUCAUAAAUUGACAUUAAGUGUGAAAUGAAAUAAAAAAAAUAUAAAUCAUACAUAAGACUAGUAAAUUGACAGAAAAAUGGAUAAAUUAAUAUUGGUGAGGUAAGUUGGUCUUCAGACUUGUAAGAAUUACAAAAACCUAGAAACAUGACAAAAAAACUCAUAAAUUGAUAUUAAAUGUGAAAUGAAACAAAAAAAUUGUAAACCGCACAUAGGACUAUUAAAUUGACAAAAAAGGGAUAAAUUAAUAUUGGUGUGGUAAAUUGGUUUUCAAACUUGUAAGAAUUACAAAAACCUAGAAACAUGACCGAAAACCCAUAAAUUGAGAUUAAGUGUGAAAUGAAACAAAAAAAAAUUACAAACCGCAUAUAGGACUAGUAAAUUGAUGGAAAAUGGGUAAAUUCAUGUUGUAGUGGCAAAUUAGUCUUUAAACUUGUAAGAAUUUCAAAAACUUAGAAACAUGACAUAAAACUCGUAAAUCGACAUUAAGUGUAAAAUGAAAUAAAAAAAAAUUGUAAAUCUCAAAUAGGACUAGUAAAUUGAUAGAAAAAUGGAUAAAUUAAUAUUGGAGUUGUAUAUUGGUCUUUAGAAUUGGAAGAAAUACAAAAACUUAAGCAAAAUUACAUAAAACGCAUGAAUUGAUAUUAAGUGUUAAAUGAAACAAAAAAAAUUGUAAAUUGUACAUAGUAGUAGUAAAUUGAUACAAAAAGGAGUGAAUUAAUACUGCAGUGGUAAAUUGGUCUUCAGACUUGUAAGAAUUACAAAAAGUUAAAAACAUGACAGAAAACUCGUAAAUUGAAAUUAAGUGUGAAAUGAAACAAAAAAAUUGUAAACCGCUCAUAGAACUAGUAAAUUGACAAAAGAAGGGGUAAAUUAAUGUUGGAGUGGUAAAUUGAUCUUCAAACUUGUAAGAAUUACAAAAAUUUAGGAACAUGACAUAAAACUCGUAAAUUGACAUUCAGUGUGAAAUGAUAUAAAAAAAAAUUGUAAACCAUACAUAAGACUAGUAAAUUGAUGGAAAAAUAGGUAAAUUCAUGUUGGAGUGGUAAAUUGGUCUUUAGAAUUGUAACCAAAGCAAAAACUUUUAAAUGUUAUGUAAAAUUUAUAAAUAACCAUCAAGUGUCAAAUAACACAUUGAUUUUGUAAAUCAAAUAUAAGACUAGUAAAUAUAACCUGCAACUUGGGUAAAAAAUGGUAAUUUUCUUUCCUCAGUUUCGUCUUAAUCUUCCGACGUGAACAUGCACAAGUAGUUGCUCUGCUAUAUCUAUUGGUUUUUGCUAGACUAGUCAUUACUGUUUGAGUUUUAAAUAUUUGCCUUCAUUACUCAUUGUCGCACAAGUUAAUCAUACGUUAUCAUGCUUAUGCUGGCCUUAAUUCGGAACAAAAAAAUGUUGGUUGACAGAUGGCCACAAAAGACUGGCUUCGUUUUUGCUAAAAAAGAAAUAAAGUCUGCUUCUAUUGCCUCUGCAAACCAACUGCUUCCAUGCCCCAUUGAACGCGUGCUUCAUUUUCAAUAUUUCCAAGUUCCAUUUCUCGCCUAAAGCUUCGCGAGAUGUGUUCAAAAAUCUCCUUAUCGCCACAGUUUUGCCACAAAAGCCAAUAGAAUUAAUGAUUCUUAUAAACUAUGAAUUACAUCCUAAUCUAGUUGCACAAUUUUGGGUUGCUUUGAUCAUUAUACCGCUUGGAAAUAUUGUUGAUGCCGAAAUCCGGAUAAGUUGGUCAGAUCUCAGAUCUCUACAUCAUCAUUAAAUUUGUUUGGUGGGAAGCCGCUGAUUAGUUAGCACCAUGAGCAGAUUUUCUAUGAGCAGACAACCCAUGAGUAGAUAACCCGUGAGCAGACAAUCCAUGAGCAGACGAUCCAUGCGCAGACGAUCCAUGAGCAGACAACCCAUGAGCAGACAAUCCAUGAGCAGACGACCCAUGAGCAGACGACCCAUGAGCAGACGAUCCAUGAGCAGACGACCAAUGGGCAAACGACCCAUGGGCAGACGAUCCAUGAGCAGACGAUCCAUGAGCAGACGAUCCAUGAGCAGAAGAUCCAUGAGCAGACGAUCCAUGAGCAGACGACCCAUGAGCAGACAAUCCAUGAGCAAACAAUCUAUGAGCAGACAACUUGUGAGCCUGUGAGCACAACCAACAGUCAGGAGGUGCCAGAAGUUUUUCCGGCGAGAACCCUUCGACGCUCAAGUCAGCGAUUCGGGUCUUACUUGGAAAAACUCAUACCAAAAUUCAUGUGGCUUAAUUAUGAUUGCUUUAAACAAAAAGCUUUUAAGUAAAUUUAAAGGAAAAUAAUUCAAAAUAAUCAAUCUUAAAGAAAUCACAGGCGAAAGAGAAAUUUCUCUGUGGUAGAGAGAGAAAAAGGUCCCAUGGGUUCAAUUGCUUAGAGAGAGAGAGAGAAGGAAAGAGAGAAAAAGAGAGCCCCCGAAGAAUCCCCUUCCUAGGGUUUUUAUAGGAAACUAUAGCGGUUUUUAUCCUCUCCCCUAGAAUUCUCAAGAAAACUACUAAUUUUCAGCCCACUAAGAAUAUGGUCCCUAAUAUUUCGGAGAAAAUGUUUUGACUGAAUCGUGCUUUCUGGUAACUUCCUGGUCGAGGUGACCAAUAACAUCCUGCUCGAGGUGAUGUGCUCGAGGUCACCACAUAUUAUUCUGGUCGAGGUGACCAAUAAUAUCCUGGUCGAGGUGAUCUGCUCGAGGUGACCAAUAACAUCCUGAUCGAGGUGAUGUGCUCGAGGUCACCACAUAAUAUUCUGGUCGAGGUGAUCUGCUCGAGAUGACCAAUAACAUCCUGGUCGAGGUGAUCUGCUCGAGGUCACCACAUAUUAUUCUGGUCGAGGUGACCAAUAAUAUCCUGGUCGAGGUGAUCUGCUCGAGGUCACCACAUAUUAUUCUGGUCGAGGUGACCAAUAAUAUCCUGGUCGAAAUGAUCUGCUCGAGGUCAUCACAUAUUAUUCUGGUCGAGAUGAUCUGCUCAACCAUUUGCUCACUUUUAUUUUGAGGAGAGCACGAUAAUGUAUGAGCAAACACCUUUAUCUUGGUCACCAUUUUUUAUUCCCUAAACAAAUAUCAAAUUCCAAGAUCAUCAUUAGUUGGGACAAAAUUUUAAUUAUAUCUCAAAUUUAUAACUAAAAGUAGUUAUCAUUGAAACUUAAAGUACCAAGACGACAUCUGAAGUGUAAAAAGAAAAGGAGAGAGAAGGGUAGAUGGAUAAGAUAUAGGUUAGAAGAAGUCAAAAUUUGAUAAACUUUUUUAGGAUUUUAUCUAACAACACUUUUUUUUUCUAAUUUUUCUGGUUGUAUCUCAGUGUUUAUAGAAAGCAAAGAUUUCGAUGACUAAAAUAUGAGCUAUACUUAUAAAGUGGAGAUGUAGAGCUUAUCACAGAUGUAACAAAGACACGGUCUUCAUACAAUUAAUUGACCAUUUGACGGUGAGAUGAUGAGAAGAUAAAUUAUCAAUUUUAUCAAUUAACACAUGACAAUUUGUAAUAACGUUAGAUCAUAUGUCACACUAAUUGAGAUUAAUUCGAAGUGGUUCUAACACAUUGUGCAUGCAAUUCAAUGCUUAAAGGGAUAUUUGCGGGCGUGGCAAUUGCGACAUGGCCGCUCUUUGCUGAGCAGUUUUACGCAAUGAGAGGUUUAUUUAUUACAAGAAGAGUAUAUAGUUUGGGCACUGGGUUAAUAUAUUAUCAAAUUAAAUUUCUUUGCUUUAGGCAUAAUUCAUGACUUGCCCUUAGAUAACUAAGUGUGAAAAUUAUGCUCAAACUGUUAUAUCCACUAAUCUUUUCAUAUUAAGUACAAGCAUUCUUUGUAGUUUGUGAACUAAUCUGAUCAAACUGUUACAUGAUGCAAAUCAAACUGUGGCUACAAUGUUAGUAAAUUGGAAUAAUAGCUAGUUUUGACAAAUUCAGAUUAGUUUUGUUUGUUCAAAAGCGGGUUAACAUAAAGAUGAGAAGAAAUCUAAUUCAACAUCUAAAGUCUCUCUGUCUCAGCCAUUUUAUUAUCUUAAUCAAAGCCAAUGUGAUGACAAAAUUAAGGGUAAUUGAAAUUUAAAAAGCGAACCCCAAACUAUUUAGAAUUAGAGAGAGAGUGCUUGCUGAAGUGGAAGGAUCUACUUUCCUUUCUUUCUCUGUUACAAGGAGACAAAUGCCCAGUAAACAUGUUUGUCAAUUGCUCUUUUGCUUCCGCUGUGCUUGUUUUCUGUAACAUUGUUAAAAUAUAAGUGUUCGAAAACCUUUUCAAUUUCAAACAACUUUGGUAUUAUCUUAAUUGUUUUGAUUCCAUUUCUCUGUGAUUGAUCUUCUGUUUUUCUAAUGGGGUCACCGACCUUGAAUAUAGUACGUAGUAUUGAUCCUAUUUUAUGUCUUUAAUUUUUCACAUACUGUUUUUAUUACAUUUUUUUUUUUUUAUAAUUUGAUAACAUUACCUUCAAAAGAAAAACCCAGAGAUGAUUUGUCCUGUUGUUCACAUUUACAAAGGGCAUGGACAUGGACAAUUUUUGUCCAACCAACGCUAGUCCCAUGUUUGGCAAAGGGUUUUAUAUGGGUGAGGGAUAAAUAGAGAAAAACAUAUCCCAUGGGAGCCAAUCUAAGGUGUCGUUAACAUAAAUUUUAUUUGAAUAUUUUACUCUUAUUAUAAGUACCAAAUACUCAUAAAACUAUUUUAAUAACUUCAAUAACUUUUCAGUAAAAAGUUAUAUAUUUCCGAAUGAUUUAUAGUAAUUACUUUAUUAAUAUGAUCAUUAAUUUUCAAUGAAACUGACGAGAAGUCUUUGUGAUAUGAUAUCUCAUGGAAUCUAUUGACUAUCAAAUAUUUUGCUAUUUACACGUAAGAGCAUUGAAAAAUUAUUGCAUUUCAAUUCAAAAUGCUAGAUUAUAUAGGGUACAAAACUAAAUACCCAAAUUAACCCUAUCCUUUCUUUACAACUUCAAUUGCAAACUUCAUGUGGCAAGUUAACUACAUUAGGGUGCGUUUUAGAGCCAUCAAAUCUACAGUAAUGUGGCAACUAAAACAUGUGAAUAAAUUUCUUGGGUCAAUGGUAACAAAGUCCAAGAGUGAUUUAUGAUGCCUGAUUACCACGAGCACACGUAAUUUUCAUGCAACAUGCCUAGCUCAUUUGAAAAUUUGGAUCAAUGAGUGUUUCACAAAACACCAUUCAAGUUUUCACAUCGUGAAAAUAGAAUUUGAACCAAUUGUCAACACUAUACAGCAUGUUUAUUGCUCAAAUUGAAGAAAAUUAAGAAGACAUACAGAUCGAAGAUUACGGAAAAGUCACUUCAAGGAAAAGGCUCUUAUAUGUGACGUCAUACUUUGCCGUCUCACAUAGCUACAGUCAAUUUUUCUAUUUUCUUAAUGCUAGCUAAUAAAAGAAAAAUGUAGAAAUAUAUGACAGAAUCCAUCACUUUCAUCAGUCGAAUAAGCAAGAGAGCAACAUGAAACAAGGGUGAAAAGAGUGAAACCUUCUUAUUGUUUGAAAAAACUGAUUGAAACUCCCCUAAUGUUUUAAAACACACACAUACAUUAGUUUUGCAUUUAAUUUUUCAUAAAUUUUGAAAAAAAAAUCAGAAUUAAUUCAUAAAUGACGACACUUUCCUUGCUUUUUCCAAUAAUUUUAAAUUUAAAUUUUCAAUCAAUUAUGAUUUAAAAAAUUCAAUUAAUUAAAGGUAUUUAUAUUCUCAAUAUCAAACAACCAUCAAGAAUAAAAUGGUAUUAAAAUUUUGAUAAUUAGGGAGUUUGAAUGUAUUUUAAAACAUCAGGAGAGUUUUAAUUAGUUUAGUCAAAUAAUAGGGAGGUUUUGCAUUUUUUCCCCAUUAAACAAGUGUCUAAGAAAUUAAACUUUUAACAAGUGUCGAAUGCAUCUUAAUUUCUGAAUACUACAAAGUGUCUGACUCAGAUCGGAAGAAUGAAUCUGAAAUUUUCUUUAAGGCAUGGAAGAAUCAUUGCAUAAUCAGUGUGUAUGGAAGAAAAAAUUAAUAAGCCAAGUGACAUGGAAAUAAAUGAAUUCACAUUAAACAUGUACCAUGUGCGUCGGUUGUCGCAAAAAAGAACAACAUUUUCCAAGCAAUAAUCAUGCCAGUCUACACAGAAGCACAAUUCACGUUUAAACUUUCUCCUUUUUUUUUCGGAGAAAAGAACAUCUACACUCUAAAAUUUGGGAAAAUGGUCACCAAUACCAUCAAGUUUUUAAAAAGGGCAUUAAGACCUAAGACCCCCUUUUUAACUAUAAUACCCUUUACCUCUACGAUCCCAAAAAAUUAACUCUAAUAUUUUAUAAUAAAUAGGAAUAUAACAUUAAAAUAAAUGUAAUACUAUAUACAUUUUAAAAUAAUUUCAAUAUUUAAUUUUUUUUUAUUAUUUUACAAUCUAUUGGAUAUAUUUUAUUAUAUUAAAGUAAAUUUUAUAAUAAAUAGAAUCAUAAUAUUAAAAUAAAUGUAUUAAAAUUUAAAUUAUUUUGAAUAUUAUGUAAAAUAAUAAUUUUAAUAUUAUUAGUAUGUGAGAUUUAUUUUAAGUGUAAAUUUAUUUAAUGAAAAUAUUAAUUUAAAAUCUCUACAAUAAAUAAAAUUUAUUAUUAAAAUAAAUAUAAUAAAUUUACAUAUUUAAAUUUAUUCAAAAAUUAAAAUAUUUUAAUAUUGUUGGUCUACUGCAUAGAUUACAUUAUUCAUAUAAUAUUUGUAUUUAUUAAAAAUUUUAAAGUCAAUUUUUUUAGGAACAAUAAAGGUAAAAGGUAUAAUGGUUAAAAGGGGUUUUGAUGUCCUUUUUUAAAAACUUGGGUGUUGGUGACUGUUUCUCUAAACCUUGGGGAUAUAGAUGUCCUUUUUUCUUUUUCUUUUUUUUUUUCCAUUUCACACACCAUAACCCCCAUUCACGUUUAAAGUAAAGCUUCCCGAUUGUGAGGGGAAUCGAUCUCAACUAAGCUAUGUGAGCUUAGAUGGAUUAGAAUUUUUACCAUUCAAUUGUGUGUUUUUUCUGGAAUGAUUGGACAUUGGUGAUGAAAUGAAAUAUUAAAAAUUUAUCAAGGAACAAAGUAGUAAAAAUAAAUUCAAGAAGCUGUGUUUUCUGUAGCAAAUGUGAGAUCCUAACAGGUCAUUUGGAUUAUUUUUUUUUAAACAAAAGCCAUAAUAAAUUAAACUUACAAAAUUUUAGUGAAUUAAUAAUUUUUUAUAUUUAAGUAAAUUAACUUUCUGAAAAUUUUAAUAAUUCACAAAUGCCCUAAAACUUAUCGAAUGUUUGGCAAUGGUUUACUGCGUGGGGAUAAACUUGGUGUACCAAAUUUGGCAUACCAAACGCACCCUAAAUACAAUAGAAAUAACUCAUGGCAUUCCUCCAAAUAACUCCAAUGAUUUUUCCAGAAAUUAAAAUCAUAUUCUUUAGACUUUAACCUAUACAAAAAAAAAAAAAAAAAAAAAAUUAGUAUCUUAAUAAAGAGGCAUAUAAUGACAAAAUUAAAGGGUAGUGAAAAGACAAUCCCAAACGGUGUGUUAUUUUCCUUUCAUUUACUGGCAUGAAUUUUCGGGAGACAAAAGCCCAGUAAACAAGUUUGUUCGAUACAAUAGGAUCCAAAAAAACCUUAGUCAAUUUGUCCAUUAAUCUUGACCACAAAUAUUUUUUUAUUCUAUUUCGUAGGAUGACUUUUCAUACUCUUCUAUGAAAAAAAAAAAAAAAAGAGAGAGAGAGAGAAGAACCUUUGUGGAAAAACUUUGAUCAUUAGCUUGAUUGUUUGUCAGCUUUAGUGGAAAUGCCCAAGCGUUUUAACAUUUUCUGAAUUGUUGCAAUCCAAAUGAGAAGAAUCUCUGAGAAAAAAUUUUGAGCACUAAUCUAACAGUUUGUUAGCUUUAGCGGAAAAGGCUAGAUAUUUUAACAUUUUAUGAAUUGCACAUUGAAGACGCAACGCGAAUAUAGUUUUGUGACGCCAAGCUAAAUUAACCAGAUUAACUUACUCUCAUUUACCGUACCAAAGAAAUUUACCCUACAAGUUAAUUAACCAACAAGUAGUAGACGGACAGCUACAAGUUGUACAUUGACGUAGAAGAAGAUGCAUUCGAUACGAAGAUUGAUUUGACAGAACUGCAACAAAGUGAACCAUUUUUGGGAUAAGUUUAGAGCAGUACUAAUUUAUAUCAAGAAAGAAACAGUAUUACUGCUUUCUCUCUUUAGCAUUUCUACUAAUUUUAAUACAUUGAUCUUGGAAGACUUUUCCACAAUAUCAAUUGAUGCAUUGACUUGUUGACCUCUCAAUUGCUCUUGUAUGUGGUUUCUAUAAAUUUGGCAUCCUAUAUGCUUGUUUUCUGCACCGUUGUUAAUUUGUAUGUUUUUGAAAGCUGAGAGUCCUCAAGUGAUCUUAAUUUUGAAUUUUAACACAUUUUGGUUUAUCUUACUUUGUUUUAUUGUGUUUUAUAAUGUCAAUGGGGGCAACAAACAUGAAUAAAGUAGUUUCUUCACUAGCUUUGUUGAUCCUAUUUUCUUUGCUAGAUUUUUCAGUUGCUUUUGCUUCUGAUUCUAAUGAAGAAGCUGAUGCUCUUCUCAAAUGGAAAGCCAGCCUUCAAAGCCACAACCGAUCUCUCCUUCCUUCCUGGACUAACGCCACCACCAAUGUUUCAUCCAAAAUAAGCCCGUGUGCUUGGUAUGGAAUCAGUUGCAAUGACGCUGGAAGAGUCGUCAACAUCAGCCUCAGAAAUACGGGAUUAAGUGGUACGCUUCGUGAUUUGUCAUUCUCAUCGUUUCCUCAACUUGUGCAUCUUGAUCUCAGUCUUAAUGGAUUGUUUGGUACCAUCCCAUCUCAAAUUGGUAACCUUUCGAAACUCAGCUACAUUUCUUUAGAUUCCAAUCAGUUGUCCGGAAAAAUUCCAGUGGAGGUUGGUCUUCUGACUCAUUUGAAGGUCCUUCACUUUCAAUUCAAUCAAUUAGAUGGCUCAAUUCCACCAGAAGUUUGUCGGUUAAGUUCUAUCGAGGAGCUUUUCUUACACUCUAACCACUUGAACGGGUCGCUUCCUCUUUUUUUGGGUAACUUGAGCAAUAUCAUCCGAUUGUAUAUUAAUAAUAAUUCACUUUCUGGUUCUAUUCCUACGAACAUUAGAAACUUGAAAUUUCUUUUUGAAUUAGAUUUGAGUAAUAAUCAACUUGGUGGUUCAAUUCCUCUUUCUUUUGGUAACUUGAGUAACUUGGCUCGAUUGUACCUUUAUAACAAUUUACUCAUUGGUUCUAUUCCGUCAAGCUUAGGAAACUUGAAGCUCAUUGACUUACAGUUGAGAAUUAACCAACUCACUGGUUACAUCCCAUAUUCCUUGGGUAAUGUAACAAGUUUAUCAUCUUUACUUCUAGACGAAAAUAAGCUUUAUGGUUCUCUUCCUCCAUUUGUUGGUAAUUUUACCAACCUAGAAAGACUAGGUCUCAUGGAUAACCACCUAUCCGGUUCCAUUCCUCCCUCCCUUGGGAAUUUGAAAUCUAUGUCCAUCCUAGAUUUAAGCAGUAAUCAAUUUAGUGGUCCAAUCCCUCUUUCUUUAGGUAAUUUGACCAACCUACAACAACUAGUCCUCUUUUCUAACAACCUAUCCGGUUCCAUUCCUCCCUCCCUUGGGAAUUCAAUGUUAACCGAUCUAGUAUUGGAUUUCAAUCAUUUUACAAGUUAUUUACCGAACAAUGUUUGUCGAGGUGGAGCAUUACAGUAUUUUACUGUUUCUGAAAACCAUUUUCAAGGAACAAUCCCUAAAAGCUUGAGAAAUUGCACAAGCUUAAUCCGAGUACGCCUUAAUGGAAACAACCUUACUGGAAAUAUAUCAGAAGCUUUGGGCAUUUAUCCUAACUUGACUUUCAUAGAUCUCAGCCGCAAUAAUUUUUACGGUGAAAUCUCGUCUAACUUUGGGGAAUGCCCAAAAUUAGGCACUAUCAACGCUUCGAUGAAUAACAUUACUGGAGGUAUACCGCGUGAGAUUGGAAACUCAUCUCAACUACAAGCACUCGAUCUUUCAUUGAAUCAUAUAGUUGGGGAGAUUCCAAAGGAACUUGGGAAGUUAAAUUCUCUAACCAAGCUCAUUGUGAGAGGGAAUCAACUUACAGGACGCCUGCCUACAGAAAUCGGCGCAUUCAAUGAACUUGAAUACCUCGACUUAUCUGCAAAUAGAUUCAACAAUUCAGUCCCAGAAAGUCUCGGCAACUUGCUGAAACUGCACUGCUUGGGUUUAAGCAACAACCAGUUUGUCCAAGAAUUGCCAAAGGAAUUGGAGAAGCUAGUUCAACUUUCAGAAUUAGAUGCAAAUCAUAACCUCUUUCGAGGAGAGAUACCAUUUCAAAUAUGCAGUUUGAAAAGCUUGGAAAAGUUGAAUCUCUCCCACAAUAAUCUCUCUGCUUCGAUUCCAAAUUGCUUUGAGGGAAUGCACGGUCUAUCAGUCAUUGACAUUUCUGAUAAUCAUUUGCAAGGCCCAGUUCCAAAUAGCACAGCAUUUCGGAAUGCCCCAGUGGAAGCGUUAGAGGGAAAUAAGGAAUUGUGUGGAAGUGUGAAAGGAAUGCACCCAUGCAAAGUUUUCUCGUCACACAAACAAAAUUCUGGAGCCAAGUGGUUUGCAAUAGUGUUCCCUGUUUUAGGAGCACUAUUUGUUUCAGUGGCGUUGAUAGCAAUUUUCAUUCUUCGAAAGUGGAAGUCAGACUCAGGAGAUCGACAGAGUAGCAACCAGAACCCUAAGGGAUUGUUUUUUAUAUUAAAUUUUGAAGGCAAACUUGUGUACGAUGAAAUUGUUAGAGCAACAAAUGAUUUUGAUGCAGAGUAUUGCAUUGGAAAUGGUGGACACGGAAGUGUUUAUAGAGCUGAGCUACCAUCUGGGGAAGUCGUAGCUGUUAAGAAAUUUCACUCACCACUCCCAUGCGAUCAGAUUGCAGAUCAAAAAGAAUUCUUGACCGAAGUUGAGGCCUUCACAGAGAUACGACAUCGAAACAUUGUGAAGUUUUAUGGAUUUUGCUCACAUCCCCGACACUCUUUUUUGGUCUAUGAAUUUCUUGAAAGAGGUAGCUUGGCUGCGAUCUUGAGCAGUGAUGCAGCAGCACAAGAACUGGGUUGGUGUCAGAGAAUGAACGUGAUCAAAGGCGUAGCCGAUGCCUUGUCUUACUUGCACCAUGACUGCUUUCCUCCGAUUGUCCAUCGAGACAUAUCAAGUAAGAACUUGUUGCUGGAUUUGGAAUAUGAAGCUCAUGUUGCAGACUUUGGAAUCGCUAAGUUUCUGAAGCCAGACUCCUCCAACUGGACUGAAUUUGCAGGCACAUACGGAUACGUUGCACCAGGUAUUUAGUAUUCGUUUGUUACCAUUUUGAGUAAUAUUUUUGUGUUAUGUGUGCAGUAACAGAACAAUGCAACUAGAUAUUGUUUUAAAAAUUAUGCAUUACAUUCAUUAGACUUGCAAAAUCUCACUAGUUUAUGCACAAUUAUCUCAGAAACAGAGUAAACAUUUUUUUUUUGGUCCUUGACCUUGCAGAGCUUGCUUACACAAUGAAGAUCACAGAGAAAUGCGAUGUGUACAGUUUUGGAGUGUUAGUGUUGGAAGUGAUCAAAGGGAAGCAUCCAAGAGAUUUUCUUUCUUCAAUUUCAUCUUCAUCUCUCAACACGGAUACAGCACUUGAUGAAAUGUUGGACCCGCGUCUUCCAGCCCCAUCAUGCAAUGUUCAAGAAAAACUGAGAUCAAUCGUGGAGGUUGUGUUUUCAUGCUUAAAUGAGAGUCCGGAGUCUAGACCAACUAUGAAGAUAGUCAGUCGACAAUUGCAGAUUUCAGCUCCCUUGACUAAGUCUUAAUUUUCUAAGUAUGCUUCUAAUUUGCUUGGUUUAUUUGUCUCAUGUACUUUAGUUUGUUUGGUUUAGUUUUCAAGAUUCAGGAGGCGUUGGUUAUUACGUCAUCCUUAUAUGCUUUAUAUACAGUGUACUCUUUCAUUUAUAAAUAAAAUAAAGUUUGCACGUGGGGCAGUGGUGAGCACAUUUGAGGACAUGUGGAGUCUGUACAAUGAAGACCAAGAUUAGUAAGACAGUUUGUAAUAAUUAAAAAUAAUGAUUUCUUGCGACAUCUACAAAGAGGUGAACCCCUCAAAUGCUAAAAGAAAAGAAUAUAUAUGGGGGAAAAAUUAAAAAUUGAGGAUAAUUUACAAUGUAGUCCUAGUGAUUUAACCAAAAAUCAGAUAAACCAAUAAUAAAUAGUUUUUUUUUUUUUGAAUGAUUUGUCUUAGCUUUGAGUAAACGAUUUGAAGGAACUUAUCGCUCUCACCAAUUGUCUUGAAUGCUCUAAUGGCUUACACUUUGUAGAAUCGCCAAUGUUGUGAUAAUAACUUUGAUGGUUAAAAUUUGAUUGUGAAUUUCGGUUGAAUGAUUUAAUGUACGUUUGAUUCUUAUGCCGACCUCUACCAAGUUAAUCUUUUUUUCUGGAUGUUUAAUUUUUUUUAUGUCAAAGUUUAUUAGUUGAUGCCCUAUAUUCGAUCAAUGUGGAUGGCUGAUCAAAAUUAAAGAAUCCUUGAACGAAUUGCGGCCUUGACAGAGAUACGACAUCAGGGCAUUGUAAAACAAGACUGACAUUCAAUUUUAGUGUAUGAAUUUCUUGAAAGGGGUUGGAGUCAGAGAAUGAACGGGAUAAAAUUUAACAUGUUUGCACCACCUUUCUUUUUAAACUUAUAUCAAUUAGUCACUUUUGCACUAAUACUAUUAAAUAAUUUAAAUGAAAUGAUAAUUUUAUCCCCAAAUAAAUUAAAAGAUCAUUUUAUUUUAUAAAAACUUUGAAAAAUACGAAAAUUAUUAUUAUAAAAAUACCCCUAAGUUUAAUAAAAAAUAAAUCCCAAAAUUAAAAUUUUUAUUUUUAAUAAAAAUUGUAAUUAUAAAAAAAAAUUGUAAAAUUUUGGGAUUUAAUAAAAACCCCCUAAAUUAUUAAAAUUUUGGGAUUUAUUUUUAAUAAAUAAAUUCAGUUAUUUUAAUAAAAUUUUGCAAAAUAAUAAAUUUUUAAUAAAUAAAAUCAGUUAUUUAAUUAAAAUUUUACACAUUUUUAAUUUUUAAUAAAAAUAAUUAUUAAAAUUUUACAAAAUCUAAAUUUAAUAAAAAUCAGUUCAGCACCUCUAUUUGGAUUUUAUUUUUUAUUGAAUUUAUGGGUAUUUUUAUAAUAAUAAUUUUCGUAUUUUCAAAAUUUUUAUAAAAUAAAAUGAUCUUUUAAUUUAUUUGGGGAUAAAAUUGUCAUUUCAUUUAAAUUAUUUAAUAGUGUUAGUUCAAAAGUGGAUAGAUGAUACAAAUUUAAAAAGAAAAGUAGUGCAAAGAACAUGUUAAAAUUUUGUAGUGGUUAAAUGAACAUAAGGAAAAGCAAAUGUGGUGUAAUGAUAAUUUUCUUUAAAAAAAUAAAGAACUAUAAUUUCUUGAAUAUUCGAUGAAUUAACAAAAGAAUUGUGAAUGAAGUUUUGUUUGGUAUUAAGAUAUUGUUAUCUUUAAAUCACAAUUAUUGUGAAAUAAUAAAAUUAUAAUAUAAAAGUAAAAGUUGACAACGUAUAAUAAAUAUAACUUUUAAAUAAUAAUUUUGACAAAAAUAAUAAAGAUAUUACAAGUUUCCUAUCAUUAAAAUCAAAUCAUUUUAGCUUGUAAGUCACAAUGAUGAUAGUUAUAAAUUCUUGUAUAAAUUUAUUUUAUAUAAAUUAAUGUGGUAUAAAUUUAUUGGUUAGGUAAAAAUAUAAAAUAAAAAUAAAUUAUGUAAAAUAAAAAAUAAUUUAUGUGAAAUAAAAAUUAUUUAAUUUAAUUAGUUUGAUUUUAAAAGACUACGUCCAAUCAGAGUUUUGAUUUUAAAUAUAUUUUAGUUUGAAGAGCGUACGGGGCAGUGAUGAACACAUUUGACAAGUUGGAAUGGGGGAUAUGUUGAAGAGUUUUGUAACUAAAAUGUUGUAGCUCAAAACCAAUUGACUUUUGUCUUUUCACUUGAUUAAAUUCAUGACAAUUCAAGAAAAGUUUUUAAUGUACGAACCUUAGUAUAAUUUUUCAAAUAGAGUUUAUUUUACUAUAGCUUUGUUAGUUGAAUUUUUACGAGUAAAAUUUUUAAAUAAAAAAUAAUUAUUAUUUGAUUGUCAAGAGCUUUUAUUAAAAAUUAUUACUUUAAUAGGCAAUUUCUUUUAAAAUUAUGUUAUAAAAAAUGAAAUAAGAUUGUCAAAUAAGUAAAUGAUAUUUUUAAAAUUUCAACAUUUUAAAAAGUUUUUCAACUUUUACUCUAAAAAAUCCAGAAUUUAAACUUUUGUUUGUAAAGGUAAAAUAACUUAUUUAAUCCUCAAAAACUCUACUAAAAAAUUUACUAACAACAAUAAUAAAUUUAAAAAGAGAUUAUGAUGAGAUUAAAUAAAUACUUAUGACCAUUAGAUAAGCGAUGCUAAACAAAGACUAAAAAAUAAAAAAGAAAUAAUGAAAACGCAAUAGAUCAGCUUAUGGGAGACAAAAUGAGUUUUACCUUCAUUAAAUACAAGAAAUAAAAAAAUUGAGAAGCUCCACACAGGAAGCAAGAAAAGUAGAGAACCAAAAGUUAACAUAAAUAAUAGUUAAAAAACCAUUAGCAUCUCUAGAAAGAAAAAGUGAAGCCUAUGCAAGAGGUGAAGACCACAAGUGAAAGAAAAGGUAAAGCAUCCACAUGAGGUAAAGAUCACCAAAUAAAGUCUGUACAACGAAGCUCAAGAUUAACAAUGACAAUCUUGAGCAGUAUUGCAACAUCAAAAGAACUUAUUCGGUUGGAGUCAGAAUGAAUGUGAUAAUAUUUGCUCCACGAUUUCUUUCCACCGAUUGUCCAUCGAGGCAUAUCAAGCAAGAAUGUGUUCUUGCAUUUGGGACAAAAUUUUAAUUACAUCUCAACUUCGUAAAUAGAAGUAGUUAUUGUUGAAAUAUAAUUAAAGUAGCGAGAGGCCAUGAUACGACACUCUUAGAGCGAGUGCAGGCUCCAAUCGGUUUAGAAAAAAAUUUGAGCAAGAAAACUGAGACAGGGGAAUUGCAAAGAAAGAAGGGAGACGAAGUGGAUAAUAAGACAAAUGAUAUUUUCCUUGAAUGACCUCACAGGUCCCUUGACAGUACAAAUAUAUUCUUCUUGCCGAAACAGCCACGCACCCUUAACUAACUAAAUAUAAUAAAAUCGAUAAUAACAGUAAAACAAUAAUUGAAAACAGGACAAUAUUCGUUAUUAUGAUAUCCCAAGCAUUCUCGAACUUUCUUCAAAUAACAAAGUCUUUGAGCCAUAUUGGUUUCUUUCUCGCGCGAGCUGGACCUGUCUUGAGCUGCUCUCUAGCUUGAUUCUCAUUCAAGGGUUGGGCUUCUUCCAUUUCUAUAGGUUGGGUUUCUUCCCUUGCUGUCUCCUUGAGCUCGAUCUGAUUCACAGCAAUGGGCCAAGUCGUAUCAUUCCCCAUUCCUUGAAAGCGUACCUUGUUCGGAAGGUGUAGUGCAGGAUAAGUUUACGAAAUUCCUCAAAGUCCUCCCAAGUGGAAUUUUCUGGUGAGCUAUCAGACCAUUGCUCCAAAAUUUGUGGAAUUUCUUUGCCUUGUCGAAGUAUCUUUCGCUCAGCACAUAUAGCAAUCGGCAGUGAAAGGGGCUUGUUAUCUACACUUCCUGGAGGCAGUGAAUAAACGUCAAUGGAGGAGUUUCCCAUAUAAGGUUUGAGUAAGGAAAUAUGAAACACCGGGUGAAUUCGACAAUCCGUGGGUAAAUCUAACUUGUUAGCAACAGGUCCAAUGCGCUCAACCACGGCGAAUGGUUCGUAAUAGCGCCUUGCCAGCUUGUGAGAUGAGCGUUUAGCAAUUGAUGCCUGACGAUAUGGCUGAAGGCGCACCAGCACUUUAUUAACCACCUGCAAUUGAGAUUCUCGGCGAUGUAAGUUAGCCUUUUGAGCCAUUCGGUGCUGACCUUGUCGUAAGUUCUCUUUCAAUGAGCAAAGCAUGGCAUCCCUCUCAAUUAACAUAUCUUCUAAAGCUUGGAUUGAAGUAGAGCCCUUUGAGUAACUUGGAAUUGUAGGAGGAAGUCGGCCAUAAAGGGCUUGAAAGGGAGUCAUACGCAAGCUGCUAUGAUAACUUGUAUUGUAGCAAAAUUCAGCCCAUCCUAAAAAUGAAGACCAUGUCUGUGGCUUGUCUUGUGUGAAGGCUCGUAAAUAUUGCUCAAGCCCCCUAUUAACUACUUCGGAUUGGCCAUCCGUUUGAGGGUGAUAGGUCAUGCUGUGGCGUAAUUGUGUCCCAUUUAAUUCAAACAAUUUCUGCCAAAAGUUGCUCAUGAAGAUAGGAUCACGAUAUGAAAUUAUAGAGGUAGGAAAUCCAUAUAACUUUACAACCAUGUCAACAAAUAAAUUUGCUGUUUUGACGGCAGUAAAUUGAGAAGGCAAGGCUCCAAAGUGAGCUGACUUUGACAAACGGUCCACAACAACUAGAAUUACUUCAAAUCCUCUCGAAAGUGGCAGCCCUAUAAUGAAAUCCAUGGUUAACUUAUCCCAAACUAAUGAAGGGACAGGCAAAGGUUGUAACAACCCCGUCGGCGCUUGAGUUGAAUAUUUAAUUUGCUGGCAAACAAGGCAAGCGGCUACAUGCUGCUCAACAUCUUUCCUCAUCUUAGGCCAAAAGAAAGUAGAUGAAAGACGUACCAAUGUCUUUUUAAUACCAGCAUGUCCUGCCAUAGGUGUCUUAUGAAAUUCUUUGAGUAGCACGGUUUUUAAUGAUGAGUGGGGGCUGAGAUAAUAUCGAUGUCGAAAUAGCAGUAACCCUUCUUGAACUGAGAAAUCAGAAGUGAGUGAACCAGCUGCGUACCUCUGAUGGAGUUACUUCAUAUCAAGAAGGGAGCAAUUUUCCUAGUGCAGAGCUGUCAAUAUUUCACUAGAAGGUUGACUUACCAACGACAAACAAAGAGUUGUUGGUUUGGGUUCUUCAAUCACAUUUUCCUCAUGAAUUCGCGAUAAAGCAUCAGCAGCUUUAUUGGAGUUACCAGCUUUAUAAUCAAUUCUGAAUUGAUAACCCAUCAACUUACGAAUGUAAAAUUGCUACUCUGGUGUGUGAAUAACUUGUUGAAACAAUUCCUUUAUGCUUUUAUGGUCAGUGCGUAUAAAGAAAAAUCGGCCAAUGAGGUAUUGACGCCAUUUUUGAACUGCAGUGACAAUGGCAUAUAAUUCCUUCAAAUAUGUCGAGGCUGCACGCAUUCGAGGACCCAACUUUUUGCUAAAAUAAGAUAGAGGAUGCCCGGCUUGCAUUAGCACAGCACCGAUCCCAACAUUAGAAGCAUUGGUCUCAAUGACGAACUCCAAGGUAAAAUUCGGCAAGUGAAGUACAGGAGCUUCCACAAGGGCCUUCUUUAAUGCUUGAAAAGCUUGAGUAGCUGUAGGAUUCCAAUGAAAAGCCUCCUUAUAGCCUUGAAUAAAACGUCGGUAGUACCCUGUCAGGCCCAAGAACCCUCUCAGUUGCUUCACUGAUUUCCGUAAAGGCCAAUCCACCAUGGCUGUGAUCUUUUGAGGAUCCGCAUGCACUCCUCGAGCCGACACAAUAUGGCCUAAAUAAUCAAUUGAUUCCUGACAAAAUAAACAUUUGGAGAGUUUGACAUAAAAUUGAGAUGUGUAUAAACAACUCAUGACCUGCUCCAAAUGAUACACAUGAUCAGCCAAUGAUGCACUAUAUACCAAUAUAUCAUAAAAAAAAAAUAAUAACAAAUUUGUGUAAAAAGGAAGCAAAUAGUUGGUUCAUUGUUGCUUGAAAAGUAGACGGCGCGUUGGUCAAACCGAACGGCAUAACAAGAAACUCAUAGUGUCCUUCAUGCGUGCGAAACACUGUUUUAUAAGUAUCCCUUUUGUGAACUCUUAUCUGGUGAUAUCCGGCUCGUAGAUCAAGUUUACUGAAAAUCUGAGCACCGCCCAGUUCGUCAAACAAUUCAUCAAUGGUGGGGAUGGGAAAUUUGUCCUUUACUGUCACCGCAUUCACAGCGCGGUAAUCCACACAGAAUCUAUACGAGCCAUCUUUUUUCUUUACUAGCAUUACCGGUGAAGAAAACGGGCUUUGGCUGGGUUUUAUGAUGCCUUGGGUUAGCAUUUCUCUCACCAAUUUCUCCAUUUUGGUUUUUUGAAAAUAAGGAUACCGAUACGGGCGAACGUUGACUGGUUUGGAAUUGGGAAUAAGAUGUAUUUUGUGAUCAAAUAACCAUUGAGGGGGAAGACCAGUGGGUGAAGUAAAUAAUGCUUUAAAUUUUUGAAGGAGAGUAGUAAUAGAUUCAGGCAACGACUCUGGUAAUGCUAAGUCAUUAUCCGGUAAUGUGUUGGUAGAUGUGUGAGUUGCUGAUGGUUCAGUUGGUAGAGAAUGAAGUUCAAAUAAGCUGUCGAUUUUGGAAUUGGAUAGCAAGGCCUAAAAUUGAUUAAAAGAGAUCAGAUUUGGGUUUGGAAUUGUGUCUCCACGUAAAAUGACAGAUUGUCCCUCCUACUUAAACUCCAUUGUCAUCUCAGAGUAAUCCAUAGAAAUUCUUCCCAAGCUUUGUAACCAUUGGAUCCCAAGGACAACAUCUGGGCCUUCGAUUGGCAACAAGAAGAAGUCCAAAAGAAAUUCAUGCCCCUGCAUAUUGAUAGGCACCUUAGGGCAGAGAAAACGACAAGUGAGAAAAUCACCAUUGCCAAUGUAAACUCGAAAAGGAGUUAUAGCUUGAACGGAAAGGCCAAGUCGUUCAGCCAAUGGCGGCUUAAGAAAAUUAUGAGUACUGCCACUGUCGAUUAAACCCUGAAACUGAUAGCUUGCAAGGAUGCCCAGCACCCUUAAAGAUCGUGGAUUAGAUUGUCCAGUCAAGGCAUUCAAACUGGAUAUGUCAGCUGUGACUACUUCUUCCGGUUGUUCAUGAAUAAAAGUGUCAUCACUCGGCUCAUCAUCUUCAUCAUCGGUACCCAUUAAUAACAGAAACUUGCUACGACAGCGAUGUGUGGCAUGAUAUUUUUUGUCACAAUUGUAACAUAGCCUUUUUUCUCUUAUCUCUCUUAACUCUGCUGGAGUUAAUCUAUGAAUGGGCAGGGUAGGAGUAGGCAAUAAUGAGGGUUGAGGUGGUUGUUUAGUGGCUGACAAACUAGGAAGAGGAGUUGUUGUUUGGGUUUUAUACAGUGCAGGAUUUGGUGAAGCAGUAAUGAGGGUGUCCAUUUUGUCCAAGAUCGGCUGGAGGUCUUGAUUUCUUCCGAUCGUGCCUCAUAAGCUUUGGCUAGGGCAAAAGCCUCCAUGAGAGAUGUGGGUCUUGCAACGUAUAUCGGGUUUUAAGCCCGUGAUAAAGAAACUAACCAGCAGUGGUUCGGAGAUGCCCGUGACCUUGUUCAUCAAAUCCUCAAAGGCAGAUUGAAAAUCAGCAACAGUCGAUAUUUGGGUAAGUUUGGAGAGGUUACCUUGAUGAUCUUCAUACAUAGAUGUACCAAAUCUUUGCUUAAGAUUGAGUAAAAAAUUCUGCCAAGUGCUUAGCAAGUUGUUGGCCUUCAUCCAUUGAUACCAUGCUGCUGUUUUCCCCUCUAUGUGAAAAGAUACAAUACGGAGGCGUAAAUGGUCAGGGGUGCCAUGAAAAUCGAAGAACUCAUUGAUGCAAAAAUCCCAACCAUUCGGAUCAGUGCCAUCAAAUUUUUGGACAUCCAUUUUCAUAGAACGCAACAGAGGAGAGAUAUCAGUAACACCUGACAGUACAGGCGAAGACGUUGGUUCCGGCACCGUUGGACGGGAAGAACCCACUGAAGCUCCGACGGAACCAUUGAUUUGGGAACGUAACUCCUCAAAUCGAGAAUCAACCGUGGACAUAUAUUGCUGUAAGGUCUGAUAAACAGCAAGCGUUUGAUUUUCAAUGAGCGUCUUCAUGGUAGAGAGAAUCGUUGAAUCAGUCGUUGGCUCUGUGAUAGUCAUUUUUUUUUUUUAUGUGAAAGAGAUGAAAUGCAAUGAAAGCACCAGUUGAUACGACACUCUUAGAGCGAGUGCAGGCUCCAAUCGGUUUAGAAAAGAAUUUGAGCAAGAAAACUGAGACAGGGGAAGUGCAGAGAAAGAAGGGAGACAAAGUGGAGAAUAAGACAAAUGAUAUUUUCCUUGAAUGACCUCACGGGUCCUUUGACAGUACAAAUAUAUUCUUCCUACCGAAACAGCCACGCACCCUUAACUAACUAAAUAUAAUAAAAUCGAUAAUAGCAGCAAAACAAUAAUUGAAAAUAGGACAAUAUUCGUUAUUCUAAUAUCCCAAGCAUUCUCGAACUUUCUUCAAAUAACAAAGUCUUUGAGCCAUCUUGGUUUCUUUCUCGCGCGAGCUGGACCUAUCUUGAGCUGCUUUCUAGCUUGAUUCUCAUUCAAGGGUUGGGCUUCUUCCAUUUCUGUAGGUUGGGUUUCUUCCCUUGCAGUCUCCUUGAGCUCAAUCUGAUUCACAGCAAUGGACCAAGUCGUAAGGCCAUUUGAAGUGUAAAGAAGGGUAGCUAUUGAUGGAUAAGUUAUGGGUCAGAAGGAGUCAAAAUUCGAUAAAACCUUUUGGGAUUGUAUGUAACAACAUUUUUUUUUCUCGGUUGGAUCUCAGUGUUUAUACAAAAGCAAAGAUUGGAUGACUAAAAUGUGACGCUAUACUUAUAAAGUAGAGAUAUAGAGUUUAUCACCAGUGUAACAUAUACAUGGUCUUUACACAAUUCACCAUAUGACAGUGAGAUGAUGAUAAGGUAAAUUAUCAAUUGAAAACAUGACAGUUUGUAGUAAUGUUAGAUCAUAUGAUAUGCUUAUUGAGUUAAUGGUCAGGUUCGGUCCAAUUGAAUAAGUCUAAAGUAGUAGUAAAGUUGAAUAAGUCUAAGUUAGUUGAGUUAUUAUCAACUUAGUUUGUCAAGUAUCCAGUUCUUGAUUUGUUGAGAUUUAUUUUGUUUCAUUCAUGUUUCUCUUUGGUCUGGCUUGUAUAAAUUAGCCAUUGUUGAAUAAUGAAGGCAUGAAUCAUUUUAUCAAAGAAAUACUUGUGUUACAUCUUGGAAGGAUUGGCUUCCUCGAAUUAGCCAACUGUUAACGUUAACCAAGUGUAAGGGCAAGAUAGGAAGAGACAAACAGAAUAAAUAUAGCUUGCCUGUACCAUCAUAUGUCACACUAGUUGAGAUUGAAAUAUAAAAUUAAGAAGACCUAUACUCGAAGUGGUUCUAACACAUUGUAGAUGCAAUUCAAUGCUUGAAUGGAUAUUUGCGAUGGAAUAUGAUUCUCUCCUGAUCUGAGCACUACUAAACUUUUAGACAAGGUUUACUCGACAUAGAAACAUUGUGAAGUUUUAUGGAUUUUGCUCACAAGCCCGACACUCUUUUAUGGUCUAUGAAUUUCUUGAAAGGGGUAGCCCAUGUCUUACUUGCACCAUGACUGCUUUCCUCCGAUUGUCCAUCGAGACAUAUCAAGUAAGAACUUGUUGCUGGAUUUGGAAUAUGAAACUCAUGUUGCAGACUUUGGAAUUGCUAAGUUUCUGAAGCCAGACUCUUCCAACUGGUCUGAAUUUGCAGGCACAUAGGGAUACGUUGCACCAGGUAUUUAGUAUUCGUUUGUUGCCAAUUUGAGGAAUAUUUUUAUGUUAUGGGUGUGGUAACAGGACAAUGUACCUAAACAUUGUUGAAAAAAAUUUGUACCUAAACAUUGUUGACAAAAAUUAUGUAGUACAUUCAGUAGACUUGUAAAAGCUUACUAGUUUAUGCACAUUUAUCUUAGAAACAGAGUAAACAAUUUCUUUUUUUUCUUUUGUUUCUUUUUGUCCUUGACCUUGCAGAGCUUGCUUACACAAUGAAGAUCACAGAGAAAUGCGAUGUGUACAGUUUCAGAGUGUUAGUGUUGGAAGUGAUCAAAGGGAAGUAUCCAAGAGAUUUUCUUUCUUCGAUUUCAUCUUCAUCUCUCAACACGGAUAUAGCACUUGAUGAAAUGUUGGACCGAUGAAAUGUUGGACCUGCGUCUUCCAACUCCAUUGAGCAAUAUUCAAGAUAGACUGCUAUCAAUCAUGGAGGUUGCAUUUUCGUGCUUAGAUGGGAAUCCAGAAUUGCUACCAACCAUGGAGACAGUCAGUCAAUUAUAAUCUAAUAAUUACGAAUAAUCCCGAGGGGUUGGAGACUAAGAUUUAAGGUGAACGGCCGCGGAGGAGUCAGAACCAUUCACUGAAAUAAUUGCCAUAACCUCAGCAUAGUAAUAAUUAAAAAAUAAUUUCUUGCUCAUGUACAAAGAGGUGAACCCCUCGAAUGUAAACUUGAAAGUGUUCACAACUGGAUUAAUUAAUGGACAAUUCAUAGUUAUUGUUAAUGUUAAAAGAAAGUAAUGGAUUGGGAAAAAAAAUAAAAAAUUAAGGAUAAUUUACAAUUAAUGUAGUCCUUGUGAUUUAAGGAAAAAUCAAGUAAGCCGGAAAUAAUUAGUACUAUUUUUCAAAUAAGUCCUCUGACCGUGUUUGACCAUUCAUCGUACUGCAAAGUAAGCAAAAAAAUCGACUUCUUAGCAGCCCACUUCUAUGAUGCGAUUAAUUUCAUCCAUUCGCUGAUUCGCGUGCUGGUAGUUAGGCAAGUUCAUUUGUUGGCUGGAGAAAUUUGAUAUUUUUGGUACCAAAUUUAUACGUGUGUGCGUGUGUGUUUCCUUUAAUUUGUGAAUUUGGUAUUACUUCUGAUCAAGUGUGCGAAACAGAAACAACGGUAUUUAUUACAGAAAUAUUUCUAAUUUGCAGUAUGGAAAGCUUGGAGAUGUUAAAUCUAUCCCAAAAUAACCUGUCAGGUUCAAUUCUAAGUAAUUUUGAAGAAAUGCAUGGCUUGUCAUUGGUUUAUGCAUCUCCUACAUUGAAUUACAGGGCCCAAUUCCAGUUGACAGAUACCCAUUUGGCGUCCGUAUGGACAAACUUGACACUCCCGCUGCCAGAUAUGUUCCAAAAUCUACUUAUAGCCAUAAUUUUGAUACAAAAGGCAAUGGAAUUAUUGACCCUUAUAAAUUAUGAAUUACAUCCUAAUCUAGUUGCUUAAUUUUGGAUAGAAAAUCUUGCUUUGAUCAUUAUACCGCUUAGAAAUAUCAAAUUCCAAGGCUCGUCAUUAAUUGGGAUAAAAUUUUAUAUCUCAGCUUUCUAAAUAAUUUACUUAUCAUUCAAAUAUAAAGUGGCCAGAGGACAUGCCGAGCGUCAAAAUGAAAGGAGAGAGGAGUAGUAGAUAAGAUACGGGUUAGAAGGAGUCACAACUUUUUUUUCCUUUUCCCCUGUUUGAUCUCAGUAUUUAUAUAAAGCAAAGAUUCGAUGACUAAAACAUGACGCUACUUAUAUAAUAUAGAGAGAGAGAUUUAUGGGUUCUGAUCUAAUGGGUAACGUGUGAAGGCCCACGUGUCCAUAAGACAAGCGAUGGUGUCUACCAGAUUAGUUCUCUGGAGUUUAGAUCACCGGGUAACACAGACAUUGACUCCUUCACUUCUCAAUUGCUCUUUUGCUUUCGCUGUAAUUGUUUUCUGCAACGUCAUUAAAUUAUAAAUGAGUGUUUGAUAACCUUUUCAAUUUCAAUCAACUUUUGUAUUACCUUAAUUAUUUUGUUUCCUUUCUGCGUAAUUGAUCUUGUGUUUUUAUAAUAUCAAUGGUAUCACAAACCUUGAAUACAGUAUCUUUUACUGUUUUGUUGAUUCUAUUUUAUACGUGUUUGUAUUAGAAUUUUUACUUAUCAUUGAAAAACCCGGGGAUGAAAUCUAACACGUACUAAUUAAUUAAAUUUAUUUCAUAAUAAUAAACUAAAUUAAUUUUUUUAAUAAUUUGAUAACUUUACCUUAAAAGCAAAACUUUGAUACGAAUUAUAACGCUUACUAUGGCAUGAACAUGGACCCUUUUUUCCCAAUCCAAAGCUUAUCCUAUGUUUGGCAAGGUUUUAUAUACUGGGAGAGGGAUAAAUAGAGAAAAACAUAUCUAUUGGAACCGUACCUCCAACAGGAUAAGUUGGGAAAAGCAAUCAAUAAUUUAACUAAUUAAUUAAAAUUAUUAAAAAAAAAAAAAGGUUGAGGGAGGGACAAAAUCAAAAUUAUUUUUUAUCCUUUACCUCCCCAUGAUACUAUCCAGUCAGGGCCUAGAGACAAAUUAAAUUAAUUAUUACUAAGAUAACAAUAUUAUAGGUAAAACAACUUAUUCUAAUUGAAUUAUUUAAUGAUACAUAUAUUACAUAAAUUAAAAAAUUAUAGAAAUUUUUAUUUAUAUUUAAUUAACUUCCAUUUACAUUGAUUCAAAUAAUAAGCAGUACCAAAUUUUUUUUUUGUUAAUAAUAUAAAAUAUGUUAUUGGCAAUAAUAAAAGAAUGUAUUACAAAUAAUAAUACAUUUAAAUAUCUUGUAAUUUAGAUGUAUAUUUUUAUUAUUUAUUUCAUGUGGGAAUCCUCCUUGUUUUUCAGCAUCAAGUUCGUUUGAUUUAUUUAGUCUCAUUUAAAUAUCUUGUUCUUCCUUUUAAAAUGUAGUUCUUGUUGUAAUAACUAAUGAUUAGUAUUUUCCAGAUAAGUUCUCUGACCGUUUUUAAUCAUUAACUAACAAUUCAUAUUUUUAACGUUUAUUAAGAAUUUUAGGUUUGUCUAUAAAUAAAUGAAAGGAAUUAAUAACAAAUUUAGUGAAGGAUGAACAAUUUUGGUAGAGUUAGGAUGUAAACGAAAAUAUAAACAAUUAAUUGUGGCAUUAAGUAUGAGAAAAACUCAAUCUAGACCACUCAUAUUUUGAUAUAUCAUUUGUCAUUAGAUCUUUAAAAGUCUAAUAAACUAAGGGUUACAAAUCCUUUUUUUUCUAACGUGCUCGAGUUCUACAGGACAUUGGAGAAGUCCUAGAAAAUUGAUCAAGGCAACCUGGCUACAAUUGAUAGAAAGGAAACGUUUAAAGUGGCUUGAUUAAUUUACAAGAACCCGGUUCGCGAGUCCAUGGUUUCUCUAGGAAGCCUCAGUCGGCUUGCGGUACCACAAUUCAUAGAAGCAUAAAAAAUAGCUUGAUGUAACAAAGAUUUGUGCGUUCUUUUAAAUUCAGCAUUUGAGUUCGUUAUGAUGAAGGGUCAGAAUCAAUCACUAAAACAAGUGCCAUAACCUCAGCAUUGUAAUAAUUAAAAAAUAAUUUCUUGCGCAUGUACAAAGAGGUGAACCACUCGAAUGUAAACUUGAAAAGUGUUCACAACUGGAUUAAAUAAUGGACAAUUCAUAGUUAUUGUUAAUGUUAAAAGAAAGUAAUGGAUUGGGAAAAAAAAUAAAAAAUUAAGGAUAAUUUACAAUUAAUGUAGUCCUUGUGGUUUAAGGAAAAAUCAAGUAAGCCAGAAAUAACUAGUGCUAUUUUUCAAAUAAGUCCUCUGACCGUGUUUGACCAUUCACCGUACUGCAAAGUAAGCGAAAAAAUCGACUUCUUAGCAGCCCACUUUAUGAUGCGAUUAAUUUCAUCCAUUCGCUGAUUCGCGUGCUGGUAGUUCGGCAAGUUAAUUUGAUGGCAGGAGAAAUUUGAUAUUUUUGGUACCAAAAUAUAUACAUAUGUGUGCGUGUGUGUGUUUCCUUUAAUUUGUGAAUUUGGUAUUACUUCUGAUCAGGUGUGCGAAACAGAAACAACGGCAUUUAUACAGAAAUUUUUCUAAUGUGCAGUAUGGAAAGCUUGGAGAUGCUAAAUCUCUCCCAAAAUAACCUGUCAGGUUCAAUUCUAAGUAAUUUUGAAGAAAUGCAUGGCUUGUCAUUGGUUUAUGCAUCUCCUACAUUGAAUUACAGGGCCCAAUUCCAGUUGACAGAUACCCAUUUGGCGUCCGUAUGGACAAACUUGACAUUCCCGCGGCCAGAUAUGUUCCAAAAUCUACUUAGCCAUAAUUUUGAUACAAAAGCCAAUGGAAUUAUUGACCCUUAUAAAUUAUGAAUUACAUCCUAAUCUAGUUGCUUAAUUUUGGAUAGAAAAUCUUGCUUUGAUCAUUAUACCGCUUAGAAAUAUCAAUUUGGGAUAAAAGUUUAUAUCACAGCUUUCUAAAUAAUUUACUUAUCAUUCAAAUAAUUAAUUGUGGCAUUAAGUAUGAGAAAAAGUCUAAUAAACUAAGGGUUACAAAUCCUUUUUUUUCUAACGUGCUCGAGUUCUACAGGACAUUGGAGAAGUCCUAGAAAAUUGAUCAAGGCAACCUGGCUACAAUUGAUAGAAAGGAAACGUUUAAAGUGGCUUGAUUAAUUUACAAGAACCCGGUUCGCGAGUCCAUGGUUUCUCUAGGAAGCCUCAGUCGGCUUGCGGUACCACAAUUCAUAGAAGCAUAAAAAAUAGCUUGAUGUAACAAAGAUUUGUGCGUUCUUUUAAAUUCAGCAUUUGAGUUCGUUAUGAUGAAGCUUCUGAGUUUCUUAAUCACCUAGAUAACAUCCUUUAUUGGCGGAGUCAAGUAUAAAAGGUGCUGAUGGGCAGGUGUGUCAAAGCAGAGUGAUUUGUGAUUAUCACACCAGUGAUCUUUACUAGCUCGGAGUGAAAAGAUCAUCCUUGUAAUCUUGUUAAUACUCUCUAUAUAUAACUUUACUCUCUUCUGAAAUCGAUUAAUCAAAUUUUUCAUUCACCUUUCAGAGCUUGCUUAAACAUACUGAAUAUUUGCCUUCCUUUUUCCUUCAGGGUAGUUACUAAAAGUUUUAUAGUCUUGAGCAUGAUUUUAUUGUCAAAGUAUAAAUUUAUUCUUUGCUUUUUACGCUUAAUUCUGCAUGACUUUCUCUCAAAUAAGCAAAUUAAUUUGCAAAUUAUGCUCAAAGUGUUGUAUCCAUUUUUUUAAUGUUAAUUAUAAGCAUUCCCUCUAAAUGAAUAUGAUCAAAUUGUUACAUGGUCCAAAUUAGAAUUACGGUCACAAUGUUAGUAUACCAGAAAUCUGGCUAGGAUCGAGAAAUAAAACUUAGUUUUGUUUGUUAAGCUGGUUGAUAUGAAUAUGAAAAGAUAUUGUAAUUCAACUUUUAAAGUCUCUUUAAUUUGUCUCGAACAUUUUGAUAACUUAAACAAAGUAUGUACAUUUGAUGACAAAAAAAGAAGGGUAUUGGAAAAGCCAACCCCAAAAUAUUUAGUCUUUCCGCUCUUUCUCUGGCAUAAUUUUCGGGGAGACAAAAUGCCCAGCAAACAAGUUAAUUUGAUCCGUUAGGAUCGAAAGAAACGUUAAUUAGUCAAUUCGAUCGUCCAAUUAUCUUGGUCACAAAUGUUUAUUCUAUUUUCUGGGACGACUUUCCAUGGACUUUAAUUGUAGUUCGAAGGAGAAUGGCUAUCAAUACAAAGAUUUUUUUAACAGAACCGCAUGCAGCAAGUGAACCUUUUGUUUGGAUAAUUUUAAUAUCCUAGAUGUCUUUGAAAACUUUUGCCUUAAGCAAUGGGGGAAAACUCUUCCCUACUUGAUCAGACUUUGACUCAUACGCCUCUCAAAUGCUUGUUUAGAGAAAGCUUGUGGGCACGAUCCCCAUACCCCUAGAAACACUCCACACGUUCAAAAUACAAAAGGUAUAUGAGGAGGGAACGAUAGAAGAGCAAGGCAAAAAAAAAAAAACUAAUUCAAAACAAAGUCAAUACCUUUACAAGAAUUCCACAUCUUUGCUAACUUAAGCAUCGGAGUGGAAUUCGGAAAUCUCAUUUUCCAAUUGUCCCAUUUCACAUUUUGGUUUAUUAUGUGUGCAAAUGACUUCCAUCUACCGCACUUGGUUCAGUUCACAUAGAAAAGAAAUACGUAUUAACAAUCCCAUAUAUUUUUUUAUUAUAUUUCUGAUAUGACUUUUCAUGUCCUUGCAUUAUAUAAAUUAAAAAAAAGGAGAAAGAGAGAGAGAAUUGAAGAAUCUUCCCGGAAAAAACAUUAACGUCAAUUCAAUCCCAGAAAUUAUGCAAUUCACUGUAAGCUAAUCCGCCUUAACAAAGCUUGAAAACGUACGUGCCGAGAGUUUUUAUUAUAAUUUCUUAUUGCUAUUUAAAUUAGGUAGUUGCGCAAGCGAACUUGAAAAUGACAUGCAAUUUUAUGAGCUGGCAUUGAUUACAUUGUAAACCAUGCAUGCGAUCUUCACUGUCAGCCAUCAAUGAUAAUGGAGGUUCUUAUGUUGAGUUUUAUUACAGUCUCUGAUUCAUACAUAUCAAGCAUUUAGUGACAGAAUAAAUUCAAAGAAUUAGACUGUAAUUUUUUAUAAAAAUUACUUCGGUUCUCUUUUUGGUGGUGCAAGGAUCAUUGACAAUAACUUAUCUUGGGACCAUACCUUUUUAUCCUGAGCCCACACUCUUACAAGGUAAAAUCAAUAGUUUUUUAUAUCAUGAGUGACAGAGAAUUUGUUUCCCAACUUUUUACAUAUAUUAUUAAUAUAAAGAGAACUUUACAUGGAGUGAUUUAAUUUAUAUAAAACUGAGCUAACAUACUGUUUUUUUUUUUUUGGCUAAAACUUUUUUAAGUAAUGACGACUAACAAAAAUUUUCACUUACAUAUUCGAGUUCCAACAUAGCAUGCCAGUGAAAAAAAUAAAAAUAAAAAUUGAAAAAAAUAAAACGUCAUCUUACUGUUUAUUUGAUGAAAACCAAAUGUUUAAAGUGACUUGAUUUACAAGAACCCGAUUAGCGAGCCCAUGCUUUGCGUAGGUAGCCUCAGUAGCCCUGCGUUGUAAUAAUUAAUAUAAGCAUCAAAAAUAAAAUUUGUUUUGAUGUAACAAAGAUUUGUACUUACUAAAUUCGGCAUUUCAGUUCGUUAUGGUGAAGUUUCUGAGUUUCUUAAUCAAGUAGAAUAGCAUCCUUUAUUAGCCGAGUCCAGUAUAAAAUUAAGGUGCUGAUGGGCAGAUGCCAAAGCAGAGUGAUUUGAGAUUAUCACACCAGUGAUCUUUGCUGGCUCUGGGUGCAAAGAUAAUGUUUGUAAUCUUGUUAAUACUCUGUAUAAAUAAUACUCUCUUCUGAAAUCCGUUGAUCAUAUUUGUCUUUCACCUUGCAGAACUUGCUUACACAAUGAAGAUUACUGCAUAUUUGUCAUUUCUUUUUUCCAAGGAAAUUAUUAUGACAGUAUUGAUUUUUGAAAUGAUUGUUUGCAAAUUUUCUAGUUUAAAAUUAAGUAUGGAUUUAUUACCAAAGUACGUUUAUUCUUUGCUUUAUGCUUAAUUCAUCAUUACUUGCUUACAGAUAAGUAAAUUAAUUUGAAAAUUAAGCUCGAAGUGUUAUAUCCAUUCUUCCAAUAUUAAUUACAAGCAUUCAAUAUGAUGAAACUGUUACAAGGUGCAAAUCAAAAUUAUGGUAACAAUGUUAGUAAAUUGGAAAGCUAGCUAGUCUCGACAAAUUCAAUACAGUCUUGUCUAUUAAAUUUGUCGAUACGAAGGUGAAUAGCAACUAUAAUUCAACAUUUAAAGCCUCUCUAUCGCACUCAUUUUAAGAUCUUAACAACGUACAUUUGAUGACAAAAAAGAAGGGUAUGGAAAAGCCAACCCCAAAAUAUUUAGAAUUUCCAUUCUCUCUCUGGCGUAAUUUUCGGGGAGGCAAAUGCCCAGUGAACAAAAGUUUGAUCAAUCAAUGAUUGGAUCCAAAGAUACGUUAAUUAGUCAAAUCUUUCCAUUCAUUUUGAUCACAAAUGUUUAUCCUAUUUUGUGGGACGACUUGCCAUGGACUUUAAUUGUCGUUGGAAGGGGAGUGGCUAUCAAUACAAAGAUUAUUUUGACAAAAUUGCAAACGUUUUGUUUGGGUAAUUUUAAAAUCGUAGAUGCCUUUUAAGACUUUUGCCUUAAGCAACAGGGAAAACUCUUCCCUACUUGAUCAAGCCAACCCCAAAGUCUAAAUCGUAGAACGUUUCUAUAUAAUUUUGGCUCGCGUGGAAAAAGCUACUCGUGGAUUCCUCCUAAUAACUCCAAUGAUUUUUCCUGAAAUUAAAACCAUAAUCUUUAGCCUUUAACCAUUUAGACUUUGGGCACGGACGAACGGUGUGUUAUGUAGUUCAUAGUUGAAGUGAAAACGGUCUAUAUUUUAGCCAAUACUCGGUUUAUGAAAACAUAUAUAUUUGUGAUCAAGAUUAAUGGACAAAUUGAUUAACGCUUUUUGUAUCCUAAAUAAACUUGUUUACUGGGCAUUUCUCCCAAAAAGAUCGCGCCAAUCUAAGAAAGGAAAAAUAUUGGCCGUACAGCACAGGGUGUUAGUUGGAAGAAAGGAAAAAUAUUGGGCGUACAGCACAGCUGCACAACCUUAAUAUCAAACGGACUCUAAAUCUAUUUGCAGAGGUACGUAAGUUCAAUUGUUGGUUUGAGAAAUUUGAUUUUUGUUGAACUGCUUUUGGCCGGGGGGGGGGGGGGGGGGGGAAUCUCUCUUCCCACAGCAGAACUGAUGUAAAUCUAAACAGGUUUAGGGUUUAUUAAAUCAUAUACUCGGGUGAGAUUCCAAAAGAACUUUGAAAGCUAACUAAUCUAAUGGAACUCAUUUUUUAGGGCGAAAGGAAUCAACUUACAGGACAUAUACCUUCAAAAAUUAGAUCUCUUAUUAUUUGAACUCAUUUUUUUGUGUGGGCUGACUCCAUCGGUUGCCCCACAAAAGUCAAUGCAGUCCGCAAUAGUUGUACCCUAAAGCAUUAUAAUUUUUCUAUUGCCAUUUAAAUUGGUAGUUGCGAAUGAGAUUAGAGUUUUAUGAGCCACCAAUACUAAUGGAGGAUCUUAUGUUGAGUUUUAUUAGCGUCUCAAAAUUCUAAACUUUUUUUUUUUUUUAAAAAAGUCCUGUACGCUGAUGGCGUAUGUAUUUUACGAUCUGGGAUUCAUACAUAUAAGGCAUUUAGUGACAGAAUAAAUUCAAAUUAGACUCGGACCACACCAUUUUAUCCUGAGCCCACACUCUUAUAAGGUAAAAUCAAUAAUUUUUAUAUCAAGAAGUGACGUAAAAUUUGUUUCCCAAAUUUUUAAAUAUAUUAUUAAUUUAAGGAGAACUUCACGUGAAGUGAUUUAAUUUGUAUAAAAAUGAGCUAACUUACUGCUUUUUUUUUUUGCUAUAAUUUGUAAGUAAUAACGUCUGCACUAAUGAAAAGUUUCAAUUAGAUAUACAAGUUCCAAUAUAUUAUGCUAGUCAUUAAACAAUAAAUAAAUAAAUAAGCAAAACAUCAUUUACUGUUUAUUUCAUGGAAACCAAAUGUUUAAAGUAACUUGAUUUAAAAAAACCCGGUUCGCGAGUCCAUGUUUUGUCUGGGAAGCCUCAGUAGCCUUGCGUUAUCACAUCACAAUUAGUAGAAGCAUCAAAAAUAGCUUUUGUUUUGAUAUAAUAAAAGGUGUGUCAAAGCAUAGUGAUUCGCGACAACCACAAAUGUGAUCUUAACUAGCUCUCUGUGAAAAGCUCGUCUUUGUAAUCUUGUUAAUACUCUAUAUAUAUAAAUAUACCCUAUUCUUAGAUCAACUGGUUAAAUUUGUCUUUCACCUUGCAGAGCUUGCUUAGAUAUACUGGAUAUUUGUCUUCUUCUUUUUUUAGGCCAAUUAGCACGACAUUAUUAAGAUUAGAUACGAUUCCUAAUCAAAUAAAAAUUUUAAAGCAUGAAUUUAUUGUCAAAGUAUUAUUUUUUGCUUUUUACGCUUAAUUCAUCAUGAUUAAUUUGAUCUCAGAUAAGUAAAUUAAUUUGUUAUGCUCAAUGUGUUAUAUACAUUCUCCUACUAUUAAUUAUAUCUAAAUGAAUAUGAUCGAACUGUUACAUGAUCCAAAUUAAAAUUAUGGCCACAAUGCUAGUAAAUUGGAAAGCUAAGCUAGCAUCGCUAAAUUGAACUUAGUUUUCUUUGUUAAACUGGUUGAUAUGAAUAUGACAAGAAAUUGUAAUUCAAGUUUUAAAGUCUCUCUGUCUCAACCAUUUUAAUAUCUUAAUAAAAAGGUACAUUUUAUGGCAAAAAAUAUUUAGACUUUCCAUUCUCUAUCUGCCAUAAUUUUGGGGAGAAAAAUGCCCAGUAAGCAAGUUUGAUCAGUCGCUGUUAGGAUCCAAAUAAAUGUUACUUAGUCAAUUAAUUUGUCCAUUAAUCUAGACCGCAAAUGUUUAUUCUAUUUUCAUAAGUCAACCCCAGACCUUGGGCAUGGAUUUUUUUUUAAAAAAAAUUGUCAUAAUAUGAGAAUCUAAAAAUUUAGAUUUAUCGUGUGUUUACUUGUGAAAUCGGGAAAUCGAAAUUCACAGUGAGAAUGAUUUUGAAAUUGUUAUUUUCGACUUGUUAAAAUGGAAUGAAGAAUCAGAAUGAAAUAUGCAGGAUCCACAUAUUUUUGAGUCAAGGAAAAGAAAUUUGAUUCACAUGAGAUUGAGAAUCAAGUUUUCAUUCCUUGAACUCACCAUUUUACCCCCCCCCCCCCCCCACCCCCUUCACAUUUCAUAAUUUCAAUUUUGUGCUCAAUUAAAAUGUUAUUAUAUUAAUGUAAUAAUAAUAAUGAUAAUUUUUAAAAUAACAAUAAUAAUCAUAAUAAUGAUAAUAUAAUAAUAAUGAAAAUAACAACAACAAUAGUAAUAAUAACGAAAAGUAAUAAUAUUAAUAAUCACAAUAAUAAUAAUGAAAAUAUAAUACUACUAUAAAUAACUAUUAUAAUGAUAGUAAUAAUACUUUGCAAUUACUAAUUUCAUCAUUUCACAAAUCACCUCCAGUGGCGGAUCUUGGGCACCUUGCGGAUCUUGUCGUUUAUGAUACCCACCUUUUAAAAGAAGAAGAUGAGGAUGACGAUGAUGUGGUGUGUGUGCGUGUUACAAGAUGAGGAUGACGUUUGGUUUUAAGAAAGAGGAGGAGAGGAGGGGUAAAAAAUGGAGAGGAGUGGAGAGGUAAUGAGAGGAUAGGAGUGCAAAAAUUGAUAUUUAUUGUUUGGUUUCAAUAAAAAAAAAUUAAAAGGGAAAGGAAUUACAUGUUUUUUUUAAUUUGGACAAGUAUACCCAUUGGAAUUUAGUGUUAAAAUGUUAAUAUUAGCAGUAAAUAUAAUAAAAAUAAUUAAACUAUAAGUUAAAUUAAUCUAUAUUAUAAACUAAAAAGAAAACAUUUGAUUUUAUAUUAUAUUUUUAAGUCAUUCAUUAUUAUUUUAUAAUCAAAAUAACUAACCAACAAGUAGUGGAUGGACGACUACAAGUCGUAUAUCGACGUAGAAGAACAUGACAUACGGCUCAAACGGUGAUUGAUUUACUGAACUGCAACCAAAGGAACCAUUUUUUGGAUAAUUUCAGAGCAAUAGUAUUCAGACUACUAUGUAAAAAAUAUCCUAAUCUUGGAAAACUUUUCCACCUUAUGAAACAUUGGAAAAAUCUUCCAACUUGACGCAUCGACUUGUUGACCUCUCAAUUGCUCGUGUGUGGCUUCUAUAAAUUUGGCGUCCAACAUGCUGGUUUUGUGCACCGUUACAUGUUUUUCAAAAGCUAAGAAUGAUCAAAAGAUCUUUUGAAUUUCGAUAAACUCCGGUUUAACAUUAUUUAUUUGAUUGUGUUUUUGUAAUAUCAAUGGGGUCACCAACCCUCAAUACAGUUGUUCUUUCACUUGUUUUGUUGAUCUUAUUUUUUGUGAUUAAGUUUUUUAGUAGCUGUUUCUUCAGAAACUAAUGAAGAAGCGGAUGCUCUUCUCAAAUGGACAGCCAGCCUUCAAAUCUAUAACCGAUCUCUCCUUUCUUCUUGGAUUAAGGACACCUCCAAUGUUUCAUCCAAAAUAAGCCCAUGUGCUUGGUCCGGAAUCAGUUGCAUGAUGCCGGAAGAGUCAUCAAGAUCAGCCUCCCAGGUGUCGGAUUAAAAGGUAAGCUUCACGAUUUCUCAUUCUCAUCGUUUCCUCAUCUUGCUUAUCUUGAUCUCAGUAGUAGUGGACUCUUUGGUACUAUCUGUUGUGCGCGGAAUGCGGAAUCAAGCGCACCAAAUAAUUACUGAAAAAUAAAGGACACAAGAAUUUACGUGGUUCGGUAAUUAAACCUAUAUCCGCGAAGGCAAGAAAGAAUAAUUGUUUAUUUAACAAUUAAUAGAAUACAAUAUUUGAGUAACGAAUCUCACUUCCCAGAAACCCAAAUAUACCCAGUACUCUCACACUCUGCAGGAAAGAUAAAUUCCUCAGACACACUUCUCUCACUUCUCUCAAAAGCUUAGAAACUUAUAAGCUUAACAAUUUUGGGAUAAUUAAGAAUGGAAGAAGUGCCAUCUAUUUAUAGGGAAAAUAAUGGCACUAUUGCACCAACCCAUUUACUAUUCCACCUAACCUAAGCCAAUAGUCAAUGGUGUCCAUUUGGCAAAUUUGACAAAUUUGCCAACUUUCCAUUUUUUCUUCAAAUGUUUGGUAGCCAUUUGAAAUUUUGCAUUCAUUUUUGAAUUUCAAUGUCACGUGCAUGACUUUUCAACAAUUCUCCACCUCGGCGAAAAUUUGUCCAAAUCUGAGCCGACUACCAACGAACCCUCAUCCCCAAAGUGAUCCUUCAAUAAGGAUCCAGAAUGGCUGUGUCGAUUCGACUACCUACGUACCCAAAAUUUGGGAUCAAGGCAACCGUAGUUCAUAAUUCCCGAAACUCAACGCAUUCGAAGAAUUAUUUUCAAUCCGUAUAAAGAUUUACUCAAUCUGCACACACGAUUUUCCUUUCCAGCAACUCUGAAACCACAAGGCUAAAUCAUAUAGAUUUCCUCCUCCAAAUCUCCAUGUAAGAACGCCGUCUUAACAUCCAACUGAGCCAACUCUAACUCAUAUUCUGCAACUAAGGCAAAUAGGAUACGAAUGGAAGUAUGUUUUACAACUGGAGAGAAAACUUCAUUGUAGUCAAUACCUUCCUUUUGAGCAAAACCUUUUGCCCUGAGCCUUGCCUUGUAUCGAGGAGUUGUUUGAUUCGAAGAUCCUUGCUUUUUGGUGUAGACCCAUUUAUUGCCAAUAGCCCUUUUCCCCUUUGGUAACUUUACAAGUUCCCAAGUCUGGUUUUGAUGGAGAGAUUUCAUCUCUUCCUCCAUGGCUAGCUUCCACUGAUCACUUUCAUUGCUGCGUAAUGCUUCACCGAAAGUAUUGGGGAUGUCAUCAUCAAUAACUGGAAGUGCAUAGGCUACCACCAUAUCUUUAGUAAGCCAUCCGGGUUUCUUUAUCUCUCUUCUUGGCCUCCUUGUUGCUAUAAAAUCAUCAUCAUCUACAUCAUCAAUUAUUUCUUCAUUUUGUGGGACAUCAGAAGAAACAACCUCUUCUUCAACUUUAGGUGUCACCUCCAUAGUUGAACCAUUCUUUGAUGUAGAACUAACUAGUACAUAUGGAGUUGCAUCAAACUCCACCCGCUGCAAUACCUCUGUGGUCUUGUUCUCCACCUGCUGAGAACUUGAAGCUUUUAUCAUUGAAGCUUCAUCAAAUGUGACAUCUCUGCUACACACAAACUUUUUGUCUUCGAGAUCCCAAAGCUUGAAGCCCUUUACUCCACCUUUGAAUCCCACAAAGAUAGAUUUUCUAGCACGAGGAUCCAGUUUACCAUCUUUGACAUGAUAAUAAGCUGGACACCCGAAUACACGAAGGGAAUCAUAGUCUUGUGCAUGCUUUCUAGACCACAUUUCCAUAGGAGUUUUACCUCCAAUUGCAGCAGAAGGCAACCGAUUUACCAAGUGACUUGCGUAGCUCACAGUUUCAGCCCAAAACUUUUUAUCUAAACCAGCAUUAGAUAACAUACAUCGUACCUUCUCCAGUAAAGUACGAUUCAUACGCUCAGCCACACCGUUCUAUUGCGGAGUAUGUCUCACCGUGAAAUGUCUUUUAAUACCCUCGUUCUGGCAUACUUGCAAGAAUGGAUCAAAAGUAUAUUCACCCCUAUUAUCAGAUCGUAAUACUUUGAUCUUUCUGCCAGUUUGAGUCUCCACCAAUUUCUUCCACUUCACGAAAAUCUCUAGAACCUCAUCCUUUGCUCGCAUGGUGUACACUCAUACACGUCUAGAGAAAUCAUCAACAAAUAUAACAAAAUAAUGGCUUCCACCAAUUGAUGCAGUCUUGGUUGGUCCCCAUACAUCACUAUGAACAUAUUCAAGGAUCUCACGAGUAUCGUGAUUAGCUGUACCAAACUUCACCCUUGUUUUCUUGCCUACUACACAAUGCUCACAGAAAUUUAAUUUACAGGUUUUGGUACCUUUUAAGAGUCCAUGCCUCAUCAGAGUUUGCAAAGACUUCUCUCCUGCAUGUCCCAGUCGUACAUGCCAUAGCUUGGUGGUGUCACUGUGCGCCUCAACAACAUUUGCUUCAUCAGUUGUACCUCCCUUCAAAUAGUACAGAUUGUGACGCCGAACCCCUUGCAGAAUCACCAUAGCCCCAUGUGUAAACUUCAUUGUGCCAUCUUCAAUGGUAACUUUGUAACCUUUAGCUUCCAAAGCACCCACAGAAAUUAGAUUUUUCUUUAUCUCUGGAACAAAUCUAACCUCUUUGAGUUCUCUGACCAUUCCAUCAAACAUUUUGAGCCGAAUUGUUCCUAUCCCCAUUGUGCGACAAGGUUGAUUAUUCCCUAUCAUAACUGCACCGGAUUCCAGAUUACGAAAAUCCGUAAACCAUUCCUUAAUAGGACACAAAUGAUAGGUUGCUCCAGUAUCAAGUAUCCACUCACUCGAACUAGCCACGUAUGCUGCAGGAGUAAUACUUAGUGAAUAAUCAGAGUUCUCAUCUUUCUGUGCCAUGUUUGCUGCUGCUGGUUUCUUCUCAUCUCUCUUUUGAGCCUUUGGACAAUCUUUUCUCCAAUGGCUCUUUUCAUGACAAAAGGCACACUCAUCUCGAGCUAUAUUUCUGCUUCUCGAUUUGGAUCGAGAAUUCUUUCCACCACGCUUCUUCUGUUUCUCCAUCGCCCAAUCUCUGCUCACCAAAGCUUCAGACGAUGCUCGUUCAGAAUUUUUAUCAUUAUUCCGAAUCUCCAAACUAGUCAAUGUUGUGCAAACAUCUUUAAAGACGAUCACACUCUUCCCAUAUAUCAAAGUAGUCACAAAAUGGCUAUAUUCCUCUGGUAGUGAGUGUAACAGAAUCAUAGCAUUGACUUCAUCUUUAAUAUCUUCAUCAAGAUUCUUCAAAUCAGCAAGUAACUUUUCAAAUCUUGAAACAUGAUCGUGCAUUGACACCCCAGACUUCAUUCGAAAGCCAUAUACUUGGCUCAUUGCAUGAAGACGAUUUUCAGGACUUUUCACCAGGUACUUCUCUUCCAAUGUACGCCACAAAGUCACUGCACACUCCUCAUCUUUCACCAAGUAUUUCACCUCCUUGGUCAAACAAGAUCUGAUCUGACCACAAGCUUUCUCGUUCAUACGAUCCCAAAUUUCUUCAUCAUACAAGUGUCUUUUAUUUUUCAGAACAACAUCGAGAUCGAUUUGAAUAAGGGCAUCCAUAACUUCGCGCCUCCACAUGCCGAAGUUGAUUUUCCCAUCAAACUUUUCAACAUCGAUCUUCUGGCCUCCUAUAACAGGUGCUGAAUAGCGAUUUGACAAAUCUCGCCUCCCACCUAAAUUAUCUCCUGAAAUAGUCUCGAUAGAUUUCUCCCCAAUUCUGGAAGUUUCACCUUCUACCAUUUUUCUCAACGAACUAUUUCCACUUGAAAAACAGCCUCUAUGAUGUUAAUUUCGCGUGAAUAAAUGCACCAGGAAAGUUCCCAGGAAACUGGACGGGAACUCGGUCCCAAUUAAAAACCAGAAUCCUUAGACUCUUAUCGCCUUUUUUGACAGAACUUUCCUAGACAUGCAAAAAUAUACACUACUUACAAUAGACUGUCUCCCAAGUACAAAUGGCCGUCUCCACCGUAUUCGUGAAUAGUACCAUAUACGUGAACAGUACCGUAUACGUGAACAGUACUGUAUCCCCCCAAGUACGAACCGUCGGCUCUGAUACCACUUGUUGUGCGCAGAAUGCGGAAUCAAGCGCACCAAAUAAUUACUGAAAAAUAAAGGACACAAGAAUUUACGUGGUUCGGUAAUUAAACCUACAUCCGCGAAGGCAAGAAAGAAUAAUUGUUUAUUUAACAAUUAAUAGAAUACAAUAUUUGAGUAACGAAUCUCACUUCCUAGAAACCCAAAUAUACCCAGUACUCUCACACUCUGCAGGAAAGAUAAAUUCCCCAGACACACUUCUCUCACUUCUCUCAAAAGCUUAGAAACUUAUAAGCUUAACAAUUUUGGGAUAAUUAAGAAUGGAAUAAGUGCCAUCUAUUUAUAGGGAAAAUAAUGGCACUAUUGCACCAACCCAUUUACUAUUCCACCUAACCUAAGCCAAUAGUCAAUGGUGUCCAUUUGGCAAAUUUGAAAAAUUUGCCAACUUUCCAUUUUUUCUUCAAAUGUUUGGUAGCCAUUUGAAAUUUUGCAUUCAUUUUUGAAUUUCAAUGUCACGUGCAUGACUUUUCAACACUAUCCCGCCUCAAAUUAGCAACCUUACGAAUCUUAGCAACCUUUAUUUAACAUCCAAUCAAUUGUCAGGAAAUAUUCCGCCAGAGGUUGGUCUUCUGAGUCAUUUGAAGUUCCUUUACGUUGAUUCGAACCAAUUAGAUGGCUCAAUUCCACCAGAAGUAGGUCAAUUAAGUUCUCUGGUGGAGCUUUUCUUGUUCUCUAACAACUUGAACGGUUCAGUUCCUCCUUUAGGUAAUUUGACACACAUCUCUUUAUUGUACAUUCGUGAAAAUUCAUUUUCUGGUUUUAUUCCUCCGGACAUUGGAAACUUGAAAUCUAUGUCCAUCCUAGAUUUGAGCAAUAAUCAAUUUAGUGGUCCAAUCCCUGUUUCUUUCGGUAAUUUGGCCAACCUAAAAAAACUAGACCUCCUUUAUAACAACAUAUCCGGUUCCAUUCCUCCCUCCCUUGGGAAUUCAAUGUUAACCUUGGUAGGAUUGGAUUUCAAUCAUUUUACAAGUUAUUUACCGCACAAUAUUUGUCGAGGUGGAGCAUUACAGUAUUUUACUGUUUCUGAAAACCACUUUCAAGGAACAAUCCCUAAAAGCUUGAGAAAUUGCACAAGCUUAAUCCGAGUACGCCUUAAUGGAAACAACCUUACUGGAAAUAUAUCAUAAGCUUUGGGCAUUUAUCCUAACCUGACUUUCAUAGAUCUCAGCCGCAAUAAUUUUUACGGUGAAAUCUCAUCUAAUUGGGGGAAAUGCCCAAAAUUAGGCACUCUCAAUGUUUCGAUGAAUAGCAUUAGUGGAGGUAUAUCGCGCGAGAUCGGAAACAUGUCUCAACUACAAGCACUCGAUCUUUCAUUGAAUCAUAUAGUUGGGGAGAUUCCAAAGGAACUUGGAAAGUUAAAUUCUCUAACCAAGCUCAUUUUGAGAGGGAAUCAACUGACAGGGCGUCUACCUACAGAAAUCGGCUCACUCAUUGAACUUGAAUACCUCGACUUUUCUGCUAAUAGGUUCAACAACUCAUUCCCAGAAAUUCUUGGCAACUUGCUGAAAUUGCACUACUUGGGCUUAAGCAACAACCAGUUUGUCCAAGAAUUGCCAAAGGAAUUGGAGAAGCUAAUUCAACUUUCAGAAUUAGAUGCAAGUCAUAACCAUUUUGGAGGAGAGAUACCAUUUCAAAUAUGCAGUUUGAAAAGCUUGGAAAAGUUUAAUCUCUCCCACAAUAAUCUCUUUGGUUCGAUUCCAAAUUGCUUUGAGGAAAUGCGGGGUCUAUCAGUCAUUGACAUUUCUGAUAAUCAAUUACAAGGCCCAGUUCCAAAUAGCACAGCAUUUCGGAAUGCCUCAGUGGAAGCGUUAGAGGGGAAUAAGGGAUUGUGUGGGAGGUGUGAAAGGAAUGCAACCAUGCAAAGUUUUCUCGUCACAUAAGCAAAAUUCUGGAGUCAAGUGGUUUGCAAUAAUGUUCCCUGUUUUAGGAGCACUAUUUGUUUCAAUGGCGUUGAUAGCAAUUUUCAUUCUUCAAAAGCGGAAAUCAGACUCAGGAGAUUGACAGAGUAGCAACCAGAACCCUCAUGGAUUGUUUUCUAUAUUGAAUUUUGAAGGGAAACUUGUGUACGAUGAAAUUGUUAGAGCAACAAAUGAUUUUGAUUCACAGUAUUGCAUUGGAAAUGGCGGACAUGGAAGUGUUUAUAGAGCUGAACUACCAUCUGGGCAAGUCGUAGCUAUUAAGAAAUUUCACUCGCCACUCCCAUGUGAGCAGAUUGCAAAUUAAAAAGAAUUCUUGACCGAAGUUGAGGCCUUGAAAAAUAUACGACAUCGAAACAUUGUGAGGUUUUAUGGAUUUUGCUCACAUGCCCGACACUCUUUUUUGGUCUAUGAAUUUCUUGAAAGGGGUAGCUUGACUGCGAUCUUGAGCAAUGAUGCAGCAGCACAAGAAGUGGGUUGGAGUCAGAGAAUGAAUGUGAUACUUAAAAUUCUUAGAGAAUUGCUUUUUCUUAACAAGCAGAGCAGAGUAAACCAUAGAGCUUUCGUUUGCUGAAAAUAAAACUUGAAUUGAUUUCAUUGCUUAAAGGCCAAUGUAUAUAUACAUAAGAAAACAAAAUGACAGCUAGCUAAAAAAUAACAAAUUCAGAUAAAACAAAAACAAUCACUGAAUCAUUGGCCAAUGAUAUAGAGCUUCUAGAAUCUUCAUCCAAUCAUCCCAUGUGUUGAUAUUCCUCUGUGUAACUGUUUUGCCACCUCAUUGAAUUCCUCUCAUUUCUUUCAUCAGCUGACUGUAAUUGUGAGUAGCUCAGGUGGCAUGCCACUGUGUCAUUGAGGUCAUCAGUUGACUGGCUGAGAUCAUGGCUGCCAUGGCUGCUAUUUUCAACACCCUCUCUCAAACACAAGGUUUUGUCAAACACCUUGAGUUUGCUUCUGAAGCAGCUAAAUUUGUAAUAAGGUAACGGCUUAGUUAGAACAUCAGCUAUUUGAUCCCUGCCUGCAACAAAACUGAUUUCCAUUUCACCUCUAGCUACCUUAUCCCUGAUAAAAUGUAGGUCUAUCUCAAAGUGUUUAGUCUUUGAAUGAAAAACAGGAUUGGUAGCUAUUGCUGCUGCACUUGUGCUAUCACUUAAGAUUGUUGGUGUUUUUUGCAUCUCUAGUUUCAGCUCACUUAGUAAGGAGCUAAUCCAUGUAAUUUCUGCAGCACAGAGGGCCAUUGCUCUGUAUUCUGAUUCAGCCGUAGAUCUAGCAACCAAACCUUGCUUUCUUGAACUCCAGGCAAUGAGAUUUCCACCCAGAAAUACACAAUAGCCACUGAUGGACCUCCUGUCAUCCAAAUCAUUUUCCCAGUCUGCAUCUGUGUAAGCCACCAGAUCAAAAUACUCUGACUUCUUGAAUUUCAGACACAUGUUCAUGGUGUUUUUAAGAUACCUCAAUACUCUUUUGCAUGCUAUCCAGUGAGGUUGCCUACGAUCUGACAUGUAUUGGCUGAGCUUGUUCACUGAGUAAGCAAGCUCAGGCCUUGUGAGUGUUGCAUACUGCAGGCUGCCUAUAACACUUCGAUACAGUGUGGGAUCAUGAAACUUUUCUCCUUCAUUCUUCUUCAGCUUUUCUGUGGUACUGAAAGGUGAUUCAAUUCCCUUACAGUCACUCAUUUCUGUUUUGGCAAGCAAAUCUUGAAUAUACUUGGUUUGAGACAGCAAAAUGGCAUUUUGUUUUCUGUUUACCUGAAUCCCCAGAAAGAAGUUUAGCUCUCCCAAAUCCUUUAAGGCAAAGGUCCUAUUUAAGUUGCUAACCAGCUCUUCAAUACUACCACUGUUAUCACUAGUAAUAGUAAUGUCAUCAACAUAAAUAAGCAAUAUAACUAUCUUAGAUUUAGUUUUUCUGUAGAACAAUGAGGUAUCAUCACACUUAGAAUUUUCAAAUCCCCAAGAGUUUAAGGCACCCUUCAGUUUGUCAAACCAUGCCCUGGGGGCUUGUCUCAAGCCAUACAGUGCUUUCUUUAAUCUGCAUAUGUGAUUGGGCUUGCUUUUGUUCACAAAACCUUCAGGCUGUGGCAUGUAAACCAUCUCUGUUAGCUCACCAUUCAAGAAAGCAUUGUUUAUGUCUACCUGCCUCAGCAACCAGUCAUUGUUCACUGCCAAAGUGAGGAUGAUUCUGAUUGUUGCAGCCUUGACAACUGGGCUGAAAGUCUCUGUGAAAUCAAUGCCUGGAAUUUACAAGAACCCCUUCACCACUAAUCUGGCCUUAUAUUUGUUUAUGGUUCCAUCUGGAUUUUCUUUAACUCUAUACACCCAUUUAUUUCCAAUCAGCUUGUGGCUUGAGUCAUUUGGUACCAAGGUCCAUGUUUCAUUUUUCAUCAAGGCAUUGUACUCAUCUUCCAUUGCCCUUUUCCAGCUUGGUUCUUUUAAAGCUUCUGAGGUGUUUGAGGGUAAUGCUAUGUGUGGUUGAGUAGUGAUUUGGUACAACUUUGGUUUAAAGAUCCCUGCUUUAGAUCUUGUUACCAUAGGAUGUGAUGGUAUAGCUUCUUUUGUGUUGGGUGCUGUGAUAGGGGAUGAAGGUUGGUCAUUUGCUUAAGGCUGGUGAUUUGAAUGAGGUGAGGAUAACUGAUUAUUUGAUAUCAUAUUAUUGCUUAAAUUCUAUUGUGUCUUACCUUGGUCAAGGUUUUGGGAUUGUUAUGUGUUUUCAGGAGCUUCAAGAGAGUGGCUUUGAUCAGCUGCUGACUGAGUGUUUUGAGGAGUAUCAAGGAAGAAUGACACGACCUGAAAUUUUUCUAAAAGAUUAAGGAAGACAUCCUGACUUGUGGACUCUUCCCUGCUGAACUUGGGGUCAUUAGAAAAAGGGAAUGAGCUUUCAUUGAACCUGACACUUGCAGACACAUAUAUUCUACCUGAGUGAUGCAUGCAAACAUAUCCUUUGUGAGUUAGGCUUAUUCCUAGCAGUGUGCAUUUGGCAGUAUGGAAAUCAAACUUGUGCUUGUUAUAUGGUCUCAGAAAUGGAUAGCAUUCACAUCCAAACACUUUGAUUUGUGAGUAAUUUGGUUUGUGAUGGUAAAGCAUUUCAAAGGGGGUUUUGUUUCCAAUAACAGGUGAGGCUAAUCUGUUGAUAGUGUAGGUAGCAUAACUGAAGGCUUCUUGCCAGAAUUUUAAUGGCAUUUUAGCUUGUGCCAGCAAUGUGAGUCCAGUUUCUACCACAUGUCUGUGCUUUCUCUCAACCUUCCCAUUUUGUUCAUGUAAAUAAGGACAUGAUUGUCUCAAUAUAAUGCCCUCUUUGUCAAGGAAUGGUUUGAAUGGUUUAAACUCUCAUCCCAUGUCUGUCUGUAGUGCUUUAAUUUUCAGAUUCAGUUGAUUUUCAAUUUGGCUUUUGAAGGUGAUGAAUGUGUUGAGAGCUUGAGAUUUUGUUGCCAAAGGAAACAACCAGGUGUAUCUUGUCAUGUCAUCCACAAAAGAUAUGUAAUAUUUGUGUCCAUGAUUUGAAGGAAUUGGUGCUGGUCCCCAUAGGUCAGCAUGAAUCAGCUCUAGGGCUUUGCUGGUUUUAGUUUCUGUGCUUUUGAAAUUUUGCUUAGACAAUUUUCCAUACUGACAUGCACAACAAAAUGAAGGAACAGAAUUCUUGUUUAAUUUGAACUGAUUACAAGACAACAAAGUGCUUUUCAAGGCAGACUCAUUUGGAUGCCCUAGUCUGAGAUGCCAGAGAUCAAUAUCUUUCAAAACAUCAUUGCUUGACUCAUCAGUUUUAGAAGACUCAAAACAAACAUUAGCUAGCUUGACACCACUAGGAUUAAAUGACAACAUAGACACUGGAUUGCUGAUGCAACUUAUUGACUCAGACAUAAAAGAUGAAGACAAAACAGCAGCAUAAGGAGUUUUGUUCCCACUCAGGUGAGUUGGCAAGCACAGCAACUCAUAAAGCCCCUCUCUAGCCACUCCUUUCACCAGAAUUUUCCCUUGUCUCUUGUCCUUGAUAAAACACACAGAUUUUUGAAAUUCAAUGUCAAUAUCAUUGUCAUGUAAUAAUCUGGAAAUGCUAAUGAGGUUUUUAGUGAUGCUUGGCACAAAUAAUAUGUCAUUCAAGGCAAUGUGUUUAUGUGGAUUUGAAGUGGAAAGCAUAGAAUUACCAACAUGAGAGAUCAGGAGUUUUUCACCAUUUCCAACAGUUAAUUUUUCAUUACCUUGAUACUCAGAGUUGAUGUUUAUGUUACCAAGAGCAUUUGUCACAUGGUUUAUGGCACCACUGUCCAGGUACCAGGCUCCACUGCUUUGGCCAUCAGUUGUAGCCACAUAUGCACCUCUUGGUUCUCUCCUUUGGCUUGGUUGUGGCACAUAAUUCUUUUUGAAUCUGUGCCAGCAAUCAGCAGCUGUGUGUCCCAUUUUCCAGCAAAUUUGACAAGGCCCCUUUGGAUUUGAACCAUCCUCAUCACUCACAGCUUUACCUUUCCCUUUGUCCUGAGAGUUCUGAUUUCCCUGACCAGAUCCAUUUCCAGGGGUUCUGAAAACUAUUCCAGGCUGAUGUUGGUUUCCAGCCCUGGUGUGGUUAUUCCAAUUCCUUCUUCCAUUUCUUGCUUGUGCAUAGUUUGCCUCUAUAGUCCCUGAGUUUAAGUUAUGUUCAGUUCUGUUUUCUUGGCUGAGAAGCAUGCCAUAGACUUCAGAAUGUGAGGGACUUUCUUGCAUUGAGUUUAUGCUGGCUAUAACUGGGUCAUAUUCUGAUCCUAAACCAGCAAAUACACACAUGAUAAAGUCAUCAUCACUCAUGUUACUCCCUGCAGCCCUAAGAGCAUUCAAUAUGGACUUCAUUCUAGAGUAAUACUCAUGAAUAGUUAAUGAACCCUUUUUGGUGGUCUGGAUUUGUGUUCUGAGGUGUAAGAUUCUAGCUCUAGUUCUUGCACCAAACUGAUUGGAAAGAGUUGUCCACACCUCAAGAGAAGUGGAACAAUCCACCACAAUGCCUAAAACCUCCUCAGUCAGUGAAGAUAACAACCAACUCAGAAGAAUGUGGUCUUGUUUCUUCCAGACUUGGUAUUCUGGGUUGGGUGUGGUAAUUAUUGUUUGGUCUUGUCCAAGGUUUAUGAAGACUCUAGGAGGGCAGAUAUGACUGCCAUCUAUGAACCCCUCAAGCUCGUUUGCUCUAAUGCUGGAAAUCACUUGUGAUCUCCAGAGCAUGAAAUUGUUUUGAUUGAGCUUAAUGGGGGUUGUGAAUACAUAUGUGCUGCUAGUGAUGUGUUGAGUGGGUGAGGGUGUGUUGUGACUUGAACUUCGUUCAGUGUUUUGGUUUUCAUUUUGAUUCAAGUUGCCCAUCUGAUCAUUUUGAUUCACAUUUGCUUGUGUGCUGCUACUGCUUGCCAUAGCUUUAAAGAUGGCUCUGAUACCAACUUAAAAUUCUUAGAGAAUUGCUUUUUCUUAACAAGCAGAGCAGAGUAAACCAGAGAGCUUUCGUUUGCUGAAAAUAAAACUUGAAUUGAUUUCAUUGCUUACAGGCCAACGUAUAUAUACAUAAGAAAACAAAAUGACAGCUAGCUAAAAAAUAAUAAAUUCAGAUAAAACAAAAACAAUCACUGAAUCAUUGGCCAAUGAUAUAGAGCUUCUAGAAUCUUCAUCCAAUCAUCCCAUGUGCUGAUAUUCCUCUGUGUAACUGUUUUGCCACCUCAUUGAAUUCCUCUCAUUUCUUUCAUCAGCUGACUGUAAUUGUGAGUAGCUCAGGUGGCAUGCCACUGUGUCAUUGAGGUCAUCAGUUGACUGGCUGAGAUCAUGGCUGCCAUGGCUGCUAUUUUCAACAGUGAUCAAAGGCGUAGCUGAUGCCUUGUCUUUCUUGCACCAUGACUGCUUUCCUCCGAUUGUCCAUCGACACAUAUCAAGUAAGAACUUGUUGCUGGAUUUGGAAUAUGAAGCUCAUGUUGCAGACUUUGGAAUUGCUAAGUUUCUGAAGCCAGACUCGUCCAACUGGACUGAAUUUGCAGGCACAUACGGAUACAUUGCACCAGGUAUUUAGUAUUUGUUUGUUGCCAUUUUGAGGAAUAUUUUUAUGUUAUGUGCGCGGUAACAGAACAAUGCAACUAGAUAUUGUUGAAAAAUUUAUGUAGUACAUUCAGUAGACUUGUAAAAGCUUACUAGUUUAUGCACAUUUAUCUUUGAAACAGAGUAAACAUUUUUUUUUUUUUUUGUCCUCGACCUUGCAGAGCUUGCUUACACAAUGAAGAUCACAGAGAAAUGCGAUGUGUACAGUUUUGGAGUUUUAGUGUUGGAAGUGAUCAAAGGGAAGCGUCCAAGCGAAUUUCUUUCUUCGCUUUCAUCUUCAUCUCUUAACACGAACAUAGCACUUGAUGAAAUGUUGGACCCACGGCUUCCAACUCCAUCACGCAUUGUUCAAGAAAAACUGAUAUCAAUCAUGGAGGUUGCGUUUUCCUGCUUAAAUGAGAGUCCAGAGUCUAGGCCAACUAUGAAGAUAGUCAGUCAACAAUUAACCUCAGCUGCUUGACCGAGUCUUAAUUUUCUAAGUAUACUUCGAAUUUGCUUGCCUUAUUUUUCUCAUGUACUAUGGUUUGUUUGUUCUAGUUUUCAAGAAUUAGGAGGCGUUGGUUAUUACGCCAUCCAUAUAUAAUUCGCAUAUGGUGUACUCUUUCAUUUGUAAAUAAAGUUUGCUCAUACCUUAGAGGUUUAGUUAAAAGAACGCAUGGGGCAGUUGUGAGUAAAGUCAGUUUGUAAUAAUUAAAAAAAUAAUUUCUUUCGACAUGCACAACAGGUGAACCCCUCAAAUGUAAACUUGAAAGUGUGUACCACUAUAUCAAUUAAUGGGUGGCUCUUACUUAUUGAUAAUGUUAAAUUAAAUGUUAAAAGAAAGGAACAGAUGGGGAAAAAAGUAAAAAAAAAAUUGGGAUAAUUUAAAUGCAGUUGACACAAAGAGAAAUAAAGUAAAAUAAAAACUUUUCUCCGACAACGGCACCAAAAACUUGACACAACUUAAAAGUAAUUUUUAACUCCCAAGUAUAAAAUUGUAUUGUUGUAUUAUAGCUCGGUGAGUCCGAGGUCGAUCCACAGAGAAAAAUUUUAAUUUUUUAUUUUAUUUUAUCUAAAAAUUGAAAAUGAAACUUAAAUAUAAACAACUUAAUUUAAAUAAAACUAUGAAAUUGAAUUAGUUAGGGUUGUGGAUCCACUCUUAGUAGCAAAUAAAAUUUAAUAAAUUCUUUUUGCCAUUUUUUUAGAUUUAUUGCCCAAAAGAUUAAUUAUAUAAAUUAUUUUUAUUUUCCCUUUAAUUUUAUGAUGGAUUAAGUAUUUAUUGUGCCAAAAUUUAAUUUGUCUACAAUAAGUCAAAAUACCUUUUUACCAUACCUUAUAUUAAGAUAUUAAGAAUUUAUUGUGCCAAACUCCUUUGUUUGUCUACAAUAAAUCAAAAUUUUAAAAUAUAAAAUAUGUAUAAAAUUAAAUAGAAAAUAAUUUAAUUUAUAAAAUUAAAAAUAGAAUUUGAUUAAAUCAUAUUUAUUUCCUUAGAGUUUCACCUUACCCUAACUAUUAUUAUUUAGUUAAGCAUAAUUGAAAUAAAAAGAAUUAUUAAAAUUAAAUUACUUAUAAUUAAAAUGAAUAAAAAAACUAAAAUGAAAAUAAAACUAAAUUUAUUUAUAAAAAUAAUUACAAAAAAUAUUAAAAACACUCAUGGAAAACAAGAUUACAAGAAGAUUAAGAGAAAUUGAGAAGAAGAGAGAUGUAGAGAGAUAUCAAAAACAUAAAACUGAGGCUCUAUUUAUAGAAAAAUAAAUUUAUGAUCCAGUGUUUCGCAGUCCAUCAUAAGCUUCAUGCAUGCACUCCUCACAACCAUUAGAUGAACAUCCAAUGGCUGUUCAAACUUCAAAAGUCAACAUCACACGUGGCAUCAUUUGAGACGUCUGAUUCGGCCAAAGAACGGCUGAGAUUUGGCGGGUUAAUGGGUGGAUCGGGUCGACAUCAUGCAUGCAUGCACUCCUCACAACCAUUAGAUGAACAUCCAACGGCUGUUCAAACUUCAAAAGUCAACAUCACACGUGGCAUCAUUUGAGAUGUCUGAUUCGGCCAAAGAACGGCUGAGAUUUGGCGGGUUAAUGGGUGGAUCGGGUCGACCCGAAUACAAAGAUUUGAAUCCUACAACUUGCUUCACCAACCAUUGCCAUGUGGCACAAUCGUAGCCAUUGAAUUAUGAACGAUUGAGAUUUAGUCAAAAUUGCUAGCUAUCCCAAGCACUCAUAUCUAUUGUAAGCUCAUUUUAUCAUCCAUUCACUGCUCGAUCCACAGGAAAAGUCAACAUUUUUUUUACACAAGCCCAAUUUUAAGCCGAUCUUGACUUAUCUUAAGGUUUUCGGAUCUCCGGAAUCCAAAUUUGACAUCUGUUUAUCUGUUUGAAGCCUCGAAUUACGUGAAAUUAAUAUUUUACCUAAUAAACACACAAAAAUACAUAAAAUUAGAUAUAUUUAACACAUAAUUAAUAAUUCCUAAUAUAUUGUAUGAACACAAAUAUAAAUCAUACAUAAGCACAAAAUAACAUUAUUAUCGCUUGAUAAUUAAACAAUUUUUAAUACUAAUCAGCAGUCAUUGAAGGAACUUAUUGCUCUCACCAAUUGUCUUGAAUGCUCUAAUGGCUUACACUUUGUAGAAUCGCCAAUGUUGUGAUAACAACUUUGAUGGUUAAAGUUUGAUUGUGAAUCUCGGUUGAAUGAUUUAAUUUAUAUUUGAUUCUUAUACCGAGCGAACCUUUACCAAGUUAAUCUUUUUUCCGUAUGUUUAGUUUUGUUAUGUCAAAGUUAGUUGAUGUCCUAUAUUUGAUCAAUGUGGAUGGCUAAUCAAAAUUAAAGAAUCCUUGAACGAGAUUGAGGGCUCGACAGAGUUACGACAUCAGGGCAUUGUAAAACAUGGCUUACAUUCAAUUUUAGUUUAUGAAUUUCUUGAAAGGGGUAGCUUGGCCAUAAUAUUGAGCAAUAAUGCAGCCACAAAAGAGUUAAGUGGGCUGGAGUCAGAGAAUGAAUGGGAUAGAAGGCGUUGCCGAUGCCUUGUAAUAUUCGUUUGUUGCCAUUUUGAGGAAUAUUAUUAGGGGAUUGCCACUUUCCCAUUAUUAGGGGAUUGCCACUUUCCCCCUACAGUAAUUAACAUAUACCAUUUAUUCCCUGCUGUUUUUAUAAUGACCAAAAACCCUCCUGACAGCAUAAGUUUACAAUAUUACCCUUAUUUUUAAUUACUCUUUUAUUUAUAUUUAUUAUACAUUAAAUAAAUUACAUUAAUAGAAACUAAAUAAAAAAAUUAAGUAUUAAAAAUAAAAAAUAUAUGUUUUGAUAUGAGCAAAAAAAUUAAUAAUAACUUUUUUUCUUGUAAUUAUUUAUUUUGUGAACAUUUUCUUAUAAUAAACAUUUUGUAAUAAAUUUUUAUAUGUCAUUCAAAAUUUCUAAUAAUAAUUUUUUUAUCAUUUUAUAAUAACUUUCUUAUAUAUUUAUUAUAAGAAACUUUUCACAAAAUAAAUAAGUACAGAAAAAAAAUUUAUUAUUAAUUUUUUUCUCAUAUCAAAACAUAUAUUUCUUGUUUUUAAUGCUUAAUUUUUUAUUUAGUUUCUAUUCAUGUGAUUUAUUUAAUUUAUAAUAAAUAUAAAUAAAAGAGUAGUUGAAAAUAAGGGUAAUAUUGUAAACUUAUUCUAUCAGGGGGGUUUUGGCCAUUAUAAAAACAAUAGGGGGGAAAUGAUAUAUGUUGAUUACUGUAAGGGCAAAAUUGGCAAUCUCCCAAUAUUAUUAUGCAACACAUUCUAUAGAGAUAUAAAAGCUUACUAAUUUAUACGCAUUGAUCUUUAAAAAGAGAGUAAACAUUUUUUUUUUGUCCUUGACCUUGCAGAGCUUGCUUACACAAUCAAGAUCACAGAAAAAUACGACGUGUACAAUUUCGGAGUGUUAUUAUUGGAAGUGAUCAAGGGAAAAAUUUAAAUGCAAUAUAUAUAUAUAUAUAUGAAAAAUUUAAAUGCAAAAUUAAUAUACAUACAUACAUACAUAUAAAAUUAUUUUUUGAAGAAUAAAAUAAUUUGAAACAAUAUAUUUACAUAUAUUAUUUUUAUUGUUUACCCUCAACUUAUUAUUCUCCAAAAAAAUAGUAUAUGUAUAUGUAUUUUGCUUUUAAUUUUUAAAUUAAUUCUGAAGAGUUCUGAAAAAUUUUCUGAAUUAAUUUAAAAAUUAUGAUAAUUCCCUUACUUUUUCAAAUAAUUUUGCAUGUAAUUUUUAAUUAUUACCAUUUAAGAAAUUAUUUAAUUAAUUAAAUUAUUAAAGAUAUUCAUCUUCCAGACAUCAAAGAAACACCCAAGCUAAAAUAGUAAGAUCAGCAAAACAGUUUGACUCUCAAGAAAAUUUGGAUAUAGUUUAAAAAUCAAGUGGGAGGAUUCGAUUAGUUUAGUCAAACAAGAGGGUUUAGCUAUUUUUUCCAUUAAACAAGUGUCGAAUGCAUCUUUAUUUAUUAUUGAUACCAAGUGUCCGACUCAGACUAGAAGAAUGAAUCUGAAAUCGUCUUAAGACAUGGAAGAAUCAAUGCAUAAUGUGUGUGUAUGGAAGAAAAAAAAAAAAUAAGGCAAGUGGUACGGAAAUAAGGAUGAACUCACAUUAAACAUAUUCCAUGUGUUUCACGUUGCUAAAAAAAAGAACAACAUUUUCCACGUACGCCAUGUGCAGCAAUAAUCAUGCCUGUCUACACAGAAGCACAGUUCACGUUUGAACUUUUUCUUUUUUAUUUUUUCCCCAUUUCACAUACCAUAACCCCAUCCCAUCCUAUACGCAAAAAGAAAUUAAAGCUUCCACAUUGUGAGGGGAAUCGAUCUUAACUAAGCAAUGUGAGCUUAGAUGGAUUAUAAUUUUUACCAUUCAACUGUGUGUUUUUUUCUGGAAUGAUUGAACAUCGAUGAUGAAAUAAGGUAUUAAAAAUCUAUCCAAGAUUAAAAAAAAAAAAUCCAAGAUACUGUGUGCUUUCUGUAGCAGAUAUAAGGUCCUUACAGGUGAUUCGGAUUAAAUUUUUUUUCUUUUAAAAAAGGCCUAACAAAUUAAAUUUACAAAUUUUUAGUGAAUUAAUGAUUUUUAACAUUUUAGUAAAUUAACUUUGUGAAAAUUUUAAUUAUUCACAAAUGCCCUGUUUUUCUAGUAGUGAAUAAAAGUAUAAAAAAAAUAAAAAAAAAAGACCUAAUUCUAGUUUGUCCACUUCCGAAUUUUCUUCGUUUAUCUUCUUUGUGUUUUCACUAAGCUUUACUUGACGCCUUGACUCGUUUACUCCAAAUAGCCAACCCGAUUUCUGUCGUAUAGUUUCUAUAAAUUUAGUUCCCGAUUGUGCUUGUUUCAUGAACCAAUGUUCAUGUCGAUGCCAAUGGGGCCACUCACUCUGCAUACAGUAGUUUCUUCUCUUGUUUUCUUGAUCCUAUUCUUUGUGUCAAAUUUUUCUCUUCCUGUUUCUUCUAAUUCUAAUGAAGAAACUGAUGCUCUUCUCAAAUGGAAAGCCAGCCUUCAAAACCAUAACCAAUCUCUCCUUUCUUCUUGGAUUAACGACGCCACCAAUGGUUCUUCCAAAAUAAGUGCUUGGUCUGGAAUCAACUGCAAUGAUGCUGGAAGAGUCAUCAACAUCAGCCUCACAAAUACAGGCUUAAGUGGUACACUUCAUGAUUUCUCAUUCUCAUCGUUUCCUCAUCUUGAUCUCAGGCUUAUUGAAUUAUUUGGUAUCAUCCCGCCUCAAAUCGGUAAUCGCUCCAAGCUCCAGUUACUUUCGCUACAUGCAAACAACUUUUCUGGAAGAAUACCGUCUGAAAUUUGCCUUCUAACUCACUUGAAAGUUCUUUUCUUGCACUCCAACAAUUUGAACGGCCCAAUCCCUCCUUCUUUAGGUAACCUGAACAACUUGGUUAAGUUGUUUCUUCUUGAUAAUUCACUUUCUGGUUCUAUUCCUCCAAAUAUUGGAAACUUGAGGUCACUUUUAGAAUUAGAUUUGAGUAUAAAUCAACUUAGUGGUUCAAUACCUCCUUCUGUGGGUAACUUAAGUAGCAUGACUCGAUUGUAUCUUUAUGGUAUUCAUUUUAUGGUUCCAUUCCACCAAAUGUAGGAAACUUGGAGUCCCUUUUUUAUUUACAGUUGAAUGACAAUCAACUCAUCGGUUAUAUUCCACGUUCCUUUAGUAAUCUAACCGGGUUAUCAAUUUUACGUUUGUCUAAAAACGAGCUUUUUGGUUCCAUUCCAGAUGAAAUAGGAAAGAUAAGGUCUCUUAGCAUUCUCGAUUUGAGCCAAAAUCAAUUUAAAGGGGUUCUUCCACCAUCUGUUAGUAAUUUGACCAACCUAAAACAACUAGACCUCCUUUAUAACAACCUAUCCGGUUCCAUUCCUCUCUCCCUCGACUAUCCUGUGUUAACUAUGCUAGUAUUGGAUGAGAACCAUUUCACUGGUUAUUUACCCCACAAUAUUUGCCGAGGCGGAGCACUACUGUAUUUUGGUGUUUCUGAAAACCAUUUUCAAGGAACAAUCCCUAAAAGCUUGAGAAAUUGCACAAGUUUAAUCCGAGUACGCCUUGGUGGAAACAACCUUACUGGAAAUAUAUCAGAAGCUUUGGGCAUUUAUCCUAACCUGAAUUUCACAGAUCUCAGCCGCAAUAACUUUUACGGAGAAAUCUCAUCUAAUUGGGGGAAAUGCCCAAAAUUAGGCAGUCUCAAUGUUUCGAUGAAUAACAUUACUGGAGGUAUACCGCGUGAGAUUGGAAACUCGUCUCAACUAGAAGCACUCGAUCUUUCAUUGAAUCAUAUAGUUGGGGAGAUUCCAAAGGAACUUGGGAAGUUAAAUUCUCUAAACAAGCUCAUUUUGAGAGGGAAUCAACUGACAGGGCGUCUACCUACAGAAAUCGGCUCACGCAUUGAACUUGAACGCCUCGAUUUUUCUGCUAAUAGGUUCAACAAUUCAGUCCCAGCAAGUCUCGGCAACUUGGUGAAAUUGUACUACUUGGGCUUAAGCAACAACCAGUUUGUCCAAGAAUUGCCAAAGGAAUUGGAGAAGCUAGUUCAACUUUCAGAAUUAGAUGCAAAUCAUAACCUUUUUGGAGGAGAGAUACCAUUUCAAAUAUGCAAUUUGAAAAGCUUGGAAAAGUUGAAUCUCUCCCACAAUAAUCUCUCUGGUUCGAUUCCAAAUUGCUUUGAUGGAAUGCACGGUCUAUCAGUCAUUGACAUUUCUGAUAAUCAAUUGCAAGGCCCAGUUCCAAAUAGUACAGCAUUUCGGAAUGCCCCAGUGGAAGCGUUAGAGGGGAAUAAGGGAUUGUGUGGAGGUUUGAAAGGAAUGCAACCAUGCAAAGUUUACUCGUCACAAAAGCAAAAUUCUGGAGCCAAGUGGUUUGCAAUACUGUUUUAGGAGCACUAUUUGUUUCAAUGGCGUUGAUAGCAAUUUUCAUUCUUCGAAAGCGGAAGGCAGACUCAGGAGAUCCACAGAGUAGCAGCCAGAACCCUCAGGGAUUGUUUUCUAUUUUAAAUUUUGAAGGGAAACUUGUGUACGAUGAAAUUGUUUGAGCAACAAAUGAUUUUGAUGCAGAGUAUUGCAUUGGAAAUGGUGGACACGGAAGUGUUUAUAGACUGAACUACCAUCUGGGACAGUCGUAGCUGUUAAGAAAUUUCAAUCACCACUCCCAUGUGAUCAGAUUGCAUAUCAAAAAGAAUUCUUGACCGAAGUUGAGGCCUUGACAGAGAUACGACAUCGAAACAUUGUGAAGUUUUACGGAUUUUGCUCACAUACCCGACACUCUUUUUUUGUCUAUGAAUUUCUUGAAAGGGGUAGCUUGGCAGCGAUCUUGAGCAGUGAUGCAGCAGCACAAGAACUGGGUUGGAGUCAGAGAAUGAAUGUGAUCAAAGGCGUAGCUGAUGCUCUGUCUUACUUGCACCAUGACUGCUUUCCUUCGAUUGUCCAUCGAGACAUAUCAAGUAAGAACUUAUUGCUGGAUUUGGAAUAUGAAGCUCAUGUUGCAGACUUUGGAAUCGCUAAGUUUCUAAAGCCAGACUCGUCCAACUGGACUGAAUUUGCAGGCACAUACGGAUACGUUGCACCAGGUAUUUAGUAUUCGUUUGUUACCAUUUUGAGUAAUAUUUUUAUGUUAUACGUGUCGUAACAUAACAAUGUACCUAGAUAUUGUUGAAAACAUUAUGUAGUACAUUCAGCAGACCUGUAAAAGCUUACUAGGUUAUGCACAUUUAUCUCAUAAACAGAGUAAACAAUUUUUUUUUUGGGUCCUUGACCUUGCAGAGCUUGCUUACACAAUGAAGAUCACAGAGAAAUGCGAUGUGUACAGUUUUGGAGUGUUAGUGUUGGAAGUGAACAAAGGGAAGCAUCCAAGAGAUUUUCUUUCUUCGAUUUCAUCUUCAUCUCUCAACACGGAUACAGCACUUGAUGAAAUGUUGGACCCGCGUCUUCCAGCUCCAUCAUGCAGUGUUCAAGAAAAACUGAGAUCAAUCGUGGAGGUUGCGUCUUCAUGCUUAAAUGAGAGUCCGAAGUCUGGACCAACUAUGAAGAUAGUCAGUCGACAAUUGCAGAUUUCAGCUGCCUUGACUGAGUCUUAAUUUUCUAAGUAUACUUCUAUUAGAAUCAAUAAAGGUGUUUGGCAAAUGAGAAAAUGAAAGAAAACUUUAACUGAGAAAAUUCUUAUUGAUUAGAAUCUGGAAUUAUACACUUAUUAUUAUGUUAACCACUAUUUAUAGUUACAGUGAAAACUGAUUACAAAAACAGAGCUCAAAGCUGCAACGUUAACUAACUAAUUAGCCUUCCAAUCAUAACGUGCCAGCUGGACAAAUUAUUACAACUUAAUCAAAACCAAAUAACCACCCAAUCCAGCUCAGCAGCUCAGCAGCUCAGCACGUCAUCAGCCAGCUCAGUAGCUUCAGCUUAUACACUUAACAUCCCCCCUCAAGCUCAACCUGGGUUGGUCAGGGUGAGCUUGUCUCUUAGAUAAUGAAAAGGGUGAUAAGCUAAAGCUUUAGUGAGGAUAUCAGCUGAGUUAUGGGAACUGGGAACAUAGCUAACUUGGAAGCUCUUAUUAGCAAUCUUUUCUCGCAAGAAAUGAACAUCAAGUUCUAUGUGUUUAGUUCAGGAGUGGAAUUUGGGAUUACUUGCUAAGGCAGCAGCACUCUGGUUAUUGUUGUGCAAAUUUUAUUGAACUCGCAAGCGCACGAAUCUAUUGUAGAAUAGACUAAUGGUGACGAGUGCCGAUCCCAUGAGGAGGUGAAUUUUAAUUAUAUAUAGAAUUAAUUUUGUAAAUGGGUGGUUGGAAUUAUGGUGGAAGUGAUUUAAAUUAUCCUAAAAUUGGAAUUGAAAUGGCGAUAAUAAAUUUUAAAGUUGGAAUUGCAAUGGCGAGAAUAAAUUGAAGAGAAAUCUAUUGAAAUGACGUACUUGGGUAUCUGGAUCCAUAUCAACAUGCAUCAUGGGCUAAAUAAUCCUUAUUAAUGCCAAUUAAAUCAUGAGGGGGGAAUCCACACUUCAUGAACCACACUCUAAUCAAUAUGGUGCUAAGGGCUUAUCGUGCCAAAUAAUAAUAACAUUGUACUAGAGAGCCGGUGUAACCAAGGUGGUAUCUAGACAAUUAUUAUUAUUUGUCGACAAAAAACCAAAUCAUCCACAAAAAUUAGAGGGGAAAAGAAAAUAAAUUUACCAAAUAAAGCCCAUGACACAUGUUGAGACUUCACCUUCAACCCAAGCUUGAAAGAAAAUUAGCUACUCAUAAUUGAACUAGGGGCAAAAUGGGAAUUUAUUAAAAUACGUAGAAAAUACAAGAUAGAGAAGGAAUUACAGAAAAUGGAUCCCAAAAAUGGAUUCAGAGAUAUCAAAUUAGGUGGGAGAGGCCCCUUUUUUAUAGAUACAUGGACUAAAUCAUGGCCAUCGGAUUAACAACAGUUUGGACGCUCAGGAUUGCGCCACGUCAUCAGUCAACAGUACGCGGUUUGACCACGCGGAUGAACAGUAACACGGUUUGGUUGAAAAUAAUCCUGUGUGAUGCAUGUAUCGUACACGAGAUUUUUCGUCCACUGAUAUGCUGCCACGUCACCAUCAACAGUACAUAAGAAUUUUAGCCCAACAGGAUCGUGACACCUCAUCAGUCAAUGCUACAUCAUCGGUCAAUGCCACGCCAUCAAUCCGUCUAUGUGAACAGUGUCAUGAACAGUAACAUAGACAGUACCGUACACGUGAAUAGUACCAUAUAUGUGAAUAGUAUCAUUUUUCCUUUUAUACUCUUCCUAUGGUUUUCAACCGUCCUGAGUUCAAAAGUGAUGUCUGUUUUGCCGUCUGAUCUCUCGUUUAUUGUGAAAUGACCAUGAUACCCCUAAAAUACAUAAAAUACUUAAUUAAAAUCAAACACACAUAAUUAAAUUGCAAGAAGCUUAAAUACAUAAAAGUAAGGGUGUUAGUAAAACUUGAAAUGUAAAAUGAUGAUUUUCUCCUUUAUAAAUAUACAUUUUCUAACACUCAACACACCUCAACCAGCUUAUUGCUAGUCCCUAGCAAAUAAAGCGAAAACGAAAUUGAAAUCCAAAAUGAAUUUUUUUUUUAGGAACACUUGUGUUUAUUCAAUCAGAUUAAUGAUAGCAAUCAAAUAAAAGUAUAAGCAUUAUCUCCAGUUUAAAGGAACAUCACACCCACAUUAACCAUCCAUAUGAAUCAGCCCAGUAGACUUUAUUAUAGCUACUUUCAAGAAUGAUAUGUCAAACCCCAAAAUCUCACUGGAAGUAGUGACACUCUCACAAAGAAAUUAAACCCACUAAAAAUAGUCACUCCAAUGAAUAGUAAUUGAGAGAAAAUAAUAAAGAAGUGAUAUCACAUGCUCUCAUCAAGAUGAAAUAAAUAUGCCCUCAGCUUAAAAAUAAUACGAUCUCAAGUCAAACAAAAAUGCUAGUCAACCCAAUUUAUUUAUCUUUUUUUUCUUUUAUUUAUAUAUAUAUAUAUAUUUUUUUUUUUUUUUUUAUGCACCACUACAUCUUUUUAACCCAUACAACUAGCUUCUACUUCAGACUAUAGUUCCCUAAAAUCAAGAAGGACUUUUAUUAGGACAUAACGUAGGUUAAGGAUAUGGCUAACAAAGAAGGGAAAUAAGGAAAACAAAGUGUAUGUUUGAGAAAAAUGCAGAGAAUUUUUUUUUUUUUGAAGUUACAAGGUGGAUUUCACCUUUUAUUGUUAUUUUUUUCUUUUUUUUUUUUGAAACAAAAAUUUUUGUUUUUGUUUUUUUUUUUGUUUUUGCAUAACUUCACUGAACAAAAAUAAUUAUUUAUAUUUUUCUCAAACAUAAAUAGGUAAUGGAACUUGUACGAUAUCGGGUAAUACUCCAAAUCGGAGUGGGUCAAGAUGAUAAGUUUGACAAAGAAAAGUUUUUUUUUUAUAUAUUUUUUUUAAAGGCUCAAAAGGGUUAACUAGGGAUAUUUGAUAAAAGGGAUGGUUAGAAAGGCUCAAACGGAUCAAAGAUGGCCUUUCCAUCGUCUUUUAGGGUUCUAAAUAAUCUUCCAUAUCUACUAGUUAGAUGGGCCUCCAUAUGUAGCAACACAUAUUUUUUUUCUUCUUUUUUUUUAUUUUACAAUUUUUUUUAAGGGUUAACUCAAAAGAAAUCUAGAGAUCGUGUAUAAAAUAAUAAACUGCUAAGCUGUAUAAAGAAUGAGCAAAAGGGUUACUCUCCAAGAAAAAUAAUAGGCUCAAAAACUCACUUGGCACUUAUUAUGACAUGUUCAUUCCUUCAAGCAACUCAUAUUUGUCUCCGACAUCAACAUGUAAAGUAGCAAACAUAGUGUAACAUCACUUAAGACCAAAGAUAAUAUAAAUACUAAAAUUUGAAAUUAAUCAUGUCAUCCAAUGUUAAAACAAAUCACACAAAAAUUUUUGUUUUUUUUUUAAAAAACAACAUUCUACCCCCCAACCUAUUCUAAACAUGAAAGGAAAAUCUGCAUGCAGAAAUGUGAAAAUGAUGUAGAAAAACUAAUUAGAAAAGUUACACUUAAAAUUAUCGAAAAAGAAAAUGUUUUUUUUUUAUUUUUUUUUUAUUUUUUAUUACUAAGAAGAUGCGUUUCUAGAGGCACUACACUCCAUAUUCAGCCAUUUUCAACACAAAAAGUUAGCAACAGUUAGUUUCUACAACAAAAAAUCAGUAAAAACUUAACCAAGAUUCCACAAUUGUCGACUAUUCCCUUCCCCUAACCAGAACGAAACAUUGUCCUCAAUAUUUGAAAGGAAAGAAGUAGAGUUUAGAAAACAUCACCUGGGUGGUACAACACAGAAGAAAAUAUUUACAAGUGGAGAGUUAAAUCUAAUUUGUACUUCUUACUGCGGCUACUGUUACUAUCAUUAUUUGGACGCUCCAACACAAAGGUCCAGGGGUCUGGCUCCGAUUUAUAAGCUUGUAACAGAUCAAGUAGCUCAUUAGCAGUGUGAGCACAAAUAAAAAGCUUUUUGGCAUUGGAAUGAACGAAAUAGUUUUUUAUUGCAUGGUUAAGAAAUGCGAUAAAGCCAUCAUAAAAAUUAUUGACAUUUAACAAACCGAUGGGUUUCUGGUAAAUGUGCAGAUGGGCCCAAGAUGCUAGUGUGAUAAGUGCCUCUAGUGUUGCAAGAUCUCCUGGAAGGAAAAUAAAAGCAUCAACAUGAUUAAGCAUUUUAGUUAUUCUUUCUUGCAUACCUGAGACGACUAACUCUUCUCCAGUCGAUGAGUCAGACAAACUGCCCAAAGGUUUUAGGGCUCUUGGGAUGAUGCCUAACACUUGGUUGCCUCUGAUAAAAGCUGCUUCUGAGACCAUUUUUGAUAACCCUCGAUUACCUCCUCCAUACACCAAGUGUAAUUUUCUUGCUUCUAUGCUUCGACCAAGAUCUAUGGCUGCCUCAACGAACUCGUUAUGUUUGCCAUAAUUAAAUUCAGAAAGCACACAAAUGUUCUUGAAUUGUCUAUUUGGAGUAGCUGCCAUUGGGAUACUUCUCAAAAAACAAUUUGUGAGUGCUUAACAAAAAAAUCACAUUUAAGAGUCUUGGUGACAGUGGGUCACAGUUUUGUAUGAGGUAACAUGUCAGUGUCAAAUAACGUGUAAAGCACAUGGCUCGCGGGUCAAAAAGGAAACAGUAAAAAGGAAAAAGCAAACAGUAAUAAUGAAAAAGCAAAUAGUAAUAAAAUUAUUAAAGACAAUAAUGCAAACAAUAAAACAAUAGUGAAAUAAAAUAACAGUAAAGUAAAAGGAUAUUUACAGAUAGUUGCGACUGUGGCUCACAUCUUCCUCUGGUUUUACGUCCAGAAACUGCUUGAACGCCCUCUAUGGGUUGAGGAUAGGCUUCCCAUCCAGUUUUCUUAUAAACUGGCAAACAUGGUCGUUUAUAGUCAGAUUCCCGAGACUAUAUCGUGCAUGCUCUUUCUGGAAUAAUGGCCAUAACUGGAGAAUCGCUCCUUGCACGUAUCCACUGGGAUGUGUUUCAAGAGACAAAAGGAUAUCAUCCAAUGACUCCUUAUUCAAGCCAUCCCUAAUGAAUUGAAUCUUAUCUUCCCUGUUAUCAGACAACAUUCCUAAAGAACAUGGUUUUUUAUCGCAUCUCAUUCUGGCACACUUAUGACAAGCAACAGAAAUUCUUUGAGCUCGUCGUUUUUUUUGCAUAAUUUCCUUUACCACAACCAGGCAUGUAUGCAAUAAAUUUUGGAGGUAACUCACCUGCCGAUCGUACUUUAGCCUCGAUUAACCAACGAAUGUCAGUAGGUAUGUUAUUCCUCAUGAGUAAUCACAUGCGUUCGGACCGAGCUUUAUAGAUCGUAAGGAGGGCGUUCUGAGGAAGUGAAGGAAAUCGCUUAUGAAGCUUCGCUAGAAUGUCGUUUCUGUCUAUACUUUCGCCUCAGAAUAUCAGUUAUUAUGGGAAACUGAAGUAACCGACUUGAUUGUCACGGAGUACCGUUAUCUACCACUUCACCGGGGUAACAAACUAAAGCAUACAAACAGAAAAACAAAUUAAAACACACAAAGAAAAUUAAAAUCGUCCUCUUAUUGAAUUUACCUCAAGCUCCAACUGGAUGUCGUAAACACUUCUCUCAAUGUCUCUGAGUUGGCUUUCUAAACCCUCAACAUAGGCUACUAACUCUGGUGGUUGUAGAGCCCAAAUGCGAUGUGUUUUACAAAAUUGAAUCUGCCUUUUGAGAUGAGUUUUGACACGUUGAAGUGGUUUAAGAAUAUUCAGGAGGAACGGUCUAAGUAAGGUACUCAUGAUUAAAAAUGAUAAGAGAAAACUUAAUAGUUAAACAAACACACUUAUGCAAAAAUAAUUUCAAUUAGGAAAAGAAUAAUAUAAAGAAAGAAAAAAAAUAUCAAAUCACCGAAAAGAAAAAAAAUCAAUUCAAAUCUGGUGGGUUACUCAAAUUUAUUUCGGUGUCUUCUUCAUGUGGUUGGUACUCUAGAUAUGGCUUUAAUUUUUGACCAUUAACUUUAAACGUAACACCGUUCUUUGGGUCCUUAAUUUCAAUUGCCCCAUGUGGAAAAACAGUAUGUACAAUAAAUGGGCCUGACCAACGAGAGCGUAACUUACCUGGGAAUAAGUGCAAGCGAGAAUUGAAUAAAAGCACUUUCUGACCUGGAGUGAGAUUUUCUCAUAAUUUGCUUGUCAUGGAAGAUUUUCAUUCGUUGCUUGUAAAUCUUGGCAUUUUCGUAUGCAUCAUUGCGAAUUUCUUCAAGUUCUGCCAUUUGUAAUCUUCUUUCUUAGCUGGCUUGCUAUAUGUCAAAGUUGAAUUUCUUGAUGGCCCAAUACGCACGAUGCUCGAGUUCCACAUGUAGGUGGCAAGCUUUUCCAUACACUAGCCUGUAGGGUGACAUCCCAAUCGGGGUCUUGAAAGCCGUUCUAUAUGCCCAUAAUGCAUCAUCAAGUCUUAAUGACCAAUCUUUUCUGUCUGGCCUCACUGUCUUUUCUAAUAUGUGCUUUAUUUCUCGAUUGGAGAUCUCAACUUGGCCACUGGUUUGCGGAUGAUAUGGGGUCGCCACUUUGUGAGUGAUUGAAUACUUUGUCAAAAGAACUUUGAAUGCUUUGUUACAAAAGUGGGCACCACCAUCACUGAUUAUUGCUCGUGGGAAUCCAAAGCGUGAAACAAUGUUGCUUUUCAAAAAUCCUAUCACCACCUUGUGAUCAUUGGUUCUACAUGGAAUUGCUUCUACCCAUUUCGAUACGUAGUCAACAACAACCAAUAUGUAUUGAUGGCCAAAAAAAGGGGGGAAAGGGACCUAUGAAGUCGAUACCCCAUACAUCAAAAAUCUCAACCACUAAAAUUGGAUUUAGUGGCAUCGUGUUCCUUCGUGUAAUGCUCCUCAUUUGUUGACACCUAUCACAUGAAGAACAGAAAGUGUAAGCGUCUCGAAAUAUAGUUGACCAAUAGAAACUACAUUGUAAAACUUUAGUCGCUAUUUUCUUAGCACUGAAAUGGCCUCCACAAGCUUGUUCAUGGCAGAAUGAAACAAUAUUUUGAAUUUCAUUUUCUGGGACACAUCGUCUAACAAUUUGAUUUGCACAAUACUUGAACAAAUAUGGGUCAUCCCAAAAGAAAUUCUUUAUUUCUGCAAAGAAUUUAGCCUUGUCUUGCUUGGUCUAAUGCUCUGGAAGUUGACAUGUAACAAGAUAAUUCACGAUGUCAGCAUACCAUGGUAAUACUUCCACACUCAUCAAUUGUUCAUCUGGGAAUGACUCAUUCAAUGGUAAUGUUUCCAUAAUUGUUUCAAAAUGGAGACGAGAGAGAUGGUCAGCUACAACAUUCUCUGUGCCUUUCUUAUCUUUAAAUUCCAAGUCAAACUCCUGAAAAAGUAACACCCAAUGAAUUAGUCUAGCUUUUGCAUCUUUCUUUGUGAGAAGAUAUUUAAGAGCAGCAUGAUCUGUGAAUACAAUUAUUUUACAACCAAUGAGAUAAGAUCGAAAUUUUUCCAAUGCAAACACUAUUGCUAGCAUUUCUUUUUCAGUAGUUGAAUAGUUCAACUGUGUAUCAUUCAAUGUCAUACUAGCAUAGUAAAUAACAUGAGGAAUUCGAUCAACCCUUUGUCCUAAUAUUGCUCCUACUGCAUAAUCAAAUGCAUCACGCAUGAGCUCAAAUGGUAAGCUCUAGUUUGGGGGCUGAAUGAUGGGUGAUGAUGUCAACAACUGCUUUAGUUUUUCAAAUGCCACAAGACAUGAAUCAUCAAAGAUAAAAAGUACAUCUUUAGCAAGUAAAUUGCAUAAGGGUCUAGAAACUUUGCUAAAAUCUUUAAUGAAACGUCUAUAGAAACCAGCAUGCCCAGGGAAAGAUCUUACUUCUCUGACUAUUUUAGGUAGAGGAAGAUUAGAAAUGAGAUCCACCUUGGCUUUGUCAACCUUAAUACUUUUGCUCGAAAUGAUGUGACCGAGAACAAUACCUUGUUUUACCAUAAAAUGACAUUUCUCCCAAUUUAAGACUAAGUUAUUCUCGAUACAUCUCUGCAGAACUAGUGUUAGAUGAUGUAAACAUUGAUCAAACGAGUCACCAAAAACAGAAAAGUCAUCCAUAAAGACUUCGAGGAAUCGUUCAACCAUAUCAGAAAAAAUGCUUAACAUGCAUCGUUGAAAUGUAGCAGGUGCAUUACAUAAUCCAAAUGGCAUUCUCCUAUAUGCAAAAGUGCCAAAAGGGCAAGUGAAAGUGGUUUUCUCUUGAUCUUUUGGUGCUAUAGGAAUUUGAUUAUAUCCUGAGUAGCCAUCUAAAAAGCAAUAAAAUUCAUGGCCUACUAAUCUAUCAAGCAUUUGAUCAAUAAAUGGUAAAGGAAAAUGGUCUUUACGUGUGACAGAAUUCAACUUUCUAUAAUCAAUGCAUACACGCCAUCCUGUAGUCACUCUAGUGGGUAUCAAUUCAUUAUCACCAUUCGUAACUACUGUGACUCCUGACGUUUUGGGGACAACUUGUACAGGACUGACCCAUGAACUAUAAGAAAUUAGGUAAAUUAUACCUGCAUCUAAUAGCUUAACGACUUCAGUUCUAACAACUUCUUUCAUAUUAGGAUUCAACCGACGUUGCAUUUUCCUAGUAGAUUUAGCAUUUUCAUCAAGGUGAACGUAAUGCAUGCAGUCUACUGGGUUUAUACUUUUUAUGUCCACUAUGGUCCAUCCUAAUGCUUCUUUAUGCUCUUUUAAAACAUCCAACAACUUACUUUUUUGUUCGUCAUUUAGGGAUGAUGAGAUGAUUACCGGCAGAGUACUUUCUUCUCCCAAAAAUGCAUAUUCCAAUUUGUUAGGCAAUAGUUUAAGCUCGAGUUUCGGUGGUGAUUCUGAUUAUGGGAUGAGUUUCUUUUCUGAUGGUGCUACUUGUUCAACUCUUGACUUUCAUUUAUUAGUGUCCAUGGAUGGUGUUGAGUCAAGUAGGGCGUUGACCUCAUCGACUGAUCUGUCAAUAUUAAAAUUCAAAGUAAAGUGAGUUAAACAUGUUUGUAAAGGAUCAUCACUAAGGUUUGAAAGAAAAGUAUUAUCAACUAUUGUUUCUAUUAAAUCCACAUCAACAAUUCCAUCAUCUGCAUUAUGAGGUUGUUUGGCAAUGUUGAAGAUGUUCAGCUCCAUAGUCAUGUUGCCGAAGGACAACUGCAUAUUUCCAGUUCUGCAUUGAAUGUGAGCAUCGGCGGUUGCCAAGAAUGGUCGGCCUAGAAUAAUGGGGAUGUGCUUCCUUGAAUCCUGUAUUGGUUGAGUGUCAAUUACAAUGAAAUCAACAGGAAAAUAAAACUUUUCUACCUGGAUAAGCACGUCCUCCACAAUACCACGAGGUAUUUUCGUGGACCGAUCUGCAAGCUGUAACACCACUGGGGUCGGGUGUAAUUCUCUAAGUCCAAGUUUCAAAAAUACCGAGUAAGGCAACAGAUUUACACUAGCUCCUAAAUCUAACAAAGCAUUAUCAAUUGUGUGGUUCUCUAUGCUACAUGAGAUAGUGGGGGAGCCUGGGUCUUUGCAUUUUAAAGGAACUUUGUGUUGGAGUAUAGAACUAACGUUUUCUGUUAAAAAUGCCUUCUUUUGAACAUGAAUGUUUCUCUUUUUAGUACAAAGGUCUUUAAGAAACUUGGCAUAAGAUGGAACUUGCUUUAUAGCAUCAAGUAAAGGGAUGUUAACACUUACCUAUUUGAAGAUUUCAAGAAUCUCACCUGUGAAUUUUUUCUUCUUUCCUUUUGCUAACCUCUGAGGAAAUGGAGCUUUUGAAACAUAUUCUCGUGGUUUGGUUUCUUCUCUCUCCUCCGGUGAUAAGUCCUCAACACUCACAGGUACAAUUUGAUUUUCUUUUGUCACCGGCAUCUCUACUUUAUUGUCGACUUCUUUUCAUUUUCGCAAGGUCAUGACUGCUUUGACCUCUCCAUGCUGCUGUGGUGAACUGGUACUUGCUUCAUGUACUCCUUUAGGAUUAGACACUGGUUGACUUGGAAACUUACCUUUCUUAACAGUCAUUACCAAGGUCUGAACUGAAGAAGCAAGUUGUCCCACCAUCUUCUCAAGGCUUGAAACUGAUUGAGCUUGUGAGUUGAAGCAUGCUCUUAACUCAUUUCGUAGUCCAUCAAUAGUGCGAUUCUGUUGCUCAAUCGUGGAGUGAGUAACAUUCUUGAAAUUCUGGAAUGCAUCCUCCCAUAGUCUGGGUUGAGAGUAGUUUUGCUUCUGAUUGUAUGGUCUAAAUGGGAGCUGAGAGGCUUAAGGAAUUUGAGAAAUUUGUUGCAUUAGUGGAGCUGGAGCUGCUGGUCUAUUCUGUUGGAAUCCUUGAGACCAUGAAAAAUUGGGGUGGUCUCUCCAUCCAGGGUUAUAUGUGUUGGAGUAUGGGUUGUAAUUUGAUGGUUUUCUCAUUACACCUAUGGCAUUGACUUGAUCUGGAUAUGAGUCAGGGUCAUGUGGCUCUGUUGAUUUAGCAGUCGAUAACGAUGCUAUUUGUCGAGCAAGACGUUCAACCAUCUCCUUAACUUCUUUGAUUCCCGAAGUUGACUCGCCAAUUUGAAUCUCAUUUACUCUCUUAAUUCUUCUAGUAUUCCUGAUUGAUCGACUCCGUUGUUGGGAAUUAUCCGCUUGCGCUGGAAGAAUUCCCAAAUCUCUUAUGAACUUUUUGACAUUAGCUCUCCUCCACUUGUUGCCAUUAGUCAUUCUUGCACAUUAGGCAAUAAUCCCUCCAAAAAGUAUUGGCAUUGAUGCCAUUUCUCAUAACCAUGAUGUGGACACUUCAAGAGUAACCCAUUGAAUCGCUCCCAUGUUUUAAAAAAUUGCUCGUCUUCUCUCUGUGUAAACUCUGAAAUUUCCCUGCGAAUAGUAUUGGUUUUAUGCACUGGGAAAUAUUUAUUCAAAAAUUUAGUUACCAUUUGUUCCCAUGAUGUAAUGCUAUUAGCAGGCAAAGUAUUUAACCAUGAACGGGCUCUAUCCUUUAAAGAAAAUGGGAAUAAUCUGAGUUUAACAUCAUCGUCUGAAAAAUUCUCAUAUUUAAAAGUUUGACAAAUAGCAUGAAAAUCGUUCAGAUGAUUAUAUGGGUCCUCAUUUUCUAGGCCAUAAAAUGUUGGGAGACAAUUUAGCACACUAGGUUUUAGUUCAAAACUUCUAACAGCUAGAUUUGGGUAUCUUAUACAUGAUGUGCUCAAAUUAGCUAAUGGACUAAAAUAGUCCUUAAAUGGCCUCUCCUGUGGUGCUUGUAAAUCCAUUUUAUUUUUAACUUGUUUGUGUGUGCGAAGUGUUUACUCAAGUUCAAGGUCUAUAGGUUCAAGACUAGGUAAUAAUGACCUUCGACCAUGCAUGCAAAACAAAUAAAAUAAAAAUAAAGAUGGGAACAAAAUAAAUAAAAAUAAAGAAGAGGGAGAAAUUACGAUACUAACCUUAUUGCGCUAUUACAGCCUUACUAUAAAAACACACUAAAAAAAUACGUGAAAAUAAAUUAACUAAAAAUAAAUUAAUAAAAAAAUUACAAAGAAAAAUAACUUAAAAAUUAAAUUACAGAAUUGUAAAGAAUAGAGAAAGAAAAGAAAUUAUUACCUCUAAAUGCAGAUUCAAUUUUUUUCUUUUUUUUUAAUAAGAAAAAAAUACAAGAAAACAAAUAAAAGAAAUUAUUCACAAAAAUUAAUUCUACAAAUUAAAAUAACUUACUUCUCCGGCAACGGCGCCAAAAACUUAUUGUGUAAAUUUUAUUGAACUCGCAAGUACACGAAUCUAUUGUAAUAUAGAUCAAUAGUAAUCUAUUCUACAAUAGAUUCUUGGAAGCUCUUAUUGGCAAUCUUUUCUCGCAAGAAAUGAACAUCAAGUUCUAUGUGUUUAGUUCAGGAGUGGAAUUUGGGACUACUUGCUAAGGCAGCAACACUCUGGUUAUUGUUGUGCAAAUUUUAUUGAACUCGCAAGCGCACGAAUCUAUUGUAGAAUAGACUAAUGGUGACGAGUGUCGAUCCCACGAGGAGGUGGAUUUUAAUUAUAUGUAGAAUUAAUUUUGUAAAUUGGUGGUUAGAAUUGUGGUGGGAGUGAUUUAAAUUAUCCUAAAAUUGGAAUUGAAAUGGCGAUAAUAAAUUCUAAAGUUGGAAUUGCAAUGGCGAGAAUAAAUUGAAGAGAAAUCUAUUGAAAUGACGUACUUGAGUAUCUGGAUCCGUAUCAACAUGCAUCAUGGGCUAAAUAAUCCUUAUUAAUGCCAAUUAAAUCAUGAGGGGGGAAUCCACACCUCAUGAACCACACUCUAAUCAAUAUGAUGCUAAUGGCUUAUCGUGCCAAAUAAUAAUAACCUUGUACUAGAGAGCCGGUGUAACCAAUGCGGUAUCUAGACAAGAUUAUUAUUAUUUGUCGACGAAAAGUCAAAUCAUCCACAAAAAUUAGAGGGGAAAAGAAAAUAAAUUUACCAAAUAAAGCCCAUGACACAUGUUGAGACUUCACCUUCAACCCAAGCUUGAAAGAAAAUUAGCUACUCAUAAUUGAACUAGGGGCAAAAUGGGAAUUUAUUAAAAUACGUAGAAAAUACAAGAUGGAGAAGGAAUUACAGAAAAUGGAUCCCAAAAAUGGAUUCAGAGAUAUCAAAUUAGCAGGGAGAUGCCCCCUUUUUAUAGAUGCAUGGAAUAAAUCAUGGCCAUCGGAUUAAAAAUAGUUUAGACGCUCAGGAUUGCGCCACGUCAUCAGUCAACAGUACGCGAUUUGACCACGCGGAUGAACAGUAACACAGUUUGGUUGAAAAUAAUCAUGUGUGAUGCAUGUACCAUACGCGAGAUUUUUCAUCCACUGAUAUGCUGCCACGUCACCAUCAACAGUACAUAAGAAUUUUAGCCCAACAGGAUCGUGACACCUCAUCAGUCAAUGCCACAUCAUCAGUCAAUGCCACUUCAUCGAUCCGUCUAUGUGAACAGUGUCAUGAACAGUAACGUAGACAGUAUCGUACAUGUGAAUAAUGCCAUUUUUCCUUUUAUGCUCCUUCUAAGGUUUUCGACCGUCCUGAGUUCAAAAGUGAUGUCCGUUUUGCCGUCUGAUCUCUCGUUUAUUGUGAAAUGACCAUGAUGCCCCUAAAAUACAUAAAAUACGUAAUUAAAAUCAAACACACAUAAUUAAAUUGCAAGAAGCUUAAAUACAUAAAAGUAAUGGUUGUUAGUAAAACUUGAAAUGUAAAAUGAUGAUUUUCUCCUUUGUAAAUAUACAUUUUCUAACACUCAACAGUUAUCACACCAAAUGACAGGAGUAGAGACAAGAAAAAUACCAAUUUCAGUAAGCAAGGACUUAAGCCACAAAACUUCAGAUGCUGCCAUUGCUAGAGCUCUAUACUCUGACUCAAUACUAGACCUGGAAACAACUCCUUGUUUCUUUGAACACCAAGAAAUCAUAUUAGGACCAAAGUAAACACAGUAUCCAGCAAUUGAUUUUCGAUCAUCUCUAUCAGCUGCCCAGUCUGCAUCACUGAAACAAUCUAUAUGUAAGGGCCCUUGAUUGGAAUACUAUAAUCCCAUAUGCAAUGUACCCUUUAGCUAUCGAAGAAUCCUUUUGCAUGCUUGCCAGUGAUUGGUUGUUGGUGCUGCUAGAAAUUGGCUGAGUUUGUUGACUGGAAAUGCUAUCUCAGGUCUGGUUAAGGUAGCAUACUAAAGAGCUCCAAUUGUGCUUCUAUACAAAGUUGCAUCAGCAAAGAGGUCACUGUCAGUUUUGGUAAGUGGAAUAUUGGCAGCCAUUGGAGUAGAGCAAGGAGUACAAUCUUGCAUCUGAACUUUGUUGAGAAGAUCUGCUAUAUACUUUGUCUGAGAGAGAUGUAACCCUGUAGUAGUUUUGGUAACUUAAAUACCAAGAAAAUAAUGCAGUUCUCCAAGGUCUUUGAGAGCAAAUGUAGUCUGCAGAUUAGUAAUGACUUGCUGAAUCUGUGUAGAAUCUGAACCUGUUACAAUGAUGUCAUCAACAUAGACUAAUACCAGCAAGAGAUAACCUUGAAUCCUCUGGAAAAACAGAGAAUUAUCAGACUUGGAAUUCUUGAAGCCCCAUUAAUUAGUCAACACUAUUCUUAGUCUAUCAAACCAAGCUCUAGGAGCUUGUUUAAGACCAUAUAAUGCCUUUUGAAGUUUACAGAUGUGUGUAGGUUUGGAUUGAUCCACAAAGCCUGGAGGUUGCUUUAUAUACACCUCUUCAGUAAGAUAGCCAUGGAGAAAAGCAUUGUUUAUGUCGACUUGUCUUAGUGACCAGUGAUUGAGAACAGCUAAACUCAAAAUAAGUUUAACUGUAGAAGCCUUUACCACUGCACUAAAGGUUUCAUUAUAAUCAAUACCUUGAGUUUGAUGGAAACCUUUUGCUACAAGUCUGGCUUUAUACCUUGAAACACUACCAUCUGCAUUGUGUUUGAUUCGAAAUACCCACUUGUUUCCUACAACUUUGACAGGUGAUGUAGGCUGAACAAGUGUCCAAGUCUGAUUUUUAACUAAGGCUUGAUACUCUUCUUGCAUUGCUUGAAGCCACUUUGGAUCACUUAGAGUAGCUGAAACUGUAAGUGGUUUUGUUGGCUUAGGAUUACAUUCAACUAGGUAGGCCUUUUUUGGUUUGAAGAUGCCAUUUUUGGAUCGAGUAGUCAUGGAAUGUCCAAUUAUGGGUUGUGAAGGUGGAGAUAGAUGAUGAAGAGGUUGAGAAGAUGAUUGCUGAUUUAUAGGACUAGGAGUAUGAGACAGCAAUUGGUUUUCUGAACUGGAUAGGUUGGAGGUGGAAGGUAAAACAUUUGCUGAAGGUGCAGAUUGAGAGAAAGAUCUAUCAAGUUGUGCAGCAGUCUGUGAUAAUGUAAAUGAGACAAGAGGAUUGGAAGAAGUAGACUCAUGUGAAGAAUCAGAACAUGACUUUGUAGAAAAUUUUUCAGCUGACUUGAAUGGAAAAGAGGACUCAUCAAAGGUAACAUGAUUACUUAUAUAGACCCUUCCAGAGGGAUGAAGACACUGAUAACCUUUGUGAAGUGAGCUAUAGCCAAGGAAGACACACAUUUCACUUCUAAACUGGAGCUUAUGAUGAUUGUAAGGUCUGAGAUAAGGGUAACAGGAACAACUAAAAACUUUCAUCAAUGUAUAAUCUGGUGGUUUGUGAAAUAGUUUCUUAAAAGGUGAUUUAUUGUUGAGAAUGUGUAUAGGAAGUCUGUUAAUGAGAUAUGUGGCUGUAUGAAAUGCAUUCCACCAGAAUUUGAGUGGCAAGUGAGCUCGGGCAAGAAGGGUGAGGCCUGUUUCAACAAUAUGUCUAUGUUUUCUCUCUAUUUUCCCAUUUUGGUGAUGUAUAUAAGGGCAUGGAUGUCUAAAUUGUAUGCCUUGUUCAGAGAGAUAUGACACAAAAGGCCUGAAUUCCCCACCCCAGUCAGAUUGUAAGCAUUUGAUUCUCAAAUUCAGACAGUUUUCAAUCAUGUUUUUGAAGUCAAUAAAGACUGACAAAGUUUUGGAUUUUGCAGUAAGAGGAAAUAUCCAAGUGUAUCGGGUGUAGUCAUCUAGGAUAGAUAGGUAAUAGGAGUAUCCUUGGGAAGAGGUAAUGGGAGCUGGUCCCCAAAGAUCAGCAUGUAAUAAUUCAAGUGGCUGAGUGGUUGAGGUUUCUAUUGAAGGAAAAUGAUGUAUAUGACAUUUGCCUAGUUGACAAGCAUCACAAAAUUGUAAUUUUGAGUCUUUGGAAAGAACAAAAGUUGAAUCCAGGCAUUUCACAAUUUGUUUUAAGGCAUGAAUUGUGGGAUGACCCAUUCUUUUGUGCAGUAAACUAUAAUCAACAGUCUUAUUACAUGAAGCAAAAUGAGCCACAGAGGCAUUCUUAUUUAAUUGAGGACUAUUUACAACCUGAAGAGGAGAAGUUUCAGUUUCAAAUGAAUUCAAUUGAGUAAACAUAAACACUGGAACUGCUGACAAUGGACUUAUUGGAUGAAAAACAGACUCAGAUGAGGUGGACACUGGAAUAACAGAACUUGAGUUAUCACAGACUGCAUUUAAACUUGAAACUUGAUAAAGACCUCAUCUAGCAAUCCCCUUGAGCGAUGUGAUCCUUGAGUUCUUGUCCUUAACAAAACAGACAUGGUUGUAAAAUUCAAUGAAAACAUUUUUAUCAGCAAGCAAUUUGGAAACACUGAUAAGGUUUUUAGUAAUUGCAGGUACAUGUAAAACAUGAUUCAGGUAAAUAGGUUUUGUAGACAAGGUUUUAAUAGUAACAGAUCCAACAUUAUGAAUAGGCAAUCCCAUACCAUUUCCAACAUGCAGUUUUUCACAGCCAUAGUAAGUUGAGUAUUUAGAUAAUAUACCUGCAUCUUGAGCAAUGUGAUUAGUUGCUCCAGAGUCAAUGUACCAGGCUGGAUCAGCUACACUACUGUAGUUUGCCAAUUGUGCAGAGGGAGGUACAUUCUGAGGAAUACCAAUAUUUCCAGCAUACAUGUUUGCUGUUUGAGUCCCAUUAUAUGCACCAUUUGCACUUUGAAAGUCAAAAACACCUUGAGGAUUCAUGAUACCUGGAUUCUGAUAAGCAACAUAGCCAAAGAAAGGUCCAGCUUGUCUAGGAAAAUUUGGCCUGAAUCCAGAUCCAAAACCAGAACCAUUGUACCCAGAACCUCUGCCAAAAUAAUUUUAAUUGUUUCCAGGAAAUCCUCUAUAAUUCUGACCUCCACCUCUUGGCCUAAAUGCAUCAAAACCUCUAUUUCUCGGAAUAAAACCCUGAUUGAAUCUGUGUUUACACUUAUAAGCUACAUGGCCCGGAAUGAAACAGAUUUGACACACAUCUUUUCCAGAACCAGUACUACUGUUCUGACUAUUAUCAUAAGCACCAAAACUACCAGCACCUACAUUUUUCUGAUUAUAUCCAGAUCUAUUAUAACCUUGGCUCUUCUGAGCAAAAUUUGCUGUCAUAUCAUGCAGAGAUUCAUUAUGAGAUUUUCCUUUGCUCAUUUCAAGCCUAGUUUCAUGACUAAGCAUCAUUGAAUAAACCUCCUCAACAGUGAGUUUCUCUUUUUCCAGCCUAGUAAGUAUAUUUGUAACUAAAGACUCAUAGUUAUCAUCUAAUCCAAUGAGCAAGUGCAUAAUCAAUUCAUUUGAAGUAACUGAAUUACCUCCAAUGGCCAAACUAUCAGCAAUUUUCUUCAUCUUAUUAAAAUAAUCACUUACUGAGAGUGAUCCUUUCUUUGUUGAUUGAAGUUGCAUCUUCAAAGGCAGAUACCUUGCUUUAGAUUGUGACAUGAAGAUUUCAGCAAGCAUCUCCCAAAGCUCAAGUGAUGUUUCACAGUUGAUCACCAUGAUUAACACGUUAUCCACCAUUGACGACAGCAUCCAGCUCUGCAGAAGCUUAUCGGUUUUCACCCAUAAGGCAUAAUCUGGAUUUUCUUGUUUCUGUGAAGCUUCAGUUCCAGAUCUUCGAAGUUCUUGAGUUGAUUCAGUGAGAUAACGUUCUGGACACACAUUCUCACCAUUGAUGAAGCUUUCAAGUCCAUUAGCAAUGAUUGAUGUUCUAACUUGAGCCUUCCACACCAGAUAGUUUGAUCUUUCGAGCUUUACAGGUUGAACAAAAUGAAAUGAGAGUGAGGAGGAAGCUAUAUGAUUGGAUCCAGACAUAAGUGUUUGCUCUGAUACCAUAUUAGAAUCAAUAAAGGUGUUUGGCAAAUGAGAAAAUGAAAGAAAACUUUAACUGAGAAAAUUCUUAUUGAUUAGAAUCUGGAAUUAUACACUUAUUAUUAUGUUAACCACUAUUUAUAGUUAUAGUGAAAACUGAUUACAAAAACAGAGCUCAAAGCUGCAACGUUAACUAACUAAUCAGCCUUCCAAUCAUAACGUGCCAGCUGGACAAAUUGUUACAACUUAGUCAAAACCAAAUAACCACCCAAUCCAGUUCAGCAGCUCAGUAGCUUCAGCUUAUACACUUAACAACUUCUAAUUUACUUGGUGUCUUUUCUUUUUUUUUCUUUCUUCUAAUUUGCUUGGUUUAUUUUUCUCAUGUACUGCAGUUUGUUUGGUUUAGUUUUCAAGAAUCAGGAGGCGUUGGUUAUUACGUCAUCCAUAUAUGCUUGGUAUAUGGUGUACUCUUUCAUUUAUAAAUAAAAUAAAGUUUGCACAUGGGGCAGUGGUGAGCACAUUUGAAGAACAAGAUUAGUAAGACAGUUUGUAAUAACUAAAAAUAAUAAUUUCUUGCGACAUGUUCAAAAAGGUGAACCCCUCAAAUGUAAACUAGAAAGUGCGUACCACUGUAUUAAUUAAUGGCUGGCUCUUACUUACCGAUAAUGUUAAAUUAAAUGUUAAAAGAAAGGAAUAGAUAUGGGGAAAAAAAUUAAAAAUUGAGGAUAAUUUACAAUGUAGUCCUAGUGAUUUAACCGAAGAUCAAAUAAACCAAUAAUAAUAAUUUUUUUUGAAUGAUUUGUCUUAGCUUUGAGUAAACGAUUUGAAGGAACUUAUCGCUCUCACCAAUUGUCUUGAAUGCUCUAAUGGCUUAUAAUUUGUAGAAUCGCCAAUGUUGUGAUAACAACUUUGAUGGUUAAAGUUUGAUUGUGAAUCUCGAUUGAAUGACUUAAUUUACAUUUGAUUCUUAUGCCGACCUCUACCAAGUUAAUCUUGUUUCUGGAUGUUUAAUUUUGUUAUCUCAAAGUUAAUUAGUUGAUGUCCUAUAUUUUAUCAAUGUGGAUGGCUGAUCAAAAUUAAAGAAUCCUUGAACGAAUUGCGGCCUUGACAGAGAUACGACAUCAGGGCAUUGUAAAACAUGACUGACAUUCAAUUUUAGUUUAUGAAUUUCUUGAAAGGGGUAGCUUGGCCAUAAUCGUGAGCAAUAAUGCAGCCACAGAAGGGUUAAGUGGGUUGGAGUCACAGAAUGAACAGGAUAAAAGGCGUUGUCGAUGCCUUGCAAUAUUCGUUUGUUGCCAUUUUGAGGAAUAUUAUCAUCCAACACAUUCUAUAGAGAUAUAAAAGCUUACUAAUUUAUACGCAUUGAUCUUUCAAAAGCAAGUAAACAUUUUUUUUUUCUUUUUUAUUUGUCCUUGACCUUGUAGAGCUUGCUUACACAAUCAAGAUCACAUAAAAAUGAGGUGUACAGUUUCGGAGUGUUGGUAUUGGAAGUGAUCAAGGGAAAGCAUCCAAGAGAUCAGAUGUUUUUUUUCCGCAGUUUCAGCUUCAUCUUCCAAUGCCGCUUGAUGAAAUGUUGGAUCCUCGGCUUCCACUUGAUCCAUAGUUCGAUGUUCAGAGCAAGUUGAUCAUUACUGUUUGAAUUUUAAAUAUCUGCCUUCAUUUCUGCUGCACAAGUUAAUUAUACGCAUCAUGCUUAUGCAGGCCUUAAUUCGGAGCAAAAGAAUGCUAUUAGUUGACAGAAUGUGCAACUAGAGAAUGAUGUAAUUCAUAGUUAAUUAGUCUGUCUUCAACACAAAAUAGAAAAUUUAGUUGACAGAUGGCCACAAAAGACUAGCUUCGUUUUUGCUAAAAUAUAAAUAAAAUCUGCUUCUAUGGCCCCUGUAAACGAACUCCUUCAAUGGAGCCAUUGAACCUGGGCUUCAUAUUCAACUUUUCAGAGUUCCAUUUCUAGCCUGAAGUUUUUGAGAGCUUGGACGCACUUGACACUACACAACCCUCGCGAGAUAUGUCCCAAAAUCCCCUGUGCCAUAAUUUUGCUACAAAACCCGACAGAGUUAAUGAUCCUUAUUAAUUAUGAAUUACAUCGUCCUUUGGUUGCACAAGUUUGGAUAAAAAUGGUGGACCAGUUUUGGUGAUCGGCUGAGUUUGUGUGGACUAUUAAGCACUAAAUCAAUAGUUGAGAUUUGUCCAACAUGAAUUAACAAAAAAAUUGUGAAUGAAGUUUUGUUUGGUAUUAAAGUAUUGUUAUCUUUAAAUCACAAUUAUUGUGAAAAAUAAAGGUAUAAUAAAAAAGUAAAAGUUGGUAAUUUGUAAUAAAUAUAACUUUUAAAUGAUAAUUUUGAUAAAAAUAAUAAAGAUACAUAAGUUUUCUAUCAUUUCAGUUUCUAAGUUAUAGUGAUGAUAGAAUUACAAACUCUUGUAUAAAUUUAUUUUGUAUAAACUGAUGCAUAAAUUAUUUGUUAAAUAAAAUCAUAAAAAUUUAAAAUAAUAAAAUAAAUUAUGUGAAACAAAAAAUAUUUAAUUUAAUUUAAUUAUGUCAUAUUAAUUUAUAUAAAAUAAAAUUAUAUAAAAAUUUAUAGUUAGGUUAUUGAUCUGCACCGAUAUAUAGUCUUCUAUUUAUGUUAGCGUAAACCUGCACCUAUACCAGCACCUAUACAUACAGUAUUCUAUUUGGUUGAGGGGAGCGCCUAUCUGACAAAUAAUGUAUCUUAUAAUUUUUGUCUUAUUCUUUUUUGCAAAUUUCAUACAAGUCCUUCCUUGUUAUGAAUUUAUAAUUGCGGUAAAAUUUGUCUUCUUCCGUCUCUUCUACAUCUAUUUUUUAUCUUUUCUAAAGUUUUCUUUAUUUCUCUGAAUAACAAAAGAUGGUUAUCAAAUUCAUAUAAAUCAAUAAAUUCAGAAUAAAUUUCUGGUCCUAAAUUUAUUAAUCCUAUUCUUUCUUGUUCGAGUAAAUUUAUUUUUUUAUUUAAGAGGUGUAUAUACGUACCUAAUAUAUUUUCCCAUCCUAAAAUCAUACGGUCUAUAUUACUUGCUAAUUCAUGUAUAAUAUUGACUGCUUGAUUCAUAAUGCUUCUGUUUUGUACCAGUGGACUAAGAACAUUAUAAAUUUAUCUAUAAAUUUCAUUUUCUUUUCUAUUAAAAUUUCACCACCUGUUGUAUCUAUAAACCUUUCUCUUAAUUCUUCUGUUACCUCAAGUUCUAUGUUUCUUAUAUUAUUUUUCUCGGCUUUUAUAGCUCUUAUUAAGCUUUUUAUUUCUUCCUUAUUGAACAACUUUAAGGUAUACAAACUAUUUGCAAUUGUUUGAAUAGGGUCCAUAUAUCAAAUUGUUUUAUAAAUCUGAAUCUUGAAUUGGCUCUGAUACCAUUUUUAGUACAUUUUUAUUAAACUAAAUUAAAACAGAUUAUUAUAGAAUAAUACAUAAAAUUACAAAUAAAAACAUAAAACUAAAAUACUAAAUCAUAUAAAGACCCAAUUAUUUUUAAUAAUUAUAUUUAAUAAAACAGCUGUAAGACAAGAUUUUUGUAACAAAAAGUAUAUUUGGUUAAAGAGUACGUGGAGUUGUUAUGCCAGAGUGAUGAGAUCCUUGGCAGCUUGGCCAAGAUAUUUAAUUCUCCUUUGGGCCAGUAGCCCGCACACUUUGGUUUCCAUCCUAUAUACUCUUUCCAAAUUAUAAUUCAAUUUCUUCAUUAUCUGAAUUUAUAUAUGAUGGUCCAGCUUCUCGGUCUUCAUUUUCUAUAUGUGCUAGUGCUACAUCGAUUCCUUGCUCAACUGUAAUCAUGAUUAUAUUAUGCUUUAGAUUAUCAAUUUCGAUAUGGUUUAUUAUUUUCCGUUUUAUUUCCUGAGGAAAAUCUAAUGAGAAUACGGCUAAUAAAUCUUCUGUUCUAACGAGCUCUUGUUUACUAAGUAGAUAUGAAUCUUGUUUAUAUGAUCCUAAAUUAAAAUCUAUUAUCAUCAUAAAAUUGUUAUAUGUUAUUCUGGUAUUGGGAUCUACCAUAUAUUCUUUGGAUUCACCUAGGUAAAAUCUAUGGUUCAUAUUGUAGAUAAUAAUUAAAAGCUUGCUUCAUUAUAAGAAUAUGCUCUUCCUCCAUAAAUCUCCUCAUCAUUGAUCACCAACAAACUUCCACCAAUAGAUAAGGUUAGAGAAUUAUUACCUAGCUUAUCCUUGUUUCCUUGCCCUUUAAUCCUUUUCCAGUGACCUGCAGCCUGGUUGUCCUUAUUCCCUCAACGGCCUCCUUGCCUUAACGGGAUCAGCGGACUCGAUCGGCUUUACUGUAUGGAUCUUGAUCGUUUGGCUUAGAAAUGUUGAAUAAGUUUAGGUUUCUCUUUCCUUUCUCUGGUGUUCUUUUGUUUUUGAUCAGUGAUGUAUUGAUUUAGGAUUUAGAGCGGUGAAGUGGUUUAGCCGUUCAUUUUUUCAGAGAGUUUGAACUUUUUUGCAAAGAUUGAAAUAUGGUGAAUGAUAAGCUCUGAGAGCUUUCUUUCUUUUGGCUUUUAUUUAUAUAGAAAAUUCUUUCUAAUACAAAUACUCUAUUGCCCUUCUAUUAUUGGGCUUUUACAUCAUUGCUCUUUGUACAAUUACAUUAUUGCCCUUUCAUUAUUGGGCUCUUACAUCAUUACUUACGUUUUAUUGCAUGUUGCUUCUUCAGUCACCAUCACCUUUUAUUUUGUCUUAGCAUCUUCUUUAUGUUUGCCAUGCUUAUCUUGUCGGGCAUCUUCUUUAUGCUUGCCACGCUUAUUUUGUCGGGCAUCUUCUUUAUGCUGUCUGCCAUUUACUUUAUUUCCAUAAGUUGGUAGGCCUGCUCCAUAGUUUUACUGCUGCUGGGGAAACGCAUAGUACUUAUCUCAUUGAUGAAGUCCAGCAACAAAUUCGAAGGUGUAUGGCUAUCUUCAGAAGUUAUAAGAAUAUAAUUCUGGAAUUUGAUAAUGGUUCUUAAAUUCCUUUUAUAUAAAUCUUUAGCAAUGCUCCAUAUGGCUUUUAUUCCUCUGGCUCUUCGUGUUCUGAUCCAAGAUUCGUUUAUGUGAGGAACAUUUGUGUAUUCUGUUCCUACUUCAAUUUUGAAAUUUUUUGUGAGGUGGCCCACAGAAAUCAUAUAAAAAGCUUGGUAUUCAACAUUCUGAUAGUAUUCUGGGCUUAUGGUGUAAAAUUUUAAGUAUAUGGGCCUUUUUUGGGCAAAUUUUGAAACUUCUUUAACCAAUAGGUCAUCAAGACUGGCUAAUUCCUGGAGGUCUAUAUCAGGAUAUACUAAGUCUAAAUAACCAUACUUUGCUAUUCUUCCAACAAGGAGUGGAUCUGCUUUCUUUGUAGCAAUCAUCCUAGGGUACAUAUUUUUUCCUGGAGCUUUGAAAAUUGUAUUGUUGUGGGAACAAGUGGAGUAUACCCAUGUAGAGAAUUGUUUAUAUUCUUCUUCUUUUUGAUUCAGAGGUUUCUCCUCCUCUUCCAUAUAAGGACUGUUUAUUUGAAUAAACUUUUUUGGAGGGUUUGAUUUUGGUGACUCGAUCUCAAUGGAUAUGGUUUUAUUUGGAGUCGGGUCAGAGAUUGGUUUGUCUUCCCUCAAGGGUCCACUACUGCUUCCUAUAUUUAUCGGGUUGAUGUUUAUUGGGCUUGUGUUUAUGGAGAGUGCCUUUGUUAAGUCGUCUAUGUAUGACUCUAACAAAUUUACUCCUUUUUCAUGAGACUCAGAAGCCUCCUUCAAAUAGUUUAUUGCAUCAAUUAUGUCAGAUGCUUCAGUUUUGAGCCUUUGUAUUUCGGCUUCUAUUUUGCCGAUGAUCCUAUUUACUUCAGGAUUCAUUCUCCGAAUUCUAUGUUCCUGCUUAAAAAAUCUGCAAGAAAAUUGUUAGUUCCUUUUAUAUAUACAAUCUUAAAAUUAUAAUAAGACAAAUAAGCUUGCCAUCUGUGUAAUCUUCUAUACUGAGGUUCAUUUGGUAAAAUUUUAUUAACAAGAGAGUUUACUUGGGAAUUAUCUGUUUCUACUAUAAAUUGUUUUUGGAGCAAAAAUAAUGAGAACUUUUUAAUUCCUUUAUAUAUUGCAAGGAGUUCUUUUUCAUGUACUGGAUAAUUGACUUGUGCUUGGUUAAAUGUUCCACUAGUAUAUCUGCAAAUUUCAUUAAUAUCAGUUUUGAGAAUUGCACCCCAAUAUAGAUCAGAUGCAUCUGUUUGUAUUACCAAUUUUUCUGUUUCAUUUGGUAAUCUUAAUGCUGGAAGAUUUUUGCAUUCUUCUUUUAAGUUUUUUACAGUUUCUGUGUGUUCUUCACUCCAUCCUCUAGUAUUAUUUUUUCUUAAUAACUUUUGAAGUAUAUUUCUCUUUUUUGCUAGAUCUUUUAUAAAUCCUUCUGCAUAAUUUAAACAUCCUAAAAAUUUUUGUAUUUGUUGUUUAUUUUCUAAUUUAUCUGGGAACUCAGUUAUUUUUCUUCCUAUAUGGCUUUGGAGUCUGAUUCCUUGUUUAUCAAAGAUCAUUCCUAAGAAUUCUAUUUUCUUAUGUUCUAUAAUUGCUUUUCUGCUGGAUAGUACUAUUCCUUCUUUAAUACAUAUAUUAACAAAUUCUCUUAAAUGGUGCCUAUGUUCUUCUAAUGUUUCUGAUGCUAUUAAUAUAUCAUCAACAUAGACUAUAAUAUAGUUGUAAUUUCUAAAUAUUUUAUCCAUUCUACUUUGAAAAAUUUGAGGGGCAUUUUUUAGUCCAAAGGGCAUUACUAAUCAUUCAUAAUGUCCUUGUGGGGUACUAAAGGCUGUAUAAGGAAUACUAUUUUCUUCCAUUUUUAUCUGCCAAAAUCCUGAUUUACAGUCAAAUUUUGAAUAAUAAGUUUUAUUUUUUACAAGAUUUAUUAGUACUUCUUUAUUCGGGAGAAAAUAGCCGUCAAAUUUUGUAUAUUUAUUUAGUUCUUUGUAAUUUAUCACCAUUCUUGCUUUUCCUCUAACCUAUUCUGCUCUUUUUCUAACCAUAAAGGCUGGGCUAUUAUGUGGACUAUUACUACUUCUGAUGAGUUUUAAAUUUAAUAGUUCUCUUAUUUGGGUUUUAAAUUCUUCUUUAUCUUCUUCUGUAUACAUCAUGGGUUUUAAUCUUAUUAUCCUAUUUUCAAUUAACUCUAUUUUUGCUCUAGGAUGGUCUGGUUUCCAUAAUGCUAACGGGUUUUCUUUAUAAACUUGUUCAAGUUGUGACUUUAUUGUUUCUAGUUGUAUAUUAUAACUCUGUCCUUUUUGUAUUAAAUAAUAUUUUUCAUAAAUAUUCUUAUCACCACGCUGGGCUGGCUGAACUCUGUAAGGUUUAAAUUCGCGAGGAAUACGAAGAAUAUGAUUACAAGGGGUUUUUAAAGUGAUCAUAUAUGGAGUUUGUUGGUAAUAUUGGAACUGUUGUAUGAAAUCAUUUCCUAAAAGGAGAUCACAAUCCAUAUUAUUAUAUUGAAAAAUUUGGUUUAUACAUAUUAUUUCACUACCUAAUAAUAUCUCAAAGUUUAGUAUAGAUUGAUUUACUUGUUGUUUAUCUCCUGUGAUUCCAAUGAUUUUUAAUUUACCAGUUAAUUCCCACUUGUUGGAUAAAAAGGAUUUCAUUAUAGUUAUCUCACUACCCGUGUCAAUUAAAGCACAAGUAUCUAUAUCUUUUUCUGUUAUAUUAAUUUGUAUAUAUACAGACAUAGGGUAUUUUAUAUAAGCUUGCUUUAACAUGUUUCACAUAUUAUUUUUUGACCUUGUAUUUGUAAAGUUAUUUUAUUCUUCUCUAUCCUGUAAUAUUCCAAAUCAUUUAAAAAACUAUUUCCUAGUACUAUAUGUUUUUCUGGAUCUGUAGUCAUGAAUGAAUCUAUGUAACAAGGUACUAUUAUUCUAAGUCCUUCUAUUAUUAUAGGGACUUUAACUUUUUGUUUACAGAUAUGUUUAUUGCCAUUAAAAUCAGUAUAUUCAUAAGGAAUUUCUUCUUCUUUUACUAAAAGUCCUUUAUUUUUGUGUGGUUCAUAUAGUUAUGACUUGUAUCCGUAUCGACUAGUAUUGGUAUUUUUGUUGUAUAGUCUAUCCCAUUAAAGUAUUGUCCAAGUAUUCUUAUUACGUUAUUCAUUAUGAUAGAUUUAACUAGUUGUCUAUCAAUGCUUAAUCUUCUGGAUGAACUUCCUCUAAUCAAAGUUCUUCCUGCAAAACUUAUAGGAAUGAUGGAAUUUUCAUUACUGUUAUCUAAAAAUUAUUUUCUAUCAUCUAUAUUUAAUUCAUAAUUAAUUGGAAUUUUGUAAUCUUGGAUUACUGGUUCUAUAAAUGUUGCUAUAUCUUCACAAUCUUUAUUUAUCUCAAUGUAAGGUUUGUUUCCAUAUAUUUCUCCAUAAUUUGAAUUACAAAAACUAUAUAAAGCAGAAUAGUGUAUUGUCAUUAUUCUAUUUCCUUCUUUCAUUAGGUUCUUUUUUAGUAAUUUAAAGUGUAAACUUAAUGUCUCAUCUAUGUUUUUGUCUUUUAUAUGUACGCAAUAUCUAGGGUGACGGGUAAAUAGUAGUUUAGUAUAGCAUAAAUUUCCUUCUAUUGUUCCUAAAUGUCCUAUGUUAGGGUCUGUAAAUCUUUGAUCGUGUAAUGAUAAAACUAUGGGGCUAUCUAUCCCUUCUUUAAAAAGGGAUUUUAUUAAAAUUUGGAUUUCUGCUAAAUAUACGUAUUGGAUUUUUUCUUUAGUUGACUCAUUUUUUAUUUUUCUUAAUGCUAGAUCUAUUGAUCUUUUGUUUAUUAAACUAAAUCUAAUGUUUCCUUCAGCUUGUGUGAUAGUUACAGCUUUCUCUUGUUCAUAAUAUUCAUGUAAAAUAAUUUGUUUUCUUUUAAACAUAUCUCUGAAUCUAUGGAUUAUUCCAUAUUCGGGUUUUUCCAUAUUUAGUUUUAAAAGUUUGUUAUAUUUUUCUUUAUUAAAGGUAGCAACAAGACUAUAUCCACUUUUAUUUUCUUCCUUUUCUAUUUCUUCUAUUUCUUCUAUUUUUUCAUUAUCUAAUAAAUCUUCUUUAUUCUGAUUCAUUUUCUGAUUCUGAUUUUUCAGCCAUAUAAACUUCCUUUCCUUCAUAAUCUGAUAUAUCACUUAUUUCUUCUAAAUCAUUUCUAUAUCUUCAAAAUCUUUUUUGAGAAGUCUAACUUUCUUUUUUGUACAAUCUGUACUUAUAUGUCCCAUUUCUCCACAAUUCCAACACUUACAUUUAGAUUUAUCUAAUAUUUUUCUUUGGUUUUUAUAUUUUCUUUUAUAAUAUUUUCUUCCUGGUUUUUUAUAUUUUCUUUUAAAAUUAUUGUAUUUCUUAUAUCUCUUCUCUUUGUGGUAAGACUUUCUGCGCCUUUUAUGUGGUACAAAGCAUCCCCAUUGGGUUGGCAUUUCCGUCUUUUCACAACAUAUUUUUGUUAUGUUUUUACUCUUUUUUAUUAAACUUCUUUGGAUGCAUAUUUCACUUAAUCUUGUAUUUAGGAAUCUUAUCCGAGCUCCUAAAGUAUCUGGGAGUCUAUUAUUGCUACUAUUAGUGUAUUUUUCAUAUUCAUUAAUGAAAUAUCCAUUCCAAGGGUAUGGAAGUUUAGAGUAGUAUAAAUUCUUAUAAAUGUUUUGGUCUUCAUGACUCAUGAAUUGUGUAUAAUAAUAUUUACUAAAUUCACAUGUAUAUUCUUUUACGAAACACAUAUUACAAAUUGUUAAAUUUAUUAAUUUCAUUCUAGCAUCUAAUUUAUCAUAUUUUGCUUCAUUUUCUGUAUUUUCUAACCAAUCUUCUCCUAAGAAUUCACUAGCAAUAUAUUCGAUUAUUCUUUCAAUACCUAAUCCUUUAUUUCUUCCUAAUGCUAAUUUGGUUGAAUUCUUUAUUAAUUUUUGUGUAUCGUCACUUAAUCCUUUCCACCAAUUAAAUACAUUUCCUGUAAAACUUGCUAUUAAUAUGUCAACAAAUAUGUUUAUUUUUUCUUCUUCUGUAUCUACAUUCCAAUCAUCUUUAGAUCCAUUAAAUAUAAAGAACAACUUCAUUUGCAUUCCCCAUUCUACUAAAGCCUUACGGGGAUCUAUUUUGCAAUCUAAGUCUAAAAAUGUACCUGCAUUACUUAUUGGCACUAAGUGAUCAUUAUUAGGUUGGUAUCUUUUUUCCAAGGGGUAUUUUUAUUAGGUGGAUUGUAUUCAAAAAAUGGUCUAUUUUUCUUUUUACUUGUCCCAUAUCGAUGGCUUGGUUCUCCUAUUUCAGGUUUUAGUUCUGGUCCUCCAGCAACAUUCAUUUUUAUACAAUAUUCUUUUUCAAAUUCUUCUAAGUCACUAAGAUUAAUAUCGCUAAAUUUUUCUGUUAAUUCUUCCAAUGUAUCUUCCAUUAGUCCGUAUCACUAGGUGUGGCUUCUUUUAUUUCUAAUUUUUCUUUUCCCUUUUCUUUUUUCUUUAAUUCUGUUUUUAACUUUUCUGAUUCCUCUAAUAUUUUUGGGUAUUGGGUUUUUAUAAACCAAUCAUCAUAACUUCCUAGUUGAGGUUUUGUUAUCGGUUUUUCAAAACUUGUCCCGAUUAUUCCUGAUUUUAUUAUUUCAAGUUUCUCAAUUUUCUUAUUUAUCUUUCGAUUUAUUUGUAUUGUAGAUAGUUCUAUUUUUAUUUUUCCUAUUUCUUGUUUAAUUUCUCUCAUUUCUUCUUUAAGAUUUAAAAGGAUUUCUUUUAAUUCUAUUAACGUAGUUUUCAUUUAGUCUAAGGGUUCCAGUUGUUAUUUUAUUUCUGGAUGUUACUUACAUCAAAUAUAAGUUAAGCGUUGCCUUGGUUGAGUGCUCUAUCCAAUUUUUCCGUCCAAUAUGAUUACUCUUAAAAUAAAAACCAUGGACCCCAUGAACGAGACGUCACGUGGGCCCACUAACUUGAUGAUCAUAUCUUUUUCAUGCAAAAAAAAACACCCCCGCUUUACAACGACACCGUCUUUUCUUUGUCUUUCCUUUCGUUUUCGUCAGCCUCCACCAACCCUUAAAUAGCCGCCCCAUUUUCUUUCACUCCUAUCCGUUGUCCACGCGUCCCACCAUGAUUGCUUCCCCGGUUCUAAUCACAAGAUUUUCGUCAAAUGGACGUACGAGAUGGGCCCAUCUCUGCGCAGACCACACCGUCUAUUCUCUUUGUGAAAAGAAAAUAAAAGUAUUAAAAUCUCUAAAUCAUUCUAUCUUCUCGUGAUAAAUUGAAUUCAACUCUUUUUUUAAUCUUUUAUUUAUAAAUAGUAAAUAAAAAAAUCAAAAGAAUUCAACUGAAUAUUCCUUUUGAGAAAUUAUAAAAACAGAAUUAUACAGUGGUGAACUUCCUUGCACGAACAUGACCUUGAUUCAAUUUAUUGAAUAUACGUAUAUGUUCCUUUAAUAUAUUUUUUUCUUAUAGUUUACAAAAUGUAGUGCUUAUUUUCUUUCGUAUACCAAAUAAUGGAUGUGUAUGUAGGUUGAAGCAAAUAUAAUUUUAUAAAGUAACAUUAUGUUGUAUCGUAUUUGGUAUAAUAUUUAAUUUUGACAUCUUAUGACAUUAUUAUUAAAUCUUCAAUAAAGAUUCUUCAUUGUAUUAAACAAUUUUCUAUAUAAUAUAAAUUAUGUAUUUCGUCAUAAUAGAAGCUGUCAAGAAAUAUUGUUUCAACUUUAUAUUAAGAAUUUGUAUUCAUAAAUAUAUAAUAUGAUCUAAACCUUAAACAUUAAAAUUGUUUCAUAACUUAGUUAUCAAUAAAAGAUUUAACAAUUUUUUAAUUAUUGAUUGUAAAUAUUAGCACAUUAUAAUACAAUAUUAAAAUAACCUUAAAGUUAAUCUAUUACUGUCACAUUAUAAAUCUAUAGAAUUAAUUUGAAUUAGUAAAAUUAUUAAGCCAAAGUUAGAAAGAUAUAUCAAAUUUGGCUAGAACUACCUAUUAAAGAAACAUUUACGUAUUCUAUAUGGAUACAUUAUGUGGCAGAAAAAUGAAAACUUUGGCUAGUCAACCAAUUAAUCAAACAAGGUCCCCUGAAUAUAAUGAGAACUUGACCUUUUGCUGUAUAUUAGCAACAAGUUGAGUGUUGUGUGACUUAAGAUUAAAAUAUUAAUUAAACUACAAAAUUAUAUCAUUUAAGAAAUUAUAUUUAGGUAUUUACUUAAUUAAAAUUUUAGUUAGCCGCCGAGUGACUUAGAUUUAGAAUUUUAGAUAAGACUCUAGUUGAUCUCUCAUGUGAGAAUGUUAAUUCACUAAGCAUCAUGUGGCAUUUUCUUUAAAGAUUUUUUAAUUGUUUGAUGGUUGUAAGAGUAAAAUUUAAAUUAAUAAAAAUAAAUAUAAUUAUCAUGUUAACGGGAGCACAUCUUAGUCGCUAAUUCAUAUAAGAAUAUGAAUUCAAAUAUCACAUAAAUAAAAUUCAAAAAAUAGAUUUAUUAACAUCGCAGUUACAAGUUGACUUUAAAUUUUUAAUGAAUCUGUCAUUAUAUUUUUUUCGCUGAAUAAUCAUAUUAAUAUUUAAGUUAUUAGAUAAGGAUCCAACAUUAACAUUUGAAGUUUAUGCUUUAAUAAAUUGUGUAAAUUCGAUAACAAAAACAUUAAAUUCAAACAAAAGUAAAAUUUACAUGUUGUUCAGCUAGUUUUGGAACAACAGAGUACUUGUGCAAUACUUAUUACGACCAAAAUAAAAUUUUUUGAUUGGCCAUGUCUUUCAAAUUCGUAAUCAAAUGGCAGAUGUUUUAACUAAAUUUGUACUCUGUCGCUUUGAUUUUUAUGUUUGGCUCGAUCUCAGCCAAUUACUUUAUUAUUUUUUAUUGGUUAUUCGGAAAUAAAUGAAGUCUAUUAUUCAGAAAAAUAAUUACCUGCAAAAAUCGUACUCCAUUUUCAAUUAUUCGUAUCCAAAAUCUUACAAAAAGGUAAUAAUAUUCCUAAUUAAUUAAAAAAAAUGAUGCGCAAGCAGGCAAGUCCACACGAAACCGACCGAAAAGUGCAAAAGAAAAACAAAAGAAAAGAAAAAGAAACACGUUCAUUCAAUUUAUCGCGAUACGAUAAAUGCUUAACAAAAUGUCAUAUCAAUUUCACCAUCAAAACUACGGUAAUUUCUUAUAUAGAUUAAAAAAAAUUAAAAGCAAAUAAAAACAAAAAAAAAGCAACAACUGUACUGCAACUUAGCGUUCCCAAUUUUCCAAUGAAUAAAAUAAGAGUUAUUUUAAAUAUCUCUCCCGAGAUUUGAUAUAAUUUCAGUUAGAUGGUGAAAUUAAUUAUAUUCUCACUUAUCUUCUUUACAGUUAUUAUAUAUGUUGGGGAAAAAUCAGGUUUUUAAAUUUUUAUAAAACCUUUUAAGGACCGCUCUCAUAUAAUAUAUAGGAAUACGUAUUCCAGAAAUCGUACCUUGAAAAUCCGAGUUGGCUUUUUCCGCUGAAGUGAUUUAGGCUCCUAGAUCACGAUCCGCCACCACCACUCUUGUUAGAUCACGAACUGUCACCAAUGAUCUUCCAGGUUAUGACUCAGGUUCGAUCUGCACUUGACGUGUGGGCGCCUUUAUCACUACCAAAGCAACUAGCACGAGAAAAUUUUUCUCUCAAUAAUGGAGAGAAAAAUCUUAUUCUCUGAUUUGUAUAAAGUGGCUUCUCUUUUUUCUUUAGAGAAAAUAAGCCUUAUAUCUCUCCCUUUAGUGAAAACCCUAGGCUCCAAAUAAUGCCCUAAAUAAAACUCACGUUAUUUUCUUUUUCAAUAGGGGACCCACCUUGUAAAAUAACAUAAGACCCCUUAUACAAAAGCUAAUUAAAUGGAGCCUCCCACUAAAUGAUAUAUUUAGGCUUUUGACCCAAAUAGCUAGUUAUCUUACUUAUUAGUCCAGUAGUGGUGCAGUCAAUUAAAUGAGCUAACCCAGGGAUCAUUUGGGAACAUACAAUAGUGGCUACAAUAAUUAGGCCUGUAAUUAAACUAGCCCAAUUAUUUAAUUCCAAAUCUACUCCACUAAAAGAUUGGAACUGACUUCCAUAAUUGUAUGCUCGAAUAAUAAUUCAUCCCAAGCCACAUUGAUUUCUUUACUGCACAAUCCUUUGUACCACAUCGUUAAUUAAAUUGAUAUCUCAACUGUCCAAUCAAUUUAAUAACAUCUUAUUCCUUGAUCCUUACUGGUUUUCUCUAAUGAUCAUUUUCAACAUGCUAAAUAUGUUGACACACUCUGGCCAGAGAAUUCUAUGAUCAAGUGCCGAAAACCCAUCAAGAGAUGUGUUGUACAAAUUCUAUAUUGUUAAUCCAUAACUCCAAUACUCAUAAUUGCUCCCACCAAGAUACCGGGUAAUCUUGACCACAAGGAUGUGUCGUGCCCAUUGGUAACUCAAAUGGAAUAACAAUUACAAUCAUGAAAUCAUAAUUAACUCAAGAUUAAGAUUACAGUAAAAUCAACGCCUAUGAGAUUUAAUAAGUCUGACAGUUAUUACAAAGUUAAUUAAAUCUCAUAUGUGAUCCUGUUCAAUGUAGUCGCACUACAUCAAUAAAUUCAUACAUGAUUAAGACAAAUCAUUCAAUGAAUUUAUUACAGUCUAUACCUAAAUAAAGUGCCCAACUUUAUUUAUCAACUGCGAACUAAAUUUAUUUAAUCAUAAGAUAACUUGUAUUUAUGUCUUCUGUGAAUCCACAUGGUGAUCACAUAAAUACAUAUAAUAUGAUUAAAUGGACUUUAAUACAAAUAUUAAUGCAAUGAAGAUAUUUGAAUAAAAUACCUCAUUUAUUUUAUUAAUCAGAAAAACUGUUUAUUACAAUAAAAUAAACACAUAUGCUUUUAAAGAGCAUAUUUUCCCAACAAUAUAUACACGUAUAACGUUAGUAUUUGAGGGCAAAAAUGUACAAGACAUGUUGAAAAUCUAAAAAAAAAUUAACAACUAAAAAUGGUUUGAAAUUCAUUAGAUAAUUAUAUUAUCCAAUUACCCUAAAUAUCCAUUGUAUAAAAGAGUGAAUUUUCUCUUUCUCCAACACAAAAAAGUAAUAAAAAUGUCUUGCUCUCACAUCAAGAAUCAAAGCAUUUUCCACUCCACUCCACUCCCCUACUCUCAGUUGCUAGAACAAAAGCAAAUAAACACAAAGAGCAUAUAUAACCCAUGAAAAAGACAAGCAUGGGUGGUCGGAAAAAGCCAUCGACCAGUGACGAUUGAUGGCGGUCGGGAUAUGCCACUGGUAUUGGAGUUUGUAAGAGGUUAGUUACUUUAUUAAAGUCUAAAAUUUUUAAAUACCUUUAAUUUUUCUUAUUUUUGGAGAUUUCAUAAGUAGUUGUUGGUUGGGUUUGAUUUUCUUGUUCAUUGGGUUGAUGGUGGAAAAAUUGAUUAAAAGGAGAAUGGGUUUAGCAAUAUGUGGGCAUGAGUUGAAAAACAAUUGUUAUUGGUUGUGUUUUUGUUUGUGAUUUACACCAUAAAUAGUAUAAUAAAACAUAUAAAACUAAUAAUUUGUGAUUUUUAUGACAAAUAUGUAUGUAAAAUAGAAGUAGUCUUAGCUGUAAUGUUUAUUUUUUCGGCCAAAGUUUACUAAAGUUGAUCUGUUUAUAAAUUUGUAGUAUUUUUGUGCGCCCGUCCCACAAACACAAUUUUUGUGUUUUUUAGCAACAGGGGCCUGUCCCCCGUGCGACAGACCCACGUUGCACGAACACAGUUUUUGUUUUUGGGCGACAGCAUUGUCGCCCGUGUGACGGGCUUAUGUCGUCUGAAUUCAAUUUCUGUGUUUUUGGGCGACAACCCUUGUCGCCCAAAAAACACAGUUUAUGCUUAAUAUUAAUUCAAAAUAAAAAUAGUAAACAAACACACACACACACACACACAUAAUUAAAACAUAUAUAUACAUUAUUAUUAUCACAAUUAUUAUUAAUAACUCUGUUAAAAUGUAUUACUAUUAUCAUUAUUUUUCUUUAUUAUUGUAAACGUUGUUUUUAUUUUUUAGUAAUAUCGUUGUUGUUGUUUUUGUUAUUGUUGUUAUUAUUAUUAUUAUUAUUAUUCUUCUUCUUCUUCUUCUUAAUUAUUACUUUGUUUUCACUUAUUAGUGUCUGCAUAUUCACAUAUGAUCGGAACGAAAUGCCAACUGAACCGUCUGUUGUUUCACUAGAACCUGCAGCAGAAAUGGAUUGGUUUGACUUAGCAGAUGAGAAUAAGUUUGCUCUCCCUGAUUUGAAUGAUGAGGUUCACAUUGAGUAGGUGACAGCAAUAGAAGCUUCUCUUGAGAGGAUGCCAGCAAAUGACGAUGGAGAUCACUAUGCAGAUGAACCUACAGAAAAUGAUAUUGAAAAUGAUUUGCCUCACGCUGAUAGCGAAGGAGAGUUUAAUGAAGUUGUUGGCGCUGCGCUUGAGUUUUUGUAUAUUCUGUAUAAAUGUGAUACUAACGAACUCACAUUAUAGUGACAAUGCCAUGUAUAAAGUAUAACUCAACUAUCAUAGCAUAUUGUUAGUGCAAUUGUUCUUUUUGUGUAUAUGAGUGACUGUUGGAUGUAUAGGUUGAUGAAAUUGAGUCAAUUUGUGACUGUCACCAACUAUAAGCUGCGGAAAUGCACAUGUCGUUGUAAUUUAAAUUAUGAUAUCAUUCUACUUAGUAUUAUUUUAUAAUUCAAUUAACUCAUACUAAUGUUUUUUUUUUUCCUUUUGGUACAAAUUUAAAUGUUUGUUAUUUAUGUUGUUGGUUUGGUGAUAUACAACUUGAUGGUUUGGAAUUUACUUAUUUCUUUAAACAACUAAAAUACUACUGGUUUAGUGGUGAUGGAAUCCUUUAAUGUAUUUUGGAGAUUGAUAUAGUCUGUUGCUGAGAAAACUAAAUUAUAUUUUAGUGGUUUUGAUUUCACGCGACAAUUUCUGUCUCCCAAGAGACGAGCAUUCGCCACUCAAAAUUAGUUAAACAAGUUUUCUGUAAUUUGGUGAGACAGCCACCUGUCUCUCGGGAGAUGAGCAUUCUUCACUUAAAAUUACAGAAACAAGUUUCCUGUAAUUUGGGGAGACAAACACGUAUUGCCCAGGAGACAGUGCAUGUCACUUAAAAAGUAGGCGCGAUUGCGAUAGGCCCUGUUGCGUGCGCAAUUUUACAGAAAUCCAAAAUAGCCUCUUAAGCUUGUUGUCGCAAACGUUUUGUACUAGAUGAUGAGUUUACAAAACAUGACUUUGCAUGAAUGCACCAUCAACACCUUAAUCUACCUAAAAUGAGACAAAAAAUCCCUAAUAGAUAUUUUGUCGAGCACCUCAUGUGCCAUUUAUUAACUACCAACUUCAUUAAAUCAUUUUUUAAUAUUUACUCGACAAUCAAUCCUAAUGCUCAUUUAUAAUCAUCUAUACACUCAUCUGUCAUCAAUCAAUCUUAGUAUAUGUUACUUUAAUUCAACUGAUAUUCCUUUUGAGAAAUUAUAAAAACAAAAAAUUAUACGGUAGCCAACUUCCUUGCAUGAACAUGACCUUGAUUCAAUUUAUUGAAUAUACGUAAAUGUUACUUUAAUAUACUUUUUUUUUAUAGUUUACAAAAUGUAGUGCUUAUUUUCUUUUGUAUACCAAAUAAUAGAUGUGUAUAUAGGUUGAAGCAAAUAUAAUUUUAUAAACUAACACUAUGUUGCAUCGUAUUUGGUAAAAUAUUUAAUGUUGACAUCUUAUGACAUUAUUAUUAAAUCUUCAAUAAAGAUUCUUCAUUGUAUUAAACAAUUUUCUAUAUAAUAUAAAUUAUGUAUUUCGUCAUAAUGGAAGCCGUUAAGAAAGAUUGUCUCAACUUUAUAUUAAGAAUUUGUAUUCAUAGAUAUAUAAUAUGAUCUAAACCUUAAACAUUAAAAUUGUUUCAUAACUUAGUUAUCAAUAAAAGAUUUAACAAUUUUUUAAUUAUAAAUCGUAAAUAUUAACACAUUAUAACACAAUAUUAAAAUAAACCUUAAAGUUAAUUUAUUAUCGUCACAUUAUAAAUCUAUAGAAUUAAUUUGAAUUAGUAAAAUUAUUAAGCCAAAGUAAGAAAGAUAUAUCAAAAUUUGGCUAGAACUGCCUAUUAAAGUAACAUAUAUGUAUUUUAUAUGGAUACAUUAUGUAGCAAAAAAAAUGAAGAUUUUUGUAACAAACUUGGCAAAUAUCUAAAUUGCUAUGUUGAUACUAAAUAAUUAAUCACUUUAAGAAUCCAUUUACUUUUAGUGUAAAUCAAAAGGAUGACGAUAGAUUCACGGAACUUCUGCCUCAAAAAAGCAAACGAUCCAAAUUGGAUAAAUAGUCAACCAAUUAAUCAAACAAAGUCGUCUAAAUAUAAUGAGAACUUGACCUUUUGCUUUAUCUCAACAACAAGAUGAGUGUUGUGUGACUUAAAAUUAAAAUAUUAAUCAAACUACAAAAUUAUAUCAUGAAAGAAAUUAUAUUUAGGUAUUUACUUAAUUAAAGUUUUAGUUAGCCACCGAGUGACUCUUAUGUGAGAAUGUUAAUUCCCUGAGCAUCAUGUGACAUUUUCUUUAAAGAUUUUUGAAUUGUUUGAUGGUUGUGAGAGUAAAAUUUAAAAUAAUAAAAAUAAAUGUAAUUAUCAUGUUAAUGGGACCACAUUUUAAUCAUUAAUUCAUAUAAAAAUAUGAAUUCAAAUAUCAUGUAAAUGAAAUUUGGAAAAAUAAAUUGAUUUGUUAACAUCACAGUUACAAGUUGACUUUAAAUUUUUAAUGAAUCUGUCAUAAUAUUCUUUUUUUCCUGAAUAAUCAUAUUAAUAUUUAAGUUAUUAGAUAAGGAUCCAACAUUAACAUUUGAAGUUUAUGCUUUAAUAAAAUUGUGUAAAUUCGAUAACAAAAACAUUAAAUUCAAAUAAAAGCAAAAUUUACAUGUUGUUCAGCUAGUCUUGGAAUGACAGAGUACUGGUAUAUAGAGUUACGAUGUUCAAUACUUAUUACGACCAAAAUAAAAUUUUUUGAUUCGCCAUGUCUUUCAUAUUUGUAAUCAAAUGACAGAUGUUUUAUCUAAAUUUGUAUUCUGAUGCUUUGAUUUUUAUGUUUGGCUAGAUCCCAGGCAAUUACUUUGUUAUUUUUGAUUGGUUAUUCGGAAAUAAAUGAAGUCUAUUAUUCAAAAAAAUAAUUACCCGCAAAAAUCGUACUCCAUUUUCAAUUAUUCGUAUCCAAUAUCUUACAAAAAGGUAAUAAUAUUCUGAAGUAAUUAAAAAACGACACGUAAGCAGAUAAGUCCACACGAAACCUACCAAAAAGCGCAAAACAAAAAAAGAAAAAGAAAAAGAAAAAGAAACACGUUCAUUUAAUUUAUCGCAAUACGAUAAAUGCUUAACAAAAUGUCAUAUCAAUUUCACCGUCAAAACUACGGUAUUUUUUUAUAUAUAUUAAAGAAUUUUUUUAAAAGCAAAUAAAAACAAAAAAAAAGCAACAAGUGUACUGGAACUCACCGUUCCCAAUUUCCCAAUGAAUAAAAUAAAUAUAAAGGACUCGUGCGUGCCAUCCAUUUCCCUCCUGUUGUUGUCACCCGCCUCUUCCUCAUCUCGCCACCUGCUUCCCCCACUACACCCCCAAGACGUCACCGUUUCAUUCUCACUCCUUCCUCACACCCCUCUACUUUUCCCCACAUUCCUUCGUUUCAUAUCAACUCAAAAAUUCAUUCUUUUAACAUUAAUAAUAAUAAUUUUAUUGAAAUAAAUCAAUCAAAAAGGUAACCCCAAAUAUCUCCUCCAGCUUUUUGCUGCUUCUUAAUUUUGAUCGACUAUGACGAUGUACUAAAGCUUCAAUUUUUUUCGGUUUUUUCAGUCAACGCUUUUGCUUCACGAUUUCGUUUUACCUUCCUUGAAAAUUAAAGCUCACCCAAUCGAUACGAUUAAAAUUCUUUUUUUAGCUGAAGAUUGGUACAAUUUUCACUUCAGUUUUUUCUUAACUUUGUAUCCGGAUUUGCUACUUUUGUUUAAAGUUUUUUAUUUUUUGUAUAUUUUUCUGUGGAGCUAAGCACGACUUUGGUUACAGCUUUAUAUUAUUUUAACAUAUAAUUAGACUACUUUAUUUAUUUGUGGAUUUAUUAUUUUUUAAAUAUGGUUUGAGACUUCUCAUGUUUCAAUAUUUAUUGCACACGUGUAGUGCAGUGGCUUUAAUGAAUGUGGUAUUGUAAAGUUUAAAGCUUUUUGCAUGUGAAUGAGUUGGUGUGUACUCUUUCAUUGAUGUUUAGAUUCAUGUAUGUGGUGAUCUCUGAUCUGGGUACACGUUAGAUUUUAAUUUUAUGGCAUGGUCCGUUUGACCAAAUAUUGUUGUUACUUGAACUGAUGAACACGAAUUUUGAAGUGAAUACGUGUGUUUGAUUGCUGGAUUUUGUAAGAUUCCUUUGUAGAAAUAUUUUAAUCCGACGAACAGUAUGAUUCAGCAAAUAGCUUUGGGAAUGGUAUUGAUUCUAUUCUUGUUUGUUUAUUCAUAUAAGAACUUUGAUGCAACCUUCAGAUUCCUUUUGAACCAUGUAGUUAUAUAUUUGGAUUAGUUUAUAGCAUAUCAACUGUUGAUUGUUGCAUUUAGAUGUUUUUUGUUACUUCCACUCUUGAUUGCUUAUUAUAUGUUAGUUAAAGAGCAAACAUUAUACAAGUU
rnacentral:lncRNA from 1 species